rnacentral:lncRNA from 1 species
UUUUUUUUUUUUUUUUUUGCAUCUUGAAUUUUGUAGUCAGCUUUAACUUAAUUUGCAAAUCUAGAUAACAUCACAAACAAACAAUUCGAGCAUAUUUAUCUAUCAUAGGAGAUUUUUGGAGAGUAAAUGAUGUCUUGAAGUGGGUGAGCUUCCUCAUGUUUUAAUCUUUUUGUACCAAAAAGUAAAAAUUCAAAGAAAAAAAUUGAACAUGCAUCAAAAAAUAUUCCCACAUGUGGCUCAAGUAACUUAUACAAGAACUAGCUCAUGAAACCUUCACCAAAAAUCAUUUUGACUUGGUGUUUGGACAUAUUUCUCCCGUGGCACAUUGGCAUUUGAUCCAAAUUCCACCAAAAAUAUGGUCCCUUUUUAUUAAUCCAUCAUGUUUCUGAGGUUACAAAAUUCAUUAAAAAAAUAUUAAAUAGGGACCGGCAACUUUCGGAUCAAACAGCUAGAUUAAUUACUUAAAGCAAAACCUAGGAAAAAGGACAUCCAAAUAUGAAGGGCAAGGGUAGUAGUCUAGGUGAUGCAUGAUAUUCUCUGCAAGUGCUCUCAUUCUUCCUAUUGACAUAUUUAUACAGGAUUGAACUGCAAGAAAAAAAGCGCUAAUUCAAAAUUGGAUUACAUAAUGGACAUGGAAUAUUAUUUGAAAAUUUAAGAUGCUCAACAAAUCUGGACCCCCAAGUCCUAAUAUCAAUCAAGGCAAAUCAACUCCACCACUGGUGCACUGCUACCCCUUGAUCUCUCAAGCUUCCAUAUAGUGCUAAACAUUGCCAAUAAGUCAUCUUGCUUUUUCUUUGUUCAGCUUCAUCAUCUUGCCACUGGUUCUUGCACUCAAGAAACAACUCAUCCACCAAGCACAUUGUCUUCUCCUUCAUCAGCUCCUCGACUAGUUGUGCUUCCGCCUUCAUCACAACAAAGUCUUCUUCCUUCACAUUAUUCCGCAACCAAUCUGGUAGUCCAGUCACCUGAGAAGCUAUCAUGCUUCUUCUAGAGGAUUUAUCUGAACGGAAAGAUCUUACCUCCAAUGUAUACAUCUCAAAAUGUUGCUUCCUGGUCGGAUAGUUCUUCUUAAACCAUUCCUGAACACCAUUUUUCUCGUCAGAAAUGAAAAUUCUACGUUCAUAUGUUGCAAGAGAAUCUUCUAACAAAUCUGGAAGGAAUCUGAUCUUCCUCAUUCCAUUGUUGGAUUUCAGCAGAGUCCGUCUUGGUGGCUCAAGCAAAGCAUCUUCUAUGCCAUUCAGCGCAGCUUUCCUUUCCUCUUGUAUAAUGCCACAACCUGUUGGCUUUCUUGUGGAAUUAGCUAACACAUUGCUUAAUCCUACUUUCCUCAUUGCCACGAUUGUUUUCUCAAAUGAGCGUAAAUACACAACUCGAUAAUUUGGUUGUUUUUUCAGCAUAGUUGAAGGAUUGCUGCACAAUUGUGUGAUCACAAUGCCUCCUUUCUUGAGAACGCAAUCGACAGCCUUGAUUUUGUUGAAUCUAAAGCUUACGACAAAAUCAAAUGUCUCAUCUUGAAUUAAAUUUUUGUCCUCCAAGUUGCUACUUGAUUGAAUUACCAAAUUGUUGUCAUUGUCUUUUAAGAACUCCAAAUCUUUCGCCAGACCAUCAAUGCCAUAGCCCAGAAUUAGGCCUUUGUGGCCCCUCCUCAAAAGGCCUUCAUCAACCAAAUCAUGAAAAAGGAUGGCCAAACUCUUGAAACUAGCAAGAUUGAAGUCCAUAUCGGAACCAUAAAUAGCAUUUGAAGGACCUACUACAAUAGAACCAAUGUAGGGUAACGUCAGCAAAACAAUCGCCAAAAGCAAUGAUUUUGACAUGAUCUGCAAAACCCUCGAAUCUGAUGCCUUGACGAUCAAAAGGGUACCAACAUUAUUCGAUACCUUCACCUUCAUUCCAUUGUUGGCUCCAUUCCCCUGAGCCGUAUCCAUUUUUAAAAGGGGAAAUGGAAGCUCUUUUUGACUUCUGCAACUUUUCACCAAAAAAAAAAAAGCCUAAAUCUUCCCUGGGGCAAAUUUUUAUUCAGGGGAAAACCCAAGAUUGGGAAACUUCAAGAAAUCGAUGCUUGUUUGUAAGAGAGAAGAUCAAAGCCGAAGGGGACAAGAAAACAGGACUUUAGCGGGAGCAAAAUCUGGCAGCAGUGUGGUUUCCACCCACAAGGGCCACACGAGUGCUUCUUAUUUUACACCAAAGAAGUAUCAACUGUAAAAUUCGUUGCAACCUCCAUGACUCUUUCGUGGGUUCUCUCUCUCUAUUUACCUCUAACUCAAAAAAGAGGGUCACUUCAUUCAAAGGAAAUAUUUCAUCCUUCUUAGAUGAUAUUUUGUAACUGAUCAUCAUCUGAAAAACAGCCAACAUCAACCAUGGAAAGAAAGACAGAAGAAAAAGCAAGAGAAAUGAGCAAAGCAAAUGAGGAGAGGGGUUAAGACUCGUAGGAAUGAGGAUGGGAAGUGUACGAAAAUCUGAAGCAGGUGAAAUGGAAUAAAGAAGAGUUAGGCUUUAAUAUUGAUGGCAUGCAAGAAUAUUAUGUGCGUGUGCAGGCCGUGGGAAUUCGUUGCAUGGUUUUCUUGUUUUGGUACAUUGUGUUGUUUGUGGUUCGCAGGAGUCGAGAUUUAAGGAAAAAAGAAGCUUCAUAGCUGACAUGUAGCAGAAGAGGUGUAACUGAAAUAUGUUGCAAGGAAGGAUUAACCUUUAAAGGAUAUGAAGACAGAGCUGUACAACUUGGUUAUAUCAACAGCUUAUGAGAUCAUUGCAACACGUAAAUGAAUAGCAACUAAAUUUGUAUAAUUGGGAAAAUUACUGGUUGUCCUUCUGCUGCUUUGUGGUCGAACCACAUCAUCCUCCUAUGCUAUAAAAAUAGACACUCUUCUAUCCCACAUCCUGUGCCACGUCCUUUGCAACGGAUCUUCUGUCCCACAUCCUGUGCCACUCUCUGUCCCACUUUUUAUUAUAUUACUAUUUCUUUUUCAUAAACAUCAUGUUUUAAUUCCUUUUUGCUUCCUUAAGAUCCAAUAACUAUUAAUUGAGUAAUACACAAAAUUUAACAAACUCAAAAAAUCAAAAUGCAUAAAAAUUUAAAUUUUUUAUGAAUUUUCUGCUAUAUUUUUAAAUUUUGUAUUAUAUAUUACUUUUUUGAAGCUGUUGUAUUUAUUUUUUACUUAAUUAAUAGUUAUUGGAUCUUAAGGAAGCAAAAAGGAAUUAAAACAUGAUGUUUAUGAAAGAGAAAUAGCAAUAUAAUAAAAAGUGGGACAGAGAAUGACACAGAGUAUGGGACAGAAGAUCCGUUGCGCUCUUUUUUAUUGUUUACUAUGUCUAGUAAACAAUAGCUUCUCAUUUUUUUAGAGAUGAUUCUUCUGGCGUUCCUGCCUUGACUACAUACCGGACUCAAUCAGUUCUUUUACAAAUAAUCUCAAAGAAAUCUCUGACGAUUAAUCAACAAUUCAGAGAGAAUCUUUUCUUCUGAAUGAAUCCCUACUGUUCCAUCCAUGCGAGCGGUGGUGGACGAAGCGGAAGAACUAAGAAAAGGUAGCGAAAGCUUUAGAUGUAAAUCUUUUGGCUGUAACCUAGAAUUAUCUGACACGAUAUAUGGUAAUUCCGUCAUUGAAAACAAAGGCGGAAAUUUUCUUAGUGCUGUAAAAGUAAGGUAGAACAUAAAUUCAAGAAAUAUUGUGCUCAAUAAAUAUGCGUCACUGAAAACAAUAGAUCAGAGAUAUUCUCAUGUAUCCCGCACUAAAUUGAUUCAGAAUGGAGAUUCAUGCUAUGUUAUGUUGUAGAAACAGAAAUUGUAUGCCAUCUCACAGUAUGCAACUCCAAAACUGAUAAAUAAAUGAAACCUGACUAUUUCAGAGAACUAGUAAUCAUCUCACUUUUUCAAAAUCAAGCCACUUCAUUGCUAGAAAUAGCUUAUGUAAAAACAACUUAAACUUUUUGUGAGCAAAUAUCUGAAAAAUAACUUAAAGUUAGUAAUUCAUAAGCAUAUCAAGCAUACCAGGCCGUUUCUGACAACAGUUCAUGACAAUAAGCAAUCUCAUCGGCUAUAAUCUUGGCAUUAAUUUCACUUGUUUUUGGUUUGUUCUCCUUAGUGAUUCUUAGCUGAUUAAAUGAGUUGAUCAAGCCCAAAUCCUUAAAGUGCAAUCCAUGCACAGAGAAAUUUAUCUUGAACCAAUAAAUCCUCUCUAUGUCUGGCCCUUCCGCAAGUUCUGUGUUACUUGGUGGCUCACAAACUGGGAAUGCAAUAGGAGAAGGAUAACUAGAGCAAAGGCCAGCUGAAGAAAUGUCUCCUUCAGACUUGGAAAUGCUAACCAUUGCAUCAAAAUGUUUGGAAGGAUGCAUUUGAUCGGAGGGAAAACUUAGGUAUGUUAAACAUAUGUAUCGGCCCACCUUGAUUUGUUUGCUGAAAUGGGUCUCCAGAUAAGAUUGCUAUCAGCAUUGCAUUCUCAUUCUACACUUAUAGAUGUAUUAUCAAUACCUCCAACCACUUCAGUAAAAUAAAGAAUAAAUGGAAGUCUUCAAGAUUUUUUAUGAUAAACUUGGUGACAAAGCACAAAAGAACUAGUCACAAAUGGGUGGCCACAAUGGGUGGCCACAAAAGAACUAGUAAAUGAACAAGUUCAACUGUCUGAUCCAGAAGCCAAAGAUGAUAAAAACCGGCCAUUUUGAUCGUCUGGAUCUGUGAAAAGGGCAUUGCGAACAAACUUGUAUUGCCCUGUCAAAACAUGCUCUUUAGGGUAGUAUUCUUCUACCUUCUUUAGCAAAUGAGAGAAAGCACACUGCAAUGCUCCAUAGAAGUCCUCUAGCCAGACACAGAUGCAUAGAACACCAUUUAAGCAAGAGAUAUUAGGUGAAGUGGACAAUUAAAUGAAAAAUGUAGUAGUAAAGAGACAUGUACUCUGAUGAUGUAAACAAAAAAAAAAAAAGCAUAUCAAUGAACCAAAAUAAGAAUGAAAAUCUGUUAGGGAGACUCAUUCGACGCAAACUCAAGCAGAGAAACUUGGUCACCAUUUCAUUCAUAUGAAUACCACAAAAAAAGGCUAGAAAACUGUAAACAGUCUACAAAUUUGCUAGUCGACAAAACUGAAUAAAGAAAAUGUCACACUGAACUCAAUAAAUUUGUAAACUCCAUACACAGAACAAACAUAUCCAUGCUAAUGUGCCCAUGAGUGUGGUAACAUGCAUCAUGAUAAAAUCCAGCCAUUGCUCAUGUCUUUGAGUCAUCAAUUGAGACAUGCACAUCGCAUGUAUAAAUUUUAAUACAGUGAUUAAUUGCCAAUAAUGACCAAGACCAAAUGCGCCUAGGUAGCCUGUCUACCAGUCUUCCACCUUACCAACUCUGAAAGCAUUUCAGAUUUUGGCCCAUAGCAAAUUUUAAGGGAACUUGGAAAAGAGCACCGCUUUGGACAUGGCAUUGAGCUAUUUGAGUGAAGAACAUAAUUGGCUGAGCAAAACAGUGAAGCAGCGUAGGAGCACAAAUGCCAAUUCAAGAAAAAUAACUAAAACAUAGGAUGUAUGCUCCAAAACAUAAUAAGAGAAAAUGUGAAUCCAAGUUCUAAAAGCAUUUCAAAAUUCACCAUCUUGUAAGGUCCAAGUGCUAAACUUGUUCAACUGGCCAUUUAUCCUCGAAUACAUUGAUAUUACAGCAAUAUGAUUAAAAUAAUUGUUGCAGCAUGGAGAAGACUUAAAUGUCAAGUGCAUAAUAAUGCAAAGGUAGAUCCAAACUUCACAUUGAAAUGAUCAUCUCAAACAUGUGGAUUUAAAUGAUAGAUGAAUAUCUUGAGCCCCUCAAUUCCCUCAUCCUCAAUAUUCUUGACCGAGUCUUCAGUAGAUUGUCCACACCAGUGUACUUCAAUUGUCUCAAUAUUUCUUAAAAAGUAAUGGGACUUCCUCAAGGUCCCUACAACCUCUAAGUACCAGAUAGUGAAGGUUGGGAAGGUGAUCAUUACUGGCAUUCCAUUGGACUUCCUUUGCUUUUGAAAGGCACAAAUGACGAAGCAAAUCAUGAACAUGGCAUGUAUUGCCCCUUCCAUUAGAUCUCCUUUUUGAAUCAUACUAGGAUGCAAUCAACUAGAUCCAUCAAGAAUCCUCUGCAGCAUCGUCUGAGCACUUCAACUCAGUCAUUUGUACAAAACACUCAGCAACCCAUAACCAUGUCAACUUGCUAAUCAGAAUAUCUGUCUUCCCGAAAUGCACCCAGAUAGAGAAAGCAUGUUCCUAAGUGUGCUGGCAGGUGAUGGUAGCUCAACUGCAAUAUCUCCUUGCACCAAAACACUGGAUUUUCAACAACCAGCGAGCUUAAAUUGUCUGCAACUUCCUUCCACUUGUUCUCUUGCUUUUCUGUUUUUUUGAGGAAACCAGGUAUUGCAAUAAUUGCAAGUGGUAGUCCUUUACAAUUUUCAGCAAUUUUCUUUCCAAAUCCCAACAGUUCAUCAGGACAAUUCCUAUCAGGAAAUGUUCUCAUCUGCCACAGUUUCCAACUUUCUCAUGAGACAGUAUAAGAGAAUGAGGGACAGUAUCAAAUUCAGCUAUUGCAGCCAAGUCAUGGAGACGACUCAUAAUCAAAAUUCUACUUCCAUGUCAAUCGUCUGGUAGUGAACCUUCCAAGUCCAUCAACACAGCAAUAUUCCAGACAUCAUCCAUAAGUUUGGUUCGCCAUAUCGGCUGAUACCGAUACGUAUCGGUCGAGUUGUAACUGGAAUGGAGGGGACCAGUUCAAUACCGAUUCCCAAAUCACGGAUAUUAUCAUAUCCGUGACGACUCACUCUGAGUCGGCCGAUAUUGACCAAUUCGAAUCUGUGAUGCAUGAUAUCGGCCGAUAUAUCCGAGUCAACUCGGAUAUUUUUUCAAAUUGUGCCUUUUUUGAUAUUUUUUCAUUUUAGUAAUUUUUUCAAAAUUUUUGGAAACUUUCAUGUUUUAUAAUAUGCAUAUUACCCGAUAUUCAACCGAUAUGCCGCGAUGGAUGUGGAACAAUCGAGACCGCGACGCGACUGCGACCCCCUAUGGUGAACCAUGUCCAUAACUAUGAGAUAUGCACCACGCUUCAACUGCUGAUAUAGCUGUAAUGCUAAAUCCUCAUCAUCCAUUUGACAAAUAUUAUCACUAGGCACUCUAAUGUUGCUCAAAAUUUUAAGCAACAAUUCCCUCUUUUUAUAUUCUUGGAAGACUGGGCAGCAACCAUGAGCAUGAAAGUGAUUUGCAACUCUAGGAUGAUUGUAUAAAUUCUUAGCGAGAGUUGUCUUUCCCAUCCCUGUCAUGCCAACAAUGGAAACAAUAUCAAGUCGCGAAGAUCCUCAAGUAAGUCAUUUAAUUAUAAACAAUCCUUGAUCAACUUAUAGCCUGCUCGUAUUUGGCAGAUUACGGCUUGAAGCGUUGGCAGCAGUCUGAACUGGUCUACUCCUCACCAAUUUUGGUGGCCUGGAUCUUAACAAGUCUAAUAUCUUCUUCUAGGAGGUAAUAAAAACAUAAGAAAUAUCGCCAAUUAGAAGCUCUCCCAACCUCAAUGCAGUCGAUUGUAUAUUCCACCUUAUAUGCGAUAUCUAUAACAGCUUCACCAUCGUCCUUCAAUUUUGAAUGCUCAGCCACAAGCAAAGAUCUUAAAAGUUCUUAGUUCUAAAAAAAUCUGAUUGAUGUAAUGCGUCAUUGGUGCCACUGACUCAGGUUUACGAUUCAGCAGCUUCUCCAUGUUUCCCAAGAGAAAAGCAUGGAAGCCCAUCAAACCUCUCAGAAAUUUAAUAAUGCACAAAAUGGAAGACAAGUAAUUAUUUACACUUAUAAUUGAUAAACAACCAAAAAAUAUAUGAUCCUGAUACUUAAGGGAAUGAACACUGAUCCUAGUCCUAUGAUCCAUCCAAACGAGACAAUGUGACAUGAGACUCAAGGGAAUGAAUACUGAUAUUAAUCCUACAUUGUACAAUAUAUCCAUCCUUGAAGCUUGAAACUUCAACUAUAGCUAGUGAAAACGUUUAAUUUGGUAUAGCUUUAAGAAAAUGCAAAAGUAUUCAAGCUGCAUUCAUGGAAGACAAUUUCUGGUUUUCAAUUUAAGCUGCACAAGUUUUACCAUUUUCCAACAGCUUGUGCUCUUGCUAAUGGUGCAUCACAUUGGCUUGCAGAGGUAGAUGAUGGUUUCAACUUUCAACUGUAUCAUUGCCUUUGAUAUUUCCAGUGAAGAAUUCGAGAACUUGGCCCACUUAUGGGGAAGGUAAUUUUCAGCAAAAUUGAGCAUCUUAAAUUGUUGCCUUUCUUUACUUUAUUGUUAUAUUUCAAGUGAAAGAUAUCAUGUCAAUUUAUGGAUCAUGGAUGAAUUAAUAUGAAGUGGACAGAACUUGGACUAAGUUAAAAUCUCAUUUGAAAUUCCCGACAUUUGGUGUUGAAGACCGAUCAUAUAUAUGCUCAAACCAAAGCAGGUAACUGCUUUUGCAGAUUGAUGGAACAGAAACGCUUGUGCUCUAUGAUCUUGGAGCCGGAUACUUUAGAGACGUAGCUACUGCAAAUGGUGCAGCUAGUUUCGUUAGAUGUGAGUCUAUUGGUCACUGGCAUGAAAAUGCCUUCUUGCAUGUCUUCAUGCACCAAUUUCGAACUUGUGUAGCACUACAUUUACCUCUUCUGGUUGCCAUUCUCUGUUCUUAACUAAAAGCUCAUUUCUCCAAUUUCUUAUUCAAAUUUAAUUACAAUUGAAGAUGUCCGUUUGUUGUGAGUGCAAUCAUCCUAAUCCAGAACCCUCUAUCAGUUACAAGUUCAAGCUGCAAGCCAUUUCACUUUAUCCAUUUGCCAUCUUGCACAGGGAUUAAAUUCAUGUUGAGUAUGUUCAUACUUUCUGCACUAAUGGCAGAAAAUACAUCAAACAAAUAUGACACAGAUACGUAUAGAUCUGAAAUCAAUAUAUAUAACAGGUCUAAAAAAACAAUACAAAUAACGAUAAAUAUUGAUGCUCCUUUAUAUCUUUCAUCCAGAUGAAUCACUAUAGCCCAAUACAUCAGUGUAUGUCUGAUGACAAUCAGAUCUAAUUAAAACUAGUUCAAGUCCAAAGUAAGUCCAUACCUAAAAUACAUAACUUAGAUGUUGUAAACUCUUGUUUUUUUUGCAAAGAACAUCACAUUCAUUGUCACCAACUCAUUUUUAGAUAACAAACAAACUGAAAAAAGACAAGGAAAGAGGCUAAAACUAACUUGGAGAAAUUAAAGGAAGCAAAAUUGCAUGUUCAAUUAGUGGGAUACAGAAAAGCAAAGGAUGAAGGAAAGCAAAUGCAUAAAUCACUUGUACACAGCCUAAUUUUGCAUAACAGACAGUCUGUAUAUAAACAUGACAUUUGGGAAAUUGUUAACAGUUUUUCCGUAUAAUAUUUUUGUGUGUAUAACACAAGAAUAGCACAUGACAUUUGUGCGUGUAUAAUGUAAUUAAACAUGACAUUUGUGUGUGUAAUUAAAUGAAGAGGUGGUCAAAUUUUUGGCCCACUAAUUUGUCCUUUGGCUCAGAAUUUUUUUUUUUUUUGAAUAUUAACGGUUUUAAUAGUUUUUUUAUUUUGUCAAAUGUCAACUUCUAUAUAUUUAACGGUUUUAAUAGUCAAGUAACCAACUCCUAUAUGUAUGUAGUCAGUUUUUUAUUGCUAGAGAAGUAUAACAGUUGUUGGUUGUUGCUAGCUAGCAUGUAAUUAGCGUCCCAUUGUUUUGUACAUUCACAUGUCACGUUUGCAAGAAGAUAGAGUGCAAUAUAAUUGACAUUUUUGAGCCAAUCAAACAAAAUACCUAUUUCAUAAUAAAUAAAAUUAGAGCACAGUGAUGAAUAGGAUCGUAUUGACAGAGAUUGGGAUGAUUUAUUUCUUCCAAAGCAAUGAAUAGAAAGGGGAGAUUUUGGAGAUUAAACCAACUGAUUAAUUUAAACACAUACAAAAAUUAAGUAAAAUUAAAUUAAUAAUAAUGAAGCUCUAGCCAAAGGAAUAAUUUCCAAAAUGAUUCGUACAAUUUUCAGAUGGCUUUCAUUACAAUUUUCGCAACAAAGCAUAAGAAUUAGACACGAACAAACCACCUUGGCUGUGCCAGUUUAGCAUCAAACUAUAUUUACAGCCCUUGACCAUUUCAGAUCUAUAUCAAAUGGCACAAGACAGAAAUUUUGACAGCAUUGAGCAUCAACUUCUUAUAUAGACAAUGACUAUCAGGCUAUCUUCCAGAUAACUUUCCUUUCCACUGCCCAUUACCGACCCACCCCCCCACAAACAAACAAAAAAAACCGGCAAAAGAUGAGAGAGAGUGAACAAGUAGAUGCUGCACAAACAUCUUUCAUAGCCAGUCCUAGAAGAGCAGAAGUUACGUGGAUAAUGCACAACUAGUACCGGCAACUUAUAAUCAAUGAUGUAGUUCGCCUUCUGAAGUGUUAGAAAACGACUUGUACAACAAACUUAUCAACGCACCAAAGCAGAAUCAUGGUAGAGGCAUCAUGGCAUCAUUAAACGUUAGUUUCACUUUCAGGCAUCAUUUGUCAUAGCCAUUUGCUGAGAGGUAGAGACCACUUUCCUGAGCUCACCCGUCCCAUUCCAACAAGUAUAUAUUAAUGGAUACUUCAUCAAGAUAUUCAUCCAGUUGGUAGUAUUCCUGCUUUUUGCUCAUUUCCAUUUUGCUCUAGCUGCCAGUUGAUCUACGAGCCAGAAGUUGGGAUAUUUUUCUCGUCCAUCUAUUUCAUUGUAUUUUUUUCCCUUCUUGAAAGAUCUUCUCUUCCCACUUUGAUCAGCAACCAACAAAUAUUGGACCUGGAAAAAUUUGAAGUGUUGAUACUGCUUAUUCUUUCAAAAAUGCAACAGAAUCGCUCCUAGGAUAAAUCACAACAGAGGUGCUUAAAUUAAAGUGCAGUGAUUAAAUCAAAAUGCUGCUUACAUGAUUUCAACAGAUGUGCCCAAGCCAAAGAAACUGAUUCUAAAUUAGAAUCAUAUUGAUAGAUUUGAGCCACCUGUUGAAGAUGCAGCUUAUCAACUAAUUGCAAAUGGGACGUCAGAAUGCAUGCUAAGUCGGAUGAAGAACAUAGUAACAGUCUAUAUACUUAAAAUUUUCUGGUACAACAUCCUUUCAUCUAGCUUGAAAUUCCUCCAACCCCAGGAACUUUCAGCAUCUUUUCGGUUAAUCAGUGAGAUGGGAAAACAACAAUCCAUGAAAAAUAUCUUCAAGCAAAUUAUUAUUAAAGAUUAAGUACACAGAAAAUAGUACCUGUUAGAACCAGAUUCUCAUGUUUGCCAAGCUGUCAUUAACUAUAUACACAUAUUCUACCCAACAAGGUUGCAAAAGCAAACAGCAUUCUUUGCAUUAAAAAAAAGGGCAAAUUACAUUUUACCCCCUUGUGGUUUACCCUUUUUUACAUAACCCCCCUAUGGUUUCAAAAGCUAUACAUAACCCCCUCAUGAUUUGGAUUAAAGUGUCAAAGUGACGGAAAUAGUCACUCGUAACGGAACUUCUAAAAAUGUCAAAAUCACCCUUAUAAAUACAUGACACAUUAACCCCGUAUACUUUUUAUAUUUUACCAUAUAACCCCCUUAUGGUUUAGUAUUUUACCAUAUUACCCCCUUAUGAUUUUCAAAAUAUACACAUAACCCCCCUUGGUUAAUAAAUAAUUUUUAACUUUACAUAAGGGUAAUUUUGACAUUUUAGAUGACACCGUUACGAAUAAUAAUUUCCUGGUCAGCUGGUUUUGAGGAUCAUACCAAUCUGUAGCCAGAUUGAAGAGGAUUUUAGAAAUUAGAUAGUUUUGAUUUCAUAAACACAUGACCAUUCAAACCAAAGAAUUGAAAACCUCCAGAAGUUGGUUUGUGAAAUAUGAAUGAUUAUAUCAUUCAACUGAUCCAACAUAUACAAUUAGUCCUAUGGGAGUGGAUCUAACCUCAUGAGUGGAAUUCUUCUCUUCUUUGACUCCUUUUCUGAGUAGAUCUAAUAAUAACGCUCUUUAAGUCCUUGUUUCCCCAUUCUCUCUGUUCUUCCAGAAUUCGCUCCACAGAAUUUACAGCAGACUCACUACACCAUUUCACCUCAAUCGUUUUAAGAGUGAGGCUUUCCCCUAAACAAGGAGGGACCUCUUCCAGCUCCUCACAAAACUCCAAAACCAAUUUCUCAAGACAGGAAAAAUUAUCAGAAGAGGCAGUCCACCUACGAAUGUACAACCCUGACAGUUUCAAAAAUCGGAGGUUACAGAAUUCCCCUUCUUCCAUCUCCCAUUCUUCCUCCCGAACGGAACGAUGGCAUAAUUUGAGCACUACAAGGUUGGGCAGAUUUUUUCCAAUUGCUGAAAUUUUUCCCCACGGCCAAUAAUUAUACGAGAGAGUCAACUUUUUCAAAUUCAAAUUCAAUGAGAAUUCAAACUCAUCUCCGCUAAUCCUGCUUAUCUUAAGUGAUUCUAGUCGACUCAUGUAGUUCAGCACGAGAAUCUCCUUGCGAUUUCCACCAGAUCUGAGUGCUUGGUAACUUUCGUAUGUCAUCCUUUGGAUUCCAUAUGUUAUUGUUAGCCUGCGGGUGCUCUGUAACUUUGAUAGUAUCUUUUGUGCAUUUUGAGAAGAGCGAUGGAUUGCAAGGCUUAAAGUGUCUAAAUGUUUUAAAUCAGGGGAGCCUUCAAGAUUGUCCAUGGGAAAUAUGAAACCACAGUCGGACAAUGAUGUGACAAGAUACCUCAAUGUUUCAAUGCUCCAGAUAGUGUUUGGCAACAGAUAAUUUCCACGGCGUGCUUCUACUACAAAAGUUUCUAACCUUGAGAGGUUGGCUAUUGCAGAUGGGAUAUCCCCAACAAAACGUCCAAUUCUCAAGUACCUCAAGUGAAUAAGGAAUACUACUUCCCUUGGAAAAGAUGAAAUCCAAUAAGGAGUGUUCCAGAAAUCCAGCACUCUAAGAAGUUUAGACAGCAGAAAUUUGGAUGAAUUCUUAUCCAGCUGUGUAUAACUAUCACCACAGAAGAGCAAAGAACGCAAAUUGGGAAAAAACAGCCUUGAUUUUGUAAGCCCCAUAGUCAUGGUAGGGUGAAUAGACAAUCGAUGGGGCUUGCAUGGUCCGGUAAAAGUUAAAAGGUUAUCCACAUGUAAAAUCUGUAGAAAACUUUCUUCUUCAGCUUUCGCCACGCAAAACUCAUGUACCAAAUCAUGGAUUCGGCAAGCUUUGAUCCCACCUAAAGAUCUUUGUUGGGCAGCCAUAACUAAACUUCUCCCAAUCAGAUCCAUCAAAUAUUCAUCUGCCACAUCCUCUAAACUCUUUCCUUCAGUCUUUUGCACGAAUCCUUCCGAGAUCCAAAUCCAUAACAACCUUCGGAUAGGAAUUUCUUGGUCUUCUUGAAAUGCACCGAAGUAAAGAAGGCAUGGCUUCAAAUAAUCCGGUAAAUUAUUGAAACUUAGCUCAAUAGUCUUCAUGCAAUAUUCAUUGUCAACAAAAAUGCUAGAAGUUAAAUGUAUUACAACUUCUUCCCAGCAAUCUUGCUCGGUAGUAGCAAGAAUUCCGGCAACAAGGACAACUGUGAGAGGCAGGCCUUUACAGUAUUUUGCUGCGUCCAGUAAAACAUUACUUAAUAUUGGAGGACAAUCUUCUUUGGAAAAUAGCUUUUUCUGCAGCAAUUCGCAGCUCUCAUUAUCUGUAAGCGGGCGAAGAUGGUGAGGCUCGCUAUCAAGUUUAAUUUGCAAUGGCAAUUCCUGAAAUCUGCUGGUUAAGAGAAUCCUGCUUCCAUUGCAAUCAUCUGGCAGUGAGAGUUUCAAUAAAUCCCACCCCAGAAUGUCCCAAACAUCAUCCAAAACUAUGAGAUACCUAUUUCCCUUCAACAAUUUGCGUAGCCUGUCAGCCAUAUAAUCUUCAUCUUUCCGAAUAUAUCCAGCUGAGUUCCCAUGAUCAAUAUUACACAACAUUUGAACUAACAAACUAUGCUUGGUAUAUGCUCGAGAAAAACAACACCAAGAACGAAUGUGAAAGUGGGACUUUACCAAAGGAUCACCAUAAACUUUAUUGGCUAAUGUUGUCUUACCAAGACCAGGCAUACCCACAAUGGCAACAAUAUCCAACCGGCUUGGUCCCCUUACAAGUCCAUCAAUUAUAAUUUCCCCCUCGUCAUUGAGACCCACCACAGCUUCAUUAGAUAUUGGAGCAGUAACUUGUGAUGGCAUGGGAAUGGUAGUCUUAACAAUACUCUGGGUUUCAUAGUCAAAUCGUAUGCUAUCAUAAAUCUUUUUGGCCUCAAUCUUCAUAAGCUUGACAUCUCCAGCAAUAACAUCCAAACAAUGUUGAUGUUUUCCACCAGGUAGUGUAGAGUCAAUGAUUAUCUCUGCCCUGUAUGCCAGCUCAAUAAUACGACUCCACAGAGCUUGGAGUUUUUCAUUCCGCUUUCACUGCUCUGCAAUCUUGCCUAGGAAAGGUCUUAAGAAAUCAAGAUCUUCACGAACUGUGUGGAUUUGAUUAUUUGGGAAAGCAAUUGAAUUAGCUGUAGAAUUUUCCAGUUCCUUGAGAGUUUCUAAAAGAAAAUCAAUAGAGCCCAGCUCAUUAGUCCUAGGGAAACUAAUUGAUGAUGAUGGUGGUUGUAGUGGACAAAUCUGUUCAAUUUCUGGAAUAAUGAGCUUGAGCAGUUCGAGCGAAUGAGAAGCCACAAGAUCUAUUUCCUUGGGCAAGCUUUCUGUCAUUUCACUCUUAUAAAGGGAGAAAAUCACAAUUCCAGCAUCACAGACCACAAAUCCAAUAAGAUCCUUCAUUUCAUCAUUUAGCUCAUCGAACUUCUCGUGCUGCUGGCUGAGAAGGACACUCAGGAAUCUUGCUCCCUCAUAGAGUUUUAGUAAUUGAUCCUUCACCGGAAGCAAGAAACUGGUGUAAGAUUCUGUUAGCUCCAUAAUAAUAUGUAAAAGAUGAUCAAUAAAUUCGGCCACUAGGUGCUUAUUCUUCUCCAGGGCUAAAGUGUGUGAUGAUGGUGACAACUUGGAAGCUGUCAAGACGUGGAUAUAAGUUUCUCGGACUUGGAGAUCAACGGGAUCAAUCUUCUUUUGUAUCAGUUGAGAAAUUUCAGAUUCCAUCUCAUUGCACACCCGUUCAUCAUUUCUCUGAAACCAAGAUGUAGAGAUCAGGCUUGCAGCAUUAAUGGCCACAACUUCAAUGUGAACUAACAGAUCUACUAAUUGCUGACCCUUAACACCUUGUAGUGUUGCAAAGCAAAUGAAACUCUUCAAGAACAUUAGCUUCUCUUGAAGGGUUCCCAUUACACUUUGCAGAGCUGCAUCAUCCCUGUAAUUUCUGGUGCAAAGACGCCUCAGAUUCUCUAAAAUGGAAUCGAUGAUAUCCAUAACCAGUUGUGAAUCUCCCAGCAAGUAGUAAUGCAAUAAACUAACGAUGUUUAAUUCCUUGAUAUCUGAAUCAAAAAUCAACCGAAUAUUGCCCUCGAAUCUGUCGAGCUGGCAUUUGAAGUCAUCAGGCGAUCUACGUCUACCGAACUGUCAGACUCAGCAUCACCCCUGUCCUCCUUAUCAUAUUCCAAACACAUACACUCUUUGCUUCUCUUCCUCCUAAAAUUUCUAAUAUACAGAUCAAAGGUUUCCAAUAGACUUAUCCCCAUGUUCAGCUCCCAGAUAUGAGAUUUGAACAGACCUUUGUACCUAGAGUCUAAGUAGUCCAGAUGAUUACGAGCAACAUCGAAGCAACUAGUGCUGCUGCUGGAGGAGAUGUUCCUCAUGGUACCUGCUUUUCACUCAGAAAUGAGAUUUCUGCCUAUUGUAGCCAUUGAUAUUCAAGAUCAACAACUUUCUUAUUAUCUAACAAUAUUCACAGUUUGCCAUCAGGACUCUAUCUCUCUGUUUUUUUUUCCCUUUUUUCUUUUUUGCGUGUGGCAGGGUGGUGCUAAAAUAUUGCAAGACUUUACCCUCUUCCUCUUGAGUCUUUGUCAAGGGAAGUUCGCAUCGAUACAACAGGCAUAAGCUGUUGGGGUCCCCAUAUCAAAGAUUAAAGCAUUAGAGACGCAUUCAGCUGAGGCCUGAUGGCUAUGUAAUUUGCCACAACCUUUUUUACCGCAACAAUAUUUUUUACCACAAAACGUGAAAGGCAAAAAAAUAGAUGAAAGAAAAUCAAUCUAUACUACUGUAGUUUCAAUCAAAUGCGAAUAUGGCCAGCACUAAAAAUGAACAAAAUGAGAAAUAUCAAUUAGAUUAGCAGUCAGAUAAACAAUAGAAAAAUCAGAAGAAAAUGAUCCAUGGCUAUUGUUUAAGAAUGUAUAACUAAAUGCAUUUAAGGAUUUAGAGACAAUUGUUUUAAUUGCCAAUGUAUGUGAGUGCUGAUGCUUUAAUGCUUCUUUUUUUUAAUUUGGCAACUUCUCCAAAUUUAAAAAGUUGUAUAAUAAGAAUAACAAUUUUACUCCUUUUCCUGUGUGAGAUAACUUGAGCCUGUAAACCAUCUAAAUCAUUUUUUCUUUUUUUGGUUUUCUACAUGCACCGAGAAAUAAUAAUAACCUACAAGUACGAAAAAUCUUGUGAAGUGAAGACAAAUAUUAAUAGGGCAAAUUAUACUUUACCCUCCUGUAAUUUAGUUUUUUUUUACAUAACCCUCCUAUGGUUUAAAAAGUUAUAUAUAACCCUCUCAUAAUUUGAAUUAAAGUGUCAAAGUGACGGAAAUGAUCAUUGUAAUGGAAUCACAUAAAAUAUCAAAAAUACCCUUAUGUAAAGUUAAAAAUUAUUUAUUAACCAAGGGGGUUAUGUGUAUAUUUUAAAAAUCAUAAGAUUGUUAUACGGUAAAAUAUUAAAUAAUAAAGGGAUUAUAUGGUAAAACAUAAAAACUAUAUGGGGUUAGUGUGUCAUGUAUUUAUAAGGUAAUUUCGAUAUUUUUAAAAGUUACGAAUGACUAUUUCGGUUAUUUUGACAUUUUAAUUCAAAUCAUGACAGCGUUAUGUAUAGUUUUUAAAUCAUAGAGGGGUUAUGUAGAAAAACACUAAAUCACGUGAGGGUAAAGUAUAAUUGGCCCAUAUUAAUAUCAUAGUUACUCAUCAUAUCAUAUCACAUGAAAUUCAGUCACAUAAUUGCUUCACCUAAAAUCGAUAGGUCACGGGUUCAAAUCAUCAUGGGAUUAAGUGAGACACCACUAUUAAAUCCUCUUUUAAAAAAAAAAAAAAACUUCAGUACUUUUAGCACUGUAUGUAUUCAAAUCAAAAUUUAAUUUAUCUAAUGCUGAGUCAAAUAAAAAAGCUGAAAUUUCCUCCUAUUACGUCCCAGGCAUAAGUGAAGCGAUGAUAUGCGAGUAUGAAGUGUCAAGAACACAUGGAAGCCGUGUACAUUUCAACCACAAAAUAAUGUGUGGAAAAAAGAAAAGAAAAAGAAAUUCAGCACUUACUUUGGAGAGAAUGAACGCUAUGGCAACAAGUGAUCUGUUGAAUCUGCAGAAAUUUCAUUUAUAUGGUGAAGCCACGUUUAAAAAGAAAAACUUUAAACUUAAAAAAAAAAAAACGAAAUUCAGCACUCACUUGAGAGAAAAUGAAAUCCCUGGCAAUAGCUGGUGAUCUAGUGAAUAUGCAAAAAAAUUCCCAGUAUAUCUUGCACCUACUCACUCAAAAUUAAGUUCAAGAAAAAGAAGAACACUCCGAGGAAGAUGAAUGAUUUCAACCAAAAUGAAAGAACUCGAACAUGCAAGACUUUUUGCAGUGAGCUGGUCCAAAGUCAAUGUAACGGACAUAGUAGUCCUAGUAGCGGUAGGUUAGGACCUAUGUUUUCAGAACCGGACCAGAUAGUGACUCGGCCGAGGUCAGGGGUCAGGGGUCAAUGAGUUCGACCGGGGGUCGAUAGGGGUCGAAUCGGAUGACAUCAUAAAUAAAAAUUAUUUAAAAAUUAAAAUAUUAUAUAUAUAAUAUCUAAUAAUAUAUUGAUAUUAAUAAAGGUAUAUUCAUAUAUAUUUGAUGUUUCAAAUAUAUUUAACAAGAAAAUACAAAGAAAUUAGAACAAUCAAGUAGCAAUUUAUAUUAUUUAAUAAAUAUUUACAAGUUUAGAAUUCAAAUUAUGAAUUUAAUUGAAUAAUAACAUCAAAUUUUAGGACAAUAUUUAUAAAGUAUUAAAUAUUUGAGGUAUAUCAACAAGUUUUAACAAUUUAGGGGGUCAAAACAUAAUAUUAAAAAGUUUGAAUUUUUUUUUUUAAAAAUUACUGUUGAACCGGAAAAAUCGAUUUUUUUCAGGUCAAACCCGAUUUUUGACCGGUUUUGACCGGAUUUUAAAUUUUCGAUUUUUUAAUAUGACUCGGACCGGCUAUCUGACCGGUUUUCGGUUCGACCGACCGAUCCGGUCCGAGUUUGAAAACAGAGGUUAGGACUCACUAUUUUUAUUAUAAGGAACUCUCUUUGAUUUUUGAGUGUGUGGUGGGGAGGGAUGGUGGGCGUGAAACCUUAUCCUGACAAGAUGCUGUGUUAAUCAAGAAUUUGGCAAGUGCGGUAGAAGACUUUGACGUGUGUGGUAGAAUACCGUGUUUGCUAUAAAAUUUUCCUUUGCAUACUUUAUGUAAUUAUUGGUCACUCUAAGGUGGAACAUGCAUGCUAUAUCAGCGGGCUCAGAUUUCACGAGAACUGUCGACGGAUAUUGAGUUAAUCAAUCUCAGAAAUUAGUAUAUUUGGUGUAAGUUCGUAGAGUUUUGAUAUAAUUUUAAAUUUUAUACAAAUUUAGUUAUAUGACGUGAUAAAUUUAAAUUUACAGCCGAUUUGGACGAUUUUACACCAAAAGAGGAAAGAACUAGACCAAUCGGUUGGAUUGGACAAAUUCCAGCUUAUGAGACCUGUGAUAUAUAUAUAUAUAUAUAUAUAUAUAUAUAUAUAUAUAUAUAUAUUUAUAUGAAGUAUGGUUUGGCUAAUUGUUACCUGUUGAAUAUUUGAAAGAGUGCUUAAAUGCAAAACAUAUAAUAAUUGGGAUUGUGUAACGAAUAUCCAUGCCGAUUGGAAAAACAAAACCAUAUAACUAUAAAUAUAAAUAAAUAAAUAAAUGAUUGACUAUAUAUAUAUAUAUAUAUGUUUGUAUGUAUGUUUGUAGUAAUAUGUUUGGAAAAAAAUCCGAAUUCAAAUUUAUGCAACUUUCGUAUGAUCUAACAACUAUAACACAUUGCCAUCAAGAUUCUCUUCUUUUGCGUACACGCUACCUACAAGGAUCUCUUUUUUGCUUGUGUGGUGGAGAGGGAUGGUGGGGCAUGGUACGCAUAAAUAUCGCAAGAAUUUUCCUUCUUCCACAUGAAAUUUUUUGUGUAUGUGGUGGGGAGGGAAGAUGGUGGGGCGUGGUACUAAUAAAUAUUAUAAGACUUUUCCUUCUUCCACUCGAAACUUUAUCAAGAGAAGCUGUGUUAAUCAAGGCUUACAUGCGUGGUUGAUGCGGUAGCAAAAGCAUAAAAGUAGAAGGGGUUUCAUGAACACCUUUCAAAUGACAAUCAUUACACGAAUGAAACCCAGCAAUAAAUCAAAGAUUCAUAAAAAUAAGAGAAAUUUCUCAAUAAUUUGAUAAAACCAACAAUAUUUGAAUUACUAGAAGGAAAUUCUUUUUACAAAAGCCCUAAAGAAAAUAAUAUGUAAACUUUUAAACAAAUCAACUACGUAUCUGGAUGCAUUUAGGAUCCUCAUUGACACAUUUAGUACUAAUACUAAUAUUAUUAAUUAAAAAUAAAUAAAAAUAUAGAAAUCUACCCUAAUUAGAAUUCUAAAUAAAGUAUUAACAAUAUAGAUGAAGAAUUCCUGAACCCAGGGACCCUCUAAAUAUAUUGGCAGUAUAGAUGAGGAAUUUCUGAAACCAAGGUCCUCGUUGUGUAUCAGUGGUAGAAGACUUCUGUGUGAGUAAGCAGACUAUUUUUGCUCCUAAAAUUUUUCCUUUGCAUACUUCUUGUAGUAUUACUGGUCACUAUAAGAUGGAACAAGCAUACUAUAUUUUUCCUCUGUAUACUUCAGUAGGCUUAGAUUUGUUUUCCUCCUAAAAUUUUUCCUUUGCAUACUUCAUGUAAUAUUACUGGUCACUCUAAGAUGGAACCAGCAUUCUAUAUCAGUAGGCUUAGAUUUGUUUUUCUCAUAAUGACUCUUAGAAGGAUAAUCAUAUGUUGCCGCAAUUUCGCAAAAACUGUUGACUGGCUACAUGAGUAUAUGAUGCAUAUUGAGUUAAUCAAUCUCAGAAAUUUUGAUGUACAAAUGACUAGAAAUUAAAGAUGCAUUCAGCUAAGGGACACUUUCUAAGACCCAUGGCUGCCAUUACACAAGUACAAAUAGGGAUCUUUUUGAAAUAUAGCAUAGGUGAACAGAAAGUUCCAUGAAUUGGGAAUGCAUACGAAAAAAUGAAGAAAUCAUAGAUGAUAACUCAUUUUCUCAUUUCGAGUACUUGACUCUUGAAUUGAGACCAUUCCGCUAUUAAUCUAUGUUCUUGGCAGGCAUUGUUUUACAGUGGUAGCACCUGGGACAAGGAGCAUCACAUCACAUAAAAAAAAAUAAUGAACAUUGUAUCAUUGGUACAAAAUAUUUUUCAAGAAUUACUGUCGCGCCCCAUUUUUCGCGAUGGAAAAGAAAGUGUUUAUAAAAAGAUAUGAUUUAUUAAUAAUAAAUGAAAAAGGAUCUAGAAUGGAACUUAAAAAAAAUGCGAUAAUUUGGGUCCAAAAUUUAGUCUAAAAGGGUUUUGAAGAAAAAUUAGAAGUCUCCACUUGGUAUCGAGUUUGGGUGUAUCAAGUCACCCAAAAAGUGUUUUUAAAUAAAAUAAAAUAAAACCCUUUUCGACAACUCCAGGUCUUUGAAAACAGAGAAAAUGAGUUCGGGAGUCACGGUUGAAGAAAGGGAAGGCAAAGGUUCAAUUAUCUCAAACCUAAGGCACCCUUUCAACCUAGUCUAAGCUAGUUGCAUGGUUUAGUCAAAAUUUUCUUAAUCUAACCCUUAAAUUUAUCACAUUUGGAUGUUUUCUACAUGGAUGCAAAUCUAAAUUUAUAAAAUAUCGAAAGGGACAAAAUAUCCAUUCAAGGAUUUAAUUGAAACAAUCGCAUUAAUUGCGAAGGCCAAAAUACUUCUUUGAAAGGGUCACGAGUAUGCAAAUGAUGAAAAAAAGAAAAGUAAAGAAAAGAAAUUAAAUUAUAUACAUAGAUAUAAGUAAUCAAAGAAAAAAGGGAAUGCAACAUAAAGGGUAUGGGAGGCAAAAACUUGUGACAUAAUUUUCUUAUACAGGGAUUAAUGGAGUAUUUAAACUAAAAAAUUAUAAUCAUCCAUUUUCCAUGUUUGAAAAAUAAUUCCCCUAAUAUGACCAAGCAAAUGAACCUACUUAUCAUACAAUUUCUUAAAUGAAAUGCAAUUCUAAGUGAUAUGAUUAACACAUAUUGAGAAUAGGGGAUAAUAUAAUAGGGAAUAUCAUGCAAAUGAGAAAAGAUUCUAAAAAUGAAAAUAUGCCUGAAAAUGUAGUGAAUAGCACACAAAGAUGAAUCUAGCGCAAGACGACCUAAAAGGUCUAGUGUUGGACUAGCCAAUUUCUAGAAAUCCUUACUAACGUUGGACUAGCAAGUAAGCGGAGGGAGAAGCCACAACUAGCGUUGGACUAGUGUGGUGACGUCAUGCAUUAACAAUUCAUAGUGAAACAAAUAAAGCAUAAAUGAAAACAAAUAAACACAUAAGAGCACGUAGCACAUAACACGUAAACAUAAUAUCUAGAUGCCAAAAUCCUAAGAAAAGCGGAUAAAACACAUAACAUAUAAACCACAUAAACACGCAACCUAUCUAUUACAUCGGAGAAUCUAACUACAAUCUAAAAUGGAAAAGAUAUGAUAAAAUAAAAUUAGCUAUCCUAUCUAUUACAUUUUUGAGAUAUUUAAAUGCCUCUCGAAUAAUUAUAAAAAUUAACUAAACAAAUAUAGUAUAAGAAAAUUUAAAUGAACAUUUAAAUCCAAUAAAUAAAACAUAUAAAAAUACAUAAACACAUAGGAACACAUAAGAGCACGUAAUUGACAUUGAAAUAAUAAAAAUAGGGGUACCUCCCAUUUGAAGUGGUGACUAAAUGGAGUCAAAUUGUCCUAUUUAUACUCACAAUGAACAAAAGAAUCAUGACACCAAUUUAAUUGAAAAAAGUAAUAAUAAUAAUAAAAAUUCACCUUAAUAUGUCAAACGUAAAUAAAUUUAAGAAUAUCUAAAAAUUACAGGUUAAACAUACUCAAAAAUAGCAUAAUUAGCUAUUAAAGAAGAGAAGCAAUCAUAAUAAAGAGAGUCAAAAUUCAUCAGAGACUGAAUUGCAAAAAUUGAAAAACUUUUAGGGACAAAAAUUAUAUUUUUCCAAAGUUCAGAGGUCAAAAUUAAUUAAAAGAUAAAGUUCAAGGACCAAAGUGAAAUUAAUUUAAGGACCUAGGUGAAAGAAAUUUAAAAUGUUCUGGGCUACAGUAAAACUACUGCAAAGAUCAGGGGCCAAAGUGCAAAUCGUAACCAGAUCUUCUUAAAAAAACAGGCCACUGGGCCAUUCUCUAUUUUUUCCGGGCCAAAGGCCAUUCGGCCCAAACGAAAGUUCAAGCUAAAAUACCCAGGCCAGCCCGUUUUGUUAUAGCUCAAGCCCGACGAAAAAAAUACAUGGGCUCCAACCUCCUAGCCCAACCGAAACCCAAAAGAAAUAAACACAUAUCCAUUCCCAAAAUCCAACCAAAAAAUAACUCUUGGCCCAUCAGAGAAAUAAACAUUAGCCCAAUUCUUUUUUUUUCCUUUUUCCUUCCUUUUUUCUUUCUUCUUCUUUCUUCCCGCCGUUUCCUUCUUUCUGCUUCUGCUUUCUCCUUCUUCUCCACCGAGGAGCUGAAGCUCCCUUCUGGCUGGCGGCUAUGGCGGUCGCCGGCAGCACCACCGCCGGUCGCCAAAAUUUCUCAAAAUACACCUCUCACUCGAUUUUUCGCGUAGAUUCCAUUUCCGGGCUUAGUUUUAACAAAAAUUGACCCUAAAGUGGCCAAAAAGCCAAGAAAUCAGUUCAGUUUUUAUUUUCUUAAAACCUUUAAACCUCCACCAAAAAUCAUAAAAAAUUAUGCCAAAACCCUCCUUAUAACUUCUACAUUACAACUAUAAUCUUAGUUUGACAGGUAAACAACAACAAAAUGAUGCAUUAAGUCAAAACAGCCCCAAAAAUAAAGAAAAUAUUUCAAUGCCUUUAAAGCUCAAAAUUCCAAAAAAUUUAGAUAAGCAAACAUUUCUAGGCCUGGUGCUAGCUAACGAUCAUCCGUUUUGACAACAACAUGCACAAUAUUCAGCUUUUAAAUCCAUUUUUCCAUUUCGGCAUUUUAUCAAGCAUUUGGCAUGCAUUCACAGCACCGUUUCUUUUUUCUUAAUUUUAUACAGGCUUGUCCCAAAAACUUCAAAAACACCACAAUAGCAACAAAAAUCAGUGAAAGGAAGAGAAAAAUAGGUAGCCAAACAUGCAUUUAAUCUAAUUAAUUUAAAAAGGAAAAGCUGGAAAAAAUACCUCAAUGAGGUUGUGGUCCCUUGACUAAAAUUUUGAGGAAGUUCCAAGCUCUUUGUCCAACCGGCGGCUGCCUCCUUGUGUCUGAAUAGUGUGUGGGUGUGUUGUGUGAAGUGAGCAAAGAGAGGGAUAUGGCCGAGAGAGUGAGGGAGCUUUCUUUCUUUUUCUGUUCUGUUUUCUUUCUUCUGCCCAGUCCGAGAGAGGGAGAGAGUUGGGGAGUGCUUUUUGUUUCUUUUUUUGUGGCUUGUCUUCUGUGAGAGGGAGAGCCGAGUGAAGAGUGAAUUCAGGGAAAAAGGUGGGGAGUUGGUAUUUUUCUUGUCCAAGGGAUGGUCUCCCUGUCAGAGCCGAAAGAGUACAUAUUUUUGAGCCCCAAAGUGUCAUUUUUUUUUUCUUGUCAGUCCCACCCUCGAGAGAGUGAAUUAAGGGAGUGUGUUUUGUAUGUUACUUUUCUUUUCUUCUUUUUUUUUUCUUUUCUAAACAAACCUGCAAAAAAAAAUAAGAAAAAUGCACGUUAAAAUGUAAGAAAAUAAAUAAAUUAUUAAAUAGAAAAAUCUUGAGAAAAUAUUAAAAAUUGACAAAAAUUUGGUGUCUACAAUUACAUUUGGAUAAAUUUCAUUUUGACCCCCUAAACUAUUUGCAGUUUCCCAUUUCAAUCCCUAAACUUCAAAAUGGGACACUUAAGUCCCCAAACUACUGAAUCCGUCCCAAUUAAUUAAAAAUAUUGAUAGAAUCCACAAAACCAUCAGGGUUUUUGCGUCAUGUAAAACAUGUGCUAUUGACCAAGGGCAAGGAUGGAAAUUCAAAUAAAAUAUAUUAAAAAAGAAAAGGGAAUUUAUUUUUAGCACAAAGGAGGGAAAGUUUCCCUCCUUUUAUCCAGCACAUUCGGGUCAUAUAAUCGACCCGAUCCAAUUCACAAAAGGGAAGCGAUGUUUCCUAAGAAAAUAGAGACCAAUUGGCUGAAUUUUCAAAUAAGAGGUAAAAACUAAGAAGAAAAGAGCAUAUGAAGAUAAGAAAGGAGACAAAGGAAAGAUCGCAUGUUAAAUUUAUCAUAAUUAAAUUUUUUGUAUGUUAGAAAGACACUCUGCUUACUUUGCUUUAAGAUGUGAAAGAAUCGCUAUCCUUACGAUGAAUUUGCUCCAACAAUAAAGGCAACCUUCUAUAGGAUAUAAUAAAACUGUUCUCUUGAUUUCUCAAAAUAAAGUGUAAAAAUCGUACAUCAAUUUUGAUUGAAUUCUCGUUAUAGAUGUUAAAAGAGGGUGUUUUAAGAGUUGUUACUGUGUUUUAUAUAGCGGAUAAUUAUAGUUACAACUACUGGAGUUGGAAUGGCCAAACAUUUGAGUCCAAACGGGCAUAGUGCCUAGAGAGCUAUCAGUAAAUCUUGACACAGUUCGGACUUCAAAACAUUUAGUUUGGCCCACGAACAUCCACUUUGACAGAUUUGCAUAGUUUUUGCAAACUACUCAAUGAUUCCCCACUAAUUUGCAAAACUUAUGUAUCUUAACCCAUGGAGUCUUCAAUAAUACAACUUUAACUGAUGAAUCUUAAGCAUAAUUAGAAGUAUCUCUUGAUUUAAACUUCCAACUGGUGUAGGUGAUUUAAAUUUUUAAUGGAGUUGUUAGAGUUCUUAAAUUGAACUAUAACUCUUAUAUGUCAAAGAUGAAAACACAACACAAUUAAUGAUUGUCUUCUUUUCUCAAGAGGUUAAUAUGAACUUUAAUUAGAGCUAUUUUAGCCACAUGCUAAUCCUAGUUUCACAAUCAUCUACAAAAGUAUACUCAAACUCUUGUUGAAAUGGCAUCACUUCAAUACUUAUACAGGUAAAUUUGUACUUGUAGAGUUCUAUGUUUAUGUCAUGCAAAAACAACAGCAAUCCCACUCAUGGGAGUGCUGUAAAGUAAAUAUUAUUGACUAGGAACGUAUGUUAAGCAAAUUUCUUUAUGAUUUACAAAGUCGAAGCUAUCGAACCAGUGAGACUGUUUCUACCCAAGUCCAAAUGAGACAGAUAUUCGAAAGAAAACAAUGACCUUGCAAUACUUCCAAUGAAUUUAUUGCUCUUCAAACCGAUGUAUGUUAUGUGUGCGCAAUUCAUCUAACAAUCAGGAAUUUCUCCUGAUAAAGAAUUCUUUUAAGAUCUAGAAUUGCAAGACCUGAUUUUCCAUUCUUCAUUUCACACAAAAAGUGAGAAAUACCUUCCGAAAACAAAUAGAUCGAAAGGUCUAAUUGUUUUAGAGAAUGAGAAAUUGAUUGUGCUAGUGGACCAUUGAAUCUGUUUGACUACAAUAUAUAUAUAAUCUUUCAACAAUUUCAGAGAUGUUUGAACUCUUACCAUGAAGUCGAUUAUGAGAAAGAGACACGACUUCUGCUGCUGAGUUGAAUAACCAACGAGGAUAGUAUUUGAAAUUCCUGUGGAAGAUAAAUUCAAAUACCGAAGGGUUUUUUGGUAUUGGAGCCAUAUAGGAAAUUGAAGACCGAGAUUCCAACAACCUAAUCCAAGUCUUUCAAAUGUGCUAAAAGAGAAGUUGGCAUUAAAUGGCAUGGUGGUUUUCAUCCUCCACUUUCUAAGCACUGUUACCGGUCAGAUUUUGUGGCCUUCAAUGCCAACAAUGUUUCUUAUCGUCCUAACACUACUAGCUUCGCUUAUCGAUAUUUCCAGUGAAGAAAUCGAGAAGUUGCCCCACUAAUGGGGAAGGUAUUUUUUUCAGCAAAAUUGAGCAUCUUAAAUUGUUGCCUUUCUUUAUUCUAUUGUUAUAUUUCAAGUGAAAGAUAUCAUGUCAAUUUAUGGAACAUGGAUGAAUUAAUAUGAAGUGGACAGAACUUGGACCAAGUUAAAAUCUCAUUUGAAAUUCCCGACAUUUGGUGUUGAACACCGAUCAUAUAUAUGCUCAAACCAAAGCAGGCCACUGCAAAUGGUGCAGCUAGUUUCGUUAGAAGCCUGAUUAGGCCCUGUCGGGGCGGUGGAACAUAUUAGACUAGCAGAUGUCAGUCUAUUGAUCAUUGGCAUGAAAAUGCCUUCUUGGAUGUCUUCAUGUACCAAUUUCGAACUUGUGUAGCACUAGUUUUACCUCUUCUAGUUGCCAAUUCUCUAUUCUUAACUAAAAGCUCAUUUCUCCAAUUUCUUAUUCAAACUUAAUUACAAUUGAAGGUGUCCACUUGUUGUGAGUGCAAUUAUCCCAAUCCAGAAUCCCCUAUCAAGAAGAGGUGGUCAAAUUUUUGGUCCAUUAAUUUGCCGUUGGACUUGAAAAUUUUUUCUUUUGAAUAUCAACGGUUUCAAUAGUUAUGUAACCAAAACUUUAGAAUAAUAGUUGUUGAGUUGCCUUCUAAAUUAUGUAACCCUAAUUUCGUUACCAUAAGUAUAGGCACUAUAGCAUUGUCCUUCUAACUAUAGCAUUGUCCUUCUAAAGUUUUGUCCUGUAUACAUGAAUGUUGUCAGUUAUUUGCUAGCUAGUAUGUAAUUAGCUUCCCAUUGUUUUGUAACAUCCACAUGUCACGUUUGCAAGAAGAUAGAGUCCAAUAUAUUUGACGUUUUGACAGUCAGCCAAUCAAAAUAAAAUACCUAUUUCACAAUAAUAAAAUUAGAGCUCAGUGGUGAACAUAUCGUACCAACAAGGAUUAGAAUGAUUUAUUUCUUUCAAAACAAUUAAUAGAAAGGGGGGAUUUUGGAGAUUAAACCAACUAAUUAUUUAAACACAAAAUAAACAUACAAAAACUAAGUAAAAUUAAAUUAAUAAUAAUGGAGCUCUAGCAAAAGUAUUAACUUCCGAAAUGCUUUUCUUGACUAUCUUGAUAGUCAAAGUACGACCAUUCACUACUUUCCUAAUUGAAAAGAUAAUCAUAGGUAUGAUCGAACAUAGGAUUUAAUCUUACAGUUGCAUUAGAAAUAAAAAAGCUCAAUUCUAAUCAACAAACACGCUAUGGAGGUUUAUUUAAUUUUCAUUAUAUGUCUCCCUAACACAAACUCAAUCAUGCCAUUUACCACAAAUAUUGACCAAUAGUUUGUUAAGCUCCUUUGUUUUCCUUCAAUCUUCUGUACAGCAUUAGGUACAUUAAAUUAAGAAUCUAGUAGGAAAGUAAAAAGAAAGAAAUAGUCAGACAUUCAUACUUGAAAUUCACAAGCACAAAGUUUCCAGUAGAGAAAGAUACUGAAACUGCUAAGAUAGGAUAGGAUAGGUCCUACGUCAAUUAAAAUGUCAGAUGUUCUUUCUUGGAGAACCUGCCAAAAGUAAUCAACAGGUGUGUGUAUGCCCUUCCUCAGAUUUGCGAGGCAAUAGAACAAAAGAAAAGCAAAACAAUAGAACAAAAAUAAAAUGUUCGAUAUAACCUUAUAUUGGGAAAAAUUGCAAAAGUAUUUGGUAAUCACAAAGCUAACAGUAAAUUGGACGAUGUUCACCUAGGUUUCAUCAGCAGCAGACACAAGGAAUCCUUUAGAUGCUUCCAAAUGUCUUCAAGUCUAAGUGCGUAAUUCUUUGAAAGAACAGAAAAUACAUAUGUAGACUUCACAAAUGGAGUUCAUAUGCUGAGCAUCUGCAAUGAAUUGAAUGCUCCACUAAGGGCUAAUCUAAACUCAAAGGACAAGCUGAAUGCAUUACUUUCAUCGAUCUGAGCAAUAAAAAUUAAACAUUAGACAUGUACAAACUUUUUGGGAGUGCUAGUUUAGCAGAUGGUCAAGAAAACAAAACACGUAUUGCUGGCUUUUUCAGACAGGAAAAAACUGCAGACGUCUCCAUAACCAGGACAUUUGAAAAACAGAAUUCUAGUGUCACCUGCGGGAGGGGGGUAGCGAUUCUAGAAGAGCAGAAGCUACAUGAUGACGCACUACCAGCUACCAGCAACUUUCUGAGGUGUAAGCAGAGGACUUGUUAAUGCUCAUCUGUUCUGUCUUUCCUGCUUUCUGCUUGUUGACAUUUUCCACUAGCUGGCAGCUAAUCUACUAACCCGAAGUUAAGAAGUUCUUCUCUUCGUCUUUAAUUAGCAACAAAGACAUAUGGGACCUGGAUACGUUUGAAGUAUUAUAAGAGCUAAUCAACAAGUACAGAACUGUUUCCAGGAUGAUUUCACUAUGGCUCCUUAAAUAACGGCACAGAAAUUAUAUGGAACUUUUCAACAUAUAUCAACCUAUAUAGUAAAAGCGCGAAUGGAUCUGUUAAGAAUGGUGGUUUUGUGCUGACGUGGCUGUGUUUUAUUGGUUGGAGGAUGGUUGUCACUCAUGCGUUUCUCACGUGCCAAAAUUUUGUUUUAGGGCUUCCCUUGUUUUCUUUCCCCUCAUUGAUCUCCAUCGCCCCCAACCAAGAAGGAAGUUGAGGAGCCGCAUAUGGCAAUGGCAGAGCUUGAAGCAACUCAUGCAACUCUCAUCUUGAAUCCCCGUUCCCAAAAGCCAAUGACAAAUCAGCAGCUUAUUCACCGCCAAGGGCUUCCAAAGAGGACGAUUCACCGCGAAGAAAACAAUCUCCCUAGCUGGAUCAGAGUCACUCAAUCUCUUCUUCUUUGCUCGCUCUGUUCUCUGAUUCUUGUCGAAGACGACUUAAGUCUUCCGUCUGUGCCUCUAUUUUGUAUAUGAUCUGUCUGAUUCGUAAGAUUCUCCUACCAAGUUUUUUUUUUAUCCGGUAAACAAACCCAAUCUUGGCGAAGCCGGAAACAAACUAAAAACAAAUGCUCACCAGAGCUCCUCUCCUCUCCCCUUCCAUUUUUCUUUUCAUUUCUUUGUUCCUUUCUUCCUUUUUGUUGUUUUUUAUUUGGUCCUUUUUUCUCUGUUUUUCCUUCCCGUUUCCCCCCUCCCCCCUUUUCCCUUUCUUCUCUUUCCUUUUUUCAAUUAUAUGAUUCUAACUGAUUUUUUUCCCUUGUUAGAAUUGGUCUGGAUAUGAAGCUACUAAACGCAUGAGACGCAGAAAUCAUCUUAAUUGGUAAGCUCCAAUAUUUCCCUAAAGUUUUACAGUUUCCUUUAUUUAAAAAAGAAAGACAUUUUCCCUGCUAAGAUUUGUUAAUCUUUCGAUUAGUAACAGGGGGAUGAUAAUGUUCUGGAUGGUUUAGCAAGUCAAAAAAGUUUGAUUUUUUUCAUACCCUUUUCUAAAUAAUCAAGAACAUUAUAAUUGUACUUUUUUGGAUUGAAAUAUCAUAUAUUUCAUAGCAUUUUGCCGAAGGAUUAAUAGGGAAUGCCUUUGGAAAUAUGCUUUCAACAAUCAAUCAUAUGCAUGUAGAAAAAUUACUCCACUUCUUUUGUUUGGUUUGAAAAAUGAAGUAGUGUAUUUUUUGGCUAAUACAGGAAGUUUUCUGAAGCAAGACUUAUCACUCGAGAUAUCACAAGUGAAUAGGUGAGAAAGUUGAAGUUUUGAUGUUAGAAAUCACAUCGGGAAUGGUGAUACAAUUGACCAUAAACCAUUUAUGAAAAUUUGUUUUUUUGCUUCCACUGGACUGGAAUGCACUUACUUUUAUACUUUUUUUCCUUCAUUCUCCCAAUUUUUUUGUCUCCUAUGUUUCGGAAUUUUUUGUCUAAAUGUUUUCUUUUAAGCAGAAAAAGUAGAAAUAGACUUUUGUGUGUGCAUAUAGGGAUUUAAAAAGUAAAUACACUUUUAGAGUUAAAUAAAAAAUGAAUGGUGUUUGUUAAAUUGGUUGGUGCAGAAUAUGAUGAAAUUGGGGGGGGGGGGGCAUUGCAAGAGUUAAUUCAGUUUGAAGGCAUUCUCCAGUUAUGAUUCUGAUACUUGUGUAUUUGCCAUACUGCCUAUCUUUACUGCCUUGAAAUUUAGCGGGGUUCUAUCUAUCUCUAUUGAUAGCAGUUACUGUUUCUCAACAGUUGAAAUGUCUUACAUUUAGCGGUUAGAGCAGCUGAUGUUCUAUGCUCAAAUUUUCCAGCUCUUGUUUAGUUGUUGCUUGGGAUUUUCAAAAAAACUUAAAUUGUCAAUUUUCUUGGUUUCUUUUUCAUGUCUCUGCCAUUGUCAAUUUGCAAUGGAAUUGAACUUAUUUCAUCUUUUGAUGACUUUAGUUUGAAGUUUUUAAUUAUAGUUUUGAAUAAGUUUCAACUAAUUGUGGGAAAGAAAGUUAAAGUGGCAAAAUUUGUUAGAUUGGUUGGUAGAUGAACACUUUGGCCACAAAUGUUGUUAUGAAAGGUGUAUGUUUACCAAAAACCUAUUACUUAGAAGAAAAAUAUCCCUAGAUCUCUUUUCCUUCUUUGACCAUAUAGUUUUGGAUUCAUGGGUUGUUCAAAUUUAGCACAAUGUCUUUGGCUAAAAACUUGGUGAUUAUUUUUGUGUAACAUUUUAUAGCUUUCUUUUUUUCUAUUUGUUUCCAUUUUGCAUAUGAACAAUUUAUUUUUGCUUCUAUUUAUUGUUGUUAACUUUUUGGGUUCAAUUUUAUAGGGGUAAUGCUUCGUUUAGUACCAAUCAGUCAAGCCCAAGCUUUGGCCUUUUAGCAUAGUUCAGCUUUAGACAUGUAAGCUGUUUACACUUUAUUUAGAAAAAUAUCUUAGUCAAAUAGAUGUGCUUGUAUACUAAUAAUUAGUAGAUGUCUCUGUUGAUUAUGUUUCUGUUGAUUAUGAGAAAAUGACUAAGUUUCUGUUAAUUAUGUUUUCUGCUAUUUAACUUGUGAACCUCUGUUAAUUAUCUUUUCUGCUAUUUAACUUGCGAACCAUUUCUCUGUGUCCUUAUUUGGCAUUAAAUUAGAUGGAUACCGGGCUCUUCAUGAUGGAAUUAGGUAUUAAAAUUAUCGGCAUAUAAUAAAGCAAAUAAUGGCCUUCUACUACUUUUAAGGUGCUGAUUCUAACCUUUUUUCUUUCACCUUUCGUUUUAAUAUAACCAUCUCUAUGAAUGGAAUUUUUUUUUGCAACAGUGUCUGUAUUGUGUAUAUAAUAAUGUAAUGGAAAAUUGUUCAUUUGUAGUUAUUGCAUGUUUUAUAUUGUAAUUGAAGAUUGUUCGUUUAUUCUUUGGCUACACUGGUGCAAUAUGCCCCGACCUAUGAAUUGUACAAAAUCCUUUGCUCCAUACUUUUGCCUCCAGGGAUAAUUAUAUGGAAAAAACUUGUCUGGCAUAUAGGUAAUUGCAUAGAUAGGCGCUAAUGUUGAUGUUCCUGUAAGUGAAAAAAGUUAGAUUAAAAUGGAAGUGACAAUGAUAAAAGAAAAAAAUCUAUGAUAUAUUUUUGGAGAAUAUGGUAAUUGUUACUAAUAUUUAACUGUAUGAAGUGGAUUUUUGCAGUACCACUCGAAUGCUUCUGCCAUUUGAUUAACAAAACUACGUGUUUAUUUAUGUGGGAAGCAGAAUCGGCCACCCUUGAAGCUUUAUCAAGAUCAGAGCCUUGAAGCAUAUGACCCUGGAUAUUAGAUUUUGCACUAACUGUAGCUAUUUGAUCUUUGCAUUACCUGCUGUCUAUGUAUAUCAGCUCUUCAUGCAUUAUAUCUCACAUGGCUUGUGUUAUCAUAAUAUUUUUGUUUGGUUUAAAAUCUUGUGUAACUGGAUGAGUUAUUUUGUGCCAAGAGUUUGACCAUCCCUUUUGCUACCGAUGUAUUGAGAGAUUAGAAUUAUGGCCUAUACUAAUAAUCCUCCUCCUUUUUUGGUCAAAUGCAAUUUAUCCCACUGAGGUUAAUGUGUAAGCACAGUUUCUUUUUAUUGGAUUUUGUUGAAGUUACAGGCUAAUGAAAACCUUUUUAGUUAUUGUACUACAAAGUAAUGUGUUUUUAGUCUUUGGGUUAUUUUGAAGUGUAUGAUUCUAAUAACAAGGAAAAGGCUUGAUGCAAUACUACACUGCAUUUCUUUUUUUCCUUUUUCUUAUAUUCCUUUUUGAGCUGGAGCAGCUUUGACAUGUAAUGAGAACCUCUAGAAUGCAGUCUACUGGUCGCAAGUUUCAUAAAUGUAGCCUUUUACAUUGUCUCAUGUACUUGUCUUUCCUUUUACGAGAUUCUAGCUGUUGACAUGCAUCAAAUGAUCAAGGGCUGAAUUGCAUUGAGGCCAGUGAAACUUCCUUUUUUUUUUUUUUUUUUGUGUUAAGUAGUUGACCAUCCCCUAUGCUAUUGAUGUAUUGAGAAGAUACACCUGCAUUAGUAAUCCUCCUCCGUUUUUAGUCAAAUGCAGUUUAUCUCACUAUGGUUGAUAUGUAAACACAAUUUCUUUUCCUUUUCGUAGAUUUCUUGAAGUUACAAGCUAAUGAAGCUAUUUUGGUUAUUGUACUACAAAAUAAUGGGUUUUUUUUUUUUGCGGUCUUUGGGUUAAUUUGAUGCAAUUGCGAAAAUAGUGGAUUGGUUGUAUCAGAGUCUAAAAAUAAGGCCAAGCCUUGCUGCAAUACUACGCUGCUCUCGUUUUUUUUUUUUUUUUUUAGCUGGAAAGUCACAGAUUUUGAUGUACAUAAAAAAUAUAAGGCAGUAUUACAUAGUGAUAUAUUAUUUUCAAACUAAUGACAUUGCCAUUGUUGUCCAAUUAGUCAGCAUAACAAAAAUGACUGUCAUUUAGCAACCAGACUGAAAUUGUGUCUCUCUUCAUUGUUUAAUAAAAUUACAAAAAAUAAUCACAAAGAUUUGUGUGCACCUUCAUGUAAUUCUUUAUAUUGAAUAUCCCAAUUUGAAUAAUUGAAUAUUUCUGGGCAAACUUGAAAAUUACACCGCGCAUCGCGCGGUGUUCCCCUCCUAGUAAGUAGAAUAAGCGCCGAAGAGCUCUUAUGACCUAGAUGGUUUUCGUCGUCCUCUCACGUGCGUUGUGUGUGGUUCCUGACGACGUCGUUUUGUGUUGUUCGACUUUCAACUUGAAUUUCUGAAUUUGUUGUUGUCUUUCGCUCGUUUCUUUUCGUCCGGCAGGGUUUAGCUUCGUUGUCUUCUUCCAUGACGUUCGCCACUGUUGUAUAUCAGAAAGGCUGUUUGCCCUUGGUUGCUCCCAUUUAACUAAUCAGCUAGCCUUCGUCCUCAUCUAAUAACGGCAAUAAAUAAUUUCUGUACUACUUUUGCUUUUACUCUUCAGCCUUUUUUUCAGCUUUUCAGCCGGAGCAUUAAUGGGUUCGAGCUUUCCCAGCCUUUCCCAGCCUUCGUCUACAUGUACUUGCUCUCUAUGGUUUUUCUUAAAUUUCCGCCGCUUGCCCCUCUCUUUCUUCCCCUUCUCCUUUGCCUCACCUUCAUCCUCAGAAGCUCCGCCGCCUCUACUUCGUUUCCUCCUCUCCAAAGCAUUCGAUCUCUCAUUUCUUCUUCAUUCUUUUGCAUUUUUUCCCAUUCUCCUGGUUUUGUGUUAAAACCUUCAUUGCAUUGAAUUUUUUUUCAUUUUUUUUGGGUUGCAGCUGGAAUGAUUUUUAAUUUCUGGACUCUUAUGCUCCAUCUAAGAUAGAGUUGGUAGCGCAGAAUCAUCUUUCCUCGCUGGCUCUGUUUUUGCAGGUAAGAAUGUGAGAACCCGUAAAUUUUUCUUAUUUAUUUUAUUUUCCGGCGUGCAUUUUUCUUACCUUAUUUUAUUAUAGCAAUUUUUCAGAGAUUUUUAUAAGUGAAUAUAGUUUUAAAUCAUUUUUCUAGUAUAAGUUAGUUCAUGAGAAAUUAGGAGUGUAUAUUGGACGUGGGACCCGCUAGUACGCUAAAUGCGAUAAAUUUCUGGCAAUUAAUUAAAGUUUGGUAUUGAUGGGUAUUAUUUUACAAGGUGUUAGGAGACAAUUAGAGAUUAGCUAGAUAGCUUAACUAUUGGAAGAUAAGAGGAUUAGAUCAAACCCUUAAAGUGCCACGUGUCGCUUUCCUAUUCAAAGUUGGACUUGCCUAACUUUCUUACCUUUACUAAAACAUCAAUUUUGAUCAAGCUUUCUCCAUUUUAUUUCCUCCCUUGGCUGAACCUUUGAGAGAAGAAAGGAAAGAAGACUUCAUCUUGUAACUUCAAAUUCUGGUCCCAAUCUUGAGUUUCAACUGAUUAAUUUUCAAAUUCCUCCAUAAAAGUGACUUGUUAAGGAAGCUUGAAGGUAUUAGUGAAGUUGUUUUAGAGGAGGAAACCCUAAGCUACUACCUUUCUUGAGGUGUCAAGUUAUUUUGCCUGGAAACUCACUCUUUGUUCCUUAUAAUGGUAAAUUAGUAACUUGUGGUGGCUAAAUAGGUUGUUUUAUGGAAGAUUUCAUGGAAUAAAGUGGAGUUAGAUAAAUUUCUGAUUUUUUUGUGGAUUUUUCUGUUUUCAUAUGAUGGGUAUGAUUGGUCUUGGAUUGAUAGUUCUAAAUUGUGUUAAAUAGAGCCUUUGUGCGUUAAUUGAGGUUAGUUGCGAAAAAUUUCAGUUUUGUGCAGAAAUUUCAGGUUUAGGGUUUCAAAUCUGCCCUAUUUUACACUGCAUGUUCGUCCUUGAAGGAGGCCGAAUCAGCCCUUGCCAAAAACAUGAAAGUUGUUGGUAAUUGAGUCAGCUAGCUACCUAUAAAAUUUGAGCUCAAUCGGAGCACUGUAACAUAUGAAAUAACCAAAAUACCCUUGACUGCCCAUAAGCCUUGUUUCACGGACAGUUUUUUGUCCUCACUAAAAUUUCGAUUUUUGAUCAUGAAAAUGCAUGAUUUGGUUUUGGAGGUCUUCAUAGGAAAUGUAGGUAUAUGUCUUGGUUUCGAAACGCCAUAAGAUUCGUUUCAAUCCGAUAUGUGUAGCUUCAGUUAUGGUUAUUGUGCCGAAAGGUGUGUUUUAUAGUCUAUGAUUUGUAUGUGGUUGAUUUGAGAUGAAUUGGUGUUGAAUGUAGGAUGAAAAAAUAAGAAAAUGUAGGGGACAUACUGUCCAAAUUUUGGGAAUGUGGGAUUUCUUCGAGUUUGGUUUGGUUUGGGAUAUAUAUAAGAAAGGCUUUUGGGGUUGUUCGAACCCUAGGUCUUCAUGUUACCGCCCUAGGUUUUCAUAUUAUCUUUUCGUUCCCAAAAUCAUGUUUUGCACCAUUUCAUUAGUAAUUAUUUGGCGAGGCAUACGACUAGUAGUCGAGUCUCAUUUAUGCAUUCCGUUUACUCGAUUUUGGAUGUGAAACAUUCAAUUAUUUUACUUUGGUUAUUUUAGGGUUUCUUGGCGAUUAAAGCCACUCUGGCGUGAAAACUUUUGAAAUAUCUGUACUUCAACCAGUGAGUGUACCACUCCCUUGAAUUAUUGCUAAAAUGGUUAUCUGUACUUACAAAUUACUAUUUGAACGUCUUUAUCGACUGUUUAUUUUGUACGAGACGAGUGUGUACCUUAUCAUACUCGUUCUCUAGCCUGUGUGGCUUGUUUCCUGUAUAUACUUGAAUCUGUUACCUGCGCCUAUUAUAAUGUCGUUUGGAAGUGUAUCCAACGACCUUCCUGUUACAUCAAAACUCAAUCUCAUGGGGAGUUAAUUGAAUCGAGCCAGAAGGGCUUCGUCAAGAAAAUUGACAAUCCAUGGGUGCCUGUUCCUAGGGAAUCUAUGGGUAUUGGAGACUCUGUAUUUUCGGUAUACUCGAGUAUAUUACCAUUCCUGUUUCUGUUUGGCGUUUGGGCCCGGUAAGGAGUAUGUUUGGUGAACGGGAUUUUGGUAUUAAAGUGAUAUUCUACUGGAUUGGUUCCUUUAUUUGAACGUUGACGGAGGGUCAACAAGGCUGGAUCAUGUAUUGCAACGGGGAUUUGGCUUUUGAGAACCACCUGUAUCCUUUACAUUGUGGUGUUCAUUCAUUUCUCGUAUUUGAUGUGAAUAUGUGCCUUAAAAGUGAUUUUUCAUGAGUUCUACUAUUUCUACUGUUUAUACUUUUGGUACCUCAUUGAGCUUUUAGCUCACCCCGUUCCGUUAUCCUUGUUUUCCUUACAAGGAACCAUCUUUUGGAACUUCGAUGUUUUGAAGAAUCAGUGGAACUAGUUAGAAAUUCUUUUGUUCUUUUGGUAUAGCUCCUCGACAAUUUGAAAACCCUAAAUGUAUCUUAAUACAAUGUUCCUUUUGGUUUGUAACCUUACUAAUAUGCAUAUAUUAAAGUGUUUCCUUGGAUAUGUGGCAUAUGUAUUUGGGAAUGUACAUUCUCUCAUGUUAAACAAAGUUUACUUGAACCGGGUUGGAUUAUGACGUGACAGCGGCACUUCCAUUACGUUUUCAUUUUUCGUGGGAACGUUGUACCAAAGAUUUAUUGUAUCUUUUAGUUCGACUCAAUUGGGAUGUGAAUGUCUAUCUUCUCGAAGUUCUUUUGAGCGUUGGGUAAGGUUUACGUUUGUUUCGGAUCCGUAGUUCCGGCGAGAGUUGAGCUGGCGGUCCGCCAAACCCUUUGGUUCACCUUAGGGUGAGGUGGGGCUGUCACAGGUGGUAUCAGAGCCGCUUCACGUGGUCUCUGCGUGGAGUGAGUUUGGGCCAAAUGGUGUUAUGAUCCUGCUUUCAUGAAUGUGUCUAAGUGCUCGUAUGAGCAUAAGUUAUGAAGCGAGCAUGUUAUAUGUGUAAAAAUCUUUAUCAUGGAACUUGAGGAAGAUAGAUACGUAUGUCGGGUAUGAAUCUAUAAUAUGGAUGAUUUACUCUUAGGACCGGCCGGCUCAAGUUGUGAAUUAUUUUAUUGUGGAUUCUUGUAUUUGAGUAUCAAGUAGUGGAGAACGCGAGAAUAAGGGUCUGUAUCUUGAUUGAACUUGAGGUAUGUCUGGAUUUCAAAGUCUAAGGUACGGAAGAUUUUACAUUGGACCUAGUAAUUAGAUUGGUUGAGGGGGUUUGAUAUGAAAGUGUUAUCAUGGACUACUCUUGUACUAGUCUGGCUCGGGUUUUCUAGAGGGUGGCUAGAUUGUAAGGGAAUUCGCACCUAAGACUUGUUCCCUUUUGCUAUGACCGUAAGGACUUGAUAAUUGUUUACGUGACUUUGAGUUAGUCUAGUUACAACCACAGAGGUUUUUUCUACCCCUAUUGUGAGAUUCGAUACCCGUAGUUUGGCUCUCGAUAAACUACCCUUGCCUAUACUUUCUUGAUAUUUAUCCCUUGAUGUCAAAGUAUGGACCUGACUUGAUUAUUAUUGUGUCGAGGUCGAGAGUUUGAAAUUAGGUAUGGAAAUAUGAGAGAAAGGAUUUAGCCUCUAUACCUGUAUGCUUCUAAGUUUAAUUUUUUGUGGUUAGAUUGGGAGUGAGGGAACUUAACAGUUAUAUGGUUACAGUCCCAAGUGUACUUGGUUACUUAUUUUGAUUUUCUAAUUUGCUUGGCAGGCUAUCCCUUGAGUUCGAGCGAAUCGGUAAAAUGGCACAUUUGGCUGAUAUGUAUAAGGAGAUAGAGAUUCUUCGAAAGGAAGUAGAGUUCCAAAAGAGAUUAGCUGAGCACUGGGAAGGGCAAUGGAAACAGGGGCUCCGUUUGGAUUGGCUGUUUUUUGGAUUGUUUUUCAAAAACACCACUGUAGCAUUUCGAAUUUGAAAAACAAGUCCGUUUGGAUUAGUUGUUUUUUGGGUUGUUUUUCAAAAACUAUAUGAAAAACUUUCAUUGUAGAUUUUUUUGGAUUUUUUUUAGAGGUAUUUUUGAAACAUAUUUUUGAGUAUAAAUAUACAUUUAUGCAUUUAUGAUACAUUUAUAUUUACAAAUGUAUAAAUGUAUAUUAUUAUAAAUGUAUAAAUUAUAAAUGAAUAUUAUAUAAAUGUAUAAAUUAUAAAUUAUAAUUUUUAUAUUUUUAUAUAAAUAUACAUUUAUGCAUUUAUAAUACAUUUAUAGAUAUUUAUAAAUAAAUAUAUUUAUAUAUUCAUAUAAAAAUAUAUAAAUGUAUUAUAUUAUAUAUAAUACAUAAUAUAAAUAUAUUUAUAAAUGUAUAAGUGUAUAUUAUUAUAAAUGUAUAAAUUAUAAAUGAAUAUUAUAAAUAUAUUAUAAAUUAUAAAUGAAUAUUAUAAAUAUAUUAUAAAUUACAAGUGUAUAUUAAUAUAAAUGUAUAAAUUAUAAAUGUAUAAAUUAAUAUAUUAUAAAUAUAUAUUAAUAUUAUGUAGAAAUGUAUUUAUAUAAAUAAUAUAAAUGUAUAUAUGUAUUAAUAUUAUAUAUAAAUGUAAAAUUAAUAUUAUGUAUAUUAAUAUAAAUGUAUAAAUGUAUUAUAUUAUAUAUAAUAAAUAAUAUAAAUGUAUAUUUAAAUGUAUAAGUGUAUAUUAUUAAAAAUUUAUAAAUUAUAAAUGAAUAUUAUAUAAAUGUAUAAAUUAAUAUAUUAUAAAUAUGUAUUAAUAUUAUGUAGAAAUGUAUUAACAUAAUUUAUAUAAAUGUAUACAUGUAUUAAUAUUAUGUAUAAAUGUAAAAUUAAUAUUAUGUAUAGUAAUAUAAAUGUAUAAAUGUAUUAUAUUAUAUAUAAUACAUAAUAUAAAUGUAUAUUAUAAAUAUACAUAAAUAUUUUUAUAUUAUGUAUAAAUGUACAUUUAUAUAAAUGCAUUAAUAUAAUAUAUAUUAUAUUAUAUAUAAUUUAUAUAACAUAUAAUAUUUAUGUAAAUAUAUUAUAAAUAUAUAAAAAUAUAUUUUAAAUAAAAUAAAAUAUUUAUAAUAUGUAUGUAUAAAUAUAUAAUAUUAGAAAUGUAUAAUAUAUAUGAUAUACAUUAAUAUUAAUAUAAUUUAUAUAUAAUAUACAUAAUUGAAAUAUACAUAUUAAUAUAUAUUAUAAAACAAAAUUGCAUAAAUAUAUUUAUAAAUUUAUAUAUAAAUAAAUGUAUUUAUAUAAAUAUAUAAUAUUUAUUUCAAUUGAUAUAAUAUAUAUAAUAUUAUACAUAAUUAAAAUAAAUAUAUUUAUAUUAAUAUAAUAUAUAUAUAAUAUACAUAAUUGAAAUAUAAAUAUUAAAAUACAUAAUUGAAAUAUACAUAUUAAAAUAUAUAAUUAAAAUAUACAUAUUAAAAUAUACAAAUUGAAAUAUGCUUAUUAAAAUAUACAAUUUAAAUAUACAUAAUUGAAAUAUAUUUGGAGUUAUUUUUGAUAUAUUGUUUGGAUAUGGUGUUUUUGAAAUUGUUUUUGAAAUACACAUUUACUGUAGCAUUUGGAAUGUGAAAAACAGUUUUUCAAAAACAAGUGCAAAAAUACUCAAUCCAAACGGACGCUAGGAGUAUUCGGAAAAAAUUGAGUUACUGUACAAGAACAUAGAGCUGAAAAAGAAAUACGAAGGAAUUCUGGAAGAGAUACGAAGUAAGUUUGGGCUAGUGCCUUCAUCUAGUCAAAUGGCCUCUCAGGACAUUCCUAAUAAUAAAGAUGAAGGAGAUAAAGGAAGUGCUCACAAUAACAAAGGGAAACGCAAAGAGAUGGAUGGAAAAGGAGUUGCUAUGAAGGAUAAGGGGAGGAAGAGGAAAAAGAAUGGACACUUUAAGAAGAAAUGUGUGGCUGCUAAGUGUGAAACGUAUAACAAAAGUCAUACAUGAAUAUGUUAUGUGAAAAUUGGUGCAUGCUUUAGAUGCGGCCAACUGGGACACCAAAUGAGGAACUACCCAGAACAAAUGAAUUUUGGGAUGGCGAAUCUGCUGUAAUAGUUAAAAUCGGCAAGUAGUGAUGUGUUAGCUGAAAUAAUUGUAUUUAUGGACCUAUGUAUAUGCAACCUCUAUAUAGUGAGUAUGUUUUGGAUAAAAGUAGUAGAUCUAGUACUUGAUAUUUUGAUGACUAAUAUUAAAUAUUGGUGAUUUGACAGUAUUGAAUCCUGAUUCAUAAAUCUUUUAUUAUCUUUUAGUCUCGAUGUUAAGUGAAAUUUGCGUCUGUGGUUCGGAAGGGGGAAACUUUUGAUGUCUUCACUGAUUUUCUUAGCAUGGCGUUUUAGUCAUAGUAUUAUUGCGAUUUCUCUCUAGAUAGAUUGUGAUACGAGAAGAAUUUCGAGGACGAAAUUCUUUUAAGGGGGAGAGGGUGUGAGGACCCGUAAAUUUUUCUUAUUUAUUUUAUUUUCCGGCGUGCAUUUUUCUUACUUUAUUUUAUUAUCAUAAUUUUCCAGAGAUUUUUAUAAGUGAGUAUAGUUUUUAAAUCAUUUUUCUAGUAUAAGUUAAUUCAUGAGAAAUUAGGAGUGUAUAUUGGACGUGGGACUCGCUAGUGCGCUAAGUGCGAUAAAUUUUUGACAAUUAAUUGAAGUUUGGUAUUGAUGUGUAUUAUUUUACAAGGUAUUAGGAGACAAUUAGAGAUUAACUAGAUAGUUUAACCAUUGGAAGAUAAGAGAAUUAGAUCAAACCCUUAAAGUGCCAUGUGUCACGUUCCUAUUCAAAGUUGGACUUGCCUAACUUUCUUACUUUUACUAAAACAUCAAUUUUGAUCAAGCUUUCUCCAUUUUAUUUCCUCCCUUGGCCGAACCUUUGAGAGAAGAAAGGAAAGAAGACUUUAUCUUGUAACUUCAAAUUCUUGUCCCAAUAUUGAGCUUCAACCGAUUAAUUUGUAAAUUCCUCCAUAAAAGUGACUUGCUAAGGAAGUUUGAAGGUAUUGGCAAGUUGUUUUGGAGGAGGAAACCCUAAGCUACUACCUUUCUUGAGGUGUCAAGGUAUUUUGCUUGAAAACUCACUCUUUGUUCCUAAUAAUGGUAAAUUAGUGACUUGUGGUGGCUAAAUAGGUUGUUUUAUGGAAGAUUUUAUGGAUUAAAGUGAAGUUAGAUAAAUUUCUGAUUUUUUUGGAGAUUUUAUGUUUUCAUAUGAUGGGUAUGAUUGGCCUUGUAUUGAUAGCUCUAAAUUGUGUUAAAUGGAACUUUUGUGCGUUAAUUGCGGUUAGUUGCGGAAAAUUUCAAUUUUGUGUGGAAAUUUCAGGUUUAAGGUUUCAAAUCUGCCCUGUUUUUCACUGCAUGUUUAUCCUUGAAGGAGGCCGAAUCAGCCCUUGCCAAAAACAUAAAAGUUGUUGGUAAUUGAGUCAGCUAGCUACCUAUAAAAUUUGAGCUCAAUCGGAGCAUUGUAGCAUAUGAAAUAACAAAAAUACCCUUGACUGCCCAUAAGUCUUGUUUCAUAGACAGUUUUCUAUCCUCACUAAAAUUUCGAUUUUUGGCCAUGAAAAUGCAUGAUUUGGUUUUGGAGGUCUUCAUAAGAAAUGUAGGUAUAUGUCUUGGUUUCGAAACGCCAUAAGAUUCGUUUCAAUCCGAUAUGUGUAACUUCAGUUAUGGUUAUUGUGCCGAAAAGUGUGUUUUAUAGUCUAUGAUUUGUAUAUGGUUCAUUUGAGAUGAAUUGGUGUUGAUUGUAAGAUGGAAAAGUAAGGAAAUGUAGGGGACAUGCUGUCCAAAUUUUGGGAAUGUGGGAUUUCUUCGAGUUUGGUUUGGUUUGGGAUAUAUAUAAGAAAGGCUUUUGGGGUUGUUCGAGCCCUAGGUCUUCAUGUUACCGCCCUAGAUCUUCAUGUUACCUUUUCGUUUCCAAAAUCAUGUUUUGCACCCUUUCAUUAGUAAUUAUUUGGCGAGGCAUACGACUAGUAGUCGAAUCUUACUUAGACAUUCCGUUUACUCGAUUUUGGAUGUGGAACCUUUAAUUGUUUUACUUUGGUUAUUUUAGAGUUUCUUGGCGAUUAAAACCACUCUGGCGUGAAAACUUUUGAAGUAUAUGUACUUGAAUCAGUGAGUGUACCACUCCCUUGAAUUAUUGCUAAAAUGGUUAUCUGUACUUGCAAAUUGCUAUUUAAACGUCUUUAUCGACUGUUUAUUUUGUACGAGAUGAGUGUGUACUUUAUCACACUCGUUCUCUGGCCUGUGUGGCUUGUUUCCUGUAUAUACUGGAAUAUGUUACCUGCGCCUGUUAUAAUGUAGUUUGGAAGUGUAUCCAACGACCUUCCUAUUACAUCUGAGUUCAAUCUCAUGGGGAGUUAAUUGAAUCGAGCCAGAAGGGCUUGGUCGAGAAAAUUGACAAUCCAUGUGUACCUGUUCCUAGGAAAUCUAUGGGUAUUGGAGAUUCUAAAUUUUCGGUAUACUCGAGUAUUACCAUUCCUGUUCCUGUUUGGCGUACUGGCGCAGUAAGAGGUAUGUUUGGUGAUCGAGAUUUUGGCAUUAAAGUGGUGUUCUAUUGGACUGGUUCCUUUAUUUGAACGUUGACGGAGGGUCAACGAGGUUGGAUCAAGUAUUGCAACGGAGAUUUGGCUCCUGAGAACUACCUGUAUCCUUUACAUUGUGGUGUUCAUUCAUUUCUCAUAUUUGAUGUGAAUAUGUGCCUUAAAAGUGAUUUCUCAUGAGUUCUACUAUUUCUACUGUUUAUACUUUUGAUACCUCAUUGAGUUUUUAGCUCACCCCGUCCCGUUAUUCUUGUUUUCCUUACAGGGAACCAUCUUUUGGAACUUCGAUAUUUUGAAAAAUGAGUGGAGCUAGUUAGAAAUUCUUUUGUUCUUUUGGUAUAACUCCUCGACAAUUUGAAAACCCUAAAUGUAUCUUAAUACAAUGUUUCUUUUGGUUUGUAACCUUACUAAUAUGUAUAUAUUAAAGUGUUUCCUUGGUUAUGUGGCAUAUGUAUUUGGGAAUGUACAUUUUCUCAUGUUAAACAAAGUUUACUUGAACCGGGUUGGAUUAUGACGUGACAGCGGCACUUCCAUUACGUUUUCAUUUUUUGUGAGAACGUUGUACCAAAGAUUUAUUGUAUCUUUUAGUUCGACUCAAUUGGGAUUUGAAUAUCUAUCUUCUCGAAGUUCUUUUGAGCGUUGGGUAAGGUUUACGUUUGGUUCGGAUCCGUAGUUCCGGCAAGAGUUGGGCAGGCGAUCCGCCGAACCCUUUAGUUCGACUUAGAGUGAGGUGGGACUGUCACAGAGAAUCACGGCCAUUAGAUUCGCAUUCUUGAACUCCGACAACUGGUUGCUGAACCCACUAUGAGGUGCGUACCAGAGGAACUUUUCUCCCCUAAAUUCUUCUGAACUUGUGCAUUGUGGAGGAACUGGGACUUGUUCGGAAUUACCUGAAAUUGAAAGCACGGAUGGGGGAAGAAGGCGCUUGUACGUAAUGAAAAGAAGAAGAGAGCAACAAAGAAGGACAAAAAGUGCGAAGGAUUUUGAUUUGGGAUGCUGAUUUUGAUUCUCUCUUUUUGCUUCUGAUGGGAUUCAGCGGUUCCAUAUUUCGUCUUAGGAAGAAUCAAAAGGUUUUGGAUUGGUCGUUAGUUAGCUGUUCAUAAAUUCACAUAAGUCGCAAUGAAGUAGUACGACAUUGGAUCAAGAAAAUUGGAUCAGAAAAGAACUGUCAAGUUCUAAAAUUAUACUAUAAUUUUGGUUCCAUUGUCCUUUUUAAGGUACUACCUUCUUUGUUCUGAUGUUUUUUCCCAUUUUUUCUAUUUCCCUUGUUCGAGCUUUGUGGAUUAGCCCAUAUUUUAAAAGCGACAAGUCAAGAUUGAAUCCAUGUUGCGAGCUGCUGAGUUGCGGCACAUUAAAUUGAACACGGUUGCAUAUAAUUCUGCGAUUGGAAGUUACAUGAAUUUUGGGGACUUUGAAAAAGCAAUAAUGGUGUAUGGGUCGAUGAGGAAACACAAUGUUAAACCCGAUUCUGUCACUUACAAUGUGUUGAUAAGUGGUUGCUGUAAGAUGUCAAAGUUCUCUAAUGCACUUGAAUUUCUCAAUGAAAUGUUGGACCUCAAAGUUCCAUUAUCACAAGAGGUGUAUUCAUCUGCUAUAUGUGCCUAUAGUAAACAGGCAAGGACUAUCGAUUUGUGACUACUGUCCCUGUAAUUAGAUUCUUCCAUACUUAAAUCUCUCUCUCUCUCUCAGGGUCAACUUGCUGGAGCAGAAUCAAUGUUUUCCAUGAUGAAGAUGGCUGGUUUUCAUCCUGAUGUUGUCACAUAUACUGCUAUGCUACAUGCAUAUAGUGUUGCUGGUAAAAUCCUAUGUCGGACUAUUUCAUAUAUGCUGGCUUAAAAUUACUGAUAUUAAGAAGCUCAAACUGAAUGUCUUGUGGAAAUUCCGUAUGCAGAUGACUGGGAGAAAGCUUUUGCAAUAUUUCAAGAAAUGGAAUUGCCUGGUGUCCAGCAAUUCAAGGAGUGGUUUUGUAAAUGAAGCAAAGCUCCUCCCGGAACUGAGCCCAAUAAAAUUCUUUCCUUUGUUGGAAUGCAUAUGGAUGUUGUUACUGCCAACCCUUCUGACUGGGUAACAGAUUUUGAACUUUUAGCAUUUUUGAGUAAUUUAUUUGUAAUCUGAUUAUACAUUUUGGCAUUUUUAUUACAUUCUGAUGAUUGGUUUUGUCUUGUGUUUGACUGGAACUGAUCGUAAAUUUGUUUUGUGUUGUGAGUUUGCCAGAAUGAGGACAAAAGAAAAUGGUAUAUGUUAAUUGGGUUUUCUUACUUUAAGUUUGCAACUCUCUCUCUAUUCUGAAAAAAAGAUUGUUUUAAUUGAUGAUGAAAGGGGUUUCUUUGAUUGGAAGUUUAAAUUUGAUAGUGCAAGGUUUAAAGUUGGAGACUUUUUGUGUUUUUAUACACUGGCAAUAUUUUUCUGAAUCGUUUCAUUGUUAUUAUGGUUAGAUCUCGCUGUUGCAUGUACAAUGCUACAAACAUAUCCAUUUUCCCCAGGAAUUUGAACCUCGUAUGGAAAUUGUAGUUAUGCAAUGACAAGCCGUGGAACUUAGUUAAUUUUUCGUAGAUAUUGAAUGCAUGCAAGUUUUAUUUUACGGUAGCUGCUGAUUUGUAGUCUAAGGAUGUUCACUAUAAGAAAAUUAAAUCUUGAGUGCUAAAUUGGUACCUUAAUGAAAAUUUUUGGCUCUCUAUAUUGUUUUAUGAGGCCCGUGCUAUGAUUUGGGGGAAUGAGUUCAUUAGCCUUACUAACUAAUGGGUAUCUCAUUCUGUUGUUGCAAAUAUUGUAUUCCAUCGAAACAAAAUUACGUCAGCUCGUAACUUAUAUUUAAAGCUAUUUAAAGCUAUUUAACCAGCUAUUUCUUAAUUCGAGGGCAUGAUUAUGGAAUUUAGCUAGAACCUGUCAUUGUAAUUAUCUUUUUCCAAGGUUUCAAGGAAGUAAAUAGAGGGGUUGGAAACAAACUAAGUUUGAGUUCUGCUCUUUGACCUGGGUAUAAAUUUUUGUCUCCUCAGUAUUCGAGUGUUUUGUAUUUAGAGUCUAAGACAAUAUCUAUGCCUCAGAAUUUUGAUCCUUUUUCGCUGAGCAUUGAUGGGGAUAAACUACGGGGACGCGGAACUACUGAUUGCCUUGGGCAUGUCGCUCUUGUAGCUGAACUUAUGACGAAACUGGGAGAGACAAAGCCACAGCUGAAGUCCUCUGUUGUUGCUGUUUUUAUAGCCAGUGAAGAGAAUUCAUCUAUUCCUGGGGUUGGUGUGGAUGCAUUGGUUAAGGAUGGAUUGCUCGAUAAGUUGAAACAGGGGCCUUUGUAAGGACAUAAAAGUAGUAUUUAAGUAUGAGAAUCUUUUAUUGGUUAAUUGGUUAUGUUGAAAUUGUUUGGCAUUUGGUUAAUGGUUUAUGUGUUUGAAAACAGAUUUUGGAUAGAUACAGCGGAUAAACAGCCUUGCAUUGGGACAGGUGGCAUGAUACCAUGGAAACUCCAUGUUACCGGAAAGCUUUUCCACAGUGGUUUGCCCCAUAAGCUGCUUUUUGGCUUUCUGUUGUCUCAUAUCAGCUGCACUAAUUCUUUGUGUAAAACUCACAUAUGCAGGAAAGAGAUACUGUCACUUUCUUAGUUGUGUCACCAUGCAGGCAGUUCAUAUUAUGACAAAGAUCAAGUAAUUAAAGUAACCAUUUUUCUGGAAUGAUGAAACUAAACUAAAAGAGAGGCAUCAAAAAAAAAUUUUAACUUUGCAAGCACAAAAAAUACAUUUAAUAUUAUUUCCUCUUGAAUUAAAUUAUUUAUGCAGAAACAACUGCAUUUGAAGUAUUCUUAGUUCACGGAUAAAUCCUUGUUAGUGAUCACAGUGCACCAAAAAUAAAUGGGAUAGGGUUGGCUGUAGAUGAAUUAAUGUUACGAUAAUUUAGCUGGACAAUAACUUGGAGGGAUUGAAGAGGAAUACUGCUGCAAGUUCAUGCACAUUAAGAAUGCUCCAUUACUGGGAGGAACCUGUGAAUGUGUUCCAUUUAGUAGUUUUCUUUUUCUGUAGGCUAUUAAUCCCUUGGAGCUAGCAAUGGAAGCACUCAAAGAGAUCCAAUUACGGUUCUAUAAAGAUUUCCCUCCUCAUCCUAAGGAACAAGUUUAUGGAUUUGCAACACCAUCAACAAUGAAACCAACUCAAUGGUCUUGUAAGUCUUGAUCACAUUGUGGAAGAACUCGGACAAGUGUGAUAUUUGACUUGCCAUAAGCGGCCAAUCCAAUUCCAUUUUUCUGAAUAACCAUUUUAUAUUGCAGAUCCAGGAGGUGGAAUUAACCAAAUUCCAGCUGAAUGUACAGUUUCAGGGGAUGUUAGGUACAUAUUUCUUUAUAUAUUCUUGUUUAGGAUCUUGAACUUUUAAACCCUUCUAACAAUGCCUCUUUACUUUUGCAGGUUGACUCCAUUUUACAGGUGGAAAAUUUUUCCUUUUUUCUCCUUAGUAAAUUGUGGAUGAUUUAAUUUAUCAGAUUAUGAUAUUUCACAAUUAAUUCCUUUGCCCUCUUCAUUUUUAUGCUUUAGGCUUAAACUAAUUAUCUUCCUGUACUUAAGUCUGCUGUAGCUUUACCAGUUGAGUUUAGAAGGAUAUUCAGGUAAAAAUUCAAAAGUUUGACAGUAUAUAUUAUUCACUCCUCAACAGUGUAUCAGAUGUGCUGAAGAAGUUACAGGAGUAUGUAGAAGACAUAAAUGAAAAUAUUGAGAAGCUUGAUACUAGGGGCCCUGUUUCAAAAUAUGUGCUACCAGAUGAAAACCUAAGGGGAAGGUAUGCCUUUGUCGACUGCUUUGUUUAGUAGGAGCAUGCUGAGUGGUUGUUGCUUUCACUUUAAAUUUGGUAGGAAUGAAAAAGGGGAUUGUAGUUUAUCAAAUUGAAAAUCAUUUAUCCACUAAUUCAAGAAAAUUUUAAUAUACAGAGAAGAAGUAUGCAUAAGGUAAUUACACAUCCUAAGAUUAUAAACACUGCAAGAAACCAUUAUUAGGCCCAACAGUCAACAAUGUAAUGCGAAAGUUUUUUGUAAACUGACAGAAAAGUUAAAACUGUCCCUGGAUACAAUCUAUGAAUAUGGGAUAAAUUCUACAUUUUAGAUCUUGAACUAAGACUUCUCUGUUGCAAAUGGUUUUUCAACUCAAAGCCACAUGCUUCAUCUGGGACUAGGAGGGAUCACAGAACCAAAGCUCCCUUGUUUUCUACAGUUUCUAAUUCAUAUCUUUCCACUUUCCCAGAAGUUUAAUUGAGUAUGCUCUUUCAAAGUUCAAAUAAACAGAAAAGAAAGUCCCACAUCUUUCUUGCAAACUGGAAAGCAUUUCAUCGAAGGAUAUUUAGGUUUGGGCUUCCUGUCAUAGACAUGCUUCAUCACGUUGGGGGUUUUCUUUUAUCUUUUUCCUUGGGAGUUGGAAUGGGCAGCACUGAUGGCAAACAACAUAAGGGAAAAAAAUGCCCAUGUCAUGAGAACUUUUGUUUCCACAUAGGGGAUGGAACAGCUUUCCACUAAUAAAGACAUUCCUUGAUCAAGUAUUUAUGUUGUGAAUUGCAUUGCACCCUGAGAUUAUAAUUUCAAACAUGGAAGUAGGGUGAUGGUCUUAUGGAAUCAGUUUUCUUUGCAUAUCAGUACAGUACUCAUUGUGUAACAUUCAGUUUUACAAUUUAUUUACCCUCAGAAUCACACUAAGUUUCAACGAGGCAAAUUCUGGAGUUGCUUGCAAUCUUGAAUCCCCUGGUUUCCAUGUCCUAUGUAAAGCGACUGAACAGGCAGUGGGGCAUGUAAAGCCCUAUUCUAUUACUGGUAGUUUGCCACUUAUUAGAGAAUUGCAGGUACAAUGAAUUUGCUUGUCAUAAGACUCAAAUCUUUUGGCAUCCUUCUAACUUUGUUAUUUGGCAGGAUGAGGGCUUUGAUGUCCAAACUGCAGGCUAUGGUAAGAUUCUUCCAUAUCCUACCACUUUUUUAUUUAAAUAAUAUAAGCUUAUAGCUGUAUGCUUCUGGUAGUAUUUUGUGAAAAAGAUGUUUUAGUCUGCACUAGGAUUUUUCCUAGAGCUUGGUUGCUUGAAUCCUUUCUUGAGCAUGUUACUUGCCAGUUAUACCAUUCCUCUUAUCUUAGAAGGAACUCGAUGAAAGCAUGUUAAGAUUCUGUCUUCUUGAUAAUUAUUUCUUCUAUAUGGCUAACACCUAACCUGGUUGACAUCUUCUACACCCAUUCUGAUGCAAAAGAUAUAUAUGCUGCUGUCAAUUUUGGCUACACCAAAACAGAUGGAUUAAUGGAUUUUGCUCUUUUCAUAAACAUGCAGGCUUGAUGGCUACAUACCAUGCCAAGAAUGAGUACUGCCUUCUAACUGACAUGUGCCAGGGCUAUCAUGUGCCUUGUGCCCAUGUCAUGCUAAUAAUAACGAAUAAAAUUCAUGACUUUUCAUUAUUGAUGUGAAUGUCAGAUGAUGGAAUAGUGGUAAAGGUGAGGUUAUUUUCUUUUAAUGCGUAGGAAGUUCCACGAAUGGUUGGUGGCUUGUUAAGACUAUAUUUUCUUGCAUGUGGGAUAUUCUUUUGUAUAUUUUCUAGCAUGUAGGAUAUUCUUUUGUGACUUGUGAGAAAGUCGUGGUAAUUGUUAUGUUUCAUAUGAAUAGUUUCCAUAUUUUAGUUAUUCCUAUCUGACACAUAUGGCUCACUCAUUGCCAAGUCUUGGAAAUUUUUUGCACGGGAGCACCAUUGAUGGUAAUAAAUGGAAAAAAAAAUGACAAUAAUAGGUGCAGAAAUGGUAUAAUGGUAAGGUUUCUUACACAAAUUGAAAAAACAAUGAAAGAAAAGGAUAGGGAUGAAAGAAUAUAAAGGACUUUAUGAACUUUGUGUUUCUAUAGCCAUUUGAUAUUCACACACAGAUUAUUGCUUCAUUUUGAAACAGGUUGCAAAGGAGGGAAUUCCACUGCCUCCAGAUAGAAUGUUAUGCCCUUUGUGUUCACAAAAGCAUGUAAAUCCAUCAGCUGUAGCUGUUUCAGGAUUUGUCUUUUGUUAUUCUUGCAUAUUUAAAUAAGUCUCUUAGGUUUGUUUCUCCAUACUUUUGUAUUGAUCAUGGUAAAAUUGCAGAACUACUGCCAAAUAUUGUUUCUAAGUGAUGCUUUCUCUUAUGUCGCAUUUCAGGAAGCUUUAUCAUUUUUCUGUAUAGUGUACGCUAAACUUAAACAGUAAAUUGUACACUGUAGCCAGAAAUUCAAUUUUGCAACUAAUUCUUUUGUUUAAUCAUACUAGCAGUUGCUUGUUACCCGAGUUCAGUUACAUGAGAUUUGCCAUUUUCAGUUACAAUUCGAUAUUGUUUUGAGUUGUUGAUGGGCUGGGAUGCUAGGCUAUCUAGAUCCAUGUCUGUCUUUGUUGUUGUAAACUACUGCAGUAUCUCUGAUGAAAAAUUAUCUGAGUGUUCUCUCUUUUGGUAAAAAUUUCUGUAGUAGGAUAUUUUGUCGUAUAUCAUUUACUUUUAAGUUCCAAUUCUUUUAUGAACAGGACUGUUAGGUCCUUUUCCUUUUCUUCCUUUUUUGGUCGAAUUAAUGAAUGGAAGAUUGUAAUCGCAUGAAUAUUGUACAUUGUGAUAUCUACUCAAGUUAAUGCAUUCUAAGGGCAUUUGCCAAUCUUUGGGCUGACCAUCCUUUGCUGUUGUUGUAUUCAAUCAAAAAGGCAUCGAAAAAAUGUAUCCAUGGCAUUUUAAUUUUCAUCUUCAGCUCAAUUAGGCCAUUAUUAAUCUGGUACAUUUCAGUAAUUGACAGGUGUCGAGCCUGUGCAAUAAUAAAUACCUACUCGAGAAAAAUGAAUUUUCUGUGUAUAGUAGUGAGUAGGGUCGAAUCCACAGGGAUUGGAAAAAAUUCGAUUCUUUUCACGUUCGGGACACGGGGGAUUUUUAUCAAAUAAAACUAAAAAUAAAUAAUUAAACAAUUUAACUAAAAAUAAUUAAACAAUUUAACCAAAGAUAAAUAAUUAAUUAAUACAAUUGUAAAUAGCAAUUAAAUAAAUGAUAAAUAAAUUCUAGCCAAGGAUACAACUACGCAGACACAGUCCAUUCAUCCGAUCAUUGAUGCAAAGAAGGUUCACUUAAUUUAAUUAAUAGGCUAGUUAUAGUCGCCGAUAAACUCUAACGACCAGUUUUUCCUUAAUUUAUUGAUAACCAAGGUACGACCAUUGAUUACCCCUAACCAGGAAAUACUCCUAGGUACGACCGUAGGAAUUAAUUUCCUAAUUGCAUUAAAAACUAGAAAAGCCUAAUCCAAAUUAAUAACACGCUACGAGGGUUAUUUAAAUCAGAUUGCAUGUUCUCCUAGUAUGUGAAAAUACUAGUUGUCACUAAUAUUAACCAACUAAACAAUUAAGGAUUUAAUUGAUUAAUUUGACAAGAGAUUAAUAAGUCAAAUUGCACAUCGGUCCCUUGAUAUCCAAUUAACAAAAUAAUCCCAUGGAAAUUAAAAUAGAAAACAUGCAAAUAUUAACAAAUUAAGGAACACGUAAAAUUAAUUAGAUCUCACAGAUAUUUGGGACUGCGUCUUCGCGUUGAUCCUUGACUAGAGGAGAAAAUUAGCCACGCCUCAUAAGAAAAUUCCCACGCAAUUUAAUUGAACUCAAAGACAUUUAUCUCUUACUAAUAAUUAAAAAUAAGAAUUGUAUUCUCUGUAGUCUAAUACAAUAAAAAUAGUCUCAUGGAAGAGACGGAAGAAAACAAGACACACGAGAAAUCUUCACCCCCAAAACUAAAAACUUCUCUUCCCAGACAGAAGAGAAGAAGAAAAACUGAUUCUGUAAAAUGUCCGGCCCUCUCUCAUUCUCCUCUGCACUAGUUUUAUAUGAGAACUAGUUACGUAGGAAGCAAAUAGAAAAGCUACUUUCAUCAUCAAAGUCCACCUAUGGCUAAUGAGUACAUCUCCCAAAAGAAGAACACAUUUUCUAAAUCAAUGUUACGUGGUCCCUGCAGAAUUCUCUCCUUUUGACUUCUUAUUGCUAGUGGACUUGUCAGGACUUAAUAAUAGGAAGGCAACUCUUCAUCAGCAAUUCCGUUGGUUUGCACAAUUUGGGCUGAUUGUGGAAAGCUUUUAGAAGCUUUCACGUGUGGAGAGAUCUUCUCAAGAAGGUUCCCUUUUAGCACUUUUCUGCUCCACUUUCUGAAAUUAUAUCCAAAUACCAAAUAUAAAUAUAUAUUGACAAUUAAAGCAAUAUUUGGCAAGGAUAAAGAGGAGAAUUAACAAUAAAAUUACUAACAAUUAACAUCCUAUCAAUUCCCCCCACACUUAAAUCAUGCUUGUCCUCAAGCAUGGGAACAACUAAAUUCAACAAUGGCUAACUCUCAUUUCAUUUACUGCCAAGCUAUGCUUAUCCCAAAAUCAAGUUUUAGUGGCUAAGUGUCAAGACAUAUUUCUCCCGAUUAGCUCCUGAAAUCAUAGACUCGUCCAAUUCAUGGCUAACUCGUCUAAGAAAUUAAAAUAUUAAACUAGCAAAAGUUAGCAAUUGGGUCAACUGAAAAUCAAAAUCUCAACAUUGAAGAACAAGGAUCGGCAGGCCAAUAUGAUCAUAAGUUUACACAUUAUUUUAUUCUCUCUCUCUUUUUUUUUUUUUUAACAAUUAAUUUUUUUUUUUCAAAAAUGCUCAGUCCCAAGCUAUUCAAGUCUUUUGACGUGAACUCUGACAUUUUUAGAUGAAAGAGCCCAGUUACUCAACUUUUCACAGCUUCAGGACUAACUACUCAUAGAUAUCGCCACUUUUUGACGCGAAAGUCGACACUUGUGGUGAAAACUCCCGGUUACUGGGUGACGGCACUAGCGGAGUAGAGUCAUUUAUUAAUCACAAUUAAAGUAUCAGAAUACCAGAUAAUUAAAGAUCAUGGCCCACGUCAUCUCCUAAUAUGGAGAACUAAGAUCAACAAUUACCCAAUCCACAUAACAAUUGCUAAUAAAAUAUUUAAAUUGCCUAAACAAGUUAACCACAAUUUGCACCAAGUCAUUAAACUCAUGAUAUUCACCAAGAUAACAUGCGUUUACUUGCCAUCUAAACAAAAUUCAUAGGAUAAAUCACAACCAGCAAUAAACGAAUGAAUUGCCAUAUUUAUUCAUCAAAACACUAGUAAGAAAGGCAGUAAAUUAAAGAAACACCAAUCAAAACUAAACCCAAAUCCCCCCCCACACUUAAAUCACACAUUGCCCUCAAUGUGAUAAUGAAACAGUAAAAAUAAGAAGAAGGACAACGAAACUCCCCUGAAACUGGUGCCAGCUAUUAGCACCUGUAGUUGGAGGAGGCGGAGCGGAGGUCAAAGGGUCGGGAUCGUGGUUUCACCAUUCUUUCCAAAUUGUACUAAAUAAAUAAAAAUCAAGCAAAGUAAAAAGAAACAGGCAAAAUAACACAGAAGUAUCCAACUAAGGAUGAAUAGAAAUGUCAGGUAGUCCAAACACGCAAAAUUUUCAAAAACGUACUGUAAUAAAAAUAAUAAAAACAUACUGCAAUAAUAAAAUAAAAAAAUAAAAAAAAAUAAUAGAAAGAGAUUGAGGCAGGCGCGUGCAUACGAAGCCAGUGGUGCGAUGAAGGUGGUGGCUGUGAGAGAGAAGAGUUUGCGGCAGCUGGAUCUGGUGGUGCUUAGCGACUGCGGGUGGUGGGCGACGGGUUGGGGUAGCGCGCGCGAGGGAGCGGCGGGCUCCAGGUGGCGCGCGCGAGGGAGCGGCGGUGGCGUCGGUGGAGCAGGAUUUAGGGAGGAGACCUGGGGUGGCGGCGGUGGGCGGCGGUGGGGUGAGGUUCGCAGCCGAAGAAGAAAGAAAAAGAAAGGGACAGCGGAAAGAGAAGAAAGAAAAGAAGAAGAAAGAAAGAAAGAAAAAGAAAAGAGAAAAAGAAAGGAAAAAAAAUAGUUUUUGAUCUUACAGUUUUUUUUUUUUUUUUUUAGUUCGUCAAACAUGGCAUGGGCACGCCAAGAUUAGAAAACAUUCUCUGACCUUGAAGUUGGAACUUGUAAGAUUAAUGCGUGCCCUCUCCGCGCGGGCACGCCAUGAUCACCUGUCCUGAUCAUAGUAGAGAAAAUAUCAAAUUUAAGCAAUACCCAGAUGAGAAACGACAUAUUUAACGAAUUGAACAACAAAAACCAACAAAAUCAAAAAUUGGGUUGCCUCCCAAAAGCGCCUUUCUUUAACGUCUUUGGCUAGACGGUGUCCAGAAUUUGCUUAAACUAAGCAAAUCGGGUCUUCCAGUUGCAUCAUCUCCACCCGUUCAAUUGGAAAUCCUUCAUAAUACGGCUUGAGACGGUGACCAUUCACCACAAAUUUCUUCUCCGUUUUCAAAAUUUGGAUCUCUACUGCACCAUAAUGAAAGACAUUAGUCACAACAAAAGGGCCAAUCCAACGAGAACGUAAUUUACCUGGAAAUAGUUUCAAUUUGGAGUGGUAUAGUAAAACUUUUUGCCCGCAGACGAAUAUCUUCCUAGAGAUCUGUUGGUCAUGAAAGAUCCGAUUCUUCUCUUUAUAGAUCACUGCAUUCUCGUAUGCUUCAUUUCGGAUUUCUUCCAACUCUUGUAAUUGCAACUUCCUUUGAAUUCCGCCCUCCUCGAUAUCCAUAUUGCAUUGCUUGACCGCCCAAAACGCUCUAUGCUCAAACUCUAUCGGGAGAUGACAUGGCUUUCCAAAUACCAAUCGGUAAGGGGACAUGCCAAUAGGUGUCUUGUAUGCCGUCCUAUAUGCCCAUAGUGCAUCCUCUAGUCUCACACUCCAAUCCUUCCUAUCGGGUCGGACCAUCUUUUCUAGAAUUGAUUUGAUCUCUCGGUUCGAUGCUUCCGCCUGACCAUUUGUCUGAGGAUGGUAGGAUGUAGAGACUUUGUGCAAAACACCGUAUCUCCUAAAAAUUGCAGCGAUCGUUUUGUUGCAGAAAUGAGUACCCCGAUCACUUACAAUUGCUCGCGGCAUCCCAAAGCGAACAAAAAUAUUAGACUUAACGAAUUCUGCAACCACUUUGGAAUCAUUAGUACGGGUGGCCUUUGCUUCUACCCACUUCGAAACAUAAUCUACAGCAAGCAAUAUAUACAAAAAACCAAAGGACGAAGGAAAAGGACCCAUAAAAUCAAUGCCCCAAACGUCAAAAAUUUCAACAAAAAUCAUUGGGGUUUGAGUCAUUUGAUCCCUACGAGAGAUAUUACCCACUCUUUGACACUUAUCACAUGACUUACAAAAUGAGUAGGCAUCCUUGAAUAGAGUUGGCCAAUAGAAUCCACUCUCUAGCACCUUACGAGCCGUUCUCUUCGGUCCAAAGUGACCUCCACAUGCAAAAGAGUGACAAUAUGCUAGAAUAGAUUGAAAUUCAACUUCACUUACACAUCUACGGAUGAUUUGAUCGGCACCCCGCUUUCAGAGGUAAGGAUCAUCCCAAAUGUAGAACUUUGCAUCGCUCCUCAACUUGUCUCUCUUUGCCUUAGGCCAUCCUGUAGGAAAUUUGUCAGUGACUAUAAAAUUAACAAUAUCUGCAUACCAAGGCAAGAAUGAAUUAAUAGAAAAUAAAUGCUCCUCGGGAAAUGCUUCUCUCAAUGGGAGGUCCUUUUCGACGACUUGUACUCGACUCAAAUGAUCUGCUACUAGGUUCUCUGCCCCUUUCUUAUCUCGGAUCUCCAGGUUGAACUCUUGUAACAACAAUAUCCACCGUAUCAAUCGCGGUUUUGCCUCUUUCUUGGUCAAUAAAUACCGUAAAGCUGCAUGAUCAGAAAAAAUAAUAACUUUAGCACCAAGUAAAUAAGACCGAAAUUUUUCUAAGGCAAAAACAACUGCUAAAAGCUCCUUUUCGGUGGUUGAAUAGUUCAAUUGAGCUCCGUUCAAGGCUCGAGAUGCGUAGUAGAUAGCAUGAGCUGCCUUUCCUACUCUUUGACCCAAUACCGCACCCACUGCAUGGUCGCUGGCGUCACACAUGAUCUCGAAUGGGAGGUUCCAGUCAGGGGGUUGGAUAAUAGGUGAGGUGGUCAAUAACUCCUUUAACUUAUUGAAUGCCCCCUUACAUGUUUCAUCAAAUUCGAAAGAUACAUCUUUUUGCAAAAGUUGGAACAAGGGUGCUCCAAUUUUCGAGAAGUCCUUGAUGAACCUUCUAUGGAAACCUGCGUGACCCAAGAAGGAACGAACUUCCCGCACACUCGCGGGGUAAGGUAAAGUAGAUAUAACAUCUAUUUUUGCCUUAUCAACCUCAAUACCUGUAGAUGAUACAACAUGACCCAAAAACUAUCCCGUGUUCAACCAUAAAAUGACAUUUUUUCCAAUUAAACACGAGAUUAGUUUCUAUACACCUUACUAAGAUCAAUUUCAGGUUAUCUAGACAGUUUUCAAAACUUUCACCAAAUACACUGAAAUCGUCCAUGAAAACCUCAAUAAUCUUCUCAACAUAUUCUGAAAAGAUACUUACCGUGCAUCUUUGGAAGGUAGCAGGUGCAUUGCACAAUCCAAAUGGCAUCCUUCGGUAUGCAAAUGUUCCAAAUGGGCAGGUGAAAGUAGUCUUCUCUUGGUCUUCGGGUGCGAUGGCAAUUUGAAAAUAACCUGAAAAUCCAUCCAAGAAACAAUAGUAAGCUCGACAUGCUAAUCGCUCCACCAUUUGGUCAAUGAAAGGGAGGGGGAAAUGGUCCUUUUUCGUGACGGCAUUUAGCUUUCGGUAAUCGAUACACUGUCGCCAUCCGGUGGGCUUUCGAAUUGGUACGAGCUCACCCUUUUGGUUUGAUUCCACUGUCACCCCUGCCUUCUUCGGGACCACCUGUACUGGACUUACCCAUGGGCUGUCUGAUAGUGCAAAUAUAAUUCCAACGUCCAGCAGCUUUAAAAUCUCUUUCUUUACGACCUCCAUCAUGAGAGGAUUUAAUCUCCGUUGAGCUUGUCGUAUAGGUUUAGCAUUCUUCUCGAGUCGAAUUCGGUGCAUACACACCGCGGGGCUAAUUCCCUUGAUAUCGGCGAUGGUCCAUCCUAUCGCCUGCUUAUGUUCCCUAAGAACUCGAAGUAGUUUCUCUUCUUGAACCUUUGAUAAACCCGCGGAGAUGAUCACUGGAAGUGUCUCCCCUUCACCUAAGUAUAUAUACUUUAGGUGUUUCGGCAGUGGUUUUAGUUCCAAAACAGGUGCCUGCACCACAGAUGGAAGUAACCUUUUGUGAGGUUCAGGUAUAAAAAUGGGUGCGAGGUCAUACCUUGUCUUCGUGGUUGGUAACGUUUGCAACGAUCCAAUCACGCAUUUAAGCUCUUCACUCAACUCUACUCCAGAUGUCGUUUCGGACUCGAAGUGCUUGGUCAGAACGACCUCUAACUCAUCUCUGCCUUCAAUUUCAAAAACCUCCUGUAUAGCAGGGUCAAUAACAUUUACCGAGAAAACAGAGCCAACAUUUGAAUCGGAUGGAUAUUUCAUGGUCUCAAAGAUGUUAAAGUGAACAAUCUCACCAUCAAAUUCCAUAGACAAAAUACCCUUAUUAACAUCAAUUUUGGUUCGGGCUGUGCUCAAAAAGGGUCUACCUAACAAUAGAGGUGACGGACCACGGGAGUGUUCAUCCUCCAUGUCGAGCACAUAAAAAUCAGCUGGAAAAACCAAUUCAUUAAUUUUUACCAAAACAUCUUCAAUCAACCCGUCAGGGUAUGCAUUGGUCCUGUCAGCUAAUUGGAUUAUUAUCCCAAUUUCUUUCAAAGGGCCUAAGUUCAAAGAAGCAUAAAUAGAUUUCGGCAUGACAUUAAUCGAUGCUCCUAGAUCUAACAUGGCCUUUCCAAUCAAAAUAUUACCUAUCCUACAAGGAAUAGUAAACAUACCUGGAUCUCCGCAUUUCGGUGGAAGCUUUCUUUGUAGAAUUGCUGAAACAUUCUCCCCAACUAUAACUCGUUCAUCUCCCUUCAAUCGCUUGCGGUUGGCACACAGGUCCCUCAAAAAUUUUGCGUACCUGGGUACUUGUUUAAUCGCAUCCAGCAGGGGUAUGUUGAUCUCCACCUUGCGAAAGAUCUCCAAGAUCUCUUUUUCCUUGUCUUGCUUCUUUGGUUUCUCUAACCUGCUAGGAAAGGGAGGUGGAUUAGUUUUAGCUGUAGGAAUUGGGUUCGAGGGUACCUUUGCAUUUUUGUUGUCUCUGCCCUCCUCUUCCAAAUCUUUCUCAAUCCGUUCCUCGUCCUUGUCUUUAGGAAUCACCGGUUCGGGUCCUUGAACUUCCUUGCCACUCCUCAAGGUCAUUGCGCUUACAUUCUUUGGAUUUGCCUCAGGUUGAGAUGGCAACUUUCCUUGAACUUGGGACUCCAAACGAUUGAUUGUUAUAGCCAUUUGAUUCAUUUGAUUUUGCAAUGAUUGCACCUGUCCCAAUUGAUUUCUCAUGCUUUGCAAGUCUGAAUCCGUCUUUUGUUGAUUAGCAAGUAAUUGCUUCAUCAUCUCUUCCAUGGACGGACUUGAAUUUGAAGGGGGUGGUGGUGGUGGGCGAGGAUGGUACUGCUGUUGGUGUCCUUGCUGUCUAUUUGGCACAAAGUUAGACUGCCUAUUUCCUCCAUAGCUAAGGUUGGGGUGAUCCCUCCAACCAGGAUUGUAGGUGUUUGAGUAUGGAUCAUACGGCUUUCUUGGCGUGGGCGCGUGGCCAGCCAUGUUCACCUGUUCUGCAGUUUCUUCUUGAACCAGUGGACACAUUUCCGUAGGAUGACCUACGGCAGUGCACACCCCACACACUUUGGCUUGCGAGGCACUUCCCACAGCUAAUUGUCUGACGAAAGAUGUUAAUUCGGAGAUCUGCUGUUGGAUAGAGGACGUUUCUACCUUAUUCACCCUACGCGUCGGGAUGUCCUCUCUUGAACCAAACUGCUGUGAGUUCUCAGCCAUUCCUUCAAUCAGCUCCCAUGCUCCUCGAGGAGUUUUGUUCACCAACGCCCCUCCACUUGCAGCAUCGAUUAUGCUUCUGUCCCUGAAAAGCAACCCUUCAUAGAAAUAUUGAAUGAGCAGUUGCUCACUUAUCUGAUGCUGAGGGCAUUUGGUGCAUAGUUUCUUAAACCUCUCCCAGUACUCAUAGAGUGACUCGCCUGGGUGUUGUUUGAUGCCACAUAUCUCCUUCCUUAGACUUGCAGCUCGAGAUGCCGGAAAGUAUUUGUCCAGAAAUUUUUUCUUCAAUUGAUCCCACGUGGUGAUACUACCAGGCGGUAGGUAGUAGAGCCAGUCUUUUGCGGAGUCCUUCAAAGAGAAGGGGAAAGCCCUCAUCUUUAUUUGCUCUUCUGUAAUUCCCGGAGGCUUCAUACUGUUGCAAACGACGUCAAACUCUUGCAAGUGCUUGUAGGGCUCCUCACCUGGUAGACCAUGGAAAGAUGGCAAGAGAUGAAUUAAACCAGAUUUUAGUUCAAAGGGAGUGUCAUCAUUUAAAUUUGGAAAAGUAAUGCACAAGGGCUGCUGAUUUAAAUCAGGAGCAGCCAACUCCCUUAAUGUUCGUGUAUUUGCCAUAGUGACUUCCUCUUGGUCUGAAUCACUCGAAUUGUCACCAGACAAAUUUAUCGGCUCAACCUCUGGAUCUAGUCCCUGAGGUGCAAUACCGUAUUGCUCUUCUCUGAGCCGCCUGGUUUCUUUCCUCGUUCUACGCGCGGUCUUCUCUACUUCAGGGUCGAAAACUAAUUCGCCUGUACGAGAAGAGCGAGGCAUAAACUAGAAAAAAAUACCAGAAAAUUAGAACAAAAAUGAACUUAAAAAGAAACAAAUAAUUAACGCCAAUCCCCGACAACGGCGCCAAAAAUUGACAGGUGUCGAGCCUGUGCAAUAAUAAAUAUCUACUCGAGAAAAAUGAAUUUUCUGUGUAUAGUAGUGAGUAGGGUCGAAUCCACAGGGAUUGGAAAAAAUUCGAUUCUUUUCAAGUUCGGGACACGGGGGAUUUUUAUCAGAUAAAACUAAAAAUAAAUAAUUAAACAAUUUAACUAAAAAUAAUUAAACAAUUUAACCAAAGAUAAAUAAUUAAUUAAUACAAUUGUAAAUAGCAAUUAAAUAAAUGAUAAAUAAAUUCUAGCCAAGGAUACAACUACGCAGACACAGUCCAUUCAUCCGAUCAUUGAUGCAAAGAAGGUUCACUUAAUUUAAUUAAUAGGCUAGUUAUAGUCGCCGAUAAACUCUAACGACCAGUUUUUCCUUAAUUUAUUGAUAACCAAGGUACGACCAUUGAUUACCCCUAACCAGGAAAUACUCCUAGGUACGACCGUAGGAAUUAAUUUCCUAAUUGCAUUAAAAACUAGAAAAGCCUAAUCCAAAUUAAUAACACGCUACGAGGGUUAUUUAAAUCAGAUUGCAUGUUCUCCUAGUAUGUGAAAAUACUAGUUGUCACUAAUAUUAACCAACUAAACAAUUAAGGAUUUAAUUGAUUAAUUUGACAAGAGAUUAAUAAGUCAAAUUGCACAUCGGUCCCUUGAUAUCCAAUUAACAAAAUAAUCCCAUGGAAAUUAAAAUAGAAAACAUGCAAAUAUUAACAAAUUAAGGAACACGUAAAAUUAAUUAGAUCUCACAGAUAUUUGGGACUGCGUCUUCGCGUUGAUCCUUGACUAGAGGAGAAAAUUAGCCACGCCUCAUAAGAAAAUUCCCACGCAAUUUAAUUGAACUCAAAGACAUUUAUCUCUUACUAAUAAUUAAAAAUAAGAAUUGUAUUCUCUGUAGUCUAAUACAAUAAAAAUAGUCUCAUGGAAGAGACGGAAGAAAACAAGACACACGAGAAAUCUUCACCCCCAAAACUAAAAACUUCUCUUCCCAGACAGAAGAGAAGAAGAAAAACUGAUUCUGUAAAAUGUCCGGCCCUCUCUCAUUCUCCUCUGCACUAGUUUUAUAUGAGAACUAGUUACGUAGGAAGCAAAUAGAAAAGCUACUUUCAUCAUCAAAGUCCACCUAUGGCUAAUGAGUACAUCUCCCAAAAGAAGAACACAUUUUCUAAAUCAAUGUUACGUGGUCCCUGCAGAAUUCUCUCCUUUUGACUUCUUAUUGCUAGUGGACUUGUCAGGACUUAAUAAUAGGAAGGCAACUCUUCAUCAGCAAUUCCGUUGGUUUGCACAAUUUGGGCUGAUUGUGGAAAGCUUUUAGAAGCUUUCACGUGUGGAGAGAUCUUCUCAAGAAGGUUCCCUUUUAGCACUUUUCUGCUCCACUUUCUGAAAUUAUAUCCAAAUACCAAAUAUAAAUAUAUAUUGACAAUUAAAGCAAUAUUUGGCAAGGAUAAAGAGGAGAAUUAACAAUAAAAUUACUAACAAUUAACAUCCUAUCAGUAAUGUAUCAGUAAACUGGCAUUUUACUGUAUCAGUAAUCUUCCAUGUUUUAAUGCUUCUUUUGAAAUGCAAUGUAAGGUUAUUCCCUGUUUUCUCCAGUAUUAUCUUCUUGAAGAAUUUAUCGGUCUUUGCUACAACUAUUUCUGCAGCAAUGGAUAAGUUUUAGUUGCUUUCAAUUACUUUGUGAAAUUACGUCAGAAGCCACGGGUGAUGAAUCCAAAAAGAUAUAGCAUCAACUUACAAGGUUUCAACCUGCAAGUUAUUAGGUUUUCUGAAAAUAUAGAGAAUACCUCGCUUUUAUAGUUUGUGAUUUUACUAUCCAGUGCAGCAGCCAGGUACAUUAUCAUCAUCGUUGCCAAAUUCAUGUAAUGCAAUGGAUUUGAAGUCUUUGCAUUGUCUUGAAGUUUAAUGGACUUUUGGAUUAUCAACCUUAAUCUAUAUAGCUCAGUGAUAUUUUUCCCUCUGUCAACUGCCAUGCAUAUUCAUACUGAUAUACAAAAAAAAAAAAAAAAAAAGAGGAUUUGCAUGCAAUGUUGCAUAAAAGAAGAAUGCACCAAAAUUCAAUCACUCCCUUAAUCCACAUAUUUGACAAGGCAUAUUACCUUUAGUCACCUACGUGCAUCGCGCGUUUUAUACCUCCUAGUCUUCUCUUAAGAUGUGAAACCCAAGAUUCUGAUAUAAGAUUGGGCAUCAUAAAGAAAAUGACCACCAUCUUCAUCUCUCUAUCUCACAGUUUCACAUGCACACUGCAAGCUGCCCAACCUUGAAAAUCUUGAUUUUAUAUGAGACAGACUGUGAUUCUCAAGAUUCAAAGAUACCUGCUCAAGAUGCAACUUUGGCAACCAAAAGGGAAUUCAGAUCUGAACUAAAGUGGUAGGAAAUCCAUUUAUCAAGGUAUUUUUUUUUAUUUGCUCAUUUCCUCCACCUCCAUAAACUUUCAGCAGGUUUUCACUGAUAGAUUAGAUGAACAAUCUAGAAGCAUGAAUUGUUUCAAAGAAAAAGUUCGGAAAGAUUCUAUCAAAGAUACACAACAGGAGUAGUCAUUCAAACCAUAUGAAGUGGGUGAGCUUCAAGAAAUGAAGAAAACAUUCUAACCACAACUUUUGAAAAUUUUUUACUUUGGCUUAUUUAUGCACAUCAAAAUGUCAGAACAAGAUGGCUAAUGGUCAAGUCUAAAGCACAAGAAGGGUACAAAGUUUUCAACAAUCUACAAAAACAUUGCGUAACAAAAUCUGCCCAAAAGCUGAGAUAAGCGGGAACAAGCUCAUCUAUUAAACAUAGAAGACAAAACUUAAGCUAAGAUCCAAUCGCAAAAUUUGAGGUCAUUGGGACCUCAAGAUGACGGACAAGCAUGUCGCUCUCUCAUGUUGAAUUUGCAGAGGGCCGUUUACGCUGAUUGUGAUCAGAACUACAAGAGAACUGAAGCAAGAAAAGAAAAUCAGGAAAAUAUAGGGAAGCUGAAACUUUACAAAUAGCAGAUCCCAUACCUUACCAAAUUGAAUCACAGCUUUGGUGUGUUUCUGCAUAUAUUUAUACAUAAGUGCUUGUGCAGAAGUAUCAUACAAGAUCUGCCACGGCACAAAAAGUAUGUCUCAGUACACAAUUGUAAACUCAGCCAGACAUUGAACGAAAAAAACGUUUUAGGAACAGAGUCUGAUACGAAAAAACAAAAUGUUGACUUCCAUUGUGCUUGACAGUUCGUGUCACUGCAAUCUUGAAGCUAUAGCAUCAAAUCCAAACCAAAGCAUUGAGAAACUAGAAGAAUUGUUUUGACAAAUUUGAAUAACUUAAUUAAUGAAUUCAGUCAACAGAUAAUAUUAGUACUGUACUACUAUAUCUAACCUAAAUUGCAGAAUCCCAACCUCCGUUGACUCUCUUCUGCAUCUACCAGCACAGAAUAGAGGUGAACGGUUCACCAUUUUAACAUGUGAUAAGGAAAUCAACUCUCUCCUUCCCCUCUCAUUGUCAAGAUAACAUCCAAAUCUCAUUGCAUUUUCACUCCAUGGCUGUCUGGAUCACUCGCAAUGACAUGAGAGCGCCAAUUCUUUUAAAUUCAGGGGGAAAGUUAAAACCAAACUCACGUACAGAAAACUGAACCAAUUUGAGUGAUUCCAGUUGACUCAGAAAAUCCAGCUUGAUAAUUUUAUUGCAACUCCUCCUGAUCAUGUUCCAAAAGCGUUCCACGGUAUCUCCUCCACCAAUUUCUCACAUACAGAUCAAAAGUCUUUAUAAGUCCUACCCUGUCUAAUGUCGCUCUUUAACAUCCCUAUUUAAUUCCUUAAUAUAGCAUCAUCUGCAGGUCAUCAUUUAACAGGUUGAAGCCAACCUGAAUGGUUACUAAAGACUAGCAGAAUGCUAUUGCACUCCGCUCCUAAAUUUUUCUUCAGACAAGCAUGCUAUAUGUGUACUUACCGUGAGGAAAUUUUUGGGCUUGUGCACGAGGACUAUCUGGAGUUUAUAUUUGUAUCUUACCUUCAUCGAUCUUCAGAAACCAGAGUGUUAUUAAUUGGUGCAGGUAUUAUGUAUUAAUUAUACAAGCUUUUGACCUUUUUUGUGAGUUAUUAAAACGAAAGAUGCUGUAGUUAGUUCUUCUAAGUGUGUUACUUCGAGUUCUGAAUUGGCAACUAUCUCAAUAUCAAAUGAAUCUUAGAAGCAUAAUCAUAUGGUAGCUAGACACUACCAACUGUAAGCCUAUAAUGUUGCAGACAUUUGGGUUGAACUGUUGUCAGUUGACUGACUAUAUUAUUAUGAACUGAUGUUGUACAUUGAGGAGAUGAGUCCAUUAUCUUGAGUAAUCUAAUAAAUUUUGAUACAUAAAUGUCAAAAAAUGGGGAUGCAUUUUUAGCUGAGGGCCUGAAGGCUUUGUAACUUACAAUAAUGACAAAUUCAAAACAAACAUCUACCACCGCCUUUCUUCUAAAUUAGUAGCAGUUCUCCAUUCUCUGUUUUUUUUUUUUUGGGGGGGGGGGGGGUAAAGAUUUGGUAGUGCCGUAAGGCUGCAAUUUUGAUGAGGCAAUUCAAAAUGUGAAUUAUUUUCCAGAGCCAUUACAAUAGGAUAUCAAAUCCGUAACUUAAAAAAAAAAAAAAGGAAGAUUACUGCAGUGUAAAUAUUGAACUAAUCUAAGAUCCAUGAAGCACCAUAAAUGAACAAAAUGAACUUCAAUCAAUUUAUCGGAGAUGUCAAAGUAAAAGGUAGACAAGCCAGAAGUAAAUGGGCAUCAGAGGUUGAAAUGAGAAAGAGACAUUUUUCAUGAUUGAUGGCUAGCAUUACAAUUUCCUUCAAUCAAAACAGGAUUUUUCUUAAGACAUAGUAUGAAUAGAAAGUUCAACCAUUUCGUAGAACAUAUGCAAAAUGAGCAAAACACGGCUAAAGUCUCACAUUUUCAUUGUUCUGGAUUGCUUGACAUCAUUGCACUAGUAAUCUCUGUUAUUGGCCAUAUUGGUUGCCUAAUUUUGGUGGGCAUGGCUACAGAGAAAAGAAGGGAAAAUGGAAAACAUUAUUGUUCGGCUCAAGUUUGGGUAGUUUUAGUAAUUAGGCAACGCUAAUUCAUCAAAAUGAACUGACCUUAUGAAUUUUUGUGGAGAAUUUUGGUUUAGUUAUGGAGACUGGGGAGAAAGAUGUAAAGAAAAAGAGUGAGGGAAAAAAGUGGGGAGGUGGACAAUGUAUAAAGUUUCCAACAGACUGUAAAUUGUAUAUUAUCAUUGUAAAGUAUUUUGAACAAAUUGUAAAUAAUGAGCAUUAUCUUGUGAAUGUUGUUGUUAUCAGUAUUAUGCGAAAUUAUAUUCAUGUAACGAACAAAAACAGACACAAAUACCAUAAACAAGAACUAGAAUUUUAUCCUUCUUAUACUUCUCAAAUCUCCAUCAUGUAUUCCAAGUUAAAGACUGAGGGGUACACACUAUCCAAUUCAAUUCAGUAUAUACAGUUUUCCUUUUAAGAAAAAAAAAAACUUGCAAUUCAAAUAUUUUUCACUUGAUUACAAAUUUACAACAAUCAUUUCCACUUCAUUAACGGCAAAUGAAAUUUUUAGUGCUAUUCUUGCAAGACUUGUUCCCCUUCCUGAUGCAAUUAUUGAAGUAGGUUUCAUCAGGGAAUAACAAUGGCUACUAGUGACAACUUUUUAAGAUGAUAAUCAAGCUAGUGAGGUAUGGUCCCAGAAUCAAGGGAUUACCUGUCAAGAACAAUAUCAAAAACAGGAAGGGCAUGAAGGUUAAGUAGCUCAUGCAAAGCCUCCAGUGGGUGAUAAAAUACUAGAUGAUCCAUCCGCUGGAAAUAUUCAAUUGAAGAACCUUGACAGCAUCAUAAAUACUUGGCUGGUUAAGGCAUUUGCUGCAGGCCAGUAGUGCAUGAAGACUGUCAAGUCAUUCAUGCAUGCUGCACUACUUUGUGGUUUUAUUUAGGUUGUCCUUCUGUAUAUGUAGAACUCUGCUCCAUUGGGUGAUUGAAUCAAUCAAACAAACUAAUAGAAGAAAAAAAAUAGAGAAUUGGAGCACAUAAACCUGACAAUUGCAGGCAAAUAGCUUUGAGUAUAGUUCCAAUAUCUGUUUAACGUCAGAUGCUCAUUCUUGGAGGACCUGCAAAAAAAAAAUUGAAUUCUAUGUAUAUGCUGUUUUUGAGCUUUAUGAGGAAAUGGAACAACAGAGCAGAAAAAUAAAGCCCACGAAAACCUUAAAUUGGGAAAACUGUAAAGAUAUUUGGUAAAUCACAAAGCUAACACUAAAUUGGACCAUCUGCUCUUGAGUAUCGUCAGAAAAAAGGUAGGACUAGUACUUUUGGUCCUUCCAAAUGUCUUUCAAUUCUAAAGAUGCAAUUGUUGGAGAAGAACAGAGAGAACAUAUAUUGACUGCAAAACACCAAGCAGGUGAAGUAAAUUCCAGAUUAAAGGCUAAUGGAAGUAUGAAGAACUACCUGAACGAAUGGCUUUCAUUACAAUUUUCACAACAAAGCAUAAGAAUUAGACACGAACAAACCACUUUGGCUGUGCCAGUUUAGCAUCAAAUUAUAUUUACCCUUUGACCAUUUCAGAUCUUAUAUCAAAUGGCACAAGACAAAUUUUGACAGCAUUGAGCAUCAACUUCUUAUAUAGACAAUGACUAUCAGGCUAUCUUCCAGAUAACCCUCCUUUCCACUGACCGGCAAAAGAUGAGAGAGAGUGAAUAAGUAGAUGCUGCACAAACAUCUUUCAUAGCCAAUCCUAGAAGAGCGGAAGUUACGUGGAUAAUGCACAACUAGUAUGAGCAACUUAUAAUCAAUGAUGUAGUUCGCCUUCUGAAGUGUUAGAAAACGACUUGUACAACAAACUUAUCAAUGCACCAACGCAGAAUCAUGGUAGAGGCAUCAUGGAAUCAUUAAAUGCUAGUUUCACUUUCAGGCAUCAUUUGUCAUAGCCAUUUGCAGAGAGGUAGAGACCACUUUCCUGAGCUCACCCGUCCCAUUCCAACAAGUAUAUAUUAAUGGAUACUUCAUCAAGAUAUUCAUCCAGUUGGUACUCCUGCCUUUUGCUCAUUUCCAAUUUUCUCUAGCUGGCAGUUGAUCUAUGAGUCAGAAGUUAGGAUAUUUUUCUCUUCCAUCUAUUUCACCGUACUUUUUUCCCUUCUUGAAAGAUCUUCUCUUCCCACUUUGAUCAGCAACCAACAAAUAUUGGACCUCGAAAAAUUUGAAGUGUUGAUGCUGCUUAUUCUUUCAAAAAUGCAACAGAAUUGCUCCUAGGAUAAAUCACAACAGAUGUGCUUAAAUUAAAGUGCAGAGAUUAAAUCAAAAUGCUGCUUACAUGAUUUGUGGAAAAACUGAAAAUGGUGAUCAUCUCUUUCACUCUCUCUCUCCCCCUCACCCAACCACACACGCACACGCACUCAUUGAAACCGCCCGAGCCAAAGAAAUUGAUUCUAAAUUAGACUCGUAUUGAUAGAUUUAAGCCACUUGUUGAAGAUGCAACUUACCAACAAAUUGCAAAUGGGGCAUCAGAAUGCAUGCUAAGUCGGAUGAAGAACAUAGUAACAGUCUAAAUACUUAGAAUUUUCUGGUACUACAUCCUUUCAUCUAGUUUGAAAUUCCACCACCCCCAGGACCUUUCAGCAUCUUUUCGCUAAAUCAGUGAGAUGGGAAAACAAGAAUCCAUGAAAAUAUCUUCAAGCAAAUUAUUACUAAAGAUUAAGUACACAGAAAAUAGUAUUUAUUAGAACCAUCUAACAGGGUUCAUCUUCAUGAAAUAAAGAAUAUACUUACUUCAACAUGUUAAUUUCUUUUUGCCUACUGAUCUUGGCUUCUUUAUGCAUAUCAAGGUAUCAAAAGAAGAUGGAUAAAGCACAACUAAUUUAUAUACUUUAGAACAUACUACAAGAACAUAGUUUUUUUUUUUGUUUUAACUCUGGUAAAUGCAGACAUAAGCAGGAACAAGCUCAUGUCUCUAGACGAUAAAAAAAAAAUAGAAAGACAAAACUGAAAAAGACAGAUUCUCAUGUUUGCCAAGCCGUCAUUAACUAUAUACACAUAUUCUACCCAACAAGGUUGCAAACGCAUACAGCAUUCUUUGCAUUAAAAAAAAAAGGAAAAAGAAAGUCUCAGGUCAUUCAGCUAUUUACUUCAAGAAAAGAAACCCACUCUGCAUUACUUAAGCUGAAAUGUAUAGAAGAAAUAAAAAUGUGUACCUGACAUUUAUGCUUGUGCUCAGUUGGUUUGAAGGAUCAUACCAAUCUGUAGCCAUAUUGAAGAGGAUUUCAGAAAUUAGAUAGUUUUGAUUAUAUAAACACAUGACCAUUCAAAUCAAAGAACUGAAAACCUCCAGGAAUUGCUUUGCGAAAUAUGAAUGAUUAUAUCAUUGAACUGAUCCAACAUGUACAAUUAGUACUAUGGGAGUGGAUCUAACCUCAUGAGUGGAAUUCUUCUCUGCUUUGACUCCCUUUCUGAGUAGAUCUAAUAAUGACGCUCUUUAAGUCCUUGUUUCCCCAUUCUCUCUGUUCUUGCAGAAUUUGCUCCACAGAAUUUACAGCAGACUCACUACACCUUUUCAACUCAAUCAUUUUAAGAGUGACGCUUUCCCCUAAACAAGGAGGGACCUCUUCCAGCUCCUCACAAAACUCCAAAACCAAUUUCUCAAGACAGGAAAAAUUAUCAGAAGAGGCAGUCCACCUGCGAAUGUACAACCCUGACAAUUUCAAAAAUCGGAGGUUACAGAAUUCCCCUUCUGCCAUUUCCCAUUCUUCCUCCCGAACGGAACGAUGGCAUAAUUUAAGCACUACAAGGUUGGGCAGCUUUCUUCCAAUUGCAGAAAUUUUACUCCACGGCCAAUAAUUAUAGGAGAGAGUCAACUUUUUCAAAUUCAAAUUCAAUGAGAAUUCAAACUCAUCUCUACUCAUCCUGCUUAUCUUAAGUGAUUCUAGUCGACUCAUGUAGUUCAGCAUGAGAAUCUCCCCGUGAUUUCCACCAGAUUCGAUUGCUCGGUAACUUUCGUAUGUCGCUAUUGUUAGCCUGCGGGUGCUCUGUAACUUUGACAGUAUCUUUUGUGCACUUUGAGAAUAGGGAUUCAUUGCAAGACUUAAAGUGUCUAAAUGUUUUAAAUCAGGGGAGCCUUCAAGAUUGUCCUUGGGAAAUAUGAAACCACAGGCGGGCAAUGAUGUGACAAGAUGCCUCAAUGUUUCAAUGUUCCAGAUAGUGUUUGGUAACACAUAAUCUUCAGCGCGUGCUUCUACUACAAAAGUUUCUAACCUUGAGAGGUUGGCUAUUGCAGAUGGGAUAUCCCCAGCAAACCUUCCAAUUCUCAAGUACCUCAAGUGAACGAGGAAUACUACUUCCCUUGGAAAAUAUGAAGUCGGAUAAGAAUUGUUCCAGAAAUCCAGCACUCUAAGAAGUUUAGACAGCAGAAAUUUGAAUGAAUUCUUAUCCAGCUGUGUAUGACUAUCACCACAGAAGAGCAAACAACGCAAAUUGGGAGAAAACAGUCUUGAUUUUGUAGGCCCCAUAGUCAUGGUGGGGUGAAUAGACAAUCGAUGGAGGUUACAUGGUCCAGUAAAAGUUAAAAGGUUACCCACAUGUAAAAUCUGUAGAAAACUUUCUUCUUUAGCUUUCGCCACGCAAAACUCAUGUACCAAAUCAUGGAUUCGGCAAGCUUUGAUCCCACCUGAAGAUCUUUGUUGGGUAGCCAUAACUAAACUUCUCCUAACCAGAUCCAUCAAAUAGUCAUCUGCCACAUCCUCUAAGCUCUUUCCUUCAGUCUUUUGCACGAAUCCUUCAGAGAUCCAAAUCCAUAACAACCUUCGGAUAGGAAUUUCUUGGUCUUCUUGAAAUGCACCGAAGUAAAGAAGGCAUGGUUUCAAAUAAUCUGGUAAAUUAUUGUAACUUAAUUCAAUUGUCUUCAUGCAAUAUUCAUUGUCAACAAAAAUGCUGGAAGUUAAAUGUUUUACAACUUCUUCCCAGCAAUCUUGCUCAGUAGUAGCAAGAAUUCCGGCAACAAGGACAACUGUGAGAGGUAGGCCUUUACAGUUUUUUGCUGCAUGCAGUAAAACAUUACUUAAUAUUGGAGGACAAUCUUCUUUGGCAAAUAGCUUUUUCUGCAGCAAUUCGCAGCUUUCAUUAUCUGUAAGUGGGCGAAGAUGGUGAGGCUCACUAUCAAGUUUAAUUUGCAAUGACAAUUCCUGCAAUCUACUGGUUAAGAGAAUCCUGCUUCCAUUGCAAUCAUCUGGCAGUGAGAGUUUCAAUAAAUCCCAACCCCGAAUGUCCCAAACAUCAUCCAGAACUAUGAGAUACCUAUUUCCCUUCAACAAUUUGCGUAGCCUGUUAGCCAUGUAAUCUUCAUCUCUCCGAAGAUAUCCAGCUGAGUUCCCACAAUCGAUAUUACACAACAUUUGAACUAACAAACUAUGCUUGGUAUAUGCUCGAGAAAAACAACACCAAGAACGAAUGUGAAAGUGGGACUUUACCAAUGGAUCACCAUAAACUUUAUUGGCUAAUGUUGUCUUACCAAGACCAGGCAUACCCACAAUGGCAACAAUAUCCAACCGGCUUGGUCCCCUUACAAGUCCAUCAAUUAUAAUUUCCCCCUCAUCAUUGAGACCCACCACAGCUUCAUUAAAUAUUGGAGCAGUAACUUGUGAUGGCAUGUGAAUUGUAGUCUUGACAAUACUCUGGGUUUCACAGUCAAAUCGUAUGUUAUCAUAAAUCUCUUUGGCCUCAAUCUUCAUAAGCUUGAUAUCUCCAGCAAUAACAUCCAAACAAUGUUGAUGUUUGCCACCAAGUAGUGUAGAGUCAAUGAUUAUUUCUGCCCUGUAUGCCAGCUCACUAAUACGACUCCAAAGAGCUUGGAGUUUUUCAUUCCCCUUCCGCUGCUCUGCAAUCUUGCCUAGGAAAGGUCUUAAGAAAUCAAGAUCUUCACGAACUGUGUGGAUUUGAUUAUUUGGGAAAGCAAUUGAAUUAGCUGUAGAACUUUCAAGUUCCUCGAGAGUUUCUAAAAGAAAAUCAAUAGAGCCCAGCUCAUUAGUCCUAGGGAAACUAAUUGAUGAUGAUGGUGGUUGUUGUGGACAAAUCUGUUCAAUUUCUGGAAUAAUGAGCUUGAGCAGUUCGAGCAUAUGAGAAGCCACAAGAUCUAUUUCCUUGGGCAAGCUUUCUGUCAUUUCACUCUUAUAAAGGGAGAAAAUCACAAUUCCAGCAUCACAGAGUACAAAUCCAAUACGAUCCUUCAUUUCAUCAUUUAGCUUAUCGAAUUUCUCGUGCUGCUGGCUGAGAAGGACACUCAGGAAUCUUGCUCCCUCAUAAAGUUUUAGUAAUUGAUCCUUCACCGGAACCAAGAAACUGGUGUAAGAUUCUGUUAGCUCCAUAAUAAUAUGUAAAAGAUCAUCAAUAAAUUCGGCCACUAGGUGCUUAUUCUUCUCCAGGGCUAAAGUGUGUGAUGAUGGUGACAACUUGGACGCUGUCAAGACGUGGAUAUAAGUUUCUCGGACUUGGAGAUCAACGGGAUCAAUCUUCUUUUGUAUCAGUUGAGAAAUUUCAGAUUCCAUCUCGUUGCACACCUUUUCAUCAUUUCUCUGAAACCAAGAUGUAGAGAUCAGGCUUGCAGCAUUAAUGGCCACAACUUCAAUGUGAACUAACAGAUCUACUAAUUGCUGACCCUUAACACCAUGUAAUGUUGCAAAGCAAAUGAAACUCUUCAAGAACAUUAGCUUCUCUUGAAGGGUUCCCAUUACACUUUGCAGAGCUCCAUCAUCCCUGUAAUUUCUGGUGCAAAGAUGCCUCAGAUUCUCUAAAAUGGAAUCAGUGAUAUCCAUAACCAGUUGGAAAUCUCCAAGCAAGUUGUGAAGCAAUAAACUACAGAUGUUGGAUUCCUUGAUGUCUGAAUCAAAAAUCAACCGCAUAUUUUCCUCGAAUCUGCCGAGCUUGCGUUUGGUGUCAUCAAGCGAUACUGCUGAGCCAAGUUCAUGCUUUAUUCCACUAACCAGAUCCUGAAUCCUGAAAGAGAUACUGCUGAGCCUCAAACUGUCAGACUCAGCAUCACCCCUGUCCUCCUUAUCAUAUUCCAAACACAUACACUCUUUGCUCCUCUUCCUCCUAAACUUUCUAAUAUACAGAUCAAAUGUUUCCAAUAGACUUAUCCCCAUCUUCAGCUCCCAGAUAUGAGAUUCGAACAGACAUUUGGACGCACCGUCUAAGUCGUCCAGAUACUCCCGAGCAACAUCGAAGCAACUAGUGCUACUGCUGAAGGAGAUGUUCGUCAUGGUACCUGCUUUUCACUGAGAAAUGAGAUUUCUGCCUAUUGUAGCCAUUGAUAUUCAAGAUCAACAACUUUCUAAUGAUCUAACAAUAUUCACAGUUUGCCGUCAAGACUCUUAUCUCUCUGGUUUUUUUAUUCUUUCUUCUUUUUUGUGUGUGGCAAGGUGGUGCUAAAAUAUUGCAAGACUUUACCUUCUUCCUCUCGAAACUUUGUCAAGGGAAGCUCGCAUCGAUACAACAGGCAUAAGCUGUUGGGGUCCCCAUAUCAAAGAUUAAAACAUUAGAGAUGCAUUCAGCUGAGGCCUGAUGGCUUUGUAAUUUGCCACAACCUUUUUUACCGCAACAAUAUUUUUUACCACAAAACGUGAAAGGGAAAAAAAUAGAUGAAAGAAAAUCAAUAUAUAGUAUUGUAGUUUCAAUCAAAUCCGCCAGCACUAAAAAUGAACAAAAUGAGAAAUAUCAAUUAGGUUAGCGGUCAAAAUAAACAAUAGAAAAAUCAGAAGAAAAUGAUCCAUGGCUAUUGUUUAAGAAUGUAUAACUAAAUACAUUUAAGGAUUUUAGAGAAAAUUGUUUUUUAAUUGCUAAUGUAUGUGAGUGCUGAUGUUUUAAUGCUUCUUUUUUCUAAUUUUUUAAUUUGGCAACUUCUCCAAAUUUAAAAAGUUGUAUAAUAAGAAUAACAAUUUUACUCCUUUUCCCGUGUGAGAUAACUUGAGCCUGUAAACCAUCUAAAUCAUUUUUUCUUUUUUUGGUUUUCUACAUGCACCGAGAAAUAAUAACAACCUACAAGUACGAAAAAUCUUGUGAAGUGAAAACAAAUAUUAAUAGGGCACAUUAUAGUUUACCCUCCUGUGGUUUAGAGUUUUUUUACAUAACCCUCCUAUGAUUUUAAAAGUUAUGCAUAACCCUCUCAUGGUUUGGAGUAAAGUGUCAAAGUGACGGAAAUUAUCAUUGUAAUGGAACAACUAAAAUAUCAAAAAUACUCUUAUGUAAAAUUAAAAAGUAUUUAUUAACCAAGGGGGUUAUGUGUAUAUUUUGAAAACCAUAAGAGUGUUAUACGGUAAAGUAUUAAACCAUAAAGGGAUUAUAUGGUAAAACAUAAAAACUAUAUGAGAUUAGUUUGUCAUGUAUUUAUAAGGGUAAUUUCGACAUUUUUAAAAGCUACGAAGGACUAUUUUAGUUAUUUUGACACUUUAAUUCAAACCAUGAGAGAGUUAUGUAUAAUUUUGAAAUCAUAGAGGGGUUAUGUAGAAAAACAUUAAACCAUAGAAGGGUAAAGCAUAAUUGGCCCAUAUUAAUAUCAUAGUUACUCAUCAUAUAAUAAAUAUCACAUGAAAUUCGUUCACAUAAUUGCUUCACCUAAAAUCGAUAGGUCAGGGGUUCAAAUCAUCAAGGAUUAAGUGAGACACCACUAUUAAAUCCUCUUUUUUUUUUUUUUUUUUUUUAAAAAAAAAAAAAAGGCUUCAGUACUUUUAGCACUGUAUGUAUUCAAAUCAAAAUUUGAUUUAUCUAAUGCUGAGUCAAAUAAAAAAGCUGAAAUUUCCUCCUAUUACGUCCCAGGCAUAAGUGAAGCGAUGAUAUGCGAGUAUGAAGUGUCAAGAACACAUGGAAGCCAUGUACAUUUCAACCACAAAAUAAUAAAUGUGUGGAAAAAAGAAAAGAAAAAGAAAUUCAGCACUUACUUUGGAGAGAAUGACCGCUAUGGCAACAAGUGAUCUGUUGAAUCUGCAGAAAUUCCAUUUAUAUGGUGAAGCCACGUUUAAAAAGAAAAACUUUAAACUUAAAAAAAAAAACGAAAUUCAGCACUCACUUGAGAGAAAAUGAAAUCCCUGGCAAUAGCUGGUGAUCUAGUGAAUAUGCAAAAAAAUUCCCAGUAUAUCUUGCACCUACUCACUCAAAAUUAAGUUCAAGAAAAAGAAGAACAUUCCGAGGAAGAUGAUGAUUUCAACCAAAAUGAAAGAACUCGUACAUGCAAGACUUUUUGCAGUGAGAAAGUAGUACUGGUAGCAGUCGGUAAGGGCUCACUAUUUUGUUAUAAGGAACUCUCUUUGAUUUUUGCGCGUGUGGUGGGGACGAGGGAUGGUGGGCGUGGCACUGAUAAGUAUUACAAGACUUUUCCUUCUUCUUCCGCGUGAAGCUUUAUCCAGAGAAGAUGCUGUGUUAAUCAAGAAUUUGGCAAGUGUGGCAGAUGACUUUGACACGUGUGGUAGAAUACGUGUUUGCUCUAAAAUUUCCUUUAUGUAAUUCUUGGUCACUGGGUAGAACAAGCAUGCUAUAUCAGUAGGCUCAGAUUUCACGAUAACUGUGGACAGAUAUUGAGUUAAUCAAUCUCAGAAAUUUUGAUGACCAAAUGACUAGAAAUUAGAGAUGCAGCACAAGAAAUGGCAUGUUAAGUUAUCGUAAAACGAUCAUUAGCAUAUUUGGUGUAAGUUUGUAGAGUUUUGAUAUAAUUUUGAAUUUUAUACAAAUUUAGUUAUAUGAGAUGAUAAAUUUAAGGGUAAAAAAUCUCAGCGGCCACUAAACUAUUGGUCAGAUCAUAUUUUGACUAUCAAACUAUUUUUCGUUAAUAAUUGGUCACUAAACAACUUAAUCAGUAAACUCAUGACAUUUAGUCGAUAAUUGUUCUUAAUCUGUAAAAUUAGCAAUUAAUCUGUGAAAUAGGAUCGCAUAAUUAUUGGACAAAAUUACCCUGCACUUUGCCACGUAUACAGCUAAUUUCACAUAUUAAGAGCAAUUAUCGACUAAAUGGUCACGGAUUUACUGAUUAAGUUGUUUAGUGGCCAAUUACUAACGAAAAAUAGUUUGAUGGCCAAAACAUGAUCUGACCAAUAGUUUAGUGGCCGCUGAGGAUUUUUGCCCUAAAUUUAAAUUUACAACCGAUUUGGACGAUUUUACACCAAAAAGGGGAAGAACUAGACCAACCAGUUGGAUUGGACAAAUUCCAACUUAUGAGACCAGAGACAUAUAUGGUUUGACUAAUUGUUACCUGUUGAAUAUCUGGUGAAAGGAGUCUCAUGUGGUUUUUUAAAAAGUAUAAUUAAUUUGAAAGAGUGCUUAAAUGCAAAACAUAUAAUAAUUGGGAUUGUGUAACGAAUAUCCAUGCCGAUUGGAAAAACAAAACCAUAUAACUAUAAAUAUAAAUAAAUAAAUAAAUGAUUGACUAUAUAUAUGUUUGUAGUAAUAUGUUUGGAAAAAAAUCCAAAUUCAAAUUUAUGCAACUUUCGUGUGAUCUAACAACUAUAACACAUUGCCAUCAAGAUUCUCUUCUUUUGCAUACACGCUGCCUGCAAGGAUCUCUUUUUUGCUUGUGUGGUGGAGAGGGAUGGUGGGGCAUGGUACAGAUAAAUAUAGCAAGAAUUUUCCUUCUUUCACGUGAAAUUUUUUGUGUAUGUGGUGGGGAGGGAAGAUGGUGGGGCAUGGUGCUGAUAAAUAUUGUAAGACUUUUCCUUCUUCCACUUGAAACUUUAUCAAGAGAAGCUGUGUUAAUCUAGGUUUACAUGCGUGAUUAAUGCGGUAGCGAAAGCAUAAAAAUAGAAGGGGUUUCAUGAACACCUUUCAAAUGACAAUCAUUACACGAACAAAACCCAGCAAUAAAUCAAGAUUCAUAAAAAUAAGAGAAAUUUCUCAACAAUUUGAUAAAACCAACAAUAUUUGAAUUAUUAGGAGGAAAUUCUUUUUACAAAAGCCCUAAAGAAAAUAAUAUGUAAAGUUUUAAACAAAAUCAACUACGUGUCUGAUGCAUUUAGGAUCCUUAUUGACACAUUUAAUACUAAUACUAAUAUUAUUAAUUAAAAAUAAAUAAAAAUAUAGAAAUCUACCCUAAUUAGAAUUCUAAAUAAAGUAUUAACAAUAUAGAUGAAGAAUUCCUGAACCCAAGCAUGCUAUAUCAGAAGGCUUAGAUUUGUUUUUCUCGUAAUGAACCUCAGAAGCGUAAUCAUAUGUUGCCGCAAUUUCGCAUAAACAGUUGACUGACUACAUGAGUAUGUGAUGCAUAUUGAGUUAAUCAAUCUCAGAAUUUGAUCGGUUACAAUUUCAUUAUUUAUUUUAUUAUUAAUUUUUCCUUUUACCUGACCUGAUGUGGAUUUAUUAUUAGAUUUUACUCACUUUUCGUAAUUUACAUUUAUUUCAGGGAGUAGAAUAAAAAUAUCACAAUCAAGGCCAAUUUAACAGUCAUCGGGAAAGAAUUCAAAUGGAAGGUCUUCAGGGAUAUUUUGGAACAAGGAGACACAAGUCUUUUUUAGUAAUUUGCGGAAGACAACAUUCAAAAAAGAAGCACAAAAGGUUGGAGUCGUUUCUCUCCUGGUGGGCCACCGCACAUGAGAGCCGAGCAUUAGAAUAGAUUAGUAAUUCAAUAGGUACAGGGAGUAGCAGAAGACUUUUCUUGGGCUUUGGACAAUUUUGUCCUUUAGUGGUUUUGAGUCCACGUAUGUUACACUUAGGGUAGAAAUAAGGGGUCAUCAUUUUUUUUGACCAAGUAGUCUUUUUUUCCAUUAUUCGGUUUUCCACCUUUUUUUCCUCCUUAAUUGGGAGAAUGUACGUCGCAACUAUUUAUGCAGUUUUGUAUGGGAUUUUUUCAUCAAUAAUGAGCUAAACCCCUUUUUCUAAUCAAGGAGUAACGGAGGCUUUGACUCGCCUAAAAUUAUGAGAUCGAUUUAAUUUUACCUUUUUCUUUUAUUUAUUGGUAUUCGUAUAUUCCUUGGUUACAGUACUUAUGAUUAUUUAAUUAAUUGAUUGUCUUGGAUCCGGAUAAUUAAUUAAUUUGAUAAUCUAUUGUCAAUUAGAACGUUAAAUCCGUAAUUAUUUAAUUGUCUCAAAAUAGUGAUAACUGGCAUGAUUGGGUUUGUGUCAGGGGAAUACGCGGGUUAAUUUAAAAUAACCCUGGUAGUGUGUUAUUUGGUUAGAAUAGGACUCCUCUAAUACGUAAAGCAAUUGGGAAAUUAAAUCUUACGGGCGUACCUAAGAUUAUUUCUCAAUUAGAGUAGUGAUUAACGGGCGUACCUUAAUCACCGACACAGUAAGGAGGGGUUGAUUGUCAUCGCUUGUUUGGCAGUUAUAACCUAUUUAUUAGUAAAUAAUUGGAAUUGCCUUUGUUUCAAUGAUCAAUUAGGUGAACCAUUGCUGAAAUUAUUCCUUGGCUAGAUCCUUAAUUAUCAUUCAUUUGAUUUUAGUAAAUUGUUAUUUAAUUUCUAGUUGGCUAUUUUAUUUUUAUUAUUUUACUUUUAGUUGAAUUGCUUAAAUUGUCACCCCUGAUAUAAAAACACCCCCUUGUCACUGUGAAUUUGAAAAGAAACAAUUACUCCCAAUCCCUGUGGAUUCGACCCUACUCAUCGCUAUCUACAAAAAUUACUUUUAGUUUGAGUAGGUUUUAUUAUUGCACAGGCCAACAACCUGUCAAUUUUUUACGCCGUUGCCGGGGAUUGGGGCUAGUUAUUUGUUUCUUUUUUAUUUCAUCUUGUUUUCAUUUUUUUAUUUAUUUUUCUGUUUUUUUAUAUAGUUUAUGGCUGCUAACAUUCUAUAUUUUGAUGAUAGACUGGACUUUAUUCCUGAAUGGGGUUAUGAGACUCGUGUUUUUCCUAAUGAUCAAUGGGCUGCUGCAAAUUGUGAAACUUAUUUUGCCUCAAGUUAUUCAACCAACAUAUACCCCACAUUUCAAGAUAAUCUAAGUACUCCAAUUGAUACUUUUGGAGAUUUUUCACCUCGAUUUCAAACGUGGUAUGACCCUUACCCAAACAGGUAUGAUCAAGGAGGGUGGGAUAAUUUCAAUUUUAAUUAUGCGACCGGGCCAAUGAAUUUUCAACAGCAAGAGUCUCAGCAAUCAUCCUCCGUGUCAGGUAUGUCUCUUGAAGAAAUGAUUGAAUUACUAAUUGUUAAUUCAUAUCGAUUUCAACAGGAGAUGCAAGCGAUGGUGGAUCAAGUGCAACUAUUGACAUCCGAGAUAGCAGAUCAAGUACAUCUAUUGACAUCCAGGAUAACGCGAUUGGCUUCUCACCUUGAAGAAUUGCCUGCACAAACCAAUACCAACCUUGAGGAAGAUGAGAGUGCAAUUGUCCGGCCAAAUGACAUGAAACUGCAAGAGUUUCAAAAAAACAGAUCUAAAGCUACAGUUGAAAAGGAAGUUGAAGUGCAAGAAAUGAGACCCCAGUAUCAACUCGUUCAAGUGAAUGAAUCCAAUGAACAAUCUUUAAAUGCGGUGACAUCUCAUCCAUUCCUUCAUCAAUAUUCUCCUGACUCUUAUUGUUCAAUUCCUGCUAAUGAAAUUGACUUUAUUAUACCAGAAAAUUUUAAAUUUCAUGACAGGAAUAAAUUAAGAGUGAUCAUGGCAAGAUAUCUUGAACCAAUAAAUGCAAGUGAGGGAGGAAUGAAUGGAGAAUUCAAAUUAUCGUUGACUUGUUUGACACCAUUUAUUAGUCCAAGGAAGACCGUAGCUCGUGUGCUCAAAGAUUACUCUAUUUACGAGGGCUAUCGGACUAUAUAGAGGAUGAAGCAUUGAAACGAGCCACAAGAUUUUAUCCUCCCUGAACAAAUAUGACAAUGUCUAGCCAAAAACAUUAAAAAAAUGCGCUCAUUGGGAGGCAACCCAAUUUCUUUUAGUUAUUUGUUUAUUUUUUGUUCGUUAGUUUAAAUAUAUUUUUUCUUGGAUUUGACUGAUUUAUGGUUUCAAUUUUCGUUUUUGAUGAUUCAUAGGUAUCUCUUUGACAUGACGCGCCCGCGCCAACUGGGCGCGUGACACAUUGCGAUCUCCUGGUGCUUGGUAAAAAGGGUUUCGAUCUCCUUGACGUGCCCGCGUCAAGUCACAUGGAGAGUUCACGGUCAGAAGGGUUCUUGCCCUCAUGACGUGCCCGCGUCCAGUCACCUAGAAAGCUCCUCCUUCCAUGCCUUCAUGGCAUGCCCACGUCACGUUCGCGGGAGAGAUAAGUAUUUAAAAAACUCAAGAACGGUUGUUGAUUGUCGGUUAAUCUCUGCUUUUGAAUCUCGAAAAUAAAAUUUGCCAAUGAGAAAAAAUUUUCAAAAAAAAAAAUUUAAAAAAUAAAAUUUUUGUUUCACCGUAGCUUAGAUUUUCAAAGUGUAAUUUUUUUUAAAAAAAUAAAAAUAAUUUCUCUUUCUUUUUCUUUUUCUUCUUUUCUUUCUUUUUCUUUCUUUCUUUCUUAUUCUUUCAUUUUCUUUCUUCUUUCUCUCUUCUCCCUUGUUUCUUCCUCUUGCUCGAUGCAAAACCUUUGUCCGCCGCGCCAAUCGAUCCGCCACCAUCUCCUCUGUUGCCGUGCGCCGCCACUCUCCGUUUGACCGCCAUUUCUUCGAUCCACAUCGCCGCAUCUCUCUCUCUCUCUUUGCCCACCUAGCCCGCGCACGCCGCCCAUUCUUUCCCCCUCACGGCUCUCUCCCUUGCGCGCUCAACUUCUUCGCGGGCUACCCACGUGGCCACCUAGUCAAGUCACCGCCGUCGAUCCCACCCUCGCACGCACGCUGCCACCACUAGCUGUCCUUUGGCCGCCAACAUCAUUCUCUGUCACAGCGAUUAUUUGGCAGCUUCCAGUGGUGAAGGUAUUCGAACUCCAAUUCCAAGUCUUUGAUAUUGUUUGGUGUUGCUUGUGCGAUUAACUGUCCAACUGGAGUCAUUUGAUGAAAUUUUUGGUGGGUUGAAAUUUUGCAUUUGUCUAUUGAUCAUUGGAAGGCAUCUCUGCCAGUGUUUCGAUUACUGAGGUUUUGGUUCAAUUAUUUCUGAUAUUGCCUAUUGAAUUGGGGCCCUGUGCCGCGUGAUUUACUUUGUGAGAUUGGUGAUCACUAAUUGCAUUAUUGGGGACAUUCUGGCGAUUGGUUCAUAUUGCUAAUUUGGGGACCAUUGUCUGUGCUUUCGAUUGUUUUAUUUGUGCAUGUGGUUGUCAAGCUGCUCGAAGUCCUUUUUUGGCUGAUUGUUGACUUCAGUGGUCGGGGUUGAAUACUUAUCUUGUUGGUAUUUUUCUUUGGGUAAUCUUUCUUUGCUGGUGGGUGACUACAUACUUGGCGCUAUUGCUCUACUACUACUUUGCUAUGCUCUAGCAAUUUCUUUGGUUUUGGAUUGUGAUUUGCACCAGUGGUACUGGUGGGGUAAUUGGAUCUCAAUUGAGUACCUCUAUUUGGUUGGCCGAGUUAUUAUUGUCAAAUUUCUAAGCUAUUAUUGUUGAAAUUGCUGAUUCUGAGUUAAGACAUUAACUGGCCAACUGGAGCCAUUUGUUGAGAUUUUGGGUGUACAGAGUCUUGCAUUUGCUGGUUGAAUUGAGUUAUGAUGUCUCAGAACUUGGGCGCGUACUUCCACUACAUCGGUUUCCCUCCACCGUCCCCGCCUGCCUUGUAGCCACUCGAGAGGGAAGUUUCGUUGUCCUCUUCGCUUUAAUUGCUUUAAUCCCUCCAUUGAGGACAAUGUAGGAUUUAGGUGUGGGGAGUACAGCUGUGCUAGUUUUUUCUAGUUUUUAAUUUUCAGAUGUUCUUCUUUUAUUUUUAGUUUGUUAUUUGUCUAGUCUUCGUUUACUUUCUUUUUUUAAUGAAUACCGAAGUUUGAUGUUGGAUUGUUGUCUGUAAUUCUACUAUUGCCAAGUUUUAAUAAUAAAAGGGUAUCAAGUUAAUGUGGUUUAGUUUAGGGACUUCUUUUUGGUGAAUAUCAGUAAUUGCUUGACUCUUUUAUUUUUUGGUUAACUAUUCUAGGCAUAGGAAAUAAUUGUUGAUUUUUUCAUGUGAAUUGGUCCGAUUAUUAACUUUAGUUCUCCAUGUUUGAAAAUUUGAGACUGGCUGUUGUUACUAUUGUGUUGUUUUGUAGUUAUCGUACUAUAUGAGUAUAAAUAAGAGUUGACUGUACUCCGCUAGUUGCUACUACCGAGUAACCGGGGAUUUUCACCUAAAGUGUCGAUUCUCUCGUCAAAAAGUAGUAAAUGCUAUAAGUACGUGGUCACGUGGCGAUAGAACCUGAGUAACCGAGUUCUUUCAUCUGACAAAUGUCAGAGUUUGCGUUAAAAGGCUCCCAUGGCUAUAAGACUAAGUCUCGUGUUACUAUUGAAAAAAAAAUGAAAAAAAUGAAAAAAAAGUGAUGGUUGUGUUAAUGUGUGAUAAAAGUCAGCUUGCCGAUUUAUGGAUUUAAUGUUGAGAUUUUGGUUAAUAGUUGGACCAUUUGCUGAUAAAUGUUGAGCGACCACUCCUUUUUCUUAGAUUAGUUAACCUGAAAUUGGAAGAGUUUAUGGUUUAAAAGCUAAUCGGAGUGAUGUUUUUUGGACUUGACCAUUGAUGCUUGAUUAUUAUUUUUCUUGGUAUCUUGGCAAUUUGGUGGAUAGAGCAAUAGCCACUAUCACAUAUUGGUGUUUGUUUGUUGUUCUCAUGCUUGAGGACAAGCAUGGUUUAGGUGUAGGGGGAAUUGAUCGGUUACAAUUUCAUUAUUUAUUUUAUUAUUAAUUUUCCCUAUUAUCUGACCUGAUGUGGAUUAAUUAUUAGAUUAUACUCACUUUUCGUAAUUUACAUUUAUUUCAGGGAGUAGAAUAAAAAUAUCACAAUCAAGACCAAUUUGACAGUCAUCGGGAAAUAAUUCAAAUGGAAGAUCUUCAGGGAUAUUUUGGAACAAGGAGACACAAGUCUUUUUGGGUAAUUUGCGGAAGACAACAUUCAAAAAAGAAGCACAAAAGGCUGGAGUCGUUUCUCUCCUAGUGGGCUGCCACACAUGAGAGCCAAGCAUUAGAAUAGAUUAGUAAUUCAAUAGGUACGGGGAGUAGCAGAAGACUUCUCUUGGGCUUUGGACAAUUUUGUCCUUUAGUGGUUUUGAGUCCACGUAUGUUACACUUAGGGUAGAAAUAAGGGGUCAUCAUUUUUUUUGACCAAGUAGUCUUUUUUUCCAUUAUUCGGUUUUCCACCGUUUUUUCUUCCCUAAUUGGGAGAAUGUACAUCGCAACUAUUUAUGCAAUUUUGUAUGGGAUUUUUUCAUCAAUAAUGAGCUAAACCCUUUUUUCUAAUCAAGGAGCAACGGAUGCUUUGACUCGCCUAAAAUUAUGAGAUUGAUUUAAUUUUACCUUUUUCUUUUAUUUAUUGGUAUUCGCAUAUUCCCUGGUUACAGUGCUUGUGAUUGUUUAAUUGAUUGAUUGUCUUGGAUCCGGAUAAUUAGUUAAUUUGAUAAUCUAUUGUCAAUUGGGACGUUAAAUCCGUAAUUGUUUAAUUGUCUCAAAAUAGUGAUAACUGGCAUGAUUGGGUUUGUGUCAAAGGAAUACGCGGACUAAUCUAAAAUAACCCUAGUAGUGUGUUAUUUGAUUAGAAUAGGGCUCCUCUAAUACGUAAAGCAAUUGGGAAAUUAAAUCUUACGGGCGUACCUAAGAUUAUUUUCUCAAUUAGAGUAGUGAUUAACGGGCGUACCUUAAUCACCGACACAGUAAGGAGGGGUUGAUUGUCAUCGCUUGUUUGGCAGUUAUAACCUAUUUAUUGGUAAAUAAUUGGAAUUGCCUUUGUUUCAAUGAUCAAUUAGGUGAACCAUUGCUGAAAUUAUUCCUUGGCUAGAUCCUUAAUUAUCACUUAUUUGAUUUUAGUAAAUUGUUAUUUAAUUUCUAGUUGGCUAUUUUAUUUUGAUUAUUUUACUUUUAGUUGAAUUGCUUAAAUUGUCACUCCUGAUAUAAAAACACCCCAUUGUCACUGUGAAUUUGAAAAGAAACAAUUACUCCCAAUCCUUGUGGAUUCGACCUUACUCACCGCUAUCUACAGAAAUUACUUUUAGUUUGAGCAGGUUUUAUUAUUGUACAGGCCGACGACCUGUCAUAUGUUGCCGCAAUUUCGCAUAAACAGUUGACUGACUACAUGAGUAUGUGAUGCAUAUUGAGUUAAUCAAUCUCAGAAUUUUUGAUGUACAAAUGACUAGAAAUUAGAGAUGCAUUCAGCUAUGGGCCUGGUGGCUCUGUAAUUUGCAAUGACAACAAAUUCAUAACUAAUAUCUGCAGCACUGCAGUAUUCAAUCAGAUUUGGAAUAUGGGAAAAAUGAACAAAACAAGAAAUAUUAACCAGAUUAGCAAUCAAAGUAAACGGUAGACAACUCAGAAGAAAAUGAGCACCAGAGGUUGAAACGAGUAAAAGACACUUUCUAAGAUCAAUGGCUACCAUUACACAAGUAAAAAUAGGGAUCUUCUUGAAAUACAGCAUAGGCGAAUAGAAAGUUCCAUGAAUUGGGAAUGCAUACGAAAAAAUGAAGAAUUCACAUAUGAUAACUCAUUUUCUCAUUUCGAGUACUUGACUCUUGAAUUGAGACCAUUCCGCUAUUAAUCUGUGUUAUUGGCAGGCAUUGUUUUACAGAAAGAAGUGGUGGUAGCGCCUGGGACAAGAAGCAUCCCAUCACAUGAAAAAAAAUAAUGAACAUUGUAUCAUUGGUACAAAAUAUUUUCCAAGAAUUAUAUUUGGAUAAAUUUCAUUUUGACCCCCUAAACUAUUUGUAGUUUCCCAUUUCAAUCCCUAAAUUUCAAAAUGGGACACUUAAGUCCCCAAACUACUGAAUCCGUCCCAAUUAAUUAAAAACAUUGAUAGAAUCCACAAAACCAUCAGAGUUUUUGCAUCAUGUAAAACAUGUACUAUUGACCAAGGGCAAGGAUGGAAAUUCAAAUAAAAUAUAUUUAAAAAGAAAAGGGAAUUUAUUUUAUCCAGCACAUUCGGGUCAUAUAAUCGACCCGAUCCAAUUCAUAAAAGGGAAGUGAUGUUUCCUAAGAAAAUAGAGAGCAAUUGGCUGAAUCUCCAAAUAAGAGGUAAAAACUAAGAAGAAAAGAGCAUAUGAAGAUAAGAAAAGAGACAAAGGAAAGAUCGCACAUUAAAUUUAUCAUGAUUAAAUUUUUUGCAUGUUAGAAAGACACUCCGCCUACUUUGCUUUAAGAUGUCAAAGAAUCACUAUCCUUGUGAUGAAUUUGCUCCAACAAUAAAGACAAUCUUCUACAGGAUAUAAUAAAACUGUUCUCUUGAUUUCUCAAAAGAAAGUGUAAAAAUCGUACAUCAAUUUUGAUUGAAUCCUCGUUAUAGAUGUUAAAAGAGGGUGUUUGAAGAGUUAUUACUGUAUUUUAUAUAGCGGAUACAAGUACCGGAGUAGGAAUGGCCAAACAUUUGAGUCCAAACGGGCAUAGUGUCUAGAGAGCUAUCAUUAAAUCUUGACACAGUUCGGACUUCAAAACAUUUAGUUUGGCCCACGAACAUCCACUUUGACAGAUUUGCAUAGUUUUGGCAAACUACUCAAUAAUUCCCCACUAAUUUGCAAAACUUAUGUAUCUUAACCCAUGGAGUCUUCAAUAAUACAACUUUAACUGAUGAAUCUUAAGCAUAAUUAGAAGUAUCUCUUGAUUUAAACUUCCAACUGGUGUAGGUGAUUUAAAUUUUUAAUGGAGUUGUUAGAGUUCUUAAAUUGAACUAUAACUCUUAUAUGUCAAAGACGAAAACACAACACAAUUAAUUAUUGUCUUCUUUUCUCAAGAGGUUAAUAUGAGCUUUAAUUAGAGCUAUUUUAGCCACAUGCUAAUCCUAGUUUCACAAUCAUCUACAAAAGUAUACUCAAACUCUUGUUGAAAUGGCAUCACUUCAAUACUUAUACAGGUAAAAUUGUACUUGUAGAGUUCUAUGUUUAUGUCAUGCAAAAUCAACAGCAAUCCCACUCAUGGGAGUACUGUAAAGUAAAUAUUAUUGACUAGGAACUUAUGUUAAGCAAAUUUCUUUAUGAUUUACAAAGUCAAAGCUAUCGAACCAGUGAGGGUGUUUCUGCCUAAGUCCAAAUGAGACAGAUAUUCGAAAGAAAACAAUGACCUUGCAAUAUUUCCAAUGAAUUUAUUGCUCUUCAAACUGAUGUAUGUUAUGUGUGCGUAAUUCAUCUAACAAUCAGGAAUUUCUCUUGAUAAAGAAUUCUUUUUAAGAUCUAGAAUUGCAAGGCCUGAUUUUCCAUUCUUCAUUUCACACAAAAAGUGAGAAAUACCUCCUGAAAACAAAUAGAUUGAAAGGUCUAAUUGUUUCAGAGAAUGAGAAAUUGAUUGUGCUAGUGGACCAUUGAAUCUGUUUGACUAUCAUAAAUAUAUAAUCUUUCAACAAUUUCAGAGAUGUUGAACUCUUACCAUGAAGUUGAUUGUGAGAAAGAGACACGAAUCCUGUUGUUGAGUUGAAUAACCAAGGGGGAUAGUAUUUGAAAUUCCUGUGGAAGACAAAUUCAAAUACCGAAGGGUUUUUUGAGACAUAUAGGAAAUUGAAGACUGAGAUUCCAAGAACCUAAUCCAAGUCUUUCAAAUGUGCUAAAAGAGAUGUUGGCAUUAAAUGGCAUGGUGGUUUUUAUCCUCCACUUUCUAAGCACUGUUACCGGUCAGAUUUUGUGGCCUUCAAUGCCAACAAUGUUUCUUAUCGUCCUAACACUGCUAGCUUCGCUUAUCGAUAUUUCCAGUGAAGAAAUCGAGAAGUUGCCCCACUAAUGGGGAAGGUAUUUUUUCAGCAAAAUUGAGCAUCUUAAAUUGUUGCCUUUCUUUACUUUAUUGUUAUAUUUCAAGUGAAAGAUAUCAUGUCAAUUUAUGGACCAUGGACGAAUUAAUAUGAAGUGGACAGAACUUGGACCAAGUUAAAAUCUCAUUUGAAAUUUCCGACAUUUGGUGUUGAACACCGAUCAUAUAUAUGCUCAAACCAAAGCAGGCCACUGCAAAUGGUGCAGCUAGUUUCGUUAGAAGCCUGAUUAGGCCCUGUCGGGGCGGUGGAACAGAUUAGACUAGCAGAUGUCAGUCUAUUGAUCAUUGGCAUGAAAAUGCCUUCUUGGAUGUCUUCAUGUACCAAUUUCGAACUUGUGUAGCACUAGUUUUACCUCUUCUGGUUGCCAAUUCUAUAUUCUUAACUAAAAGCUCAUUUCUCCAAUUUCUUAUUCAAACUUAAUUACAAUUGAAGGUGUCCACUUGUUGUGAGUGCAAUUAUCCCAAUCCAGAAUCCCCUAUCAAUAAGAGGUGGUCAAAUUUUUGGUCCAUUAAUUUGCCGUUGGACUCGAAAAUUUUUUCUUUUGAAUAUCAACGGUUUCAAUAGUUAUGUAACCAUAACUUUAGAAUAGUAGCUGUUGAGCUGCCUUCUAAGUUAUAUGGAAAAGUCUGAAGUAACAAUCGUUAUGGUAACGAAACUGUUUUGACAUGAUAUGAUAGAUAAAAACACUUUUAAUAACUAUUUGAUUACCUGUUGAACCAGUUACCUAAUUUUAAUCUUACAAUUAAAAACUUACUAAUAUUAAUAUUAAUUAUUUUAAUACAAUAUUUAAAAAGACGCUAAAAAACUUGAUGUGUCGCUAAAGUUAAUAGAAACCUACAAUAAUAAAUUAUCCUAAUUUCAUACCAUAACUAUAGUCACUAUAGCAUUGUCCUGUAUACAUGUAUGUUGUCAGUUAUUGCUAGAGAAGGAUAAUAGUUGUUGCUGGCUAGUAUGUAAUUAGCUUCCCAUUGUUUUGUAACAUCCAAAUGUCACGUUUGCAAGAAGAUAGAGUCCAAUAUAUUUGACAUUUUGACAGUCAGCCAAUGAAAAUAAAAUACCUCUUUCACAAUAAUAAAAUUAGAGCUCAGUGGUAAACAUAUCGUACCAACAGGGAUUAAAAUUAUUUAUUUCUUUCAAAAUAAUUAAUAGAAAGGAGGGAUUUUGGAGAUUAAACCAACUAAUUAAUUUAAACACAAAAUAAACAUACAAAAAUUAAGUAAAAUUAAAUUAAUAAUAAUGGAGCUCUAGCCAAAGUAUUAACUUCUGAAAUGCUUUUCUUGACUAUCUUGAUAAUUAAAGUACGACCAUUCGCUACUUUCCUAAUUCAAAAGAUAAUCAUAUGUAUGACCAACCAUAGGAUUUAAACUUACAAUUGCAUUAGAAAUAAAAAAGCUCAAUUCUAAUCAACGAACACGCUAUGGAGGUUUAUUUAAUUUUGAUUAUAUAUCUCCCUAACACAAACUCAAUCAAGCCAUUCACCACAAAUAUUGACCUAUAGUUUGUUAAGCUCCUUUGUUUUCCUUCAAUCUUCUGUACAGUAAUCUGCUUCAUUAGGUACAUUAAAUUAAGAAUCUAGUAGGAAAGUAAAAAGAAAGAAAUAGUCAGCCAUUCAUACUUGAAAUUCACAAGCACAAAGUUUCCAGUGGAGAAAGACACAGAAACUGCUAAGAUAGGAUAGGAUAGGUCCUACGUCAAUUAAAAUGUCAGAUGUUCUUUCUUGGAAAACCUGCCAAAAGGAAUCAACUGUGUAUAUGCCCUUCCUGAGCUUUGCGAGGCAAUGGAACAAAAGAAAAGCAAAGCAAUAGAACAAAUAUAAAAUGUUCGAUAUAACCUUAUAUUGGGACUAGGAGGUAUAAUCUGCGCGGUGCGCGGAGGUAUAGAAAGAGAAGAUGCCCAAGACAAGCAUAUGAUAUGGAAGGAAAAUAUCGGAGGAGGAUAUAAAGCAAAAGGCAGAAAAAAGGAUGAAAGGAUAGACACACACAAGAUUCAUAAAGCAUCGAAAAUCAAGGCAUGAUAAGCAAAAUCCAUAAUAAUAAAGCAUCGAAUUUGCCGCUACUCAUAUUAGACUUUGUUAGAGCUACUAAUAACCGACAAAGUUGCAGCAAAUCACUAACAUCUCACGGCAGCCUUUAAUUCAUAAAGAAGGAGCUAUAAAUAUUUGAUACAAGGUAGUCUCUUUACUCCUUUGUAGAUGGGCCUUCAACUCCCUGCAUGAGCUAGAACAGGAGUACAAUUUUUGGCUCUAUGUUUAGUUGGUCUUUGUUGAAGAUGAUCGGCUACUAAGGGAAUGACAGCUCCACUAAAUUUUACAUGGUCCCAGAAAUCACCCCCUUCCUUUCCAAUCCCCUUCCACUGUUUUCCUGUCUUUUAGCAACUUGCACAUUGCAGGCGGAGGAGAUUAUGAACUUCUAUUUUGUGACUGCAAAAACUGCUGGCCCUUCCACCUGGAAAAUAUCACCAAAAAGAUAUUGCAAAAGAGAACAAAUUUCAGCAUCACCAAACCAGAGUGAAUCUAAGCCAUGAUUUUAAGACAAGCCCACAUGAUAAACAAUCAUCUUUGACCAAUAGAUCCCCCUAAUAAGGGACCAAAUGACCUCACUGAGUAUAUGCUCCUGGAUUUCAAAAAAAAAAAUGGUUUGCACAAUUUUUUUUUCUUUUCUGUGUUAUUUGGCUGGUAACAUAGAGAGAAUCUCAUCUGUUUACCAUGAACUUUGCUCCCCAUAUUUCUUCCUCUUUAGCUGGAAUUGCAGUGAUCUUAUUCUUUGGAUUCUCAUAGCUUCUCAGUUCACCCAAAGCUGUGGAGAAGAAGGAACCUGAACAAACAGACAUCAACGCACAUUACAAGAUUGGAAUUGUUCAACAUAGCAAAGAAAUUUGAAAGAAAAGAUGUACUAACAAAAAGAAAGGAACUUUAGUGUUCCUUAACACAAGCAGUUAAUGUAUUCAUUAAUUUAAGAAUCAAUUCUUUGAUGGCUGAAUUGAGCGCCUAAGAAUCAAAUUUACCUUGAGGGAAAGAUGCAAGGGACUUGCCACAAGCACCUUUAAGCAAGUCAGCAUCAUCUGCAAAUGCUACCCAUCCAUCAGCAGUGAUUCCACAAUAUAGAGGAACCUUAGCCUUUUCAUCCCGUCACAACAUCACCAACCAGACUGUUAAAACAUUUCAAUUAAGUCAAAUCGGUAGGUAAGGAAAUGCGAAGAUCACUCACAGUAGCCACAAACAAGGUGGAGGUGGCCUUGCCGAAGACAAUAAAUGCAAAAUUCCCUUCUGGGUGGCCAACAACAUGGUUUGGAGGAUAACGUGCCCUGUCACGAAGCGCCUUGUAUGCUUCAAUCAUCAAAACCACCUCAUUUGAAGACUUUGGAAGCCUGUAUUGUUGCUUCAGACUCCCUAGAUUAUCAAGUGCUCCCUCAAACAAGCAAAAUAUGUCAUCCUUAACUGCGAAUGACCUACAAAUUUGUAUUGCCAAGUUAGUUUCACAUGUCACUUUUUAAAAAAAAAUUGAUUCACAUAAGGCCUAAUUACUGCUAACCAACCAAAAAUAGGUUUGCAAGUUAACAGCUUUAAAAGUUAAAAGAUAUAUGUAUAUUUCAUCAGAUCAUCGCACGGUACUGACUACAAAGGUCCCAAUUUUUUGCUUCUUCCCCGCCAACUCUCUCCCCAUUUUUUUUUUUUUUUAAAUAGACUCUGGCCGGGAGGGGGUUGGGGAGUUGGACUUAUUGGGGAGGUUGACUGACUGAAUGGAAAUGAAUGGGAGUGAGUUCAAGUAACUUGAUUCUCAAGAUAAAAUGAAGCUGCUAAAUUUACCUCUGUGUUUUCUUUUCUGCCAAUUGAUUUUGUUCCGUAUUAAUCACUAAAAAUAAUAAUAACAAUAAUAAUAAAACAUAUUCUUACUUUAGCCGGUACUUGUAAAAGCAAGAAUGUACUUUCACUUUUAGACCCAAAGGCAUUGCAUGUAAUAAUUAAAAACAACAAUUGAACAAAGGGAAUUAAGGGAAGUGCUGAUCGAUCGGACCAACUCUCUAUUUCUUCUCAAAGUACAGUUUGAUUUGUAAGCAAUACUCAUUGAGAUUGGCUGCCGGCAACAUAUGUGAUAUGAUAUGCGCGGUGGGCUGGGGUGGAGGUCUUUCAAAAUGGUGUGAACCAACUAUAUGCGAGUAUUAACGAUGUUGCUUGAACAAGCUUGAACAAGCUUGAACAAGGGACAAUCCACAAAAGCUUGAACAAGGGAAAUAGAAAAAAUGGGAAAGCACAUCAGAACAAAGAAGGUAGUACCUUAGAAAGGGCAAAAAACAGAGCAAGCUGCGGAAGAUGCUUCUGCGCUUCCAACUCUAUCUUAGACAGAGAAUAAGAGUCCAGAAAUUAAAAAUCAUUCUACCUGCAACCUGAAAAAAGUGAAAAAAAUUCAAUGCAAUGAAGGUUUUAACCCAAAACCAAGAGAAAGGGGAAAAAAAGAGAGAGAUCUAGUGCAUGUUGAUGACUGAGGAAGGGGAAGAGGACCGGCCAUGAAGCUCAGUAAAGUCACUAGUCCAGAACACGUCGUCUUCGUUAAGCUCCGGAGGCAGAGUUGUCUCCAGAAAGCAGUGAGAGCGGUGCUUCGUUCAGUCAGAGCGAAAACGCUGAGAAAUCUGUCAGAGGAGGGCAAUUGACGAUGACGGGAAUUAACGGUGCCAUUUUGGUCCAUUUGAGUGUGACAGCUAUGGUCCUACCUACUACUACUACUACUGUUGCCACCAGCAGUAGUGAAACUGCAGGACCGCGCGAGUAAUCUGUUGCCGUUGGGAUGGGUUUAGCUUCUGAGGAUAGAGGUAGGAUGAAGGAGAAGAGGAGAGAAGAAAGAAAGCGGCGGCAGCGGCAGCGGAGGAAAUUUAAGAAAACCCUAGAGAGGAAGUAUAUGCAGGCGUCAGCGCAUCGCGCGGGAAAAAAAGGCUGGUGACUCACAUGUGCGGCACGUGAGAGGACGACGAAAACCAUUCCAGGUCACAAGAGGCCUUCGGCUCUUAUUUUAUACUAGGAGAUGUUCACCGUGCUCGUGCACGGUGGUAAGUUGUAGGUAUGCCCAUGUUGAGAGUACAGUAAAUAUUUAUUUUAGAAGAGAUUUGUUGUACAGAGAACUUAUUAAGCUUGGUUGGAAUUUUUUUUAAUUCUAUAGGUUAUUUUAUAUUUAAAGAGAUAGAACAUUUAAAAUUCCCUGUUUUCCUGGUGUACACUUAAGUAUGCAAAGAAAAUGAAUAUGCUAUACUUUAAAAUGUACACACGAGAAGUUAAUGCUAUUCCAAUGUAAUGCAUUCAGUUUCAGUUGGAUUGAUACAAAUUUUUCUUCUUCCCCAAAAACAAAGACACCAUAGUGAGUCUACAGGGAGGAGAAACUCUAAAGCAUCAUCCACUCAAUAAGCUAAUAGCAAAAGCGGCUACAUAUUGACCCAGAGAAUCCAGUAUAAGCAGCCUGACAUCCUAUACCCAAUUGCAACAGAAGGAAAAAGAACAAGGCAAAGAAUCAUAAAUGCAAGAAACACAACUAAAUAGCAACCUAGGCAAGAAGUAAAUUAUCACAAGGACACCAAAGCUUUCAUAGUACCCUUUAAUUUUCCAGUUUUGUGUGUGCAUGUGAGAGAGAGGCAAUAAUUAAUAAAAACAUUACAAUGCAAGUUCCAAAUCACCGUGGUAAAGAAAAAUGACAUAAUCCAAAUACAUUUUCGUUUUCUUAUUCUAUAACCUAUGAUAUGCACUCUGGCUGCUUUUUAGCAGUGAGUGCAGAGGCAUAGAGGCUAGAAAAACGAAAUGUUUGCAGGCAACUUUUUCGGUGGGAGAGUUUUUCAUAAGAAAAAGGAGUUAUGGAGGAUGGAAUAAUACAUGAGCAAAAAUAGUCCUUAUACUAAACGUUGAAAAAAGAAACAUGGCAUAGGAAAAUUUCUUAUUUUGAUAGAUCUAAAUUCACUCAUUUUUCAUGAUGGAGUACACAUGGAAACUAUGAUACCACGAGAACUGCUUUUCGACACCAUACUCAUAAAAAAUUAGAACAUUGUAGGUGUAAGCUGAUUCAGGAAGGAAAGCUAAAAUUUCGUCCAAUUCCAGUUGAUGCUCAGCAACAAAGACGUCCCAGAGAUUAUCCUUCUUUUCCUGUGGCAUUUUUGCAUAACGCUUGCGAUGCUUGGCAUUUCUAUCCAUUAAGCUGGCACCAAUGAAGUAAAUAAUUCACACACUCCCAAACACAAGUUAGCUAUCAGCCAAAAAAUGCCAGAACAGUAGCAAGACAUGAAGGUGAUAUAUAUGGCUACUCUCAUACCACAUAACAUCUAUAGUAGACAAACUAUCCAAGCAAACUAACAGAAACAAGACCAACAAGAAAGGAAUAGCAAAUGAUAGCCAAAAAAGGAAGGAAAACUUGCAAAAUAAAAACAGAAGAGGCUAAACGAAUUUACCAAAAAAGAAUGAAUGAGCAAGGAGGUUUAACAAUAAAAGUCACAUAGUUCGAAGAGUAGAAAGUGGUUACAACUCCAGGAGAUGCACAUACAAUCUACAUGUAAGAAAGGGAAGCAGCACAUCUAGUGCAGCAACAGUGCGAAACCAAGGAAAAAGGAGCAAACAUCUAGUGCAGAGCAGCUAACAUAAAUUGAAAAGGCAUAAAUACGUUUUCAUUGCUCAACUAACAGCAAAUGGGACAAAUAACAUAAAACACUGACGAUUUAUAUCUAUAAAAGCGAGUCCCAGUGAAAAAAACACACAACAUUUCCUGAAAGAGGCAAGAGAAAUAACAAAGAACAGUUCAAAGAGCAACGACAUAUGCAACGAGCAAAUAGAAUAUCAAGCUAGACACACCGGAGGAACAACAGUCACUCAAAAACAUUAGCAUAUAAAAUAAGAACGUCACGGAGAAACGAGAAAACAAGUCAUGAGUUUACAAACGCAAUGCACACUAUAUAACCAGAUAAGCAGUUGACAACCAGCUAAUGCAAACCAUUUAAAAGCAGUUACCAUGGCAAAUCAAUAUAAUAAUAGCCACUAAUCUAUUAAGGAAAACUGUUAAUUAGUAAACAAGUCAAGCUGAAUGCAGAUUGGUAGAAGAACAACCUCAUUGAGCUUUAGAACCUGGAUAGCCAAGAAACAAGAAAUAUAAUUUGAUUAAAAGAAGUCUAAAGUAGAAACAGGAGGAACACCUCUUCCACCUCAUGGCAACAAGGAGUAUACUGAUGCUGAUGCCAAGAGUCAGAAAAAAGGAGCACACGCCUCCAAAGCAAAAGGAUCACCAAGAGGAACAGGGAUGCCGCAGCCAAUAGCUACAGGAUUAAAAAAAAGAUCAAAACUUCAGCAUGCACAAAAGAACAGAAACAAGGCAGAAAAACACGGGCAAAAAGUAAGAAGAAGGAAAGCAGGUCACAGAAGGCACUAACAAGCAUUACAGCAAACAAAUAAAGCGUAAAAAGAAAGGAUCCGAAAGAAAACUGAGAAAUGAGGAAAAAAAUAAAUAAAAAAGCAAGAGAAAAUGAGAGAAAACCGAAAGAGAAGGAAAAAAACAUCUGGAAGCAAAAGAAGAGUGAACAUGUCACGGCCCCACCUCCCCCUAAGGCAAACCAAAGGGUUUGGCGAGUCGUCUGCCCGACUCUCGCCGGGACUCAGUCGUUCCUUAAUCAAAUCCAGAAUAAAUCACAAGAAUAUAUAGGGCAGUAAUCCAAACUUAAAGCGGAACUUAUAUACAUUGCUAUCUCAAAAGGAAGUACAGCCAUCAAAUGUACAAAGGUUCUCACUUCACCAUACAACCAGCCCGUGCCAAGCACUAGGGCGAGAACCAUUACAAAAGAAACAAAAUACCUAGACUAGGCUAGUCUAUGCUCUCAUCCUGCUCGCCGUCCCCUAUUAAGGAAAACAAAACUAAAGGGGUGAGUUAAAAGCUCAGUGAGGUUCCGAACAGAUAAUCAACAAUCAAUUCAAUACAUUAAACAUGGAGUAUUAAUAAUUCAAGAAACAUUUACAAUGGAAAGCAAUAGUUACAUUCAUUAAAAGGAUACAGGCUGACAUGGAGCUAUUCGUUCUUUCGUUCGUUCCCCUAACAUUUCCCCUUAUUCCUCCAAUUAUUUGAAAAUUUCCUUUUUGAGAAAUAAAACUCUCGUGCCUUUGUUCGUUCAUUCAUCCCUUUCCAGACAUUGACCGGACUCCACCCAUCUGGACGUUGACCGGACUCCACCCAUCCGGACGUAGCCGGACUACAAGGUAAUACUCGAGUAUACCAAAUUCACCCAGGGUCACCAUAUCGCCCGAUCGAGUCCGCUUCUGGCUCGAGUCGAUCGGUAACGAAGGGUAGGGCCCAAUUCAGCCAAAAAGGCUUACAUCAUGCGCAACUAAUGUUUCCAUCAUUAAAUCAUUGAAAAUUUUACGUUUCAUUAAGGUCGAGCGCGAUAAAGUACACGCUCGCCUAGAAAACUCGUUUUAGAAAUCCUUGAAAGCACUUAACACAUUAUCAAACAACAACAACAAGUCAUGAAGUCAGGGAGAAUAUAACAAACAAGGAACACUCACCUAGUUAUGCAAAAUAACGUGCAAAAUAUCCUUCCGGAUAUUACCCUUAGUCACCAAUGAAACCUAAGGUUGAACAAGAGAACAUAUUACAGUUUAUCGAGCAAAACAUUUAAGGGAAACAAAGAAACCCGACUAAUUAGGAGUAAAUCGUGUAAAGAUGACUUUCAAGUAAGAAGAGGGUUGUUUGAACCCAAGGAUGAAAAAUCAUGUUUUAAAAUGGAAAGCCGGUCAUGGUAUUGGCCAAACAAAAGUAUUCAAGUUCAAAUAGGAACCUAACCCUCGAGCGAAAAUUUGGGCAGCACGCCCUUUGUGUUUACCUAAUUUUCCAGCCAUUUAGGCUUCAUUAUUUUUCCUCAGCCAAUCCCAAAGUCAUAUAUAUCAUAAAUGCAAGUCAAUAGCCAUUCCAUAGGCUCAUAACAUCAUAAGAAUAAGAAUCAAAGUCGUAACAAGUGUGGAAAUACAAUCUAGCAAAAGACAGAUUUGACGUGUGGUUGUGGAAAUAACACAUCCGAGGCUACGCUUAUCGGAUUGAGGCACAACUUAUACCAUUUCGAAGGUAAGACACAGGGCUACAAUGUUCAUGAAUAUCACUUAGUCCAGUUUCCAAUGCAACCUAGCCAAAUCCUCAAUUUACAGAACCAAAAUCUCACUCGUCGGCUAUUUAACCGAUCUGCACUGGAAUGGUCAUAUCUUAGGUUACCAAGGUCCAUUUAGGGUGUUCUUGUAGGUGUUAGAAAGCUUAAAUAGAUUACUAAAACUUUCAUGUUUUGGAAAAAAGCUAAAUCAGCAUGGAUCCUAGUGAACAAACAUGAUAAACUGGAUGAACUGACGAAAACGGAACACUGGAAAUUUCCUAAAAUAGUGAGGGUAUUUUGGUCUUUUCACAGGCUACGUUGCUCCGAUUGAGCUGAAAUUUUGCAGGCACCUCUAAAAUGUCAUUCCCUACAACUUUCAUGUUUUAAGCUAAGGCCAAUUCGGCCUCUAACAUAGGGCAAUAAAAACAGGCAGAAUAGGAUGAAAAUUUCCAGAAAUCUGAAAUCUUUUGGUUUCAAUGAUAGUUUUCUUAAUUUCUUGCUACACUUGCUACCAAAACCCCCUAUAUAACCUUAUAUACAACAUAUACUAAUUAUACAACAAGUUUAGGCAGAAAUUAAUCAAACUCUAACUUACAUAUUUCAUCCAAAAAUCACCACAACAACUUGCAUCACUUGUAAUCAAACCCAAAACAUGGACUAUUUAACAUCUUAAACAAGAAUAAAAGGAUCAAAGCCAUAGAUCAGAUUUUAUACCUCAAAAAGAAGGCUUGCAAGAGUGAUCCUCCACUAUUUCUUGAAGUUUUUGGUUCCCUUAGCUUCCCAAGCUACCAAACUUACAAUCAAUCGGUUUAGAAUUCGAUUUUAGCACUUGGUUGGUGUAAAUCAAGAAGGAAUUUGUUUUCUCUUGCUCUCCCUUUCUCUCUCUCUUGCUUGGCCAAGACCAGAAAAAAUGAAGAAGAAAGAUGGCUGAAGUGAAGGAUAAAAAGGCAAGAAAAAAAAUUAAUUAAGGAGCCAUGAGGUGGUGACACUUGGCGCCACCAAAGCCAUGCAAAUUUUUCUCUCUCUCCCUUACAUUUUUUGCCACAAAUUUCGGUCAAAGGCAGCUGGAAAUGAAGGGAUAUUUUGCUCAAAUAUCAAUGAGCUCAUGUGGUAAGAAAGUGGUGGUCCAGUGGUGUGUUCAAUCGGUAGUGUGCGGUACACGUCGGUUCACACCGUUUUUCUUUAAAACACCCGUACUAGGGUUUUUACUUCCUAUUCACUAACCUUAUAUCAUUGCUCCUAAUCACGUAUUAUUUCUCACUUAAAAGUCACUUUUAAUCACCAAAUUUGAUCAUUGUUCCGUACCAAAAAAUCAUCCGGCGAAAAUCGCGAAAACCCUAAUUUGCUCCAAUUUUGAAAACGAAGAGUGAAACCCUACUUUCUAGGUUCAUGUGCACUUAUUGGAGAAUGAUUGGGUAGUAGGGCUAUAAUAAAGGAAUAAUUUCUAAAUAAAAAGGCAUUUUUGAAAAAAAUAUAAGAAAUUUGCGAGUCCUCACAGAACAUGCACAGCAUAAGUGCAGGCAACAGGAGACCAUCUCACUACAAAAAAACAGAGCGAAAAAAGAUUAAGAACCCGGACGCGGGUUCACAGAAAAUGGCAAUGCAACAGUAGACUAAAAAGCUAACAAAAGCGGCUAACGAAGAGGUGAAAUGAUCUAAAAAUCAAGAGAAAAGGUAGGAAAAUCUUUGGAAGCAAAAGAAACGGGAACUUGCAGAACAUCAAUGCAUCAUAACAAAGCAGAGGAAGAAAGAUUAAGAACACGCACCUGUGGUUAUGGAAGGCGGCAAUGCAACAGUAGUGAUAGGGUAUACUUUGUUAGUAAUUUUAUUAUUGAUUUCCCCUUCUAUUCCUGACAAAUAUUGUGUUAAUUGCUGAUAUUUACUCAUAUUUGGUAUUUGGAAUCAAUUUCAGGAGUGAAGCAGAAAAUUACCAAAAAGGAGGGAUUUGUAUGGAAAAAUGUAGACUUCUAAGGGUUUCAACCUUUGGGCCCUUGAAUUGGUGGGGACCACAAGCUAGUGCAAGGCAUUUAGUCAUUUGGGCUUUUCAAAGAAAGCAACGUAGAGAAACUUGGAACAACAAGUACUUUGGAGGCUUGUUCACAUGUGUGGGGACCACAGGGAAAUAGCUUUUAGGCAUCUUUCUUUUAGCUUUUUAAGUAGAGACGUACAGAAGCAAAAGGAGAUCCCUUUUUUUUAGACGACUUUUUUAGUUUAGUUUUUAGUCUAGUCUUUAGUUUUUCUUUCUUUCUCCUGACUGGCCUCUGACACACGCCAGGUGUUCGACAAUAUUCCCCAACGGGAAAAACACCUUUUAUUCCUUGCUUCCUAAUAGAAAACGCAAUGCCUUUGCAAUUUAUUAAUUCGUGGGGUGAUUUAAUUAUGUGGCGUGGCUAAGUCUUCCAUCUAGUCAAGGAUCAACUCGACGGCGCAGUCCCGAAAAUCUGUGAGAUCUAAUUAGUUUUCACGUGUUCCUUUAUUUAUUAAUAUUUGCACGUUGUCUGCUUGAAUUUUCAUGGGAUUAUUUUAUUAAUUGGAUGUCAAGGGCCCGAUGUUCAAUGUGAUUUAUUAAUCUCGUGCCAAUUUAGUCAAUUAAAUCCGUAAUUGUUUGAUUGAUUAAUAUUAGUGGCAACUGGUGUGUUCACACACUAGGGGAACGUACGAUCUAAUUUAAAUAACCCUCGUAGCGUGUUAUUGAUUAGGGUUAGAUUUUUCUAGUUAUUAAUGAAAUGGGAAAUUAGUUCCUAUGGUCGUACCUAGGAGUAUUUUCUGGUUAGGGGUGAUCAAUGGUCGUACCUUGGUUAUCAAUAAUUUAAGGAAAAAUUGAUUGUCAGAGUUCAUCGGCAACUAUAACUAGUCUAUUAAUAAAUUAAGUGAACCUCUCUUGCAUCAAUGAUCGGAUAAGUGGACUGUGCCUGAGUAGUUGCAUCCUCGGCUAGAAUUUAUUCAUUCUUGAUUUAACUCCUGCUAUAUUUGUGCUAGUUAAUUAUUUAUUUAUUUCUGUUGAAUUAUUCAAUUGAUUUUAGUUUCAUUCUGGUGAAAUCCCCCCUUACCAAUUGGCAUUUAAAAAGAGACAAAUAUCCCCAGUCCCUGAGGAGACGACCCUACUUGCCAUUGUCUACUAUUCAGUAAUUUUCGUUAACUAAUUAAUUCUGGUAUAUCGGGUUAAGCAAACUCUUCGGGAACAGGGUGAAUCAAGUAACCCAUUGCACACCUAGAGUCCCUGCUCCAGUACCUAGGAUUAACUAUUGACUGCUUUUAGUGGUAGUUGGGAUUUUAUUAUUAUUAUUGCACAGGUUUGACGCCCUGUCAAGUAGCCACCUAUAAAGCUAACAACCAGAAACAAAAAGAAUAUAGGAUAAACAUAGGUAAAAGACACAACAAAAAAAAUGAAAACCAGAAGCAAGCAUGAGGACAGACCACACUAACCAUAAGCACAACAAACAGCAAACAAGCGAUAGCAGAAACCAGCGAGCAGGAGGCAGAAUGAAGAGAAGCAGCCCAAACGGAACCCAAAAAGGAAAAUUGUCCAACAGAAAAUUAACGGAAUUAUCCAACGGUUACGAGAGAUCCUGCCAUAGCCGUACAGAGAUGAGCUGUUGAACUGUAAAAAAACUGAAAGUCUCAGACAGCGGAAAUUUGGCGGCAAAAGUAAUUUUACAUAGAUGGACACACCCCCACAAAAUAUUACCAACGAAUACAAAAAAAAAAAAAAACAAGUCACAAAAAUAAAUCUUGGUGGGGAAAGCGUAAUUUCACCAUUGACCAACAAGUUUGCUAUCCCCAAAAAUGACUAACUGAUGACUGAUGACUGAUGACUAAUGACUAUGACUAAUGACAAACAAAAACAAGGACAGCAUCACAAUUGUCUCUGAGGAAAACAAAAACAAAAGAGGCCCAUGAGAAAAAAAAAAAAAAAACUACCUGGCAGCACCACCGGCCAAUCCCCAGUUGCCACAUGGGCGGACGACCAUCCUAAGUGGCAGGAGGCUUCCCCUCUUUAUCUAUAUGUUUAAUAUGUUGAAAAAUUGCAAAAGUAUUUGGUAAUUACAAAUCUAACGGUAAAUUGGACAAUGUUCACCUAGGUUUCAUCAGCAGCAGAUACAAAGGAAUCCUUUAGAUGCUUCCAUAUGUCUUCAAGUCUAAGCAGCAGAUACAAAGGAAUCCAUCAGAUGCUUCCAUAUGUCUUCAAGUCUAAGUGCGUAAUUCUUUGAAAGAACAGAAAAUACAUAUGUAGACUUCACAAAUGGAGUUCAUCUGUUGAGCAUCUGCAAUGAAUUGAAUCCUCCACUAAGGGCUAAUUUAAACUUAAAAGGACAACCUGAAUGCAUUACUUUCAUCGAUCUGAGCAAUAAAAAUUAAACAUUAGACAUGUACAAACUUUUUGGGAGUGUUAGUUUAGCAGAUGGUGUUGGUUUUUUGGGGUAUAAACUAAGAAACAACAACUUAAUGUUGCAUAAAAAGCUUAAAAGAAACUUGUAUUGAAAGUGGAAAAUGACCUUGUGUUCUACAUUUAUCAACUCAUUAUUUAUAGUGAUUACAUGAAACAAACUAGCAAAAUAUUCAACUAACAAUUAUCCUAAAAAUCUCAACAAGAUAUAAUCUUUUUCUACUGUUAACAUAUUUGUUAACAAACCAACAUGAUCUCUGGUUAACAAAUAUCUUUAUUCUUCUAAUAACUAAAUUAUUUUGAUAUCAAACAUAAUCUAACAAAAUUUGUAGGAAAAGCUGGCAUACAUUAUAGCUCAAAUGAGAAUACUUUUUUUUUUUGUUUGAAAACUUUCAAUGUUUAUUGGGUGAAGAUAAAAUUUUGUGAGUCUAACUUGGGGAGGUGACUCCUAUCCAAUCUCCUCCCCGGAGCCCCUAGGCUGGUCCGCACAUAAUUUGCUAGUCAUUAAGUAGGAAAAAUCAACAUUUAUGAUGACUGGUGCUAUUUUUCUGUUAUGGCUGCUAUCAUAAUUCAUGGCUAGAGACCACCACACUAAUUUCUGCUCCCACCUCCAUGUGUGUGUUAGCGUGUUAUGAAGAUUUCCAUGCUCUUCUUCAAUAUAUAUGAUUUUUUUUUGUUGUUGAUACCAAUCUUUGUGAGCAUGGCAAUGGGCAAAAUUCACUACUACUCCUUAAAUUUUAGCCUAGUUUCGUAUGCUAUAAGGGCUGCCAGCAACAACAAUAUUGCUAUGGAUCAAUCAGCGCUUCUUGACAUUAGUAGAGAAAACAACUUCCCUGGAGAACACCUUAAUUUUGGUAUUAAUAAUUUUGGUGGAGAGCUUCCCUCUUGUUUUCGUUAUUUACAGAAACUCCAGCAACUUUUGACUCAUAAACAAAAGCUUUACGGGCUCUAUCCCGUCUUCUAAGCACUCCAACAGGUGUACAUUACUCAGUAUAUUGCAGCAGGGGAAUGAUUUCAAUGUUCAAGGAUCUUUUGAUGUCAAAGUUAUGAUAAAUUUUGCCUUGUAGUCAUGACAUAUUACAGGAAUUCAGAGUCAUUUAAGGACAUGGGCAAAGCCAAAUUGAAUACAUUUCUUCCACCAGCUAAACAAAUACCUUACUGUCUUUACAAUACGAGUGUUAUAGAGAUUAAAUACUUGCCUAUGUGGUUUCACAGAACUUAAACUGUAACAGUGUAUUUAAUAUCUAGACAAGCCAAUGUUCCACAUAUCAUAUACCAACCAAUGAGUAAAAGGCAAUACUCAAAAGCUUUAUGUGUAAUAGCAUUUUUUCAGCGUAUAUAUAUAUUUGCUACAAGUAAAAGUCUAACUAUAUGAAAGUUUCGUCAACAUGUAUUUACAAGGUUUUUUUUUUUGGGAUAGCAAUUUGAAGUGAUCCCAGUAUAUCUCUAAUUAACUGCAUUGUGGCUAAGGGUGUAAAUUUUUUAGUAGGAACAUACUAGGUAACUUUAAAUGGUUAACUGCUAGCUUAAUACGAAAAUAUUUACCAUAAAAUAAACAAUCAAACGUGCAACGGACGAUAUGGGAGUGCCUUUCACCAAUAGAGAGCCAAUCACAUAUUCAUGUCAAGCAAUUAUGGAAUAACGGAAAAGAAGCGACUUGAGGGACGACUUGAGGCGGGAGACAAGUGCACGUCUCCUUCAUUCCACCGCACAUGACAAAAGAAACAGACCCUAACUUGUCUUGCACGGUGGACACCCGCUAACCUUGAUGCUAUGGUCUCCGAAGACUAUUCUAAUGUCUACCGAAUAGCGACCUGAUAUUGUGCAAAGUUCUAACCCAACAAGAGGUUUAAAGAAGACUCGACUCGACGGUGGCCCUUUCCCCAGUCCGGCCCCUUACGUCCGUCCUUACAUAAUUUGGUAGUAAUUUUAAACUUGGUUAGAAAUAAAUGUAAUGAGUUUUUUUCAAUGUGGUGAAACUUUUAAAGUAAUGACGACUGGAUAUGAAAGUGUUGAAAAUAUGCUUGAAUUUUCUAAGAAGCAAUGACGAAACCAAAUUAAUGAGAAAAACUUGUAUUUAGAAUGGGUAUGUAAAAAACAACCACUUAUGUUUAAUUUGCAUUUUGGCAGAGAGUAUAUAUAUAUAAAGAAAAACUACUAUUCUGAUACUUUAUUGGAACAAGUAUUUGUCCGAUAAAAAAGGUGAUAGGGGUUAAAAGAAUAGUUCAUAAAAUAUUUUUCAAAUAGUAGCAGAUCAAACAAAUAUAGCUUGCAAAAAAUUGUUUUUUCAUGAUAUACUAAACUAGUUCAUCUACUUUUUUAAUAAAAAUUUGUGCAAUCAUAUCAUCUGUGCGUCUUCUAGGGGUUUCAAAUUAUUUUCGUUGAAGUGAUAUCAUUCUUCCAUAAUGCUCGGAUAAUGAAUUGAUUGCCCAAAAAAUUUUUUUGAUUUCUUCCACAGGAUUACAUAGUUUCCCAGCUUGCAAUGACUUGAAAUUCAAAAGGAGUUAACAAGCAACGUCAUGAAUCCAAAUCGAAGGAUAUAAUAAAUUGGGCAAAUUACAUUUUACCCCCUUGUGGUUUACCCUUUUUUUAUAUAACCCUCCUAUGGUUUCAAAAGCUAUACAUAACCCCCUCAUGGUUUGGAUUAAAGUGUCAAAGUGACGGAAAUAGUCACUCGUAACGGAACUUCUAAAAAUGUCAAAAUUACCCUUAUAAAUACAUGACACAUUAGCCCCGUAUGCUUUUUAUAUUUUACCAUAUAACUCCAUUAUGGUUUAAUACUUUACCAUAUAACUCCCUUAUGAUUUUCAAAAUAUACACAUAAUCCCCCUUGGUUAAUAAAUAAUUUUUAACUUUACAUAAGGGUAAUUUUGACAUUUUAAGUGACACCGUUACGAAUAAUAAUUUCCGUUACUUUGACACUUUAAUCCAAACCAUAAGGGGGUUAUGUAUAACUUUUGAAACUACUGGGGGGUUAUGUGAAAAAACGCUAAACCACAAGGGGGUAAAGUGGAAUUUACCCUAAUAAAUUGGAAGAGAAGAAGUCUAGAGCUCACUUUCAGGGGAGACUUCAGAGACGACUAGAGGUAAGAUAAUUGAGCUGCAUCUUCCCCGAUAUUGACAUUAUAUUCUCCGAAGACUAUUCUGCUAAAUUGAGCCAAUCCUGACCUGGUAAUGCAAAAAGUGAUCAAGAGACUACUUAAUAAUUUGAAGCACUAAUGUUCUACCCACCUUGGGUACACAAAUAAUUUGAAAGCCGUUUAAAUUGUAAUUGACAUAUUUUGCGAGAAUGAUAGACAUCUAUGCUAUUUAGUCAUAGCAGCCUCUUUCUCGAUUUGAUGCAUAGACCCGAUGCAGAACACAUUAUUUUGGGAGGGAAAAUUUGAUUUCAUAUGAACUAGAUGGAAUAAUAAAAAGAUCUUGCAAAGUUUUGUAGAGGAGCAAAUAUUUUAACUCAAAAAAAAAAUACUUUGAAAACUUUAAGACAUUUAAGGGACGAAAAUGAAAUUUUCUGAAUCUAACUUGGGACGAUGACUCCUAUCUAGUCUUCUCUCCCAAACCCCUCUAGACCGGUCUGCCGUAAUUUGAUAGUUAAUAAGUAGGAAAGAGAGAAACACAACAUUGAUAUUGACUGGUGGGUAUUUUUCUGCCAUAGAUGUUAUCAUAGCUAGAGACCACCACAUUAAUUGCUAUUCCCCACCUCCAUGUGUGUGUUUUUUUGUCAUGAAGACUUCCACUGAUACGCUCCUCGAUCCACACGUUCGAGACACGUAGCACGUUUGCCCAAGGAUCUAGCGAGGAUGUCCAACGCUUGGAAUUCCGGGAUCUAGAACCAAACGGACGACACGAUUUGAUUCAAGACGGUAGGACGACGACUCCAAUGAAGGUGGAUACUCCACGGGAUAGGUCGGUAGAACAAUCUAGGACGAGACGCAAGACUGCUCAAAACCCUUGCCAAAGCAAGUAAAGGGGUCGAAUCUCUCUCUCAAGAAGAAUCGAAAAUAUGCCAAACUUUAUUGAUAAAACGUCUACCCUUAAACCUUACAAAGCAAGCCUAUUUAUAGGCUAAAGUGACUAAAACCCUAAAGGCUAGGAAAAGGAAAAAGUCGGCCCAUGUUUUUGGAACAAGAUGGGCCGGCCCAUGCUCUUACUUAAUCAUUAACUAAUUGCUAACUAAUUGAUGGGGCCUAAGGCCUUAUUCUCUUGGUGGCCCGCUUGACUCUUCGUGGACUUGGAUCAUGGUGUAAAUGACUCGAUUGUCUCACUCCAAGCCCUCAAUAUCUUAGUGAACUCCAUGUUGGUCUUGAACGUUCCUUGAAUUGCUUAGCCCGUGCACAUGUGACUGGGCCCAAUGGUACUUGGACUGGGUCAUUGGUGGGCCAAGGUCCGUGCACACAUCAGUCCCCUCCUCUUAAGAAGGAUUUGUCCUCAAAUCUAGAUGGAGAUGGAAGAUACUAACAAGAGUUAGUAGUAUGACAACGCGAAUCGAUAGUGCGUUUGGAAGUCAGCCACGUUGGGAACAAAUGAAAGUUCACGAGCCAAGUUAAAUGUCGUUUGGUCAGCUUCAUUAGGCUCUCAAACAAGGACAUGCGCCAAGGUAGGAAAGAGCCUGUGUAAGGCUCGCGAAACUUCCAGGUAGCAAUCCAGAGCGCUCUAAUCAUCCUUCGGCCAUGCAUUGGUAUAGUGUCACCAUUCUCAUGCACAAGAUAAGGAUCUUCAGAAUGAUGCUCAUGGGAGCAAGAGAAAUUCCAAAUCGGGUUUUUCAAGGUGGUAUGACUCGUCCCUGGUUGUUGCUGAUUUGGCACAACUUGCCUAUUUGGAGGUGAAACAUUGAACCAAUCAGGUUGCACUUCCCUAGAAGUACGAACCAGUGAUGUAAGACCAACGUUCGGAUCUUUAUUGACACAUUUGUGGGUAUCACCCGACAAAAGUGGCAGCAAUGAAGUGAGACGCACUCCAUACGAAUCAUAUGAAUUUGUGCAAGUUGGAGUUGGUGAAGUAAGCUCGUGGUGACCAGCUUUUGGACAUGUGAAGAAGCCCGAACGUGCUCCACUUUCAGCAGGAAUAAGCACGAAAUCGGGUUGCAAGUUCUUAACCAUAGUUGGAAAAUUUUGGACAGCGUUACAACCUACAAAAACAAAAUAACCUUCAACUUGAAGCAAUUCGGAAAUCGGGUAAAGAACUAAUGGUACAUUAUCAACUAGAUGGUAAGAAGGUGUAGAACAAGAUGGAAAUGAGAAAACUCCCUUUGACACUUCAAUAUUCCUUCUACCAAUUGAUUCAACUUGAGAUGCCAGUGCUAGUCCUUUACACUUCUCUUUAACACCUACAUGAGAGCAACAAGAGUUAGUGCUAGUAUCAUGCUCAAAAUAAGGCAAAGGUGAGGAAUGAACCAUAGGUAGAGAACAAGCAGUAGAAUCUGAAAUUUCCCUUUUAAGACGAGCUCGAAUCAAUCCUCCAAUGGUGUGGACAGGUUUGAGUUGACAUGGUUCCAUGAAUUGAGACCAAAGAGAUUUAGCUCCUAGAAGACAAACUCCAUGGAAACUCGCAAAGUGUCCAAGUGACGUGGGAAUGGAACAUGCCAUGACCAACUCUACUUGACUUUGUUUAAUCUGCACAAAAGAAGAGGUACUAAACAAAACACAUGUUAGCUUGUUAGCAAACAAAACGUCCACACUUUCAACUUUUGCGAACAUGGCCAACUCCUCCUUUUUACUCAUCAAUAAGGCCAAACUAUUCUUGCCCUUUCCUACUCCAUUUGUCUCGGACCAUUGUCCAUUCAUUGCACUUGAGUUCGGAUUAUGUUCAUGGCUUAGCUGCAUCUCAUUCAUAGAGGGCUCUUCAAUCGACGAGGGACUAGGAUGAAUAUUUCCUUUGUUACCACCGGUCGACACAUGAUUAAGUUGCUCAAAGUGGGAAUCCCAUACUUGGCUAAGUCUUUCCAUCAUAGAAUUAACCCAUGCUUUAGUUUGACUUCGGAAUUCAUCCUUUGCUUCACGAAGCUUUGACUCAAUUCGAAAAUUCUCGAGCUCCUCGUCUUGAUUGUCAAGACGCUUCUUAGAUGAACCUUGUUUGCAUGAAGUUGACCUUGAUUUAGAUGCUCUACGCAAACUGCUUUGCUCCUUCUCAUACUCAUCACAAUCUUGUUUAUACCUUUCAUAUACACACAAAACACGGUGGCGUUGCAUCUCCUCCCGGAGUGAAUGAUACCCAUGUUGUGAACUGGAUUGCAUGGAACUAGAGUACUUGUGAGUAGGCCUCUUGAGACCCCUCCUCCUGAGAGGCCCAUUCUCCAAGAAUUCUUGGUUGUAUGGGUAAGACGCAACUUCUCUAGGCAUGAGUGUGUGACCUGCCAAAAUGGUAAGCAAAGAAAAGGAGAUGCCUCACGUCACACAAGCUCACGUGUAUGUGCUCAUCCCUCGUGUAUCUCUCGCAGUGUUCUAAUGGACUUACCAAAUACCUUUACCUGUUGGAUUAGGUAGUUGAGAAAUGCUGCUCAAAUCCAACAACCGUUACCAACCUUUCCACAAGUGUAACCACAAGAACGUAGGAGAAAAUGUAGGAAAGUGUUCCUAAAAUCUAGGAGAAAAUAUAGGAGCAAAUGUAGGAGAAAAUGUAGGAAAGUUUCCUAAAAUGGGGAAGAGAAUAUAGGAGAGUUUCCUAAAGUGGAUGAGAGAAUAUAGGAAAUGACCUAAAAAUGGAUGAGAAAAUUUUAAGUGAGUUUCCUAGAAAUGGAUGCGAGAGUUUAGGAAAAUUUCCUAAAAAAUGGAUGAGAGAAUUUAGGAAAGUUUCCAAAAAAUGGAUGAGAGAAUUUAGGAAAGUUUCCAAAAAAAAAAAUGGAUGAGAGAGUUUAGGAAAAUUUCCUAAAAAUGGAUGAGAGAAUUUAAGAAAGUUUCCAAAAAAAAAAUGGAUGAGAAAAUUUAGGAAAGUUUCCUAAAAAAUAGAUAAGAGAUUUUAGGAAAGUUUCCAAAAAAAUGGAUGAGAGAGUUUAGGAAAAUUUCCUAAAAAUGGAUGAGAGAAUUUAGGAAAGUUUCCAAAAAAAUAGGUGAGAGACUUUAGGAAAGUUUCCUAAAAAGAUAGGAGGGAGAGUGUCCAAGUGAGUACAAAGAGUUAUCCAAGUACUUUACUUAGUUUCCUAAUUGAUUUUGGAAACAAGUUAGUUUUUGGAAACCUUUUGAAAAUCCUUUUCCUCUUGAACAACUUUUGGUAACCUUCUUGAAACAACUUUUGGUAAUCUUCUUGAAACAACUUUUGGUAACCUUCCUGAAACAACCUUUGGUAAUCUUCUUGAAAUAACUUUUGGUAACGUCCAAAUUCUACUCCAAGAAAGAUUGCACAAAUCAGAUUUGGUUCCCUAUUCAAAACAAUUCGGUUGCCCCUUUCUUUCCUUUCCUUUUUUUUUUCUCUUGCCAACCGAUUCCUCUUUUCUUUCCUUUUUUUUUCGUUUUCGUUUUUGUUUUCUUUUUUUUUUCUUGACUACAACUAUCAACCACGACACAAAACAAGGAAAUCCACAAAUAAUAACUACCAAAAACUCCAAGAUAUUUCAAGAACUUCUCAAAGAAGUUGUCAGGAACUUCAGAAAUUUCAAGAUUAUGGUCAAGAAUUCAAGAAGCUCAAGAUUAUUGUAAGUUCUCUUCAAGAUUCACAAAAUUCCAACAAGUUUUGCCAAAAUCCAGAUUUGAAAACCAAGUAAACAAGUUGGAUAACACAAACAACAAGGCUGGACAGAUUUGUAUUCGGAUGAACAGUACGAUGAACAGUGUCGGUGAACAGUACGAUGAACAGUAACGGUGAACAGUGUCGACUGAACAGUACGAUGAACAGUACCGGUGAACAGUGAUUUUUUUUUUUUUUUUUAACAAGGCAGCGGACAAAACACAAAGACCCUACGACACAACUACGAAAAAAUACGGAUAUAACGAAAGAUACCUCUACCAAAGCUCUGAAGCCAACUGAUACGUUCCUCGAUCAACACGUUUCGAGACACGUAGCACGUUUGCCCAAGGAUCUAGCGAGGAUGUCCAACGCUUGGAAUUGCGGGAUCUAGAACCAAACGGAUGACACGAUUUGAUUCCAGACGGUAGGACGACGACUCCAAUGAAGGUGGAUACUCCACGGGAUAGGUCGGUAGAACAAUCUAGGACGAGACGCAAGACUGCUCAAAACCCUUGCCAAAGCAAGUAAAGGGGGGUCGAAUCUCUCUCUCAAGAAGAAUCGAAAAAUAUGCAAAACUUUAUUGAUAAAACGUCUACCCUUAAACCUUACAAAGCAAGCCUAUUUAUAGGCUAAAGUGACUAAAACCCUAAAGGCUAGGAAAAGGAAAAAGUCGGCCCAUGUUUUUGGAACAAGAUGGGCCGCCCCAUGCUCUUACUUAAUCAUUAACUAAUUGCUAACUAAUUGAUGGGGCCUAAGGCCUUAUUCUCUUGGUGGCCCGCUUGACUCUUCGUGGACUUGGAUCAUGGUGUAAAUGACUCGAUUGUCUCUCUCCAAGCCCUCAAUAUCUUAGUGAACUCCAUGUUGGUCUUGAACGUUCCUUGAAUUGCUUAGCCCAUGCACGUGUGACUGGGCCCAAUGGUACUUGAACUGGGUCAUUGGUGGGCCAAGGUCCGUGCACACAUCAUCCACGCUCGUCUUCAGUAUAUAUGAUUUUGCUGCUGACACCAAUUCAUGUGAGUUACGGUCAAAAAAAUCUCAACUUGAUCAAUAAGCAAGGCCAUGGGCAAAAUUCACUACCUUUUCUUGAUAAAUUUUAGCAUAGUUUCGUUAGCCAUGAUGGCUGCCGGCAACAGUAAUGUUACGUCGGAUCAAUUAGCGCUUCUUGCGCUAAGAGAUCGCAUGAUCAAUUCAGAGCCUCGAGAAAUCUUGGCAAAAAACUGGUCCAUUACCUCCUCUGUUUGUGAUUGGAUAGUGGUCACCUGCGGCUCUCGACACCGCCGAGUGACUGCCUUGAAUAUCUCAAACAUGAACCUUACUGGUACCUUACCUCCUCAACUUGGGAACCUGUUCUUUCUGGGUUCCCUUAACAUUAGCGGGAACAAUUUCCAUGGAGAAUUACCCUGAGUUAGUUCAGUUGCGCAGAUUGAGAUACCUUGAUUUUGGGAUCAACAAUCUCGGUGGAGAGCUUCCCUCCUGGUUUGGUUUAUUACACAAACUCCAAUACCUGUCUCUCAGAAACAAUAGCUUUGCGGGUUCUAUCCCGCCUUCCAUCUCUAACAUGUCAAACUUGGAGACGCUAUGGCUGUCUUUCAAUUUCAUUGAGGGGACCGUUCCAACAGAAUUUCAGAAUCUUCAUAAUUUGAAGAAUUUGAUUAUUGAGUAUAAUCAGCUUUCUCGUCCUUUGCCACCCCAUGCAUUCAAUAUUUCCUCGCUGGAAAGCAUUUCCUUCAUGAAUAACAGCCUAUCUGGCAUUCUUCCGGACAACAUCUGUUAGCGCCUUCAGAAACUUACAUGGCUUAAUCUAGCAUAUAACAAUUUGAUCGGUCCAAUACCUUCAACAGUGUCUCAGUGUUCACUGCUUCGGUAUCUUGCCUUGUCUGAGAACCAUUUAAGUGGAUCGAUACCCAUGGGAAUUGGGAACUUGACAAUGCUGGAGAAACUACACCUGGAGAGCAACAAUUUAACAGGUAAAAUGUGGUAGUGAUCUGCUUUUAUUCCUAUUUUUUAAGCAUAGAUUAAGCUUAUGCUUCUGUUCUUGUAUGUGGUUGUCACGCCCCGAGCCCGCACGUGCCCGUCACAUGACAUCUGCCGUACUCUCAAGUCUCACUCAAGAAUACAAGACUAUAUUAACUAAUUUAACUUGAACAGUACUAAAUAAUUUAACUAAAUAAAGUGCGGUACGAAUUACAUAUAAAAGGAAGUCUACGAAUAUUCAAAGCGUUCGUACAUUUAUUCUCCAAUUGAAACAGCGGAAACAAGAGUAAAUAAGACUAACACUAGAAGUAACUAGCCUGCCAACUUCUAUGCACCUAAACUAAUAAAAGUCAUCCUCAGGGUCUUCUAUAUAAACCAAUUCAUACUCUUCCGAAUCUGCAAAAAUGGUAAGAAGUGGGUUGAGCGACACAUCGCUCAGUAGGUAAUAUUUACCCCUCUGUUGGAUCAUGCACUCUUAAUUUUAUAGGUACACAAAUGUUUGAAAGUAACGUUAUUUAUAAAGCAAUCAGUAGUAAAGAAUGACAAGCAAUUUAAAAGCAUCUCGUUGAUAGUUGUACAUGAGAAAUCGUAAGGUCAUAAAUCAUUUCGUCUCAAGUCACAAACCUCUCCAUAACCAUUCGCAAAUCAACUCAUAUCAGUUCAUAAGUCUCAUUUCAACUCAGUUCAUAAAUCAUUCCAUCAGAUCAGCUCAUAACAAGUACAUGCAAUGACCGGCUACUGAGUACUCAGCCUAGAGAUUAGAUCCCUUCUAGGUGGGCGACCAAUAGAUUUCAUGACUAUCGAUUGAUCUCAUUUCAUUCUUGGGUCAAUCGGUCGGACUUUAUAUCAGGCUACCAUGACCUUGCCAAUCGGCCGGACUUUAUACCAAGCUACCAUGGCUUUGUCAAUCGGCCGGACUCUAUACUACGCUACCAUGACCUUACCAAUCGGCCGGACUUCAUACCAGACUACCAUGGCGAUUAGACAGGACUAUAGCCCCUACCGUCUAUUCCAUGACUGCUCUGAGCCUUACUUGUCAAAAUUCAUUUCGUAUAUCACAUACAUAAUUCUUUGCUUUCAUAAAAGAUUCAACUCAUUUUGUAUAUAAGAACAUAUCAAAAUAUUUCAAAUAGGUCACAUGGUCCAUUUUUAUAUAGUAAAAUAUAGCUUUCAUAAAUAUCCAAGUAAAGCAUUUAAUCAAACACAUUUCGAGUCAACACAACAAAAUAGGGUUGAAAACAAGAAUUUCAUUUGUACAUUUGAAAUCUCAGAAGGAUAAGUACCACCUAUCUCUGUUUGGCGGCUCGAGUGGAACUACUUUAGGUCCUUAUAUCGUACCUAUCAAAAGUAUAGGUUCCCUAAUUAGUUGUUACUUCCUAUAGAUGCAUAAAUAUACACCUCUAAGUAAGUACAGCAUUCAUAUCUAAACCAUUAUAUGGACCCUAAUAGUAUUUCCCCCAAAUUGGACGAUUUUUAUUUUUGGAAAGUUUCCUAAUUUGAAGAGUUUCUAUUUUUAGAAAGUUUCUUAAUUUGGAAAGUGCUCAUUUUGUAAAGUUUCCUAAUUUAACAGAAAAUAAUUAUUCACAAUCCUGGUUAUUAUCCUCACUACUAUCUUACUAUAUUUAUUUAUAAUUUAUGAUUAUCCGUUAUUAUUAUUACCAUCCCCGUCAUCGCUAAUUUAUUUUAUUAUCACUUAUAUAUAUAUAUUAGAUAGUCACUAUUACCUUCCCCUUUAUUUCCACUUUUAGGCGUGUGUAGGUGUUAUUAUUAUUUGUAUAUAUAUCUACCCAUACACUUAUACAUACUGACUUUCUAUAAUUGUUUUAGUUUAUUCCACUCGUAAUUAUAUCUUAUUUUUUGUUUAUAUUCUUCAUUUAUUUCCCCCACGUCCACAUUAUUGUUAUUCUCACUAUCAUUGUUUUAUUAAUUAUUAUUUACUAUUACUACUACCACUAGUAUUAUUAUUAUAUUUAUCCUCAUAUAUAUAUAUAUAUAUAUAUUUUAUUAUAUAUAUUUAUUAUUAUUAUUAUUAUUAUUAUUAUUAUUUUAAGCAUUUCGUUUAGCAAUUUAGCACUUACCUUACCUUGUUUGAUGUGGCUUAAGACGGCUAGAUUAAGAUGUUUUAGAUUUCCAUUUAAGUAUCUUAUACGUAAUUAACUAAUGAUAGUUAAUGAGAAAAUUCAACAUUGAUAUUGGCUGGUGGGUAUUUUUCUAAUAUUGAUGUUAUCAUAGCUAAAGACCACCGCAUUAAUUGCCGGUCCCCACCUCCGUGUGUGUGUUUUUGUGCCAUGAAGACUUCCACGCUCGUCUUCAGUAUAUAUGAUUUUGCUGCUGACACCAAUUCAUGUGAGUUUCGGUCAAAAAAAUCUCAACUUGAUCAAUGAGCAAGGCCAUGGGCAAAAUUCACUACCUUUCCUUGAUAAAUUUUAGCAUAGUUUCGUUAGCCAUGAUGGCUGCCGGCAACAGUAAUGUUACGUCGGAUCAAUUAGCGCUUCUUGCGCUAAGAGAUCGCAUGAUCAAUUCAGAGCCUCGAGAAAUAUUGGCAAAAAACUGGUCCAUUACCUCCCCUGUUUGCGAUUGGAUAGGGGUCACCUGCGGCUCUCGACACCGCGGAGUGACUGCCUUGAAUAUCUCAAACAUGAACCUUACCGGUACCUUACCUCCUCAACUUGGGAAUCUGUCCUUUCUUGUUUCCCUUGAUAUUAGCAAAAACUAUUUCCACGGAGAACUACCUCGCGAGUUAGCUCACUGGCGCCGACUAAGAUACCUUGAUUUCGGGUUCAACAAUGUCGGUGGAGAGCUUCCCUCCUGGUUUGGCUAUUUGCAUAAACUCCGAUACCUGUCCCUCAGAGAAAAUAGCUUUACGGGUUCUAUCCCGCCUUCCAUCUCUAACAUGUCAAACUUGGAGAUGCUAUGGCUGUCUUAUAAUUCCAUUGAGGGGAACGUUCCGAUAGUAUUUCAGGAACUUCAUAAUUUGAAGCAUUUGAUUAUUGAGCAUAAUCAGCUUUCGGGUCCUUUGCCUCUCCACACUUUCAAUAUUUCCUGACAGGAAAGCAUUUCUUUCAAUAAUAACAGCCUAUUUGGCAUACUUCCAGACAACAUCUGUGACGGCCUUCAGAAACUUACUUUUCUUGGUCUAACAGGUAAUAGUUUGACUGGUCAAAUACCUUCAACACUGUCCCGGUGUUCACUGCUUCAGGUGCUAUCCUUGUCAGUGAAUUAUUUCACUGGACCCAUACCCAAGGAAAUAGGAAACUUGACAAAGCUGGAAAAGCUAUACUUGGGGACCAACAACUUAAGAGGUAGAAAGUAGUAGUGAACAAUUUUUCUUUUUAUUUUAUAAACUCAUAUAGGUAUCAAUGUCCAUUUUUUUUCCCUUGUGUUGAGCUCACACUUCAUUUCUUCGGUUCUUCUAUAUGGACGUGUUAGUGAAACAGAAAAACACUACAGCCAUUUACCUUUUUUUUUUUUGGAUAGAAGGUUCUUUGUGAUUCAUGUUUCAAAAGACUUAAAUAUGCAAAUGAAAAGCUUUCAGUUUUAGGGGUACUCGACUUGUUAUAGGCAUCCUGUUCUUGUGUUUCUAAAAUUUUGAAUAAUCUUGACACCAAAAGGUGCAGGAAACACGACCAUUUCCAAUUGAUAAAAUUUGGAAAGUUCAAAAGUCUCAUCAUUGCUGUCGCUAUAUAUUUCCAUUCCAAGUCAAACCAAUCUCAUGAGAGUUGCAAUUUUGCAGGUGCAAUUUCAACUGAAUUAUGGAAUUUAACCAUGUUGAUGAAUUUAGAUUUUGGCGACAACAAAUUGACAGGUAUGCCAAAGUUGCUAAUUACAAGGUCUUAAUUGCGUAGACCAACAUUAAAACUUGGCAUCAGUUUGAUCAGUAGGAUACUUGGGGCCUAUGUUCGGUUAUUUGACAAUUUGACAUCAACUUUUCCUUUUAACGGAUUUUUUCAAACUUUAAAUUCUAGAUAGUGCCAAUGGAAAGUUGCCAAUGAUAUGCUAACACAAAAGUGCUUUACCAUAUUACAGGUGGAAUACCUGAAAGCAUUGGGAAUCUUCACACAUUAGAGACUCUUGCUUUAUUCAACAAUUCAUUAUCAGGUUCCAUACCAGCUGCAAUUUUUAACAUUUCAUCUCUCCAAUAUAUUGGACUCCACCAGAACAAAUUCUCAGGAACGAUUCCUUUGACAGUGAGUAAUAAGUUAAGCAAUUUGGAGUCUCUUUUUCUUUAUCGGAAUGACUUGACUGGUGUUAUACCCAACUCCAUCUCAAAUGCUUCUAAGCUAGUUUUUUUGAUACUUUACAAUAACGAGCUCACAGGUUCAAUCCCCACCUCUUUAGGAAGUUUAAGAAAUCUAAAAAUUCUAAACUUGGUUUUCAACAGGCUAUCAAGUGAAUCCUCAGAAUUGAGCUUUUUCACUUUCUUGACGGCUUGCAGAUCCUUGAGAUAUUUAACAUUGAAUAAUAAUCCUCUAAAUGGUUUUCUACCAGCUUCCAUUUCUAACUAUUCGACUUCACUUGAAGGGAUAAGUGCAGUCACUUGUAAAAUCAAAGGAAACAUCCCAGCUGGAAUCAACAAUUUGAGCAGUUUACUAGUUCUAGAUUUUUCAGAUAAUGAAUUGAUUGGAUCUGUCCCAAGAACUAUGCAUAGUCUGGCAAAUCUUCAAGUGCUGUACUUGAACUCGAAUCAAAUAAGAGAUGUCUUGGACAUUUUCUGUGGAUUACAUAGUUUGGGGUUGUUAAGCUUGAGCCAAAAUCAAUUCUUUGGUAGUAUUCCAGAAUGCUUAGGAAAUAUGACAAAUUUUAGACAGAUUUUUCUAGACUCCAACAGGUUGACUUCCAUGAUACCUGCUAACCUAUUGAGCAUGAAAGAUCUCCAAAUUCUCAACCUUUCAUCAAAUUUCUUAAGUGGAUCGCUACCUUUAGACAUCGGGAACCUCAAAGCAGCAUAUAGUUUAGAUAUCUCGUUCAAUCAAUUAUCAGACAAAAUCCCUACAACCAUUGGAGAGCUACAAGCUUUACAGAACCUUUCAUUGGCGAGAAAUAAUUUGCAGGGUUCUAUACCAGAAUCAUUUAGCUAUAUGGUAUUUUGGAAUUCUUGGACCUUUCACAUAAUAAUCUCUCUGGUGUGAUACCCAAGUCAAUGGAGGCACUCAAAUCUCUUAAGGAAUGCAAUGUUUCUUUUAAUAGAUUAAGUGGAGAAAUUCCUCGAGAUGGUCCCUUCAGAAACUUUACAGGUUAAUUGUUCAUGAACAAUGAAGGACUCUCUGGUGACCUAAGGCUUAGUGUUCCACCAUGUCAGAGUAAUUCAAUUAGAAGAUCGAGCAAAAGAAAGGUGCUUCUACUUGUCAUUAGUCUGUCAGGGAUGGCAGCAAUACUGAUAAUAGCAAUUGGAGCAUUAUUGAAUCUAAAGUGGCUAAAGAAACCAAAGAGUUCUGGUGGAACAGAGUUGAUGUUAGCGGCAAAAUAUGAAAGAUUUUCAUACUAUGACCUUUUGCACUCAACCGAUAACUACAAUGAAAGCAAUUUGCCUGGAGAAGGGAGCUAUUGUUCUGUUUACAAAGGGAUCCUAAGUGAUGGCACUGUUGUGGCUAUCAAGGUAUUCAACUUGCUAGUGGAAGGUUCAUUAAAAAGUUUUGUUAGAGAAUGUGAGGUUCUAAAGAGUUUAUGCCAUCGAAAUCUUACAAAAGUGCUCGGCAGCUGCUGUAACCUUGAUUUUAAAGCCUUGGUACUCAAAUACAUGCCCAAUGGGAAUCUUGAGAAGUGUUCGUACUCUCACAACCAUUUUUUAGAUAUGUUCCAAAGAAUAAACAUAAUGAUUGACGUUGCUUAUGCAUUCGAAUAUCUCCAUUAUGGUUAUGAUACUCCUGUGGUACAUUGUGACUUGAAACCCAGUAAUAUCUUGCUUGAUGAAGAUAUGGCUGCCCAUGUAAGUGACUUUGGUAUAACAAAAAUGUUUGGUGAAGGAGAAAGUAUUUUGCAUACCAACACCCUUGCAACACUGGGAUACAUUGCGCCAGGUUAAGCAUUUAAACUUUUGCUGUCUACAUUUCCUUUACUUCUACGAUGUUGUUCAUCUGUUGUUAAUCUUUUAACUGAUUCUAUUAUUCUGACUAUUGUAAUCUUGUGCCAGAGUAUGGAUCAGAGGGGAUAGUUUCGACAAGAAUUGAUGUAUACAGCUUUGGAAUAGUUUUGAUGGAAGUUUUUUCAAGGAUGAGGCCUAGUGAUGAAAUGUUUUUGGGAGAUUUAAGCCUUAAAAGUUGGAUAGAAGAUUCUCUUCCUGAUGCACUUCAGGUCGUUGAUGCAAACUUAAUAAGGCCAGAGGAUGAGCAUUUCACUCACAAGCUGAAGUGUGUUUUAUUGAUCAUGAAUUUGGCUUUGAACUGCUGUAGAGAAUCUCCAAGAGAACGGAUGAACAUGAAAGAUGUUUUAGCAGAACUACUAAAGAUCAAGAACCAAUUUCAAUUUCUGAUGAUAGUAAGUAUUUAUCCUUUUUGUGCAAAUUUUACUUCUCAAUGUUGAAAGUUAUGUUUCCUUAUUCAAUUGAGCUUAUAACCUGCUAUUUUUUGCAGCAUACCGUUAGGUCUUGAUCGUAUCAGAAACAAUGCUUUGGCCAAUGCAAACGGAUAUUGCUGUAUAAUUUGUAAGCUUGAUUUAUUUUGAAGGCCAGAGAGAGAUGUACAUUAUUCCCUUGGUGUCAUCUACAUCACAUUUGGACUUUCAGUUAUAAGGAACAUUGCAUCUAGGGUUUUACUUUGCUUUUCUUUUUUUUCCUUUAAUUCUGACUAAGUUCUUGGCUACCUUUUACUUUAAAUAAUCUAGUGACAAAAAGUAGAAAAUUCACAAUUCCCUGCCAUAAAAAUAGAAUAGCAAAAGCAUACCAUUCACUUUCAAAGGAGACUUCAGGGACGACUAGUCUAGGUCUGGGUUUGUUUCUUCUCCAUCCACAUAUAUAAUAAUGGAAACUGGAAUUAAAGUCAAUGAAGGAAUAAAGCAAGACUAAUGGUGGCCCCUUCCCAAUCAGCGUCGCAAGCUCCAUGUCGUCCAUGAUUUGAUAGUCCUUGUUUGGAACCUACUUGGAAAAUAAAUCAAUGUUACAACCUUUCUCCAUUGAUUUGGUUUUAUUAUUCCUGGAAUGUGUUAUUAGUGGACUUCCAUGCUCGUUUCUAUCUGUAUAUAUCGUUUUCCAGUUCAUCCCAAUUCUUAAUUAGUGAGUGCCCCGGUGAGUGUGGAAAUCUGAAAUUGAACCAUAAGCAUGGCCAGGGACAAAAUCUACUACUUCUUCAUGCUUAUCAUGCUUACUAUGGAUCAAUCAGUGACAUGAUCACUUCAGAACCUCAAGAAUUCUUGGCAAAAAAUUGGUCAAUUACCUCCUCUAUUUGUGAAUUGCUUCGUCAGUUGGCUCACUUGCGUAGAUUGAGAUACCUUAAUUUGGAAUCAACAAUUUUGGUGGACAACUUCGCUCCUGGUUUGGUUCCUUAUAGAAACUCCAAUACCCGUCUCUCAGAAACAAUUGCUUUACGGGUUCUCUCCCACCUUCCAUCUCUAACAUGUCAAACUUGAAGACGUUAUGGCUGUCCUUCAAUUCCAUUGAGGGAACAAUUCCAACAGAAUUUCAGAAUCUUCAUAGUUUGAAGAAUUUACAUAUUCAGCAUAAUCGGCUGUCUGGUCCUCUGCCACUCCACACUUUCAAUAUCUCCUCACUGGAAAACAUUUCUUUUAUUGAAUUAGGGUAUACCAAAAUUUACUUUAAGAUAUGUAAUAGGGAUGUAAAUAGUUAUAUUUAUAUUGUAUAGUUAUAUUUUUUUCUGCAUGAGCGACAUAUUGGAGCAUCUUUUCAUAACGUGCAACAUGGGUGGUUUGUGAUAUUAUAAUAUAUAUCAAAUAUAUUACAUGAUCUAUUUGCAUAUAACAAAAUAAAACUUGCUUUUAAGGAAAUUUCACAUUUAAUAUUCAAAAAUUCAAAGAGGUGAGUACCAUCGAAAAACUUAAUUUGGUCCUUUAAAGAAGCAAGUUGUUCUAAUUUUGAUCAUUUAUCAUAUUUUGUUAAGGAAAAAUCAUUCAAACGUUCCUCACAUUUUAUAAAAUGAUUUUUUUCGUCCCUCACUUUUAAAAGUAUAAUUUUACGUUCUCAAACAACGUGUACUAUUUAUAGUGGGAAGUAAGAUUUCCGAACAACUCCUAAUAUUCAUCAUAUGUACAAUAGCACAUUUUUUAAAAACAAAAGCUAUAGUAAUAUCUUAAAAAAUGCCAAAAAGAACUUAUUAAGAACUAAAAACACUUGAAAAGAAUACACUAACAUUCCUUUACAUUACCACCUUUUUUCUUCUCACUUUCUCCUUUCCUCUUUCCUUCGCACCAUGCCACUACCUCUCUCCUUUCCCUUCGCCCCUCUCUUCCCCCCCUCCCCACCCAAAUCGCCUCCCUCCACUAUACUUCUCGACUCAUUUCUCUUUUUCCUUCUCAACACCCACUAUUCCUCUAACCUUUAUGCUUUCCCACCUUCACCCACCAGCGCACCAAUUCCCCUCCUCUCUUUUGUUCCCUUUCCCUUUCUUUUCUUCAUCACUCUUGGAAUACCCAAUCCAUCUUGUUUUCUGAAAAUGUAACAUGCAUGAUAUAUAGAUAUUAAACGUGCCUCUAAAAAUAAUUAAUCUAACGAGCUCAUACAUUGAUUUCCUAAGUGCUCUGACAUCUUAAAGAUAGCAAUUAUAUAAAGCUAUUUUCUUUUUUCAUUUACCUAGUAUUAUCGAAAACAAAUUGAUAAACUCGGACUUUGUCCGAAGUAUAAAUGUGUGAGCAGCAAUCGGGCUUCAUAUGUGAGCUUCGAGCGGGGCAAAUGUAACUGAGCAAAGUUCUGCUCUAGUUUAUCGAAUGCAUAAUGCAUAUCAUUAAGUUCUCGAUUUUUAAAUGCAUAAAGCUAUUUAAUAGAAUGCAUAGCUAAAAUUCUUGAAACCUCUCAUCCUCAAAUACAUGCAUAGCUAAGCUCUUUUACUGCAAAAGCUGAUUCAGAGAAAAUCUUUAAUCAACAAAAAUAUGGACAGAAGAAGAAGGGUAAAUAGAGGGCAAAAGUAUAAAAUUAAAACUGCAAUUAAUGCUCAUAGGACAGGUUCACAAAAUUAUGAUGGGAGAUUUGUGACUUCCAUAUAAACAAAAGGGAAAUCAGUAUAAUUUAGCCUAACUAAAAGAGACACCCAAAAAAUUUAAGGAUUUUUCAAAAGACUACAUCAUAGGGAUGACAAUGGGGUGGGUGCCUGCAGGGGCGAGGGAAAAUGCAGGACUAAAGUGUGGGAUGGAUUUAAUAUAGUAUAAUAUGGAUGUAGUUUUUUUUUUUGAAUAAUUUUUUAAAAUAAUAUCAUACACUUUAUUUUAUAUAUAUAACUUUGAAAUAAAUUGUAUGGUAUUAUUAUGCUUAAAUACAUAACUUUGAAUUAAUAACAUGAUUUAUUGUCAAUUUAUUAUGGUAAAAUGAUAAUUUUAUUAUGUUCAUUUACUUAUUUUCUUUUUCAUGUAUUGCAUGUUGUUUAUUAAAAAAAAUGACAAUUGGUUUAGAUUCUAUGUUGUAUCAAAAAUAAAAAAAAUUCCAAAAGUAUAUUUUUGGGUUUGAUACCUUCCGAAAAUUUUAUUAUCACAACUCUCCAAUAAAUUGAUCUUAAUACCAACAAUUUCUCAGGAACUCUUCCUUCGACAAUUGGAAAUAAGCUAAGCAAUCUUGAGAUUCUUGGACUCCACCAAAAUGACUUGUGUGGAGUUAUACCUGACUCCACCUCAAAUGCUUCUAAGCUCGUUCGGCUAAGCCUUCAAUUUAAUAGCUUCACUGGUGUAAUUCCCAACUCCCUAGGAAAUUUGAGAAACAUCAAGAAUCUAUGCUUAGCCAGCCACAAUCUAUCAACUGAUUCCUCUACUGGAUUGAGCUUUCUCACUUCCUUGACAAGGUGUAGAUUCUUGAGAUAUUUAAAUAGUGGGCGAUAAUCCACUCAAUGGUUUUCUUCCAAUAUUUUUGAACUAUUCGACUUCUCUGAAAGUCUUAAUUGCUACUAGUUGUAAAAUCAAGGGAAACAUCCCUAAAAAAAUCGGCAAUUUGAGUAGUUUUACUGGUGUUAGAUUUUUUUUUCCUGGUGUUAGAUUUAUCAUGUAAUGUACUCACUGGAUCUCUUCCAAGAACAAUACAAGGUUUAACAAAACUUCAGCGACGGGACUUUAGUGUCAAUGAAAUAAGAGACUCCUUGGAAGUUUUUAGUGAAUCAUAUACAUUGGGUGAGUUGCAUUUGAGCCAAAAUCAGUUCUCCGGUCCACUUCCAACGUGUUUAGGAAACCUUACAUCUCUAACCAAGAUUCAUGUGGAUUCCAAAAAAUCGACUUCAAAGAUUCCUACAAGUGGACCGUGAAAAAUCUUCAAGAACUCAAUCUUUCCUCAAGCUUUUCAAGUGGAUUCCUACCUCCAGAGAUCGAAAACCUCAAACCAGCAUACCUUUUAGAUUUCUCAGUCAAUCAACUAUGAGAUAUUAUUCCUACUACAAUUGGAGAGCUACAAGAUUUGACUUGCCUUUCUUUGGCAAACAACACUUUUCAAGGGUAUAUUCCAGAAUCAAUUGGAAACAUGAUCAGCUUGGAAUCCUUGAACCUUUCAUAUGAAAUCAGAAGAUUAGUUUUAAUUGUGAACAUUAUAGACCAACCUAUUGCGACCACAUUUGCUGUACAUGCAAAAAAGAAGGAAUAUUCCUGAUGACAUUCAGCUUAACUCUCCAAAAUCUUGUUGAUUGUUAACGCUACGUCAAUUGCGUGCAAUUAAUCAAGUUUUUUUUCCCAUCGUCCCACCUCUUCCACCAGAUAGCCAGUUAGAUACUGGAAUUGAAUUUAAACUUGAUAAUGGGGAAAAAUCUAAUAGCCCCUCUCCUGGCUACUGUGAGUGAAUUGAAUAUUGAUUCUCAAUCCAAUUAAUUGAGUUUAAUAUUUAAACAAAGGCCAAUACAAGUUGACUCAAUUGGCAAGGAUGAUUACUUUUUCGCAAAAGGUCGUGUGUUCGAAUUCCUAUCUCGAUAUAAGAAUUGUGUUGAUAUAUGGUCUCGAUAUAUGGUCUUGGAGGCAUGCACCACCCAUGAUAGUGAUUGGAAUUGAAUCCAUCCAAAUUUUCACUUACCAAAAAAAAAAAAACUUAAAUGAAGGCAAAAUCUCAAUUACAGCUAUUUGAGUGGCUGAAUUUUUUUCCUUCAUGUUAAUGUUUGCAAAAUAAACUCUCACUUACCAAAAAAAAAAUUUAAAUGAAGGCAAAAUCCCAAUUACAGCUGCUUGAAUGGCUGAAUUUUUUUUUCUUUAUGAUAAUGUUUACAAAAUUUCGCUCGUUCAUUCUAUUUUUAAACAUCUCUGAUUGCCUCGUUCACUGCCUCCUGGACCAAUUUAGCUUAGGACCAAGAGUGUAUUUGUUAGAUCCAAACGUGGAACAAACAACUAUUAAGAUAUCAAAUAUACAACAAUUUAAUGAUAAAUAAGCCACAAGCAUGAAAGAUAAACACACAUAAUAUUUAACGUGGUUCGAUUCCACCAUUGAGCCUACGUCCAUGGAGAGACACCUGCUCUUUAUUAUGAGAGGAAAACCCUAUACAAGAAUACAAUUUGAACCCAAACCCAACCCUUGUAUACCAUCUCUCAUCUUCCAAAAACCCUCUCUCACACUCCAUGUAUAAGGUUACAUGACACCCUUGUGUGUCCUUGUGUAUUGUAUGUCAACCCACCUAUUUAUAGAAAAUAUUAUUUGACCAAAAUCCAAAUAACAAUAGCAAAUCAAUGCUAAUUUCUAAGCUAGUUCAGAAUAAGAAAUAAUUUCUGAGCUAAUUUCCUGCAACAAAGUCAGUUCUCUGUUGAUUGGCCACCACGUGUGGGAGAUCACAUACAAGACAUUCUAAGUUGGGAAAAUUUUGGGCAAUGCCCUUAGCAAAUUCACCAGUGCCACCUCGAACAUCAACGAAAGAUGUCAGGUCCUGAAACACAGACUUGCAUUGGGUCAUCACCACCUCAACGAUUAAACUAGAGUCACCAGCCAUGGCUUCAUUAAAGAUUUUCGCAAACUGAGGUUCCGCAGCAGCAUAAGACCAGAAGUUUUGAAGGGUGUAUUACAGAUUUAUACAAACAGAUAAAAGCCUGCUGAAUACAGAUUUAUAAGGGUGUAUUCUUCUCUCUGGAAUUGAGAAUCAUAUGAUUCUCAAAUGACUAGUCAAAGUCUAAGAAAUUAAAUCCCAGAUUUUUAGAUGUUAUUGUUGUCGUUAAAAUAAAUUUUUGUUCGGUGAUUUCCAAAUAUAAGAGGUAAAUGGCUGAAAACUUAAUGUCAAUGAUCCUUAGAAGACGCCAUAUUUUGGUGGAUUCUAAAGUGAAAGUAUCAAAGAGAGUUAAAUCUCGCGGAUUUUCGAACACCACAGCUUAGGUCAAACUUGAGCAGCUCAAAUAGUGAUAGAACCUAGCGCUUGAGCAAAAGCAUAUGUCUGUGAGGCUCGAAACACUGUCAAAUUUAAUUGAGCAUGAAAAAAAAAAUAAUCUUAAUCGAGCGUUACACAUAUGUAUAAAUUUUUUUUAUUAGUUUGAAAUGUUUACUGUAUGUCUGAUCACAAUUAAAUGGAUAAAGUUUUACAAAAAUAUGCACACUCUAACUCGGUGUAAGUUAAGUUUCAACAACAACAAUGACAUUUAAAAAUUUGGGAUUUAAUUUUCUUGGAUUUUGAAAAAUUCUUGUCACUUUCAAAAUCAUGUGAUUCUCAAUUCUUGAGAGAAGAAUAGAUCCUUAUUGAUACGAACUCGACCCAACAAGAACCUGUCUUGAAGAACCGAAUCGAUCAGGCAGCGGAAGGAUCUAUCUUGACCAGGUUAUGGAUACAAAGAUGGAAAGACCUUACGACCCCUCUAAUCCCCGUGACUACGAACUUGUUGAUAUUAUCUCAACCCGUAACCAAACGAAUUAGUAAACCUCAGGCAAGUGUAGAAGGCGCCACAAUUCAACAUGGUCUUGAAUUGAUAAGCCGAAACUUGAACAAAGGAGAUACAACUCACUUUGUAUCAAGGAACGCUCCCAAAGGAACAAGAAAGAGAAAACUCUCAAUUUUUUUAUUCAUCUCAUAAUUGUGUUUUUCAAUAGUUAAAUAAAGUUGGCUAUUUAUAGCCUUGCAAGACUCAAAACCCUAAUCUAAAUUGGAAACAAUACAAGUUUCCUUAUUUGACUUGACUUCUAAACUUGACACAACUUCCUAAACAAAUUUGGAAGCAAUUAACUGCUUUCCUAAAACUCUAAUUCAACUAGAAUAGGAAACUAACUAAUUCAAAUUGGCUUAAUUAUGGUCAACAUGACCUUAGCCUUUAUUCCCUAAUUCAAACAACUUACUUAACUCUCAAUUUGGAAAUCAAUCAAGAUACCAAUCAAGAUUUGGAAGCCAAUUAAAAUUUGAAAAAUUUGGAUCUUCAAUGAUUCUCGAGCCCGAUUGCACCAUCAACCAUCAUUAGAAUGUGCAGACUUGUAAAAUGAAAGGAAUCCAUGCAAAUCUUCAUGUUCUCAUCAUUCCCCUCCUCUUGAAAGACGAUUUGUCCUCAAAUCGAGUGCUUGUUUACAAAGGAGUAACUCGGAGAAUGUUAUAUGUAAUCCAAGAACUUCAAGAAAUUAUCAAGCCAACUACAAGAAGCAAGAACAACAAGAAACAACCACAAGGUAUGGGGAAAAAAGAGAAAAAAAAAUAAUUUUCGGAUGAAUAGUACUGCUACAGUACUACUACAAUGCGGCGAUGAACAGUACUGCUACAGUGUGAACAGUUCUGAUGAACAGUACCGCUGUGAACAGUACUUUUUUUUUUUUUUGCUUUUGACGACUCGAUGCAAGGUUAGGACUUCACUUGGAAGAAAUUUAAUAGGAGUUAAACCCUUGAAAAACCUGUUUUCAAGAACGUAAUCACACCAAGAAAUUCCAACCUCGUUCAAUCAAGGGGGUAGGUUAGACUCAAGUGAUAAAAUAAUAAAAACCAAAAAAAUUUUUUUUCUUUUAAAAUUGAAAGGCGGCUAGGGUUUCGAUAGAAAAAAAAAAUAGACAAAUAAGAAAAGAAAAAGGAUAUUAACCUGAAUCAAGAGCCGAAGCUCUGAUACCAGAUGAUACGAACUCGACCCAACAAGAACUUGUCUUGAAGAAUCGAAUCGAUCAGGCAGCGGAAGGAUCUAUCUUGACCAGGUUAUGGAUACAAAGAUGGAAAGACCUUACGACCCCUCUAAUCCCCGUGACUACGAACUUGUUGAUAUUAUCUCAACCCGUAACCAAACGAAUUAGUGAACCUCAGGCAAGUGUAGAAGGCGCCACAAUUCAACAUGGUCUUGAAUUGAUAAGCCGAAACUUGAACAAAGGAGAUACAACUCACUUUGUAUCAAGGAACGCUCCCAAAGGAACAAGAAAGAGAAAACUCUCAAUUUUUUAUUCAUCUCAUAAUUGUGUUUUUCAAUAGUUAAAUAAAGUUGGCUAUUUAUAGCCUUGCAAAACUCAAAACCCUAAUCUAAAUUGGAAACAAUACAAGUUUCCUUAUUUGACUUGACUUCUAAACUUGACACAACUUCCUAAACAAAUUUGGAAGCAAUUAACUGCUUUCCUAAAACUCUAAUUCAACUAGAAUAGGAAACUAACUAAUUCAAAUUGGCUUAACUAUGGUCAACAUGACCUUAGCCUUUAUUCCCUAAUUCAAACAACUUACUUAACUCUCAAUUUGGAAAUCAAUCAAGAUAUCAAUCAAGAUACCAAUCAAGAUUUGGAAGCCAAUUAAAAUUUGGAAAAUUUGGAUCUUCAAUGAUUCUCGAGCCCGAUUGCACCAUCAACCAUCAUUAGAAUGUGCAGACUUGUAAAAUGAAAGGAAUCCAUGCAAAUCUUCAUGUUCUCAUCACUUAUAAAUCUGUAUUCAGCUGGCUUUUAUCUGUUUUUUUAAUGGGGUUUUUAUAGCCGACCAAUUUUUGGUGUAUUUUCAAGAUAAAAUACCCCUUUGUCUUAUAUAUUGAUACAUUACCUCUUUGUCUUACAUGUGAAUCUCCAUUACCGGCCGCUUGUUGAUUUAUGAUGCCGCCUUAUACAUCAAUUCAUUUCCAACCUGCAUUAGAUAUUGUAUUUUCGAAAUACAGUCUAAUGCAUCCAUCUGAUACUUUCUUUUGAGGUUUUCUCUGUGGUCUCGAAAGCCAAUCCAUCUUCUCGGGUGCCUCAAUCCUGAAUUGGAUACUCUUGCUUUGACUUUCACUAUGGUACUGUAUUUUUGUGGAGUAAAUGACACAAAUAGUUUUAAAUUGUUCAAAAUUUAUUAUUGUGAUCUUCAAAAUUAUGUACUCUUGUGACAAUUAUGUUUUAAAAUUUAUUAUGAAAGGCUUGUUUAGACCAGCCUUGCUUUGGUUGUUUUAUUUGAUAACUUUUGUAUAUAGAAUUAGGUUAUAGUAGUAAAUAGUUGUAUUUUGUAUAGCAGGUUGAAUUUCGGGUUCAUCUUGGUUGUUGCCAAUUGCUACAUACGUACAUGGUAGGAAGACUUAAAAGUUAGUAUGUACAAAAUUUUAGUUAUUUUUGGUUUGAUUCUAGAGAGGGUGAUGUUAUGUCCUAGUUUUGGGACGUGAAAACACAUAUAAUGGCUUCUUUUCUUCUCAAUUCUCUUUUUCAUUACACGAUUGAGGAGAGAGUUGUGAUGGCUGAAAGUUUUUGAAGGCUUUUUUUUGAAUUGAAAAGGGAAAAGUGAAUUAAAAAAGGAUCAAGUGAUGAUAUUCCAUCCAAAUUUGUUAGGAAGCCAUCAAUUGUUUUCAAUUAAUCAAAAUUAUGAGGAUGAAAUGGGUUUUGGUUGGAACUUGAAGAACAAAAUUAGUCCAGAUCCGAAACAUUGGGAAUUAAAAGUGCAAUUUUCUCCUCAUGAUAGAAAUGAUACACCAUGAAGGCCUAAACUGGUUUCUAUCAAAUAUGGUUCACCUUUGUCGUAGGUUGUAAAUUAUUUUCGUUUAAGUGGUAAUAUAAAAAUCUUCUAUGAUCCUUGAAUAACAAAUUAAUUGUCGAAAAAUGUUUUUGGUUUCUUCCACAAAAUUCUGUAGUUUCCCAGCUUGCAACAAGUUGAAGUUCAAAAAGAGUUUGGAGCAAUGUCACCAAUCAAAUAUGAAUAAGUCAAUUAAUUGGAAGAUCAUAAUUCCGCAGCUCACUUUCAGAGGAGACUUCAGAGACGACUGGAAGUAAGAUGUUGAGCUGCAUCUAUUUUCCGUCCACAUAUUGAAGUUUUAGUCUUCAAAGACUAUUCUGCUUAAUUACAAUCAAUCCUAAUUGACCUGUUUUUCUAGAAAAUGACCCUGUGGAAUAACAAAUAUCUAUGCUAGUUGGUCAUAGCAGCCUCUAUCUCGAUUUCAUCCUUAGACCCGAGGCAGAACAUAUUGCUUUGAUUUCGAAUGAACCAGAUGGUAUAAUAACAAGAAUUUCUAAAAUUUAGUACGGGGGAAAACAUUAUAGCUCAAAUGAGAAUACUUGUUUUUUUUUUUUUUUUUUAAAACUUUCAAAUGUUUAAUGGGUGAAGAUAAAAUUUUCUGAGUCUAACUUGGGGUGGUGAUUCCUAUCGGAUCUCCUCUCCGGAACCCCUAGGCCGGUCCGCCCAUAAUUUGCUAGUCAUUAAGUGGGAAAAUCAACAUUUAUGAUGACUGGUGCUGUUUUCUGUUAUGGCUCCUAUCAUAAUUCACGGCUGGAGACCACCACACUAAUUUCUGCUCCCAGUUCCAUGUGUGUGUUAGCGUGUUAUGAAGACUUCCAUGCUCUUCUUCAAUAUUUAUCAUCUAUCUUUUUUGUUGAUACCAAUCUAUGUGAGCAUGGCAAUGGGCAAAAUUCACUACUUUUUUUUUUUUUUUCCUGAAACAAUAGAAGCUUUUAUUUCUACUAAUAGAGAAAUUACACUGUAUGAGCAAGGGCUCAAGUUUUCCUUCACAAAAGUGUACUAAGACACUGAGGAUCAAAGACUUCCUCAUCAAAAUGUAAAUGCAUUGCUUGCUUACUCAGUUUAUGACUGAGGCUAUUCAUCCUAUUAUUACCAGACUGAAUAUCAAAUGAGCAUGUCCUAAACAUUAAGCUAAGAUCUUUUAUGUAUUGUACGUGGCCUGCUAGUCGCAUGUUGCCUGGGACUUGACAGUUGAUAAGCUUGGAAACCUGAUUGCUUGGUGUCUGAAGUUUGAUGUUGCGGCAGCCUCGUUCCUUUAGCUUGCAAAGUGCCAACUGUAUAGCCACAAGAUUGUCCAGUACAGGUGAUCCCAUGCUUCUUUCUUUCAUCAUCCACACUGCACAUAUGUGGUGCAUGCUGUUUUCUGCCAUAAUGCCAAUUCCCAUGUUCUGACCUUCGAAGUGCUGUCCCACAUGUACACAAAUGAUCAAUGUGUUUGCAUCUUCGCCCACUAUUUCCUCUUGUGCAUUUGCUGUAUCUGUUUCUGAGAUGCUCACUUGUUGUUCAGCCUGUUGGGAUUUUAGAUAUUCCUCCCACUCCAUGACUGCCUUUGUAAUCACUUUCAUUGGAUGUCUCUCUUUGUCUUCAAACUCUACUGCAUUCCUGGCUUUCCAAAUCUGCCAGAGAAUGUCAACUAUCAAUGUUAUAUGUUCCCUUCCUUCUUUCCUAGCUUUAACUUCCAUUAGUAUACUCCACCAUUUUCUGAAGUCGUUUGUGAACUCAUGAAGACCAUCCCAUUGUAAUGGAGCCAUCUUCCAUAUCAUCCUUGCUUUCCUGCACAGGAAGAAAAUGUGCUCCACUGUCUCACGGUUUUCACCACAUUGCUUACAAAUUAAUUCCCCUUUCCCUGUUCUCCGAAAGAUUGCCUCUCGUCCUGGUAACACUUGAUGCAGGCACUUCCAUAAAAACAACUUGUGCUUGUGCUUUACUUUAAGUUCCCAUAGCUGUUUCUAGAUUUUGCUAUUUCCCCCUGUCCAACUUGUUUCCCCCUUGUUGUUCAUUUGUACAAUAGACUGCCUGGCAGGACAUGUGAGUGCUGCAUAUGCAGACCUGAUAGUGUAGGUUUCGUUUUUGCUAUGAGUCCAAAAGUAACAAUCUGGUCUCCCUGUCAAGCUUAUAGGUGUUUUGAGUAUGUGGCCUGCUUCUUGUGAACUAAAAAGCCUAAAAAUGAGAGCUGAUUUCCACCUAAAGCUAGAUAUCAGCUCACUAACUUUUGUGACCUUGCAACCAGGGGGUUUUGUGGAUUCAAUCUUACCUCCCUUACCUUCCAACAUCCAAGCAUCUUCCCAAAUUCUGGUACUUUUCCCAUUUCCAAUUUGUUUCCUAGCUCCUCGCUGGACCUCCUCUCUUGCGCUCAUCAAACUCUUCCAUAUCCAUGAUGCAUUACCUUUUACUUCACAGCUCAAGAGUGUUGUCUUGGGAUAGUACCUAGCUCUCAACACUUUGCUAAGCAAAAGAUUGGGGCAUGUGAGGAGCCUCCAAAUCUGUUUGCCUAGCAAAGCUUUAUUAAAACUUUGAAGAUCUUUGAAGCCAAGUCCACCAGCUUUUUUCUCAGUUGUCAUUUUCUUCCAUGAAACCCAAUGCAUUUUCGUUUUGCCUUUCUCCUCCCCCCACCAAAAUCUUGCCAUGAGAGAGUUGAUGUCUUUGCAUAACCUCACGGGUAGUUUAAAACACGACAUGGCAUAAGUUGGCAUUGCCAUAGUUACUGCUUUAAGCAAAACCUCUUUCCCUGCUUGACUUAGCUGUGUAUUCCUCCAGUUGAGGAUUGUUUUUUGGCAUUUAUCUCUGAUGAAGCCAAAGAUUUGCUCUUUGGUUUUUGUGAUUACCAUUGGCAACUCCAAGUAUUUCCCUUGCUUCACCACCUUUCCCUGGCUACUAAAAAGCUCCUUAAAUUUUAGCCUAGUUUCCUUAAUAAUAAUAUUACUAUGGAUCAAUCAGCCCUUCUUGACAUUAGUAGAGAAACAAUUUCCCUGGAGAACACCUUAAUUUUGGUAUUAAUAAUUUUGGUGGAGAGCUUCCCUCUUGUUUUCGUUAUUUACAGACACUCCAGCAACUUUUGACUCAUAAACAAUACCUUUACGGGUUCUAUCCCACCUUCUAAGCACUCGAACAGAUGUAGAUUACUUAAACAUAUUGCAGGGAAUGAUUUCAAUGUUCAAGGAUAUUUUGAUUUCAAAGUUAUGAUGAAUUUCACCUCGUAGUCAUGACAUAUUACAAAAAUUUAGAAUCAUUUAAGGACAUGGGCAAAGCCAAAUUGAAUAAAUUUCUUCCACUAGCUAAACAAAUACCUUACUGUCAUUACAAUACAAGUAUUAUGGAGAUUAAAUACUUGGCCUAUGUGGUUUCACAGAACUUGAACGGUAACAGUGUAUUUAAUAUCUAGACAAGCCAAUGUUCCACAUAAGGAUGGCAAUGGGGCACCCACACCGCGGGGGUAGAAAUGGGGCGGGGGAUGGGGCGGGGCGGGGGCGGGGGCAAAAUAUUUCCUCCCGCAUUACAACGGGGCGGGAGAGGGGAAACAUACACCUGCCCCAUCCCCCGCAUACAAUAAUAUAUAUAUAUAUAUUACAAUUCUAAAUUUUCUAAAGUUGCAACCUUACUUACAAGUACAACGUUAGUCAGUGUCAACGGCCGUCGCAACAACUGAAAAAAUUUCUUGGACUAUUGUUGAUUUGUUUCUUGCGGCCCCCCAAAGACUAAGCUAUCCAAUUCCAACCUGUUUUGGUCCUAACUUUUUUUUAUUUCGAUCGGUUCCCUUCCUCCGCACUGAAUGUAACUUAACUUGUUAUGCUUUAUUUCCAUCUUGACAGCUUUUUAAUCGUAUUUAACAUUGUUUACAAUUGUAUUAUUGUAAAUAAACAUUUACGAUAGAUUGAUUUCUUACCACAGGGGAAACGGGGCAAGGGCGGGGGACGGGACGGGGGGAGUUAUUUGACAACGGGGCGGGGGCGGGGGCGGGGGAUCCAUUGCCACCCCUAGUUCCAGAUAUCAUAUACCAACCAAUGAAUAUUAAGCGCAAAUAAGUAAAAUCGAUGUAUAUAAAAGGCAAUACUCAAAAGCUUUACGCGUAAUAGCAUUUUUUGAGCGUAUAUAUUUGCUACAAGUAAAAUGUCUAACUAUAUGAAAGUUUCAUCAACAACUAUUUCAUGAAGUGAUCUCAGUAUAUCUCAAAUUAACUGCAUUGUGGCUAAGGGUGUAAAUUUUUUUGUAAGAACAUACCGGGUAACUUGAAAUGGUUACCUGCUGGCUUAAUACGAAAAUAUUUACCAUAAAAUAAACAAUCAAACGUGCAACGGACGAUAUGAGAGUACCUUUCACUAAUUGAGAGCCAAUAACAUAUUCCUGUCAAGCAAUGGAUAACAGAUAAUUUCAGAAACCUCCUCUGAGGUUUCUAAUAAUUCUGCUUGGCUCCCCUAACUCCCUUUCCAUUUAAAACGACAACACUAAACUUAAUAUUUUUAAUAAAACUCUCUUGUUACCAUGUUUAUGCAAAGGAUGGAUUUUAUAAUUUUUUUACGUUUUUCCUUCUUAUUCAUUUCUCUUAUAUUUCAUUAGAAGUACAGAAAAGCUAUCAAUGCUGUCCUUAAUAUCUAUCCAAAUUAAACAUUAAACUAGUAAUAUUUUUUUGAUAACUUUUAAUAUCAUUCAAUUUUUUUUGUAGCCCUUUUUUUUGGUAUCAAAUUCAAGGAUAAAUCAACAAUAAUUAAAAAUAAAUGACCCAAAAUCACCACUAAAUUAUGAUAGUUCCAUCACCAAUCUAGUCCAUAAACUUUUAUUAAAAAAAUAGUUUGUAAACUUUAAAAGAAACAAAAUAGCACCUUUUUCUCUAUUUUAAAAAAAAUUUAUAUUCCCAAUAAAGUAUUAUAAAAAAAUACCCUAUUAUAGCAAAAGAUUUAUUGUUGUAGUUGAUUCUCAAAGAACAAAUAUUGGCAUGAAAAAAUUGACGCUCUUUUUGUUUAAAGGAACAAAUUAAACUUUGUAAGAUAAAAGCAUUUAGGGUAUACAUUAAAUUUUUUACUCUAUUUUAAACUUUGGUUACCAAAAUGUUAAAUCAAGAAAGGUAAGUGUAAUUUUUAAAACGUCAAGAACUAAGUGAAAUAGUAAGAAACCUCAAGGCAGGUUUCUGAAAUUAUCCCUAACAGAAGUACAUACAAAAUUCAACUUUGAAAAGAGAAUAGACUUGAGGGGCGACUUGAGAUGGGUGUGAAGUCCUUGUUUCCUUCAUUCCACGGCACAUGGCAAAAGAAACUAGGAUCGUGACAGUGAUAGGCAAAAUAUAUCAAGUGACAGUGCCUGAUAGGCAAAAUAUUCCAACCUUGAAGCUAUAAUCUCCGAAGACUAUUCUAACGUCUACCGAAUAGCGAGUAGCGACCUGAUAUUCUGCAAAGCUCUAACCCAACAAGAGGUUUAAAGAAGACUUGACGGUGGCCCCUUCCCCGCCCCGGUCCCUUAGGUCCGUCCUUGCAUAAUUUGGUAGCAAUUUUGAGCUUGGUUAGAAAUAAAUGUACUGAGGUUUUUUUUUUUUUUUUUUUUUUUUUCCUAGUGGGGCGAAACUUUGAAGUAAUGACGACAAGACAUGGAAGUGUUGGAAAUAUGCUUGAAUUUUUUGGGAAGCAAUGACAAAAACCAAAUUAAUGAGAAAAAACAUGUAUUUAGGAUGGGUAUGGAAUCGUCAUCCUUAUGUUUGAUUUGCAUUUUUGCAGAGAUUAUAUAAAAAAGAAAAUAGAAAACUACUAUUCUGAUACGUUAUUGGAACAAGUAUUUGUCCAGUAAAAGGGUGAUAUGGUUAAAAGAAUAGUUCAUAAAAUAUUUUUCAAAUAGUAGCAGAUCAAACAAAUAUAGCUUGCAAAAAAUUGUUUGGAUAGGGUAUUAUUUGAAAUAUUAUUUGUUUGUAAUGUGAUAUAUGUGAGAUAAAAAGGUGGUUGGGAAUAUAAAAAGGUGAGUUGAAAAAUAUGUUUAUGAUGCAAGCGAAAUAUUAUUUGGGAUAAGUUCACUAUCCAAACAAACAAAUAUUGUUUUUUCAUGAUAUACUAAACUAGUUGAUCUACUUUUUUAAUAAAAAUUUGAGCAAUCAUAUCAUCUGUGCGUCUUCUAAGGGUUUCAAAUUAUUUUCGUUGAAGGGUCUGUUUGAUUGGAAGUAAAAUGUUUUCCUUGGGAAAAUAUUUUCCGUGGAAGUAAUUUUCCAUGAAAAUCAUUUCCCUUUCAUCAUUUUCAGGUGUUUGGUUAGCUUAUCGAAAAUAUUUUCUUACUUCAUUUUUCUGGUGUUUGUUUAAUUUUUGAAAUAUUUUCACUUUUAUCUCUAUCUUUACUUUCUACACAUUAUAACAACAUACUUCUUCCCAUACAACAUAAGAAAAUUUAUCUCAUUGUUUAACUUUAAAAAAUCUUGGAGAAAUGUAUAUAUGAAUAAAAAAUAUUUCCUUAAGCAAUAAACAAAUUGCUGGCCAUUUAGUGUGAAAUAUCAAUCACAUGCAAUGCUUAUUGUGACAUAUAUCUUGCACUCUCACUCUGAAAGUUUCUCUAGAAAAGAAUGUCCCUAUUAUACAUAAUUAAUUACUAGCAUAAGAUGAGCAGGAUGAGGUUUUUUUUUUUUUUUUAAUAUACUAGAGGGAGGGUUGGGUUGGGUGGUACGGGGGAGGGAGUGUAAGGAAGAGGUCUUGGGUUCGAAUCCUCCUGUUUACACUAAAAAAAAAAAAAAAAGAACAUACUACAAGAUGUUUUCAGUAAGUUUGGAACAUACUACAGGCGGGAUGCAUGCAUUUCGGAAAACAACUUCAGUAAGUUUGGAAGGGAAGUUGUUUUCCAUAAGAUGAGAGAAAAUAUUUUACAUAGGAAAAUGUUUUCAGUAACUUUUGUGCAACCAAACACGGGAAAUUAGGAAAAUAUUUUCCUGAAAAACAUUUUCACCCGAAACAAACGGACUCGGAGUGAUAUCAGUCUUCCAUAGUGCUUGGAUAAUGAAUUGAUUGCCCAAAAAAAAAUUUUCAUUUCUUCCACAGGAUUACAUAGUUUCCCAGCUUGCAAUGACUUGAAAUUCAAAAGGAGUUAACAAGCAACGUCAUGAAUCCAAAUCGAAGGAUAUAAUAAAUUGGAAGAGAAGAAGUCUAGAGCUCACUUUCAGGGGAGACUUCAGAGACGACGUGAGGUAAGAUAAUGAGCUGCAUCUUCCCCGACAUUGACAUUAUAAUCUCCGAAGACUAUUCUGCUAAAUUGAGUCAAUCCUGACCUGGUAAUGCAAAAAGUGAUCAAGAGACUACUUAAUAAUUUGAAGCACUAAUGUUCUACCCACCUUGGGUACACAAAUAAUUUGAAAGCCGUUUAAAUUUGUAAUUGACAUAGUUUGCGAGAAUGAUAGACAUCUAUGCUAUUUAGUCAUAGCAGCCUCUUUCUCGAUUUGAUGCAUAGACCCGAUGCAGAACACAUUAUUUUGGGAGGGAAAAUUUGAUUUCAUAUGAACUAGAUGGAAUAAUAAAAAGAUCUUGCAAAGUUUUGUAGAGGAGCAAAUAUUUUAACUCAAAAAAAAAAUACUUUGAAAACUUUAAGACAUUUAAGGGACGAAAAUGAAAUUUUCUGAAUCUAACUUGGGACGAUGACUCCUAUCUAGUCUUCUCUCCCGAACCCCUCUAGACCGGUCUGCCGUAAUUUGAUAGUUAACUAUGUUUUCAGUACAACUAUGUUUUCAGUGAUCAAAUGCUGUCGAAAAAUAUAUAGACCAAUUUUGUGAUCUUAGACGUAGUUUUUCUCAGUCGCCAUCUUCAUUGCAAACGGUGCCGUCGUCAAGAAUUUGAGGUAGUUUUUUCCUCCUCUCUUUCAAAUAUUAGUCCUAUAAGAAGCAAAUUGAAGGUGCGAGUAAAAAAUCUCUGCUUGCUAUCUUUUAACUUCAUUUGAUGACAUGCAAAAGUAUGUUGAAGGGAAAAUGUCUUGGAGUUUACACAAAAUUAACAAGGAAAGAAAAAAAAUUUUUUGUCAUCACAACGUGAGUUAACAUAAAGCAAGAGGUACGUACGGGCACUUGUAUAAACUACAAAUGAAUUGGUCUAUACUCUUAUCAUUUUGGAAAAUAACUCGAUCUCAGAUCUUAAACAGGAAGUAGAAAUUAAAUGAUCUUCUUAUAUAUGUUCUACAUUUUCAUGAAAAGAAUUUCCAGCCAAUUGCAUAUCCAAUUAUUUGAGAUAUUUUUUUUUAAAAAAAAUUGCUAUUAUGAAAAUAGUUCUUUUUUCAAAAAAUUUUUUUGAUGAUCGUCAAAGGAGAAGAAGCAAACCUCAAAGUCUUCAACAUUUGAAGUCCAAGUCUUUCUUGCAGGAUGAAUUGUGGACUUCUUGGAUGCUAAACUUUUGUAAUUGAUGACAAGUGGGAUGUCUAUCACUUUACUUAUUUACGAAGCAUCCUUUCAUCACGGCUUGACUAGUGAACAAAUUUUUCUACAAAUUAAGCAUCAAGAUUUCAUAUAUAUUUUGAUGUCAAAGUUAUGAUAAAUUUCAUCUUAUAGCCGUGACAUAUUACUGGAAUUCGGAAUCAUUUAAGGACAUGGGUAAAGCCAAAUUGAAUAAAUUUCUUCCACCAGCUAAACAAAUACCUUACCAUCUUUACAAUAGGAGUAUUGUAGAGAUUAAAUACUUGGCCUAUGUGAUUUCACAGAACUUGAACUGUAACAGAGUAUAUUUAAUAUCUAGACAAGCCAAUGUUCCACAUAUCAUAUACCAACCAAUGAAUAUUAAGCGCAGAUAAAAAUCGAUGUAUGUAAAAGGCAAUACUCAAAAGCUUUAUGCGUAAUAGCAUUUUUUGAGCGUACGUAUAUAUUUGCUACAAGUAAAAAGUCUAACUAUAUGAAAGUUUUAUCAACAACUAUUUACAAGUUUUUUUUGUAAGAACAUACUGGGUAACUUGAAAUAGUUAUCUGCUGGCUUACUAUGAAUCGUCCCGUCCCUGUGCCAUGUGUCGUGGGUGGGGCCCACCAGGCCGGGGACACGUGUCAGAUGAGAAUCUUCUCGAACCUCGAGGUUCGAAUGCUUUAGAAGUGAUAGAAUUGGCUCACAUACACACAAUCGUGGUUGGUCAGAGGUUUGGUCGAUACGGUGUGUUUCGAAGAGCAGAAAUAAAAUGGCCAACACGAGGGACAUGGCAGGAUUCUUCAGGGUCGUGAGGGACUGCGGCAUGGAGCACGUCGUGCUCCUCGGCAUGUACUUCGCACUAUGCAUGGGGAGACAUCGCUUCAUCAGCGAACUGGACCUGCUGUUCAGGGCAGUGGAGGAGCUCAAGAGAACCCUGUCGGAUUCAGACGAGGCCGCGGAUGAUGGCAGCUCGACCGGGAGCAGCCGACCUUCUUCGGUAGAAGAAGCGGACUGAAACCCAGAUCCGGUGAAACCCUUCCAUCGGAUGAUGAGGUGGGACCCACAUGCACAGGGAAUGCGUAUUAACGCGACGUAGAUUUCUGGAUAGCAUACUCGUAUACGUACGUAUGUAAUACAUAGGGAUUCAAUGCAGCAGUGACACGUGUAACAGAUGCGCAGGAAGGAAAUAAAAUGCCUCAAUUCAUUUCAUCCUUAAACAAUAUGCAUACAAACUAGACAUGCCUUGACCCUAAUAUUAAUGGUGACAUAUUGAGAUAUUACAUUUUGUGCCAUACAUUGAGAAAUUAUUUAUUGGGCCUGAUGCUCGGCCCAAUGCCAGUGUUAACGGCCCACUGGAUCAAGAAAUUGAGAACAUUUUCGAUUAAAUUGACCUGGGCCUGGGGAGAGGCCCACUAGAAAUUAACUGGCCCAGUUAACAUUUGAACGACCCAUCUGAUCAAGAAAUGCUGAAUGUGCAGGGCAACGGGAACUCAGUUGCUGCUGUCCAAUUCUUCAACUUCUUGGACAAUUGGUGCCUGCUCUUGGUUUGUGAGUGCAAAGAGAGGUUGUUGCAGGAAGAAGAAAGCCGCAUUCUGCUUAGUCCAGUUGAAAAGAUCCUGGCGGUCUGGUGCACUUAAGUAGACGUCAUAUGAAGAAUUGAGACCAGGAUUGCAGAGUACAAUUGAUGGAAUUCCCCCUUUGAUUUUCCUGGGUUUGGCAUAUUUGCAAUUGGAUGACCAAUCUCGUUGUGCACCUAGGAAUUCUUUCCAGUGUUUGAGAAAUUGAGGGUUUACGUCAUCUAUGACGUUGUACCAUGCAUCAUCACAGUGAUGGGCCAGAUCAAUAUGGCCUGCGUAGUAAUUGUGGGCCUGAGAAUUGAGACUUCUUGCCCAGCAUGUUUUACCAGUUCGACUUGGGCCUUCUAUUAUUAUGGACAUGGGCCUGUGUGGUCUAUUACCAGACCCAGUAACAUUUGUAUCGGCCCAAUGGGUCAAGAACGAAGGAACGCGUUGGAAACGAGUCACGUAUGGUUCUGGUGGCUUCUGGAAUAUUCUAUCCAAAUUGCUGGACAGUUUGUCGUAAUGAAUAAUGAACGAUCGAGGAUCGCCCCUCUUGAAAAUAUUGAGAGCCAUGCCCUUAUCUUGCCCGGCAAGCGCAGCGGCAUAUACCUCAUCUGUUUUGUCAGAUGAGAAUCUGCUCCAGCCAUCUGGCUGGAACUCUCCCCAUUCAACGAAAUCACCAUAUUUGGAUAUGUAAUCCUUAACUGCUGAUGAAUUCCUGGCACCUUGGACAUUCGGGUGGAACAUCGAAUUUGAAAUGGGAGAUUUGAUAUCGAAGAAUCUCGCAGAUGCAGUGCGAAAUUUACCUUGGAAUUGGAUCAGACAAUGUAGAUGAGGAGAACCAUCUUCGUGUGUUUUUUGAGCAACCCGUAUGUAAAUGGAGGAAAUAGAGAACUGGAGGUUCCUAAUUGCAUCUAAUGCUUGUUGUUUGGGAAGAACACACCUGGGAUAGGUGAGGAAUAUGUUCUUCGCGUUUAUGAAGAAGGAAGGACGUGCUCUCGGCAUCCUGAAACUCAACCCAACCUGAUGACGUCACUCACCUCAAUACAAAGUAUCCCUAGUAUUGGCUAUACUGGGUCGGCUUAUAUAGGGGUCUUCCGAGCGUCUUAUAAUAUUACAAAGACGCUCGGGGCGGACACGUGGACGGCGGAUGGAGGGGCCACGUCACCCCCCAAGAGUAAACUGGACGGUUGAGAUCAGCUCAACUCAAUGGCAUUGUGGUAAAUAGUUCGCUCAACCCAAUGGCAUUUUUGCCAUUUGGCCCAAGGGCCCCCCACGUGUCCCCCCACGGUCCGACAGGAACGUGGGCCGCCGUACUCUCUUGCCACGUGGCCGAAGGCCACUGGCCGCCCGGGGCCCUCGGGCCCCGCACUGGUGCACAGUGCUAGCAAGUGGAGCAGCACAGUGCCCGGAUGCACUGUUGCAAUUCGAAUUUGAAAUUAAAAUUCGAAAUUCCCACCUCAUCAUCCGAUGGAGGGGUUUCACCGGAUCUGGGUUUCAGUCCGCUUCUUCGGAGGACCCAUCUGAUCAAGAAAUGUCGAUUAUGUUGGGCCACUUACACGGAUGGCCCACGAUGAGAUAGCCCUAACUCUAUUCAUUUAUCUUCCCCUGCAACCGCCCCUAGUUUCGACUAAGCUAAUUCUGCUAUUAACAAUUAUCACUUGAUAGCUAGUUUGGGAGUUUGGGACAGAAAAAGAAAAGAAGAGAGAGCUUAAGUUAGAAAAGAAAAGAAAAUACAAGAUGGGUUGGUUCUAUUAAAUAUACGCCUCGUUGACCUUUUUCGGGGGCACAUGGGUCGGAGUUGAACUAAUCCAACUCUAUUGAUUGUCCUAAACAAAAAGGAAGAUGCUACUGUAGGGUCUAGGAACGGUGGUCAUUGGACCAUGGGACAAUACUGUGUCAGGUUUUUAAGUCUUUAGAGAUCAAUUUAGUAAUUUUAGAAUAAAAAGAAAAAGAAUUGAGAACAAAAUUAAGUAGACUAAGAGAAAGAGAGGAAGGAAGCACAAAGGAGAUGAUUGAUCCAGGAUAGAGAAAGAGAUGAGGACUAAUUCUAUUAUGAUUACAAUUGAUAUCCCAUUACUCUAACGGAUAUGGGCCCUUACAAAUCAAGUUCAAACCAGCUGUGUAAACCCAUUUCAAACCAUCUAUGUAAUAUAUUUGGCGUAGAUUGGUACAAUUUUGGUGUGAUCAUGAUUUUUGCACAAAUUUAGUUGCAUAAAUCCCAAGCUCAAAAUUUAUACCAAAGUUGCACCAAUUUACAAAUGUUACAAGAAUUAGACUUGAAUUGAACAAUAAUUCAACUCGUGAGACUCCAAAUCCUAAUGGAUUCGAACUCCUCUAUACAAGCAGCUGAUCACUAAUGGCCAAUUGGCAAACUACACUUACUAAUUGAAACUACAACUUAAUGAUACAAAAUGCAAGUGAAACAAUAAGAAACAACAAUUGCCUUGUGUUCUUGUCAUACAGUUUAGGUUUUCCUAUACUUGUCCGUCUUUCAUAUUUUUUACAUAAUAUAGUGUACAUUUAUAGAAUUUAUUGUACUUAUAAAUUUUAUUGGCAAUCUCACCUAUAAAUGUACACUAAAUUGUGGAAAAAAUACAAUAACCAUACCUACCCCGUGGUCACUGAUUUGUUAAAUUUAUGGGUUUUUUUCUUUUUAUAAACAAAUUAGAUAAGCUAUUAUUUCCUGAAUAGUUUUUUGUUUGAUGUUUUCUUCUUCUUCUUUUUUUGUGUAAAUCCUUGUUGAAUUUUAGUAAUGUCUCACUAGUUUUGGAUAAAAUAGAAAUUGGUUCCUUUUCCUUGAUUUAAUGGAACACUCAUUUUUAGAAAUUCAAUAGGAAAAGAGCUCUUAUCUAAUUUUCUUUGUUAAUUUAGUGAUUUAUGCUUAAAAAAGGAAUUUAGUGCGUUAAAUAGGAAGGGAAAAUCAGUUUUGUAUUCAUUGGAUACUUUUCCAUAUUCAGUAGGCAGUAGCUCUGUUAGUUGAGUUUAAACACUGUGAUAGACAAGCAUGACCGUAAAAUUGCCAAACCUAAUCUAUAAUUUGGUCAAAUCUCCCCCCUGUUAUGUUGUAGACAUGCUAUAAUCAUUUUCAAUUAAUGCAUUUGGAGAAUUCAAUAAUCUCAUUAACGUUGUUAUUAAAUACUUCCAUUACAAGUCAAAAACUCAUAAAAGUUGCAAUUUUGCAGGUGCAAUUCCAAAUGAAAUAGGGAAUCUAACUAUAUUGACGAUUUUAAAUUUUCGCGACAACAAAUUGACUGGUAUGCCAAAGUUCCUAAUUACAAGGUCUGAAUUGCUUAAACCAUAGGCAAAAUUGACUGGUAUGCCAAAGUUCCUAAUUACAAGGUCUGAAUUGCUUAAACCAUAGGCAAAAACUCGGCAUGCGAUUGGAUCUAUAGGAUAGAAGGAUCACGACUAUGUCCAAUCCCCAACUCUUUACAAUGACGAGCUCAUAGGUUCAAUCCCCAACUCUUUAGGAAGUUUAAGAAAUCUAAAAUUUCUAAACUUGGCUUUCAACAGGCUAUCAAGUGAAUCCUCAGAAUUGAGCUUUUUCACUUUCUUGACGGCUUGCAGAUCCUUGAGAUAUUAAGCGUUGAAUAAUAAUCCUCUAAAUGGUUUUCUACCAGCUUCCAUUUCUAACUAUUCGACUUCACUUGAAGGCAUAAGUGCAGUCAGUUGUAAAAUCAAAGGACACUUCCCAGCUGAUUGGAUCAGCAAUUUGAGCAGUUUACUAGUUCUAGAUUUUUUAGGUAAUGAAUUGAUUGGAUCUGUCCCAAGAACUAUGCAUAGUCUGGCAAAUCUUCAGGUGCUGUACUUGAACUCCAAUCAAAUAAGACAUGUCUUGGACAUUUUCUGUGGAUUACAUAGUUUGGGAUUGUUAAGCUUAAGCCAAAAUCAAUUCUUUGGUAGUAUUCCAGAAUGCUUAGGAAAUAUGACAAAUUUGAGACAGAUUUUUCUAGACUCCAAUAGGUUGACUUCCAUGAUGCCUGCUAACCUAUUGAGCAUGAAAGAUCUCCAAAUUCUCAACCUUUCAUCAAAUUUCUUAAGUGGAUCGCUACCUUUAGAGAUCGGGAACCUCAAAGCAGCAUAUAGUUUAGAUAUCUCGUUCAAUCAAUUAUCAGACAAAAUCCCUACAACCAUUGGAGAGCUACAAGCUUUACAGAACCUUUCAUUGGCGAGAAAUAAUUUGCAGGGUUCUAUACCAGAAUCAUUUAGCUAUAUGGUAUUUUGGAAUUCUUGGACCUUUCACAUAAUAAUCUCUCUGGUGUGAUACCCAAGUCAAUGGAGGCACUCAAAUCUCUUAAGGAAUGCAAUGUUUCUUUUAAUAGAUUAAGUGGAGAAAUUCCUCGAGAUGGUCCCUUCAGAAACUUUACAGGUUAAUUGUUCAUGAACAAUGAAGGACUCUCUGGUGACCUAAGGCUUAGUGUUCCACCAUGUCAGAGUAAUUCAAUUAGAAGAUCGAGCAAAAGAAAGGUGCUUCUACUUGUCAUUAGUCUGUCAGGGAUGGCAGCAAUACUGAUAAUAGCAAUUGGAGCAUUAUUGAAUCUAAAGUGGCUAAAGAAACCAAAGAGUUCUGGUGGAACAGAGUUGAUGUUAGCGGCAAAAUAUGAAAGAUUUUCAUACUAUGACCUUUUGCACUCAACCGAUAACUACAAUGAAAGCAAUUUGCCUGGAGAAGGGAGCUAUUGUUCUGUUUACAAAGGGAUCCUAAGUGAUGGCACUGUUGUGGCUAUCAAGGUAUUCAACUUGCUAGUGGAAGGUUCAUUAAAAAGUUUUGUUAGAGAAUGUGAGGUUCUAAAGAGUUUAUGCCAUCGAAAUCUUACAAAAGUGCUCGGCAGCUGCUAUAACCCUGAUUUUAAAGCCUUGGUACUCAAAUACAUGUCUAAUGGGAAUGUUGAGAAGUGGUUGUACUCUCACAACCAUUUUUUAGAUAUGUUCCAAAGAAUAAACAUAAUAAUUGAUGUUGCUUGUGCAUUGGAAUAUCUCCAUCAUAGUUCUGAUACUCCUGCGGUACAUUGUGACUUGAAACCCAGUAAUAUCUUGCUUGAUGAAGAUAUGGCUGCCCAUGUAAGUGACUUUGGUAUAGCAAAAAUGUUUGGUGAAGGAGAAAGUAUUUUGCAUACCAACACCCUUGCAACACUGGGAUACAUUGCACCAGGUUAAGCAUUUAAACUUUUGCUGUCUACAUUUCCUCUACUUCUAUGAUGCUGUUCAUCUGUUGUUAAUCUUUUAACUAAUUCUAUUAUUCUGACUAUUAUAAUCUUGUGACAGAGUAUGGAUCAGAGGGGAUAGUUUCGACAAGAAUUGAUGUAUACAGCUUUGGAAUAGUUUUGAUGGAAGUUUUUGCAAGGAUGACGCCUAAUGAUGAAAUGUUUUCAGGAGAUUUAAGCCUUAACAGCUGGGUAGAAGAUUCUCUUCCUGAUGCACUCCAAGUCGUUGAUGCAAACUUAAUUAGGCCAGAGGAUGAGCAUUUCACUGACAAGCUGAAGUGUGUUACAUUGAUUAUGAAAUUGGCUUUGAACUGCUAUAGAGAAUGUCCAAGAGAAAGGAUCAGUAUGAAAGAUGUUUUAGCAAAACUAAUAAAGAUCAAGCACCAAUUUCAAUUUCUGAUGGCACUAAGUAUUUAUCCUUUUUGUACAAAUUUUACUUCUGAAUGCUGAAAGUUAUGUUUCCUUAUUCAAUUGGGCUUAUAACCUGCUAUAUUUUUGCAGCAUACCGUCAGGUCUUGAUCAUAUCAGAAACAAUGCUUUUGACUAGCGUUGCAAGCUCCAUUUCGUCCAUGAUUUGAUAGUCCUUGUUUGGAACCUACUUGGAAAAUAAAUCAAUGUUACGACCUUUUCCAUUGAUUUGGUUUUAUUAUUCCUAGAAUGUGUUAUUAGUGGACUUCCAUGCUCGUUUCUAUCUGUAUAUAUCGUUUCGCAGUUCAUCCCAAUUCUUAAUUAGUGAGUGCCCUGGUGAGUGUGGAAAUCUGAAAUUGAACCGUAAGCAUGGCCAAGGACAAAAUCUACUACUUCUUCUUGCUUAUCUUUAGGUUAGCCGGCAUGGCAGCUAGCAACAGUAAUAUUACUAUGGAUCAAUCAGUGACAUGGUUAAUUACCUCUACCAUUUGUGAUUGGAUAGGGGUCACUAGCAAUUCUCGACACGUUGAGUGACUCCCUUGCAUAUUUCAAACAUGAACUUUUCUAGGGGUACCAUACCUCCUCAACUUGGGAAUAUAUCCUUUCUCGUUUCCCUUGACGUUAGCAGGAACAAUUUCCUUGAAGAACUGCUUCGCGAGUUGGCUCACUUGCGUAGAUUGAGAUACCUUAAUCUUGGAAUCAACAAUUUUGGUGGACAACUUCCCUCCUGGAUUGGUUCCUUAUAGAAACUCCAAUACCUGUCUCUCAGAAACAAUAGCUUUAUGGGUUCUCUCCCACCUUCCAUCUCUAAUAUGUCAAACUUGGAGACGCUAUGGCUGUCCUUCAAUUCCAUUGAGGGAACAAUUCCAACAGAAUUUCGGAGUCAGGUCCUCUGCCACUCCACACUUUCAAUAUUUCCUCACUGGAAACAUUUCUUUCAAUAACAAUAGGCAUUCUUCCAGGCAACAUCUGUCGCAGCCUUCAGAAACUUACACAGCUUGGUCUAGCGCAUAAUAAUUUCAGUGGUCAAAUACCUCCAACAUUGUCUCAGUGUUCAUUGCUUCAGGUGCUAUCCUUGGCUGCGAACAUUUAACCGGAAUCAUAUCCAAACAAAUUGGGAAUUUGACGAUGCUGGAGUUUCUGGAUGCGUGGAGCAACUAUUUAGAAGGUAGAAUCCGGGACAGAACAAUUAAAGUAUAGGACUGACCUGCUUUUCAUUCCAUUAUUUAGGUAUAUUUAAGGGUUGAUUGCACUCUACACCUCAUGACAUUUGUGUUUAACACUUUGCCCUUAAACUAUCAAUUACAAGUUUACAACACCAUGAUAUCUUUGUCUUCUUGUGCAACCUGUACCAUCUAUAGUGGGAAGUAAGAUUUCCGAACAAAUCCGAACAAUUUUCAGGUACAAUUUCAGAGGAAAUUUGGAAUUUAAAUAUGUUGAGACUCGUAAGCUUUCAUGGCAACUUCUUGACAAGUAGGCCAAACUUCCUUAAUUACAAGAUUGAUCUUAAUUGAUUUAGACUGCAAUUAUAACUUGGCAUGAGUUUGACCUAGAGGAUACCUAGCGAAUAUUUUCAAUUCAGUGAGAUUUGCAGUUGCCAGUUAAUUUUGAUCUAAAGAUCUUUGGAGAAGCUUACAUCCAAUUUUCACUUUUACUAGUUUUUAAGAAUUUUAUGUCCAAAGAGGUCUACGCCAAAGAAGCAACUUUGAAGCUUGAACAAGGAUACACAAUAGUCAAAUACUUGAAAGAUUUGUUUGUUUCAGAGAGUUGCUAAUUAGUGCGAUUAAAAAAUCAACAAUUGUGUGCUACUAAACUUAAGAAAAUUCUAUGAUAUUUCCUUAACUUAUAUCUCUUAUUAAAGAUAGUAAUUUAAAUUUUAAAUAUUUAAGAAUAUUUAAUCUAAGAAACAAUAAUACUUCUUCCACCAUCCGACAGUAAACUUUAUUUAUGGAUAUGAUAUCCAAAAGGAACGGUAAAAUCUGCUCUAAACUUAUUAAGAUUAUCAAAGGUGUGGGCUAACCUGUGCUUGGCCCAUUAAAAAUUCAAAGCGAGUUCACUUGCAUUAGCGCUAAGUCAAUGUUGGACCUAUAUUUGGAAACCAAUUAAAAUAUCGGCUAGGUUGUGGGCAAGUUAGGCUCAUCUUGAAUAAGGCUUGACCCAUUUAAUUAUAUAAUUUUUGUUUUCUUUGUUUGGAGUAGAUGAUAUCGAUACGCCACUUUUUGACAUGUAUCUACUUUCCCUGUUUUAGAUUGGUUUUAGGAGGCAGCAAAUAUUAAAGGGUAAGGCUAUAAGGGUGUGUGGAUAUCAAGUGGAAAGAGCUUAAUAUUUAUUUGUUUAGAGUAGAUGAUAUCGAUACGCCACUUUUUAACAUGUAUCUUGAGAUUCUUGGACUCCACCAAAAUGACUUGAAUGGAGUUAUACCCGGCUCCAUCUCAAAUGCUUCUAAUCUCAUUUGGCUAAGCCUUCAAUUUAAUAGCUUCACUGGCGUAAUUCCCAACUCCCUAAGAAAUUUGAGAAACAUCAAGAAUCUAGACUUAGCCAGCAACAAUCUAGCAACUGAUUCCUCUGCCAGAUCGAGCUUUCUCAUUUCCUUGACAAGUUGUAGGUUCUUGAGAUAUUCAAUAGUGGGCGAUAAUCCACUCAAUGGUUUUCUUCUAGUAGCAUUUUCGAACUAUUCAACUUCUCUGGAAGUCUUAAUUGCUACUAGGUGUAAAGUCAAGGGAAACAUCCCUAAAACAAUUGGCAAUUUGAGCAGUUUUACUGGUGUUAGAUUUAUCAUAUAAUGUACUCAUUGGAUCUGUUCCAAGAACAAUACAAGGUUUAACAAAACUUUAGCGAUUGGACUUUAGUGUCAAUGAAAUAAGAGAAUCCUUGGAACUUUUCUGUGGAUCAUAUACAUUGGGUGAGUUGCAAUUGAGCCAAAAUCAGUUCUCCGGUCCACUUGCAAUGUGUUUAGGAAAUCUUACAUCUCUGACCAAGAUUCCAAUAAAUUGACUUCAAAGAUUCAUACCAGACUGUGGAACGUGAAAAAUCUUCAAGAACUCAAUCUUUCCUCAAACCUUUUAAGUGGAUCCCUACCUCCAAAGAUCGACAACCUCAAACCAACAUACCUUUUAGAUUUCUCAGUCAAUCAACUAUAAGACAUUAUUUCUACUACAAUUGGAGAGCUACAAGAUUUGACUUACCUUUCUAUGGCAAACUGAUAGGGCGUUAAUUGUCAGUAAUUUUAUUGUUAAUUUUCCCCUUUAUCCUUGCUAAAUAUUGUUUUAAAUUGUUAAUAUAUACUUAUAUUUGGUACUUGGACAUAUCUAUAGGAAGGGGACGGAAAAGUGCUAAAAAGGGGGACCUGUUGAAGAAAAUUGCUCCACACGUGGGAGACUUCAAAAAGCUUCACAAACUUGGCCCACGGGUACUUAGCAACGGACUUCCCUUUUUCUUUUGCUGAUGAAGAGUCUUACUAGCAAGAGAAAACUAAAAAAAGUGGAAGUCGGCAGAGCUUCCUUUUUGUACUUUGACUCUCAAUUCGGCGGGGACCACGGAGGGGAGCAUUAGUCAUUGUUUUAGAAACAAACAUAGAGAGCCGUGGGUGAUUGUUUUUUUUAGCAAUAGUUUAGUUCUCUUUCUUUUUUCUCCUUUGCAUGCAUUCCUGGUGUUCGACGAUAUUCCCCUUUGAAAAACAGCUUUGACUUCUUGCUUUCUAGUGAAAAGAGUGAUGCCUUUGCAAUCAAUUAAUUUGCGUGAAGAUUUACUUAUGCGGCGUGAUUAAGCUUUUCAUCUAAUUAAGGAUCAACGCGACGAUGCAAUCCCGAAUAUCUGUGAGAUCGAAUUAGUUUUCAUGUGUUCCUUAAUUUGUUAAUAUUUGCACGUUGUCUACUUGAAUUUCCUUGCGAUUAGUUUGAUAAUUGGAUGUCAAGGGCCUGAUGUUCAAUGUGACUGAUUAAUCUCUUGCCAAAUUAGUCAAUUAAAUCCGUAAUUGUUUAAUCGAUUAAUAUCAGUGGCAACUAGCAUUUUUACACACUAGGGAAACAUGCAAUCUGAUUUAAAUAACCCUCGUAGUGUGUUAUUGAUUGGGGUUAGGUUUUUCUAGUUUUUAAUGCAAUUGGGGAAUGAAUUCCUACGGUCGUACCUAAGAGUAUUUUCUAAUUAGGGGUAAUCAAUGGUCGUACCUUGGUUAUCAAUAAAUUAAGGAAAAAUUGAUCAUCAGAGCUCGUUGGCGACUAUAACUGACCUAUUAAUAAAUUAAAUGAACCUCCAUUGCAUCAAUGAUCGGAUGAAUGGACUGUAUCUGUGUCUGUGUAGUUGUAUCCUUGGUUAGAAUUUAUCUAUUCUUGAUUUAAUUCCUGUCUAUAUUCGUGGUAGUUAAUUAUUAGUUUUAAUUGAGUUGCUUAAUUAUUUUUAGCUUUAUUCUGAUAAAACCCCUCUUUUUCCAAUUGGAACCUCAAAGAGACAAAUAUUCCCAAUUCCUGAGGAGACGACUCUGCUUGCCACUAUCUAUUAGUUAAUAAAUUUUAUCAACUUAUUAAUUCUGAUAUAUCGGAUUAAGCGAAUUCUUCGGGAACAGAGUGAAUCAAGUAACCCAUUGCAUACCUAAAGUCCCUGUUCCAGUACCUAGAUUUGAUUAUUGACUGCUUUUAGUGGUAAUUAAAUUUUAUUAUUAUAAUUGCACAGACUCGACACCUGUCAAUUUUUUACGCCGCUGCCGGAGACUGGCAUUAAUUAUUUGUUUCUUUUAAAUUCAUCUUUGUUCUAAUUAUCUGAUGCUUCUCUAGUGUAUGCCCCAUUCUUCUUGUACAGGCGAAUUAAUUUUCGACCCUGAAGUAGGGAAGAUCACAUGUAGAACGAGGAAAGAAACCAGACAAUUUAGGGAAGAGCAAUCCAGUGUUGCACCUCAAGGACUUGAUCCAAAGGUUGAGUCAACGAAUUUACGUGGUGAUACUUCGAGUGAUUCAGACCAAGAGAAAGUCACCAUGGCGAAUGCACACACACUAAGAGAGUUGGCUGCUUCUGAUUUAAAUCAGCAGCCCUUAUGCAUUACUUUUUCGCAUUUAAAUGAUAGCACAUUUUUUGAGUUGAAAUCUGGCCUAAUUCAUCUUUUACCAUCUUUUCAUGGCUUACCAAGUGAGGAGUCUCACAAACACUUGCAGGAGUUUGAUGUCGUCUGCAACAAUAUGAAACCCUCGAGAAUUACAGAGGAACAAAUAAAAAUAAUGCCAUUCCCCUUUUCUUUGAAGGAUUUCGCAAAAGACUGGCUAUACUACCUACCACCAGAUAGCAUCACUACGUAAGACCAGCUGAAGAAAAAAUUUCUGGAAAAAUAUUUUCCUGCAUCUCGGGCCGUUAGUUUAAGGAAAGAGAUUUGCAGCAUCAAACAACACUUAGGUGAGUCUCUCUACGAAUACUGGGAAAGAUUCAAAAAGUUGUGUAUCAAAUGCCCUCAACACCAGAUAAGUGAGCAACUGCUCAUUCAAUAUUUCUACAAGGGCCUACUCUUCAAAGAUAGAAGCAUAAUCGAUACUGCAAAUGGAGGAGCAUUGGUAAACAAGACUCCUCGAGAGGCUUGGGAGCUAAUUGAGGGGAUGGCUAAGAAUUCACAGCAGUUCAGUUCAAGAGAGGGUGUCCCGACGCGUAGGGUGAAUGAGGUAGAAACAUCCUCCAUCCAACAACAACUCUCUGAAUUGAUGUCUUUCGUGCGACAACUAGCUAUGGGAAGUGCCUCACAAGCCAAAGUAUGUGGGGUGUGCACUGUCUUAGGUCAUUUUACGGAGAUGUGUCCGUUAGUUCAAGAAAAAAAUGCAGAACACGUAAAUAUGGCUAGCCACGUGCCUGUGCCAAGAAAGCAAUACGAUCCAUAUUCAAAUACAUACAAUCUUGAUUAGAGAGAUCAUCCCAACCUCAGUUAUAGAGGAAAUAGACAGUCUAACUUUGUGCCAAAUAGACAACAAGGGUACCAGCAGCAGUACCAACCUCGACCACCACCCCAACCACCGAGGUCUAGUCCAUCUUUGGAGAAGAUGAUGAAACAACUGAUGGCUACUACCGCACAACAUUAACAAAAGAUGGACUCGAAAUUGCAGAGCAUAAGAAAUCAAAUGAACCAGAUGCAAUCCAUGCAAAGUCAAAUGAAUCAGAUGGCAAUAGCGAUCAACCACAUGGAAUCCCAAGUUCAAGGGAAGCUGCCAUCUCAACCUGAGUUAAAUUCCAAAAAAUGUUAGUGUAAUGACCUUGAGGAGUGGCAAGGAAAUCCAAGGACCCGAACUGGUGAUUCCUAAGGACAAGAACGAGGAACGAAUUGAGAAAGAGUUGGAAGAAGAGAGCAAAAACAACAAAGAUUCAAAGGUAACCCCAAACCCAGUCACUUUAGUUUGCAAUAAUCCAUCUCCCUUCCCCAGCAGGCUAGAGAAACCAAAGAAGCCGAACAAGGAGAAAGAGGUUCUAGAGAUCUUCUGCAAGGUGGAGAUGAACAUUCCCUGUUGGACGCGAUUAAACAAGUACCCAAAUAAGCAAAAUUUUUGAAAAACUUGUGUGUCAACCGAAAGUGGUUGAAAGGAGAUGAGCGAGUGGUAGUGGGGGAGAAUGUGUCAGUAAUUCUACAACGGAAGUUUCCACCAAAAUGCAAGGACCCAAGUAUAUAAACUAUUCCUUGUAGGAUAAGUAAUACCUUAAUUGGGAAAACAAUGUUAGACCUAGGAGCUUCGAUAAAUGUCAUGCCAAAGUUCAUAUAUGCUUCUUUGAAUUUAGACCCUUUAAAAUAGAUUGGGAUAAUAAUCCAAUUAGUUGACCAAACCAAUACAUACCCUGACGGGUUGAUUGGAGAUGUUUUGAUAAAAAAUAAUGAAUUGAUUUUUCCAGCUGACUUCUAUGUGCUUGACAUAGAUGAUGAACACUCCCAUGAACUAUCACCCUUUCUGUUAGGUAGAGCCUUUUUUAGUACAGUCAGAACAAAAAUUGAUGUUAAUAAGGGUACCUUGUCCAUGAAAUUUGAUGGUGCGAUUGUUCACUUUAACAUCUUUGAGACCAUGAAAUAUCCUUCUGAUUCAAAUAUUGGCUCUAUUUUCUCUGUAAAUGUUAUUGACCUUACUGUACAGGAAGUUUUUGAAAUUAAAAGUAGUGAUGAGUUAGAAGUCGCCUUGACCAGGCACUUCGGGUCAGAGACGACCUCUGAGGUAGAGUUGAACGAAGAACUCAAAUAUGUGAUUGGAUCGUUGCAAUCGUUGCCAACCACGAGAACAAAGGUUUGUUUGGAUAGAUUAUUAUUUAAAAUAUUAUUUGAAAUAAAUACUGCAACAAUUUUGUGAUAUGAUAUAUGCGAGAUAAAAAGGUGGUUGGAAAUAUAAAAAAAUGUGUUGAAAAAUGUGUUUAUGAUGCAAGCGAAAUAUUCUUUGGGAUAACUUCACUAUCCAAACAAACCCAAGGUAUGGUUUUGCACCCAUUUUCACACCUGAAUCUCAUCAAAGGUUACUUCCAUCUGUGGUGCAGGCGCCUGUUUUGAAAUUAAAACCUCUGCCAAAACACCUGAAGCAUGCAUACUUGGGUAAAGGGGAGACACUUCCAGUGAUCAUAUCUGCUAGUUUGUCAGAAGUUCAAGAAAACAAACUGAUUCGAGUCUUGAGGGAACAUAAGCAGGCGAUAGGAUGGACCAUCGCCUAUAUCAAGGGAAUUAGCCCCACAGUGUGUAUACAUAGGAUCCGACUCGAGGAGGGUGCUAAACCCGUACGGCAGGUUCAAAGGAGAUUAAAUCCUUUUAUGAUGGAGGUUGUGAAGAAAGAGAUUUUAAAGUUGCUGGAUGUCCGAAUUAUAUUUACAAUAUCGGAUAGCUCAUGGGUGAGUCCAGUGCAUGUGGUUUCGAGGAAGACAGGGGUGACGGUGGAAUUAAACCAAAAGGGUGAGGUCGUACUAGUUCGGAAACCCACAGGGUGCCUGCAGUAUAUAAACUACCAGGAGUUAAACAUCGUCAUAAAAAAGGAUUAUUUCCCUCUCUCUUUCAUUGAUCAGAUGGUAGAGCGAUUAGCAUGUUGAGCUUACUAUUAUUUUUUGGAUGGAUUUUCAGGUUAUUUCCAAAUUACCAUCGCACCCAAGGAUCAGGAGAAGACUACCUUCACGUGUCCGUUUAGAACGUUUGCAUACCGAAAGAUGCCCUUGGGAUUGUGCAUUGCAUCUGCUACCUUCCAAAGAUGCAUGGUAAGUAUCUUUUCAGAGUAUGUUGAAAGAUUAUUGAGGUUUUCAUGGACGAUUUCAGUAUGUAUGGUGAAAGUUUUGAUAACUGUCUAGAUAACCUGAAAUUGAUCUUAGUAAGGUGUAUAUAAACUAAUAUCGUGCUUAAUUGGGAAAAAUGCCACUUUAUGAUCGAACGCGGGAUAAUUUUGGGUCAUGUAGUGUCAUUUAGGGGUAUUGAAGUCGAUAAGGCAAAAAUAGAUGUUAUAUCUAUUUUACCUUACCCCGCGAGCGUGAGGGAAGUGCAUUCUUUUUUGGAUCAUGCAGGUUUCUAUCGAAAGUUCAUUAAAGACUUCUCGAAGAUUGGAGCACCAUUAUUCCAACUUCUGCAAAAAGAGGUGUCAUUCGAGUUCGAUGAAGCAUGUAAGAGGGCGUUCGACAGGUUGAAAGGGCUAUUGACCUCCUCACCUAUUAUCCAAUCGCCUGAUUUGAACAUACCAUUCGAGAUCAUGUGCGAUGCUGGUGCUGGGUCAAAGAGUGGGAAAGACAGCCCAUGCUAUCUACUACGCAUUUCGAGCCUUAAACGGAGCUCAAUUGAACUAUUCAACCACCAAAAAGGAGUUUUUGACAGUUGUUUUUGCUUUAGAGAAAUUUUGGUCUUAUUUAUUAGAUGCUAAGGUUAUUAUUUUUUCUGAUCAUGCAGCUUUGCGGUAUCUGUUGACCAAGAAAGAGGCAAAAUCACGACUGAUACGGUGGAUAUUAUUGCUACAAGAGUUCGACCUGGAGAUCCGAGAUAAGAAAGGGGUGGAGAACCUGGUAGCAGAUCACUUGAAUCGAGUACAUGUCGUCAAGAACAACCUCCCACUGAGAGACGCAUUCCCUGAUAAGUAUUUAUUUUCUAUUAAUUUAUCUUUGUCUUGAUAUGCAGAUAUUGUUAACUUUCUAAUCACUGACAAGUUCCCUUCAGGAUGGCCCAAGGCGAAGAGGGACAAGUUGAGGAGUGAUGCAAAAUCCUACAUUUGGGAUGAUCCUUACCUCUGGAAGCAAAGUUCCGACCAAGUCAUCCGCAGAUGUGUAAGUGAGAAUUAAUUCCAAUUUAUUUUAACUUAUUAUCACUCUUUUGUGUGUGGAGGCCACUUUGGACCAAAGAGAACGGCUCGUAAGGCUCUAGAAAGCGGGUUCUAUUGGCCGACCCUCUUCAAGGACGCCUACUCAUUUUGUAAAUCCUGUGAUAAGUGUCAACGAGUAGGUAGUCUCUCUCGUAGGGAUCAAAUGACUCAGACCCUCAUGAUUUUUGUUGAAAUUUUUGACGUUUGGGGCAUCGAUUUUAUGGAUUCUUUUUCUUCAUCUUUUGGUUUUUUGUAUAUAUUGUUUGCUGUAGAUUAUGUUUCAAAGUGGAUGGAAGCAAAGGCCACCCGCACUAAUGAUUCCAGAGUAGUUGCAUAUUUUAUCAAAUCUAACAUUUUUGUCCGCUUUGGGAUGCCGCGAGCAAUUGUAAGCGAUUGGGGCACUCAUUUCUGUAACAAGACGAUUGCUGCAGUUUUUAGGAGCUAUGAUGUCUUGCACAAAGUCUCCACAUCCUACUAUCCUCAGACAAACGGUCAGGCGGAAGCGUCAAACCGAGAGAUCAAGUCGAUUUUAGAGAAUAUGGUUCGACCCGAUAGGAAAGAUUGGAGUGUGAAACUGGAGGAUGCACUAAGGCAUAUAGGACGGUGUACAAGACACCAUUGGCAUGUCCCCAUACCAUUUGGUAUUUGAGAAGCCAUGUCACUUCCCGAUUGAGUUCGAGCAUAGAGCGUUUUAGGCGGUCAAAUAAUACAAUAUGGAUAUCGAGGAAGGCAAAAUUCAUAGAAAGUUGCAAUUACAAGAAUUGAAACAAAUUCAAAAUGAAGCAUAUGAGAAUGCGGUGAUCUAUAAGGAGAAAAAUAGGAUCUUUCAUGACCAACAGAUAUCCAGGAAGACAUUCGUCUACGGGCAAAAAGUUCUACUGUACCACUCGAAAUUGAAGCUAUUUUCAGAUAAAUUACGUUCUUGUUGGAUUGGUCCUUUUGUUGUGACUAAUGUUUUUCAUUAUGGUGCAGUGGAGAUCCAGAAUUUGAAAACGGAGAAAAAAUUUGUAGUGAAUGGUCACCGUCUCAAGCCAUAUUAUGAAGGGCUUCCAGUUGAGUAGGUGGAGAUGAUGCAACUAGAAGAUCCGAUUUGCUUAGUUUAAGCAAAUUCUGGGCUAUGUGUAGUCAAAAAUAUUAAAGAAAGGCGCUUUUUGAGAGGCAACCAAAAUAUUGAUUUUAUUGUUUUUCGUGGUUCAAUUCUUUCGUUUUGUUAUUUCUCAUUUGGGUAGUAGUCGGUCUUAAUAUUUUUCUCCAUUAUGACCAGGAAGGGGAAUCUUGGCGUGUCCACGCCGUGUCAGUGCCUCCCGAGAUCAGUGGACGUUUACCAAUCUUGGCAUGCCCACACCAUGUUGGUAAAAUCUCAACAUCUCACGAUAUUGGCAUGAAGGAAAAUUUUGGCAUGCUCACACUGUGUUAGUGCCUCCCGAGGUCAGUGGACGUUUUGUAAUCUUGGCAUGCUCACGCUAUAUUUGACGACCCAAAAACAAAGGAAAUAUUUUUAAUUUAAAAAUAAAAAAAUGAUUAGAAAAAAAUAAAAAUAAAUUUAUUUUCCUUUUAAACCUUCAAUUUUGUUAAAAAAAAUAUUUUCAAAUUUUGAAAUUUAAAUUCGAAAAAAUUUGUACUUAAAAAAAACUAUUUUAUUUUUUUCUUUUCCUUCUUCUUUUCUUUCCUUCUUCUUUUCUUUCUAUCUUCUCCCCAAUUCCUUUCUCCUUCACUUUGGCCGACACCACCUCGCGUCCGCCGCUCUUUCGUCUCCCUCCUCGCGCGACCAACCUUCUCUCCUGUCACGCCCGCAAGGGGCGCCGCCACUCUCCACCGUCCAUCCUCGCGAUCUCUCUCUCUCGAUCUCACCUAGUGCGUCGCCUCCACCCCACGCCGCUGCUGGUGCCGGGCGUCGCCAUCAGACGCCCACUCAAGGCGAGCGCCGCGAACCUCCAUCGCGCGCCACCAGCACGCCCGUCGCUCACUCGUCAACCACCGUUGUCUCCGAGCUCCACCGCCAGUCCAACCCGCGACGUCUCCCUCCUCCUCUCCUCUCUCGUUCAACCACAGUCCGCUGCACUCUAACCCGCGACAGCAGCCCCUUGUCACACGCCGUACCUAAAAAAAAAAACCCCAAGCCGCCGUAGCCGCUGCUCGCCGCUCCUUCUAUCGUGCACCGCCGCUACCGUGAGCACCCACGGACGCCGCGGUCUCCAUCAGCAAUCAGGCCUCCAUCUCCCUAGUGCACAACUGUCCAGCUUCGCGACCACUCGCUUCUGCCUCCAACCUCACGCGACUGCCGACACUCGAAGCCACCGGCGGUACUCUCUCUCUCCCCGGUGGAGGUGCCAUUCCAUUCUCCCCUAUUGCCUACUUGUUGGGAUUAUUCAUUGCUGGAUUUUCGUUGUUGGCCUCUAUAGAGGGCAUCUCUACUGGAAUUGAGUUGCUUCAGUUCGCAUUGCUAAACAUUGUCUGAGUAUGGCUUACCUUGUUGUUGAAAUAGGCAAUUGUUCAGUUUGUUGAUUUGUGGGUGUAUGUGACGGCUCAACUAAGUGCUUCUGCCUUUUCAAUUGGUGACAUUUGUUGAGUUUCACUUGCUUUUUUUGUGUUUAUUUGUUGCAUUGGAAGGUGCUUGUGGCACUUGCGUUUGCUUAUUAAAGUAGGUUGCCUCUAAUUGCCUUGAUUGGGAAUAUGUUGUCUUUUUGUUUCAUUUACUAAGUUCAUUGGAACACUUGCUGCAAUUUAGGGGAUGCAUUGUUUCUGCAUUUGGCUAAACUUGGGACCACCAGUGCUUAUUGUUCAACAUUGUUGUAUUGUUGGGGUAUUUUUAUACCUUUUGGGUGUUUGAAUUAUGCAUUUUAUUGUUUGGGUGGCACCAGUGGUUCUUACAUUGUUAUUGCCUCAAAUUUUGCUGGUUAUUCUGCCUUUUGCCGUUUGGGUUGCCUGCUAGUUACCAUGGUGAGGCCACGGUCAGCCUCUAGGUCUAGGACACCUAGAACUUCUCAGCCUCCCCCGCCCCAACCCACCAUUCCUGCCUCUGACCCCUUGCAAGACCCUUCCUCCUCUGGAAGGAGGGCUCGCUUUGGGAGGUAGAGAGGCGUCCAUAUUUUUGACCCUUCACAUUUUGAGGGUAACUUGGACUUCACCUGGGUUGCCAACAAGCAGCGAUAUGCUGUUUGUUGUGAAUGGCGGAUUACUCCCUAUCGAAAUCAGGACGCUGACAUCUUGGGUCUUCUGAAUAUUCAAGUUGAUUUUGACCGAUUAAUUGCAACCAUUGGGUGGCGUCCCUAUUCUUAUAUUGUUGACCGUCUAGCUUUUGUAAAGUUGGUUAGGGAGUUCUAUGCCACAUUUAAGUUCGACCUUCCUACUGAUUACACAGUUUAUACUCCCAAUGUCAUCCGUUUUCGGUUAAUGGGUCAAGAAUUCCACUACUCCAUUACUGAUUUCAAUCUAACCUUAUGUUUGAUCGAUCAGACUUAUGUCGAAUCUCGUGAGUAUGCCGAGAGUGCAUGUGACUACGUACAGUCUUUUUUCUCCCGCUAUCGACAUAUUUGGGAUGAUAUGUCCGUACACCGUGCUAAUUAUGACUCUCGUCUGUCUAAGGGUUCUUAUCUGAAGGAUCCGGCGUUUCGCUAUAUCCACCGUUUCUUGGCCUAUAGUUUCUCGGGUAGGCGAGAUAGCUCGGGCGUUUUGUAUAAAUCCAAAAUUUUCUUUAUUUGGUGCAUGCAUAACAAUAUUAAGGUUAAUCUGGGGUGCUAGCUCGCUUCUCAAUUCAAAUCUGUUUUGCCAAAAAAGAAGCGCCCCCUGAUUUUUGGGUCAUACAUUACUCAUUUGACUGUUAAUUUGCAUGUGCUUGAUCUCUCUAAUCAUGAUUUGCAUGUUGCCUGUCAAAUGGAGCCCUUGGACUUUUCUUGUCUAGAAAAAUGGAUUUGGUUUGGGAGGGUGACAGUGGUUAGGAGGUUGUUCCCCCGGGACCGACUUGAGUUCCCCCUCGAUUCUCUUUUGCCCGAUCGUCCACUACUAGUGAUGACCCCGGCCCGUCUACCUCCUCUCAAUUCCCUCCACCCCCAGCAACUGAGGAUUGGCACCAACUCCAUAUGGAAGUUCAGAGACUGGAGGCUCAGGUGACUAACAUCGAUAACAACAUACAUUUCAUGGCGCAGAAUUUGACAGCAUUUAUGCACCAUACGGGUCUUGCUGCUCAAUUUCCACUUAACCCGCCGCUAUGACCCUGAUUUCAGGGAAGUACCGUUGCUCUUUUGCUUACUUUUGCUAUUAGAUUAUCAUAUUGAGGGCAAUGUGUGAUUAGGUGUGGAGGGGGAUCGUUGUGGUGCUAGUAUUUUUAGUUUUUAGGUUCUAGAGGUUUUUUCUUUAUUUUUAGUUUGCUUUUGUCUAUCUUUCAUUUAUUUUCUUUUUUUUUUAGUGAUCAGCUCUUUUAUGAAUACCAAGUUUCGAUAUUGGAUUGUUGACUCUAAUCCUACUAUUGUCAAGUUUUAAUAAUAAAAGUGUAUCUAACUAAUAUGGUUGAGUCUAAGAACAUCUCUUUAGUGAAUAUCGAUGAUUGUUUGACUCUUAUAAUUUUUGGGUUAACUUUUCUAAACAUUUGGAAUGAUUGUUGGCAUUUUCAUAUGAAUUGGUCCGAUUAUUAACUUUAGUUCUCCAUAUUUGAAGAAAUGAGGCUAGUUGCUACUGUUUUUGUUUUUAAGAUGUAUUACUUUGAGUAUUGAGUUAUUUGGCUGUGAAUAAAAGUAGACUGCGCUCCGCUAGUGGUUACUACUGAAUAACCGAGGAUUUUCACCUCAAGUGUCGAUUCUCGCGUCAAAAGGUAGUAAUUUCUGAGUACGUGAUCGUAUAGCGAUAGGAGCUGAGUAACCGGAAUUUUUCAUCUGACAAAUGUUGGGAUUCGCUUCAAAAGACUCCAAUGGCUAGAGCUAAGUCUUUUGCUACUACUGAAAAAGAAAGAAAAAAAAGAAAAAUACAAAAUGUGAAAAAAAAAAAGUGAAGGUUGUGUUAGUAUGUGAUAAAAAUCAGCUUGCCGAUUUGUGAAUUUAAUGUUGAGAUUUUAGUUAAUAGUUGGACCAUUUGCUGUUAAUGUUGAGCGACCAUUCCUUUUUCUUAAACUAGUUAACCUGAAAUUGGAGAAGUUGGUGGCUUAGGAGCUAACCGAGGUGAUGUUUCUUGGAUCUUGAUCACUGAUGCUUGAUCUAUAUUUUUCUUAGUAUCUUGGCAAUAUGGUAAAUAGAGCAAUAAUCACUAUCAAAUCUCGGUGUUUAUUUGAUGUUCUCAUGCUUGAGGGCAAGCAUGAUUCAGAUGUGGGGGGAAUUGAUAGGGUGUUAAUUGUCAGUAAUUUUAUUAUUAAUUUUCUCAUUUAUCCUUGUCAAAUAUUGUUUUAAAUUGUUAAUAUAUACUUAUGUUUGGUACUUGGACAUAUCUACAGGAAGGGGACGGAAAAGUGCUAAAAAGGGGGAUCUGUUGAAGAAAAUUGCUCCACACGUGGGAGACUUCAAAAAGGUUCACAAACCUGGCCCACAGGGUACUUAGCAACGGACUUCCCUUUUUUUUGUUGAUGAAGAGUCUUACUAGCAAGAGAAAACUAAAAAAAGUGGAAGUCGGCAGAGCUUCCUUUUUGUACUUUGACUCUCAAUUCAACGGGGACCACGGAGGGAAGCAUUAGUCAUUGUUUUAGAAACAAACGUAGGGAGCCGUGGGUGAUUGUUUUUUUUAGCAAUAGUUUAGUUCUCUUUUUUUUUCUCCUUUGCAUGCAUUCUUGGUGUUCGACGAUAUUCCCAUUUGAAAAACAGCUUUGACUUCUUGCUUUCUAGUGAAAAAUGUGAUGCCUUUGCAAUCAAUUAAUUUGCGUGGGGAUUUACUUAUGCGGGCGUGGUUAAGCUUUUCAUCUAGUCAAGGAUCAACGCGAUGACGCAGUCUCGAAUAUCUGUGAAUCGAAUUAGUUUUCAUGUGUUCCUUAAUUUGUUAAUAUUUGCACGUUGUCUACUUAAAUUUCCUUGGGAUUAGUUUGAUAAUUGGAUGUCAAGAGCCCGAUGUUCAAUGUGACUGAUUAAUCUCUUGUCAAAUUAGUCAAUUAAAUCCAUAAUUAUUUAAUCGAUUAAUAUCCGUGGCAACUAACGUUUUUACACACUAGGGGAACAUGCAAUCUGAUUUAAAUAACCCUCGUAGUGUGUUAUUGAUUGGGGUUAGGUUUUUCUAGUUUUUAAUGCAAUUGGGAAACUAAUUCCUAUGAUCGUACCUAGGAGUAUUUUCUAGUUAGGGGUAAUCAAUGGUCGUACCUUGGUUAUCAAUAAAUUAAGAAAAAGUUGGUCAUCGGAGCUCGUCGGCAACUAUAACUGACAUAUUAACAAAUUAAGUGAACCUCCCUUGCAUCAAUGAUCAGAUGAAUGGACUGUGUCUGAGUAGUUGUAUACUUGGUUAGAAUUUAUCUAUUCUUGAUUUAAUUCCUGUCUACAUUCGUGCUAGUUAAUUAUUCAUUUUAGUUGAGUUGCUUAAUUAUUUUUAACUUUAUUCUGAUAAAACCCUCCUUUUUCCGAUUGGAAUCUCAAAGAGACAAAUAUAUCCAGUCCCUGAGGAGACAACCCUGCUUGUCACUGUCCACUAGUCAAUAAAUUUUGUCAACUAAUUAAUUCUGGUAUAUCGGAUUAAGCAAACUCUUCGGGAACAGAGUGAAUCAAGUUACCCAUUACACACCUAGAGUCCCUGCUCCAAUACCUAGAUUUGAUUAUUGACUGCUUUUAGUGAUAGUUAGGUUUAUUAUUAUAAUUGCAUAGGCUCGACAACUGUCACAAACAACACUUUUCAAGGGUCUAUGCUAGAUUCAAUUGGAAAUAUGAUAAGCUUGGAAUCCUUGAACCUUUUCAUAUGAAACCAAAAGAUUAAUUUUAAUUGUCAACACUAUAGACCAACCUAUUGCGACAACAUUUGCUGCACAUGCAGAAAAGAAGGAAUAUUCCUGUUGACAUUCAGCCUAACUCUUUAAAAUCCUGUUAGCAUAUUAUCUUUCAUGCUUAUGUUGGCUCUUAAUGUGGUGAUUUCUGAUUUUCUGAAAUGAAGUUAGAACUUCUCCAAUUGCUAUCCUCUCCUCGAGUAGCUCUGCUAAGCACUUGAAAGCUACUUCCAUUGUCAAUGAUGUGCACUGAACUGAUAGGGCGAUAAUUGAGCGUUUAUUACGUUGGUAUUUGGUCCUAAUUUUGGCCAAUUGUUGUGCAGAGUAAUGGGUUUUUGCUCAUAUUUGGUAAUUGUGUUAUUUGUAAGCGACUGAUGUCAAAAGUGGCAGAGAGAGGCAAUUUUCCAGAAGACUAGUCAUUCCAGAACAUGCCCACGCUAGAGAUCCUAGGGUGACGUCCAAAAGACGAACUGCGGGACUUAUCCCUGGGAGCUUGCCGCUAUUCUUGGAAGGUGUAUUUUGAAGUCACGUGGGAUUAGGAGACAUCUUGAGAGACCUUUGGCAACAAAGCAAGGAGAAAAAAAAUAAGGAAAGAGAUUCCUUAUAGAAACAAGCACUUUGUUAGCUAAAGAGACGGCGGUGGCAAAACUUUAAAUAAGGCAGCAAUAGACUAGGAGUUGGUAUCUUUGACCUUGGAUCUUUAGUUUUUCUCUUCUUCUUCUUAACGUGACUUAGAGAUUCGUGGUUUUUACUUUAUCAACUAAAUUCUAUAAAACGCUUUCAAUUGCAUCAACGUUAUGCGACAAGGCUAGAUCCUUUGUCUAGUUGAGGAAUAAUCAAGGCCCAGUGCACGGAAAAUUGUGAGAUCUUUUUAAUUGUUCUGCGCUAAUUCAAAUUUUGCGUUAGUGGGUAUUUAAUUAUUCUUUGUUUUAAUAGCCUAUUCUUGUUUGGAUCAAUGUGGCCAGUUAUUCAAUUGUUUGAAUAAUAUACUGCCAAUUAGGACGAGGGUGCGUAUCACUUGAUUGUCUUAAAAUUAGUGGCAAACGGCACAAUUUCAUUGCCUUGCAAGCAGUCUAAUCUGUGUCGUAGGAAUAGUGAAUCUAGUUUAAAUGAACCUGCAUGUGUGUUUGUUAACUAGAAUUUGAUCUCUCUAAUUCCUAAACUGGGAAUAAAUUAAAUCUUUCGAGCGUCUCUGGGGUUAUCUAUUUUACAAGAGGGUGGUUUAAGAGCAUCUCUAGAUCACCAUAUAAUUAAGAAGAAAUUGGUAGUUUGGCGAGAUUAUUUUCUUGAUUAGGUUGUGUCAAUUAAUUAAUUAUUAUAUUCUUUAACUACUGCACUUUCUUGCGAGUAGAAAUUCAGUACUCUUACCUCUUUAAGUUUUUCUUUUUGUCUUCCUUUCUAAACCCCUCCACAUUCUCUGUGUGUGAUAAAUCUACCAGCUCCCUGAGGAGACGACCCUACUCAUCACUAUAUUCGUUUAGUUUUGAGAGUAGGUCUUGAUAUAAAUUUUAUUUUUGGUAGUUUGACAGUCACUAAAUUUUGGUGCCGUUGCUGCGGACCUGGUGUUUGAAGUGAUUUAUUACACAGGUUGUGUUUAGCCUUUGUUUUAAGCCUCGAUCUUCCCGUACAGGAAGACUCGAAUUUGACCCAGAGAUCAAGAAAAUAGCAAGGAGGUUGACGAAGGAGACUAAGUUGCAAAAACAACAAGUUUCAACGGCAAUACUCCCUGAACUUGAACAAAAUUCAAAUUUAAGUGAUUCAUCAGUUGAAUUGGAAACAGACUUGACUGGACCAAACGAAAAAAUGGCUGGCCAAAGGACUUUGGGGGAGUUUGCAACCCCGAAUGUUAACCAACAGCCUCUGUGCAUUACGUAUCCCGACAUUGAGGAGGCUUUUGAAUAAAAAUCUAGUUUGAUUCAUCUAUUGCUUACUUUUCGUGGUAUUGCAGGUAAGGACCCAUACAAGCACUUAAAGAAAUUUCAUGUAGUAUGUUCAACCAUGAGACCUCAAGAUGUUACGGAAGAAUAAAUCAAGUUGCGCACUUUUCCUUUCUCCUUAGCAAACAAGGCUAAGCACUGGUUAUUUUAUUUGCCAUCGGGGUCUAUCACUACGUGGGAAGGAUUGAAACGACAGUUCCUUGAGAAAUUCAUUCCAGCCUUUAGGGCCGCCAACAUCAGAAAGGAGAUAUGUGGAGUUAGGCAAACUAAUGGAGAAAUUCUCUACAAAUAUUGGGAGCGAUUCAAACAGCUGUGUGCUAGUUGCCCGCACCAUCAGAUCCCAGACCAGUUGUUGAUCCAAUAUUUUUACGAGGGACUGUUACCCAUGGAUAGAAAUAUGGUAGAUGCAGCGAGUGGCGGUGCUUUAGUAAAUAGGACAACAGAUGAAGCCAAACGGCUUAUCUCAAGCAUGGUUGAGAACUCUCAAUAGUUUGGAGUCGGAUCUGAGGGAGUGACUAGAAGGAUCAAUGAGGUAAAUCAUUCUGAUCUCGCAAAUAGAUUAACGGAACUUACCACCUUGGUUGGUCAAAUGACUAUAGGGCAAGUACAGACAAUUAAAGCAUGUGGGAUAUGUGCUGCUCCCGAACAUGCGACCGAUAUGUGCCUAAGCCUUCAAGAUGACCUAUACGAGCAAGCCAACGCCAUGGGAGAUGUGCAUGGACCACCAUAAGGGAGAAAUAACCCAUAUGCGCCCACAUACAAUCCAGGGUAGCUGGACCACCCCAAUUUCAGCUAUGCUCUGAAACUCUCAGAUUUUCAACAAUCGUUCUAGCAGAGACCACCAGUACAACAACCAUUCACGUCCAAUUCCGAUAUGUCCCUUGAAGACAUGGUUAAAUCACUAGCUGAUAGCACUUGUCAAAUGCGGCAGGACUUGCAGAGAUUUCAACAAAAGACUCGCACCAGCAUUAGGAAUUUGGAGGCGCAAAUGUCACAACUGGCGUCUUCAAUGAGCAACCUUGAGAGUGGUAAAAAGAAGCUAUCAUCUCAGGUAAUUCCCAAUCCAAAAGAGAAUGCAAAUGCAAUGAUUCUACGAAAUGGCAAGGAGGUACAGUCCUCAAAAUCGGAAGCAGCAGGAGAGGAAGACGAACGAGUGUAUGGGGAGUUUGAGAAGGAAAAAAUAAGCACCCCGCCAAAUUUUCUAAGAACUUUGAUAUUAACCCGUCUUUUCCUGGCAAGUUGGCUAAAGCCAAGAAAGAGGAGUCAGAGAAGAAAAUUUUGGACACCUUUCGGAGAAUGGAAAUCAACAUCCCUUUGCUUGAUGCGAUUUGACAUUUAUCAAAAUAUGCAAAGUUUUUGAAGGGGCUGUGCACUAACCGAAGCAAGUUGAAUGUUCAAGACAAAAUAAAGAUCGGUGAGAAUGUGCCCACGGCCCUUCAAAGGAAGUUACCGCAAAAAUACAAGGAUCCAAGUAUGUUCACGAUACCAUGCAUCAUAGGACAAAAGAGAAUACAAAGAGGUAUGCUUAAUCUAGGGGCAUCUAUUAAUAUUAUGCCUUUGUCAAUAUUUAGGGCCUUAAACCUAGGCCUUCUAAAAGAUACAAGGGUAGUAAUUCAACUAGCCGAUAAGUCAAAUGUUUACCCUGAGCGUGUAGUUGAAGACGUCCUAGUGAAAGUUAAUGAGUUUAUCUUUCCUGCUGAUUUCUAUAUUGUUGACAUGAACGACGAUAACUCAGUUAACUCAGCUGUACUCCUUCUGGGUAGGCCAUUCAUGAGUACAGCUAGAACCAAGAUAGAUGUACAUGAAGGUACCCUGUCUGUAAAGUUUUACGAGCAGACAAUUACUUUUAACAUUUUUUAUGCGAUGAAAUAUCUGGAUGAUACUGAGUCUAUUAAUUAUGUUGGUGUCACUAAUUCCAUUAUGCAAGAUCACCUUGAGCAGAAUCUUAUGGAGGACAAGCUGGAAUUCGUAUUACAAUAGAGCAAGAUGAAUGCAGACGUGGAAAGUGAGGAUGAAGAGGAUACUAUAGAAGCAAUUAUGUCGCUACAUUCACUCCCGAAAUUACUUGACAAGUCAGUCAACUCAUUUUUACCAUUGCCUACUUCUAAAGAGAGAAUUUUGCCCUCUGUCGAACAGGCACCGGAGUUGGAAUUGAAAGAAUUGCCAAGGCAUUUGAAAUAUGCUUACCUGGGAAACAAUAGCACUCUGCCGGUUAUCAUCGCAAGUGAUCUGACAAUAGAACAAGAAGAAAGACUUUUACGAGUCUUGCGGGAGUUUAAACCUGCAAUUGGAUGGACGUUGGCAGAUAUCAAAGAUAUAAAUCCAUCCAUUUGCAUGCACCACAUUUUACUUGAACCAGAUGCGAAACCGGUAAGGGAACGUUCGAGGAAGCUUAACCCACCAAUGAAAGAGAUAGUCAUGAAGAAGAUUCUCAUGUAAUUGGAAUUAGGAAUUAUUUUUCCUAUCUCCAAUAGUGAGUGGGUAAGUCCAGUACAUGUUAUCCCUAAAAAGACCGGCAUUACACUUGUGUGGAAUGAGAGGAAUGAGUUGGUGCCAGUGAGACUCUAAAAUAGGCGGAGAAUGUGUAUAGACUUCAGGAAGUUGAACGCGACCACAAGGAAGGAUCAUUUCUCAGUACCAUUCAUCGAUGAGAUGCUUGAUCGAUUGGCAGGUAAGUGUUUCUUUUGCUUGAUGGCUACUCUGGGUAUUAUCAAAUUACUGUUGCCCAAGAGGACCAGCACAAAACCACUUUCACUUGCCCAUUUGGAACUUUUGCUUAUCGCCGUAUGUCUUUUAGGUUGUGUAAUGCUCCAAGGACGUUUCAAAGAUGCAUGAUGAAUAUAUUUUUCUGACAUGAUUGAAAACUGCAUUGAAAUAUUCAUGGAUAAUUUCACAGUACAGUGAUUUGUUUGAUCAAUACUUGCAUCAUUUAACAAAAUUUUUACAGCGGUGCAUUGAAACAAAUUUGGUCCUUAAUUAUGAAAAAUGUCAUUUUAUGGUUAAGGAAAGUAUAGUUUUGGGCCAUGUUGUUUCGUCUAAGGGUAUCGAUGUUGAUAAAACAAAGGUUGAUUUGAUUACUAGUUUACCUUACCCCACUAAUGUCAAGGAGAUUUGUAGUUUUCUUGGGCAUGCAGGUUUCUACAGACGAUUCAUCAAACAUUUCUCAUGAAUUGCACAGCCAUUGUCUCGACUACUUCAAAAGGAGGCGCCAUUUGAUUUUGGAGAUGCUUACAAAGUGUCCUUUGACACACUAAAAAGCAUGUUGACCACGACACCAAUCAUUCAACCUUUGGAUUAGAGCCUGCCAUUUGAGCUUAUGUGUGACACCAGUUAGUAUGCAGUGGGAGCUGUACUUGGUCAGAGAAGUGGGAAGUGUAGCCAUGUCAUUUACUAUACGUCAAAAAUGUUGUCGCCGCCUCAAUACAACUAAACCACCACCGAGAAGGAGCUUUUAGCAAUUAUUUUUGCUUUUGAGAAAUUUCGAUCAUAUUUAUUAGGAUCGAAAGUAACAGUUUUCUCUGAUCAUGCGGCCUUGAAAUACCUAUUGGCAAAGAAACAGUCUAAGCCAAGAUUUAUUCGUUGGAUACUCUUGUUGCAAGAGUAUGACUGGGAGAUCAAAGAUCGAAAAGGGGUAGACAAUUCAGUGGUAAAUCAUUUGAGCCGAUUGGUUCGAAAAGAAGAGAGAGUGCCCAUGUCUGAGAUAUUUCCAAACGAACACUUAUUUCAGCUUAGAGGUGAGGAACCCUGGUAUGCUGAUAUUGUUAAUUUUCUGGUCAGUCACAAAUUUUCAAGUGGUAUGGGUAAGAAUAAACAGGAUAAAAUAAUAUAGGACUAUCGAUAUUACAUUUGGAAUGAGCCCUACUUGUGGAAAGUAAGUUCUGACCAGAUCAUUCGUCGAUGUGUUUCAAAUGAAAAUAUUUCCUCUAUACUUAUUCAUUGUCAUAGUUAUGCUUGUGGCAGUCACUUUGAUCCUAAGAGAAUUGCUCGAAAAAUACUUGAUUGUAGCUUUAUUAGCAAACCCUGUUUCGUGAUGCUUAUUUGUUCUGUAAGAGAUGUGAAAAAUGUCAAAAGUUUGGGAAUUUAUAUCACCGGGAUGAAAUGCCUCAAGUUCCUAUAUUAUUUUAUGAAAUCUUUGAUGUCUGGGGUACGGAUUUUAUGGGACCGUUUUUUAGUUCUUUUGGUUGUCUUUAUAUUCUUUUGGCCAUAAAUUAUGUGUCGAAAUAGGUAGAAACAAAGGCUACCCAAACUAAUGAUUCACGAGUUGUUCAAACUAAUGAUUCACGAGUUGUUGCAGGAUUUCUUAAGUCCAACAUUUUUAGUAGGUUUGGUGCGCCAAGAGUAAUCAUCAGUGACCAAGGUACUCAUUUCUGCAAUCACACCAUUGAGGCACUGAUGCGUAAGUAUGGAGUUCACCAUCAAGUUGGUACUACUUACCACCCACAGACCAACGGGCAAGCUGAGGUCUCUAAUCGCGAGAUUAAAAGUAUUUUGGAGAAAAUGAUCAACCCAAAUCGCAAGGAUUGGAGUACCCGAUUGGAUGAUACAUUGUGGACAUAUCGCACGGCGUAUAAAACACCAAUUGGAAUGUCACCUUACAGGUUGGUUUAUGGUAAGAUGUGUAAUUUACCUGUUGCAAUUGAAUAUCGUGCGUUUUGGGUAGUUAAGCAGUGCAAUUUGAACGCGGAUAGAGACGGGAAGAAAUGGAAACUCUAGCUUCAAGAGUUGGAAGAAAUCUGCUUGGAGGCUUACGACAAUGCACGACUUUACAAAGAGCGCACAAAGUCCAUCCAUGACAGACUCUUGCGUAAUAAGCAAUUUUCUAUAGGUCAAAAGGUACUUCUGGUCAACUCACGGUUGAAGUUCAUGCCAGGUAAGUUGCGGUCCCGAUAGAUUUGACCAUACAUUGUUGUUAACGUUUUUUCCAAUGGUGCAUUUGAAAUUAGAAGUUUUGAGACUAACAAAAGUUUUAAGAUCAAUGGUCAUCGUCUCAAACCGUUUAUAAAUGUUUUAGAACUUGGCACUAUGGAGGAGGUCCACUUGCUCGACCCCGGUUCCACUUAAGAUGUUAAAUUACCUUUGGUCUGGUCACAAACGUUAAAUAGAGGUGCUGCUUGGAAGGCAAUCCAAGAUUUCAAUUUUUAGUAAUUUUUAUGUUUUUAUUUCAUAAUUGCGUAUUUAAGAUCAAGGUGUUUGGAUUCCGAUUGAUAGAAUUCUUUAUUGCAGGUCAUGGAUGUGUUUUGUGCAAUUUUAUUUUGGGAUUCGAGACAUAAUUCUUGGGCAGAAGAUUUUCCCUUCUAAGGCAUGCCCACGCCUUGUGUUAGAUGCAAAGGGGCGUUUUUAAAGAUUGAUAAACAGAAGACUUACGCUUCCAAGGCGUGCCCGCGCUCUACAGGGAUGCGCCAGAUGAACUGUUCUAAGAAAUUGGUGAUCGGCGGGCUUUCGGUUCCACGGCGUGCCCACGCCGCACAACAAAUUGCAUCGAUGCUGUUAUAACGAGGGAGGCAUACGAUUUCCAUUUCCAAGGCGUGCCCGCACUUUCCAGAACAUCUCGCGCACGCUGUUACGAAGGGCUGGGCAAACGACUCCGGCCUCCAAGACGUGCCCGUGCCUUCCAACCAUCACGACAUAUAAAAACAAAAAGUCAACAAUGAUUAGACCCACUCUAAACCCUACCUUUAUUUAUUUAUUUUUCUUAUCUUUUCUUUCCUUUUCUCUUAGCGUCCUCCCCGGUCUUCUCCCUUCGCCGCUGCCAUCUCUGACGGCGUUGCAGCGGCACACUUCCCUCCUCGAUACCAACGCCGCACGCCAUCGUUCCUUUCCCCUUUUCGUCCUCGUCUCUCUCCUCGAUACACGCCGCCAUUUCGGUCACCAUCACCGUGACCCCAAUCGCGGCCCUGGUCACACUGCCGCACCACCGCCGUCAUCUCCACCCACAACACCCGCGAUGCUCACCCACGGACACCGCGCACCGCAGCCACUGUCCUUCGUCCCCGUGCAUCUCUCUCUCACGCGUGACCCACGGCCACCCGCCAUUAACCGCCAUCAUGAUUUCUGCUCCAUGGCCACUUAUCUCCUGCCAAGUUGCCCGGUGGUACCUCUCAUUUCUAUCUUUUUGCCAUUCGUGACUCGAAUUUGGAGUUUUGUUGAUAUAUUUGACUCCAAUUUGGGCGUAAAAUAUUUGUGAUUUUUUUGGUUGGGUACUUCGGUUAUGGUGGGUCUGUGAUUUGAUACACAUGGCUUGGUGAUUCAUUAGUUUGUUGGGUAUAGUUGACAGUUGAUUACAUUUUCUGCACCGUCAAUUGGUUGUUGACUGUUGACUGUGGGUAGUGUUAUUUGUGGUCCCUUGUCUCCAUUUUGAGUUUUCUUGUCGACCCCGUGCCUUUGGAAUUGACAUAUUUGCCCCUUUAUAGCUUUGAAAAAGGCCACUCCGUCUGAGGCAUCGGGUUCCAACUCUCAUAAGGGGAGGGCCCCGAUUCAACCGCCCACUAGGUCCCGGUUGGGGUUUUCUAGGAGCACUCUGUCUCCUGGGGUGUGGGGGGAACCUUUGAAGGAUCUCACGCCUAAGCAGAAGGAGCGGUUGAGCUCCUUGGUGGUGCGUCCGUUCGCCCCAUGCAAGUGUUUCCACUCUUCCACUCUCGACCAGUUGAACAUUGCUAGGGAAGUGGAGCAGUUGUUUUCUGCCAUUGGGUGGGGUCGAUAUCUAGUUAUUGACUAUUUUUCGCACGAGGAGUUCUGCUAUGAAUUCUACGCUACCUUCCAAUUGGAGAAAUUUGAUUCUCUAGCCUUAGACUCAUCGGGGGUGAUCCAAUAUAGGUUGCGAGGUACCCCACAGGCACAUUCUAUUAAUGAGUUCAACUUGAUCUUGGGGUUUAUGAGUGAGGACACCCUCACCUCCGGCACUUAUAUCAAUAGUGCUUGCGACUUCACCCAAUCCUUUGCAAGCAAUUAUAUCGAGAUCUAGAGGGAGUGGUGCACGGACACUCAACUUUACGACCCGAGUCAGUCUAGGGCCUCGUUUCUUAAGGAUCCAGUGCUGAAAGUUAUUCACUGAUUUCUGGCGUAUAAUUUCUCAGGUCGGAAGGAUUCCUCCGGCACCCUCACCAAGGCUGAAUUCUAUUUCCUCUGGUGUAUGAGUAAUAAGGUGCAGGUCAAUUUUGGUUAUUGGGUAGCUCACUCAUCACACGCUUGGCUAUCCGCUUGGGAGUGCUUGAUCUUAAUAAGGAGCAUAAGCUCACCAUGGCUCGCGAGCUUGAGCCUUUGGAUCUGCGCAGUCUAGAACGGAUAGGUGUCAUUCACAAGAUGGGGGAUGCCUAUCAGUUUACACCUCCUGGAGAGGGUGUGCCCGAAUCCCGGGUCCCCCCUACUGCAGCUACCUCGACGGCUGGUCAGGCAGGACCCUCCUUCUCCGCUGCUCCAUCCUCUUGGGACACUCAGUUCCACACUCCGCAGGACUCGAUUCUUGACUUGGGCGGCUGGGUUGAGUGCCUGGAUGACCGCCUCACAGUCUUGCAGGUCCAUGCUACCAUUCAGACCGAAAAUCUGGCAGCCUUCUUUGCUCACGUUGGCUUUCAACCACCUCAUCCUCCUCCUCCAUAGUGCUCCCAUUGGCCUUCAGUGAAGCUUCUAUUCCUUUCUUUUCACUUACUAUUUUUCUUUGCUCCAUUAAGAACAAUGUAGAUUUAUGGUGUGGGGGGAGUAGUUUAGCUCUUUAGGUCUACCAAUAAAAAAAAAAGAAAACAACAAAAAAGAAAAAAAAUCAAAAUAAUUAGAAAAGGGAACAAAAAAAUAUAUGUGAUGAGUUCAUUUGGCGUCAGUUGAAAAUGUCUAAAACUUGAUACUAUGAUGAUGAUUGCAAUUACUCUACAAGCAUGAGCAGUGAUAUUAUGUGGUUGAAUGUUUUAUCUUCUUAAUAAUGGAAUUGAAUGAUGAAGUUUGCAAGACUUGGUUAUUAAUAUCCCGUUGUGAGCUGUCGAGCCAAUAAGCAUUGCAUUGAUAACUGCUCUAUUUUCUUUCAUUGAGUGAUUUCACACAUGAUUUGAUUGUUCUUGAAUUUGCUUUGUUGUAAAUGUCAAGACCACAUUCAUGAGUUUGAUGCAUUAAAAUGACAAGGGCACUUAGGUUAACCAUUUUAACUUUCUAAAGACCAACCUUAAUCAGACCUCCCCUAGUUGACCAAGGUUGAGCGAAAACCUUUUCUUUGUUUAAUAACUCAUUUUGUCACCUCUAAACCCCUUGUGUUUGAACCCUCUUUGUUUCCAUUCGGUGUUAAAGGAAUGCCUUGAUUUCAAUGCAUGAUGAUUUUGAAUUGGGUUGAGAGGGGAUGAUUGAAGUUAGCGAGUGUGUUUAUAUUCCUAUGUAGUUGUGCGUAUUUUGAAAAGAAAAGAAAAAAGAGAAACAAAAAAAGGGAAAAAGAGAAGAAAAGGAGCACACCAAGAAAGAAAAAAAUAAAAAGAAAAAAAAAGAAAAGAAGAAUUACAAAGUGCUGUUAUCAAUAUGUGCGAUGUUGAGAUAGUGGGGUGAAACCCUUGGUUGUGCUGGCACUUGUUAAUUCUUUCUGGAAAAUUUUUGGGUAUGCUUUGGAAAGAUCAUUUGAAUGAAGGAGGAAGUUGGAAGUUAUGCAGUGAGUCAGUGGUAUUUCCUUUGACAUAAUGAGCCUAAAUUAUCUGUUUGAUCCAACCCGUGUCUGAAUCCCAUUACAACCCGCAUCAAGACCCUUUGAUUUUUGCAUUAAAUUUGGUCUUAGUGGUGCCGAUGUGAUUUAUUAGCAAGCAUAUAAUAAUAUUAUUUUAUCGUGUGGUGGGAGUGACCCUUUUUUACCCCAUAUCGAGUGGUAAGUAAUCAUAUUUCAUUCUAUAAGAGAGGGUUAAGUCUUAAAAUUUCUAAAUUUAAUAACAUUGUUAGAAGGAUGGGACACUUGAGCUCGCAUGAUUGAACUACUGUGUGUGUGUACCUGUAAUUGUAUCUCUGAACUUUAAAAUGCUUGAGGGCAAGCAUUGUCUUGGUGUGGGGGGAUUUGAUAGGGCGAUAAUUGAGCGUUUAUUACGUUAGUGUUUGGUCCUAAUUUUGGCCAAUUGUUGUGCAGAAUAAUGGGUUUCUGCUCAUAGUUGGUAAUUGUGUUAUUUGCAGACGACUGAUGUCAAAACUGGUAGAGGGAGGCAAAUUUCCAGAAAACUAGUCAUUCCAGAACGUGCCAACACCAGAGAUCGCAGGGUGACGUCCAAAAGACGGACUACGGGACUUAUCCUUGGGAGCUUGCCGCUAUUCUUGGAAGGUGUAUUUUGAAGUCACGUGGGAUAAGGAGACAUCUUGAGAGACCCUUUUGGCAACAAAGCAAUGAGAAAAAAAAAUAAGAAAAGGGAUUCCUUAUAGAAACAGCACUUUGUUAGCCAAAGAGACGGUGAUGGCAAAGCUUUAAAUAGGACAGCAAUAGACUAGGAGUUGAUAUCUUUGACCUUGGAUGUUUAGUCUUUCUCUUCUUCUUCUUAACGUGAGUUAGAGAUUCGUGGUUUUUACUUUAUCAACUAAAUUCCAUAAAAUGCUUUCAAUUGCAUCAACAUUAUGUGGCAAGGCUAGAUCCUUUGUCUAGUUGAGGAAUAAUCAAGACUCGGUGCACGGACAAUUGUGAGAUUUUUUUAAUUGUUCUGCACUAAUUCAAAUUCUGUGUUAGUGGGUAUUUAAUUAUUCUUUGUUUUAAUAGCCUAUUCUUGUUUGGAUUUAUUGGAUCAAUGUGAUCAAUUGUUCAAUUGUCUGAAUAAUAAACUGCCAAUUAGGACGAGGGUGCGUAUCACUUGAUUGUCUUAAAAUUAGUGGCAAACGGCAUAAUUUCAUUGCCUCGCAAGCAAUCUAAUCUGUGACGUAGGAAUAUUUAAUCUAGUUUAAAUGAAUCCGUAUGUGUGUUUGUUAAGUAGAAUUGGGUCUCUCUAAUUCCUAAACUGUGAAUAGAUUAAAUCCUUCGAGCGUCUUUGGGGUUAUCUAUUUUACAAGGGGGUGGUUUAAGAGUGUCUCUGGACCACCAUAUAAUUAAGGAGAGAUUGAUAGUUUGGCGGUUGUUGAAUUGCUAGAACCAAGUUACUUACGAACGUGUGAAUUAAUUCAGGUAUCUAUAAUCAAUUACAUGGACCAGUGCCGAAAUUAUUUCCUUGACUAGGUUGUGUCAAUUAAUUGUUUAUUAUAUUCUUUAGAUACUGCACUUUCUUGCGAUUGGAAAUUCAGUACUCUUACCUCUUUAAUUUAUUCUUUUUGUCCUCCUUUCUAAACCCCUCCCACAUUCUCUGUGUGAUAAAUCUGCCAGUUCUCUGAGGAGACGACCCUACUCACCACUAUACUCGUUUAGUUUUGGGAGUAGGUUUUGAUAUAAAUUUUAUUUUUGGUAGUUUGACAGCCACCAUGAACCAUCCCUGUUAGAUCCUCUUCCAGCCUCAUCAAAUUAGCAUGUAUAACCUCAGACACAGCAUCUGGCCAUGAUGCGUUUAUCCAGUCCUUCAAGGUCAUAUCUCCUGAUAACAUUUCAUUAGUUGGCUUCCUUCUUGUGAAAGUUUCCAUCAACAUGAUUCCAAAACUGUAGAUAUGACACUUCUUGGAUAUCAAACCUUCUGAUCCAUACUCUGCACCAAGUGAAACAGCUUAUCAGAAAGAUUACAAUUAUGUUGAGGGAUAUGAAACAAAAUUAGAAGCAACUAUCAUCACUUGGUGCCAUGUAUCCCAGUGUUGCUAGUGUCUGAGUUUGGGCCAUGCUCUCUCCCAUCCCUAAUAAUUUUGCAGUGCCAAAAUCACCCACAUGUGCUACGAUAUUUUCGUCAAGUAAAACAUUGUUUGGUUUCAGAUCACAGUGAAGCACAGGGAUUGAAUAACCAUCGUGCAGAUAGUCUAAUACUGAUGCCACAUCAAUCAUUAUGUCUAGUCUUUGCAAAAAAUCCAUGUACAGAUCCUGAUAGUACAACCACUUUUCAAGACUUCCAUUAGACAUAUAUUCAAAAAUUAAAGCUUUGAAGUCAAGGCUGGAACAGCUGCUGAUGACUUUGGUUAGAUUUCUGUGACCAAGGUUACGUAGUACUUCACAUUCUAUGUCAAAACUUCUAAAUGCACCUUUUAUUUGUAAGUUGAACACCUUCACAGCUACAUUUGAUCCAUUGAUUAAUGCCUUGUAAACAGAACCAUAGGCUCCCAUGCCAAUCAAAUUUCUCUCACUAAAUCCUUUAGUAGCUUGUUCAAUUUCAUGAUAUGAUAUUCUGCCAUGUGCUAUAGCAUCUAAGGAAUCUCCUCCAGUUAUUGUGCUGCUUGUUUUUCUAGAUCGCAUUAAGGCAACAGGGAUGAUGAUGGCCACAACUAUGAGAGAAACUGCUAGUGUAAUUAACACAAUUAGUAGCACUCUUUUUGUCCUUCGCUUUCCAGAUAAGCUAGCUCUGCAUGCUGGGACUUGAAGCUGAGGAGUGCCACAAAGUCUUUCAUUUGACAUAAAGGAUUUAGAUGUGAAGUUUGCAAAAGGACCUCCAGAAGGAAUUUCACCACUUAAUCUAUUGAAGGACACGUUAAAUAAUGAAAGAUGUGAAAGUGCUUCCAAUGAAUUGGGGAUGGAACCAGAUAGGUUAUUACUUGAUAAGUCCAGAGAUUCCAAGGCUAACAUGUUGCCAAUUGAUCUAGGAAUAGGUCCUUCAAAUCUAUUAAAUGCAAGGGAAAGAUCAAUCACAUCUUGCAUACCUCCAAUUGCACUAGGGAUGACACCUAAAAUUUGAUUCAUAGAAACAUUUAACAGUGUCGCAGCCUUUAAACUUCCAAUUUCUGAGGGAAGAGAGCCACUCAAAUAGUUUGAAGACAAAUCAAGAUGCAAGAGAUCACCGAGGCUCCCGAAGCUUGAAGGUAUAGCAGAGUUAAAUUUGUUGGAACUUAGAUAAAUGUAUCUUAGAGAUGUAAUGUUCCCUAAGCAUGCUGGCACCGUGCGGCAAAACUCGUUAUAGCUCAAACUUAGAAAUCCCAAGUUGUUCAAGCUGCAGAUGCCAUUUGGGAUAGGUCAUUCCAUUUUGUUGUCAUAAAGAUUAAAUGCUUGCAGUUUUGAUAGUGCUCCAAUUGUUGCUGGAAUGAAUCCAGCCAAGUUGUUGCCUUGCAGAAAUAAGAACGCUAAGCUGCUCAAAUUAGUGAAUUCAUUUGGAAUGUAGCCUCUUAUUCCACAAUAAGCUGCAUACACAUAUUCAAGAGAAGUAGAAAGGUUACCAACAGAAGAUGGAAGAAUUCCAUUCAGGGGAUUGUAACCUAUCCGUAGUCGUCGUAACUGUUGGCAAUGUGUUAAUGCACUGAAGAAGCUCAAUUCUGAUGAUGAAGAUUCUGUCAUCAAAUUAUUUUCAAUGACAUUUAGAUACUGCAAAUAUCUUAAAUCUCCAAAGGAGUGGGGAAAUGAACACUACUAGCUUCGCUAUUGACGUGAAGGCCAUGUCAUGUUUCCUUGGAAGUCAGAUUUUGGCAACGUUUCCUUUCAUAUCUUAUGCCAAUUGCUGCGGGAAUUGGCUUAUAAACAGAGGCCACGGCAAAGGUUUGGACUGCACUACCACUUCACGUGAAAGCUACCAGACACGGAAAGAAUCAAUAUGGAGCUUUAAGCUGCACUCAUGGAAGAGAAUUUCUGCCUUUCAAUUUAAGCUGCACAAGUUUUACCACAUUUUCCAACAGCUUGUGCUCUUGCUAAUGGUGCAUUACAUUGGCUUGUAGAGGAAGAUGAUGGUUUCAACUUUAUCAUUGCCUUCGAUAUUUCCAGUGAAGAAUUCGAGAAGUUGCCCCAUUAAUGGGGAAGGUAUUUUUUUCAGCAAAAUUGAGCAUCUUAAAUUGUUGCCUUUCUUUACUCUAUUGUUAUAUUUCAAGUGAAAGAUAUCGUGUCAAUUUAUGGAUCAUUGAUGAAUUAAUAUGAAGUGGAUAGAACUCGGACUAAGUUAAAAUCUCAUUUGAAAUUCUCGACAUUUGGUGUUGAACACCGAUCAUAUAUAUGCUCAAACCAAAGCAGGCAACUGCUUUUGCAAAUUGAUGGAGCAGAAAAGCUUGUGCUCUAUGAUCUUGGAACCAAAUACUUGAGAGAUGUAGCCACUGCAAAUGGAGCAGCUAGUUUCUUUAGAAGCCUUCUUGCAUGUCUUCAUGUUCCAAUUUCCAACUUGUGUAGCACUAGUUUUACCUCUUCUUGUUGCCAAUUCUCUGUUCUUAACCAAAAGUUCAUUUCUCCAAUUUCUUAUUCAAACUUAAUUUCAAUUGAAGAUGUUCAUUUGUUGUGAGUUCAAUCAUCCUAAUCCAGAUCCCUCUAUCAGUUAGAAGUUCAAGUUGCAAGCCAUUUCACUUUAUCCAUUUGCCAUCUUGCAUAGGGAUUAAAUUCAUGCUGAGUAAGUUCAUACUUUUUUUAUAUAGAAAAGAUCAUUUUAUUCAAAUAAAUCUGCACUAAUGGAAAAAAAAACACAUCAAACAAACAUGACACACAUACGUAUGGAUCUGAAAUAAAUAGAUAUAACUGAUCUAAAAAAAAAUAUAAAUAAAGAUAACAUUGAUACUCCUAUAUAUCUUCCAUUCGGAUAAAUCACUUUAGCCCAAUACAUCAGUGCAUGUUUGAUGAUGGAGCACCAAGGACCAAUGGAGAGAAAGACCAGGCCAUUUGAGUACCAAGUGGUCCGAUCACAAGAGCUCGCGCCAAGAAGAUGAGCGAGUCACUCCAAGCACUCGUGUGCACCAUCCAAGAGAGAAUUGGAGAUGAUUUAAAAAUCAUUGAAGGCUUGGAGAAUGAAGAUUCCACAUUAUACACCUUGCUCCAAGUUGAUGAGCCAAGUGAAGACUAGUCUUAGUCAAGGCCGAGAGUUAUUUGUCAAUCCAUAGUCAAGGCCGAGAAUUAGUUGUCAUUUAAUUGCUGUUUAGUUGUUUAAUUUUAGUUAAUAAAUCCAGCCCAAAAACAGUUUUCAAGAGUGGCCGGAUAUUAUAUAGCCUUUUUGCCAUUUUUCGGCCCAAGAGGCCUUAGCCUAGCCAAGAGCACCUAAUCCAUUUCACUUUAGGUUUAGUCAAGUGAAUCCAAAUCACUUUAGGUUAUCAAUUAUAUGGCUAUAUAUAGCCAAGGCAAGAGACCUUCACGAUCAGUCUUGAUAUUAAUAAAAUUGUGAGUUUUCACUUUCCCUUUCCAAGAGAGUCUCUUUGAAUAUUUGAGAAUCUUUCUCAAAUUGUUCAAUUGAACUUAUCAAUCAAGUAACUCCUUGGUUGUGGCGUUCAUCUACCUUUAAUUUGGUUCACUAGUUCGUUAGAUAACGGGUUGAGAUAGUAUCAAUAGUGUUCGUUCUAGAGGAUUAGAUUUGGAUCAAAUUUUCGCUGCCUAAGCCAUUGGUGAUUGGUUGUCUAGAUCGUGACCAAGUGAGUAUCACAUCAGUUGGUAAUCAGAGCUAGUCGACAACCACCAGGUUAUAUCCUUCUUUUCUUUUGUGUCGAAUCACAUACUCUUGUUUCAAAUUAGUUCGUGUGUCAAUUCAAAAAAAAAAUCGUACUGUUCAUCGUACUGUUCACCAACACUGUUCAUCGUUACUGUUCAUACGAAUUUUUUUUUUUUGGAUACGUCGUCUUGUCUCUUAUUGUUGUGUUUCUUGAAUCUUGAAUUCAUCUAAAGUCAGAAAAAAAUAAAAAGAGUCGCACCAAGUUUUUCUUGAGUCAAGUUGUUGGAAUUUUUUCUCUUGAACUGUCGAACCUAUUUCCAACAUUAAACCUUAAAUAUUUACGUUGUUUCUUGCAAAUCUUGGAUACCAAAACCUGAUUUGGGAAGUUCUUGAGUUUCUUGAUAAAAAAUCUUGAAGUUCUUGGAUCAACCAAAACUGUUUUGGGGAAUUCUUGAUUAAACAUCACGGGUUUCUUGAAACUUGGGAAGAAAGUCUUCAACUUUCUCAGCAAACUUGAACCGUUGAUCCGAAUAUAAGUUGUUGGGACAGAAAAUCUGAGUUCUUGAAAAACAAUUAGAGAGCCGCAAAAGAAAAAAAAAGGGGAGAGAAAGGAAGCAUCGGCUCUAGGUUUCCUACUUGAAAAACAAAUCCCAUUCUUGAAACACUCCUACUCCUAAAGCCUUUGGGAUUGAAGUCAGCCAAGAAAACCAAGAAACCAAGUCCAAACCUUCCUAAAACACCCUCACUCUUCCCACAUCAGAUCCAAACAACUACCACAAACCCGUGUCUUCCCCAAAACAAACCCAACCGCCUCUUAGCACUUGUUCCCCAACCGAAUUAAAGUUACCAUCAAGGGCUAAAACGAUUUGCCUUUUACACAUCCCAAACAGCCCAAAUACUCCAUAAACAACCUGCCCGAGCCCAAGAAGAAAACAACAAGCCAAAUUCCAACAAUACAAGAGUCCAAUAGUCCAAUCCACAUUCGACUUGAUAGAGUCCUUAUCAAAGUCAAAAUCUCACACACACUUGAGUCACUCAUUGCAGACUAAAUCAAUAAAAUUUCAAUGUGUUUCUCGUGUCCUUUGCUGUGUUUUUUUUGAGUCAUUAUUCAGUCUCAACUUUCAACUACUUUUACGCCAUUCCUUGGGGAAAGCUUGAAUAAAGUUUGAUUGAACAACUUGAAGGAAAUUUCUGAUUUCUUCACGGGGGAAAUCAAGGGAUUUGAAAAUGAGUGGUGAGAUCAUUAGAGUGUUCUAAACACUUGAAUGAUACACAAGAGUGAGCGGAACACGUGAGGGAGUGAGUGAGGAAUUUUUACCUUAACAUUUGUUGAAGUUUUGCAGGAUAAACCAUGGCCAAUGAAAACGACAUCACCAUAGCACAAUUGGCAUCAAGAAUGGAUGCUAUGUGGAGAGACAUGCAAAGGAAAUUUGAGCUCCGCUUUGAGUCCAUGCAAGAGCAAAUUGAACAAUUGGAUCCCUCCAGAAACGCACAAUUGGAUCCUUCCAGGAAGUCUUCUAGGAAAACUAGAGGGAAACUCACCGUGAACGAAUUCAAUGACUCUAAAUUAGAGAGAGAGUUCGAAGAUGAUGAGCGAAGGCCGCGGAGAAUGACACAAAGGGCUGACCAUGCCGAGGAUCAACUCAAAGGAAUAAAAUUAAAAAUUCCUACCUUCCAAGGUAAAUCGGAUCCCGAAGCAUACUUGGAGUGGGAAAGAAAGAUUGAAUUGAUCUUCGAUUGUAACCACUACACGGAGUCUCAAAAGGUAACGUUAGCCGCCAUAGAAUUCACAGAGUAUGUCGCAAUUUGGUGGGAUCAACUUCGCCUCAAACAACGAAGGAAUGAGGAACUGGCCAUUCGGACAUGGAACGACUCGAAGCGAAUCAUAAGGAAGCGCUUCAUACUCGAUCACUACCAUAGGGAUUUGCAUCACAAAUUGCAAACCCUCACUCAAGGUAGUAUGAUGGUUGAAUAUUACUUCAAAGAAAUGGAAAUGUCCAUGAUGCGGGCUGAUGUUCGAGAAGAUGAGGAGGCCACCAUGGCACGAUUUUUGGGAGGAUUACAGCCUGAUAUUGCUAACAUAGUGGAGCUUCAACACUACCUUGACAUAGGGUAACUCUUGGACAAAGCUAUCAAGGUAGAACGGACGUUCAAGAGGAGGGGAACGGGUCGUCAAAACUCCAACUUUCAAUCUGAAAAUUGGAAAAAUACGCCCUUAAAGAGGGAGGAUCACCCCUCGAGUGCCCUACACCUUGCAAAAUCGAAUGGAAAUUCAAGAGGGACUUUGAGGCCGAAUACACUACCUUCCAAACCAACUUCAAAGGAGGGACCCCAACAAGAGGUCUUUAAACUAAGGACCCGUGACACCAAGUGCUUUAAGUGUCAAGGGUUUGGGCACAUUGCUUCCCAAUGUCCAAACCAACGGACCUUGAUCAUGUUACCCAAUAGAGAUAUAUUGACCGAUGAAGAAGAAGAGAUACAUGAAGGGAUGCCUCCAUUAGAAAAGAAGGACGAGCUUGAAGAGGUACCAGUCAAUGACACGGUUGGAUGUCUAGUGGCAAGGCGAGCACUAGCCACUCAAACUAGUCAAGAUGAGCUCCAACGAGAAAACAUCUUCUACUUCAGAUGUCAUAUACACAACAAGGUUUGUAGCCAAGUCAUUGACCCAGGGAGUUGCACUAAUGUUGCAAGUGCACUAAUAGUGGAGCGACUCAACUUACCUACAACCGACCACCCACGUUCCUACAAGCUCUAAUGGCUAAACAAUAGUGGCGAGGUACGUAUCUCCAAACAAGUCUUAGUUACUUUUCGCAUUGGUCGAUAUGAAGAUGAUAUUGUAUGCGAUGUAGUGCCUAUGCAAGCUGCACACAUCCUUUUGGGCCGUCCUUUUCGAUUCGAUAAGAGAGUUAUGUUUGAUGAUUUUCUAAAUAAAUACUCCUUUUUGCAUAAUGGUAAGAAAAUUACACUUGCACCUCUCACACCACAACAAGUGCAUGAGGACCAAGUUAACUUGCAAAAGGAGUAUGAUAUACAUACCACUAGUCAAAAACAAUCAUCAAAAGAAAAAGUAAAAGAAAUGGCCGAGAACCCUAAGAAUAAGAGUAAACCUACUCGAACCAUUGAGCUAGGGAAGGAAAGAAAAACUAGCUUGCUACCUCGAGUGAAAGAUGUGAGGAAAGGUUUACAUUCUAACCAAGUCUUGCUUAUAUUGAUUUGUAAAGAAGCUUUACUCACUAAUGAGAUUGAUACUUCUCUGCCUAGUAUUGUCACUAACCUUUUGCAGGAGUAUCAUGAUGUGUUCCCUGAGAAUAUAACUAAUGGAUUGCCACCUUUGAGAGGGAUUGAACAUCAAAUUGAUUUCAUCCCUGGGGCUUCCUUACCAAACAAGGUACCAUAUAGGACUAAUCCCGAGGAAACUAAGGAACAACAAAGACAAGUAGAGGAGCUACUUGGUAAGGGUUGGAUUCAUCAGAGUCUAAACCCUUGUACUGUACCCGUCCUACUUGUGCCUAAAAAGGAUGGAGGAUGGAGGAUGUGCACUGAUUGUCGAGCCAUUAACGCCAUCACGGUAAAGUAUUGCCAACCCAUCCCUCGUCUAGAUGACAUGCUUGAUGAAUUGCGUGGUGCUAUUAUUUUUACAAAAAUUGAUUUGAAAAGUGGAUACCAUCAAAUUCGUAUGAAAGAUGGGGACGAAUGAAAAACUGCCUUUAAGACUAAACAUGGCUUAUAUGAGUGGUUAGUCAUGCCUUUUGGCCUAACUAACGCAUUUAGUACUUUUAUGAGAUUAAUGAAUCAUGUUUUGCGUCCUUUCAUUGGAAAAUUUGUGGUGGUAUAUUUUGAUGAUAUCCUUAUCUAUACUAGAAGUGUAGAGGAGCAUGCAUUACACUUACAAGCUGUCUUGGAUGUACUUCGAAAGGAAAGGCUCUACGCCAACCUUAAGAAGUGCACUUUUUGCACUGAUCAACUUAUUUUUUUAGGAUAUGUUAUCAGUGCACAGGGUGUACAAGUUGAUCAAACAAAGGUGAAGGUUAUAAAUGAAUGGCCAACACCUACCAAUGUAAGUGAGGUGAGGAGUUUCCAUAGCUUGGCAAGCUUUUACAGAUGCUUUGUCAAGGACUUCAGCACCAUAGCUGCACCACUUACAUCCAUUAUCAAGAAGAACGCACCAUUUCAAUGGGGGGGAGGAACAAGCUAAGUCUUUCCAAUUAUUUAAACACAAGCUCACACAUGCACCUAUUCUAAGUUUACCUAAUUUUGACAAAGCUUUUGAAAUAGAAUGUGAUAUUUCUGGUAUAUGUAUUGGAGUUGUUCUACUCCAAGAAGGUCGACUGAUUGCAUAUUUUAGUGAAAAGCUAAAUGGAGCCUUCUUGAACUACUCAACCUAUGACAAGGAGCUCAUGGCCUUAGUUCGAGCACUCCAAACUUGGCAACACUACCUUCGACCUCGAGAGUUCGUCUUACAUACUGAUCACGAAUCACUCAAGCAUAUCAAGUCACAAACCAAGUUGAGUAAACGACAUGCAAUUUGGAUAGCCUUCAUCGACACAUUUGCUUUCCUGAUCAAGUAUAAAACAGGUAAGUCUAAUGUAGUAGCUGAUGCAUUUUCUAGGUGAUAUACACUACUUACUACAUUAGAUGCAAAAUUACUAGGAUUUGAAUAUUUCAAGGAUCUCUAUGCUAUUGACCCAGAUUUUGGUGAGAUUUUCAACUCCUUGCCACGAGACACUCGUGAGCAUUACUUUAUAUCAUAGGGAUUCUUGUACUACAAGGACAAAUUGUGCAAUCCACUAAGUUCCAUGCGACCCCUGUUAAUUCAAGAAGCCCAUGGAGGAGGACUUAUGGGUCACUUUGGAAUUACUAAAACAUUGUCCACCCUCCAAGAACACUUCUUUUGGUCACGCAUGAAAAGGGAUGUUGAACGACAUAUACAGAGGUGUGUAACUUGUCACCAUGCAAAAUCAAAGGUAAAUCUUCAUGGACUCUACACCCCUUUACCUAUCCCACAUGCACAUUGGAUUGACUUGUCUAUGAAUUUUGUACUUGGAUUACCUAGAACUAGACAAGGUCAUGACUCUAUCUAUGUUGUGGUUGACCGCUUCUCUAAAAUGGCACAUUUUAUACCUUGCCAUAAGACCGAUGACGCUAAACACAUAGCUGACUUGUUCUUUAGAAACAUAGUACGUUUGCAUGGCAUGCCUCGUACCAUUGUGUCAGAUAGAGAUGUAAAGUUCCUUAACUACUUUUGAAAAACUUUGUGGUGUAGGCUAGGCACUAAGUUGCUUUUCUCUACUUCUAGUCACUCACAAACUGAUGGACAAACUGAAGUAGUUAAUAGGACUUUGUCUACCUUGUUGCGUAUCAUAAUAAAAAAGAAUAUUAAGACAUGGGAAGAUUGCUUACCACAUGUUGAAUUUGCUUACAAUCACACUGUGCACACUGCUACCCAAUAUUCCUCUUUUGAAAUUGUUUAUGGUUUAAACCCUCUCACCCCUUUGGACUUAUCUCCUUUACCUGAUCAUGGGAGAGUUAACAUAGAUAGUAAGAAAAAGGCAGAUUUCGUGCGAAACCUACAUGCCAAAGUUCGAGCCAACAUCGAAAAGCGUACAUUUCAAAACAUCCAAAAUGCAAACAAAGGGCGUCGCAAGAUGGUCUUCGAACCAGGCGACUAGGUCUGGAUCCACAUGCGCAAGGAGCGCUUUCCACUUCAAAGGAGCAACAAACUCCUCCCAAGGGGUGAUGGCCCUUUUCAAGUCAUGGAGAAAAUCAACAAUAAUGUCUACAAACUUGACCUUCCAGGUGAGUAUGGGGUACAUGCUACAUUUAAUGUUGCUGACUUGAGUCCAUUUUAUGCAGACGAUGAGCUUGAUUUGGGGACAAAUCGCCUUCAAGAGGAGGGGACUAAUGAUGGAGCACCAAGGACCAAUGGAGAGAAAGACCAAGCCAUUCGAGUACCAAGUGGUCCGAUCACAAGAGCUCGCACCAAGAAGAUGCCCGAGUCACUCCAAGCACUCGUGUGCACCAUCCAAGAGAGAAUUGGAGAUGAUUUAAAAAUCAUUGAAAGCUUGGAGAAUGAAAAUUCCACAUUAUACACCUUGCUCCAAGUUGAUGAGCCAAGUGAAGACUAGUCUUAGUCAAGGCCGAGAGUUAUUUGUCAAUCCAUAGUCAAGGCCGAGAAUUAGUUGUCAUUUAAUUGUUGUUUAGUUGUUUAAUUUUAGUUAGUAAAUCCGGCCCAAAAACAGUCUUUAAGAGUGGCCGGACAUUAGAUAGCCUUUUUGCCAUUUUUCGGCCCAAGAGGCCUUAGCCUAGCCAAGAGCACCUAAUCCAUUUCACUUUAGAUUUAGUCAAGUGAAUCCAAAUCACUUUAGGUUAUCAAUUGUAUGGCUAUAUAUAGCCAAGGCAAGAGACCUUCACGAUCAGUCCUGAUAUUAAUAAAAUUGUGAGUUUUCACUCUCUUUCCAAGAGAGCCUCUUUGAAUAUUUGAGAAUCUUUCUCAAAUUGUUCAAUUGAACUUAUCAAUCAAGUAACUCCUUGGUUGUGGCGUUCAUCUACCUUUAAUUUGGUUCGCUAGUUCGUUAGAUAACGAGUUGAGAUAGUAUCAAUAGUGUUCGUUAUCUCGGGGAUUAGAUUUGGAUCAAAUUUCCACUGCCUAAGCCAUUGGUGAUUGGUUGUCUAGAUCGUGGCCAAGUGAGUAUCACAUCAAUGUCUGCUGCCAAUCAAAUCUAAUUAAAAUUGGUUCAAGUCCAAAGUAAGUCCAUACUUUAAAUACAUAACCGAGACUUAAACUCUUUUUUUUUUUUUUUUUGCAAAGAACAUCACAUUCAUUCAUUGUCACCAACUCAUUUUUAGAUAACAAACAAACUGAAAAAAGACAAGGAAAGAGGCUAAAACUACCUUGGAGAAAUAAAGGAAGCAAAAUUGCAUGUUCAAUUAGUGGGAUACAGAAAAAGCAAAUGAUGAAGGAAAGCAAAUGCAUAAAUCACUUGUACACAGCCUAAUUUUACAUAAUAGACAGUCUGUCUAUAAACAUGACAGUUGGGAUAUUGUUACCAGUUUUUCCGUAUAAUGUUUUUGUGUGUGUAUAACACAAGAAUAGCACAUUACGGUGUCAUUGUAAUUAAAUGAAUGGUGUCCAAAUCAAGAAGAUUAGGUGGUCAAAUUUUUUGUCCAUUAAUUUGCCGUUUGACUUGAAAUUUUUUUCUUUUGAAUAUCAACGGUUUUAAUAGUUAAUUACCCAAAACUUUAGAAUAGUAGUUGUUGAGUUGCCUUCUAAGCCCUAUAUAUAUGAAGUCUGUUAUUGCUAGAGAAGUAUAAUAGUUGUUGAUAGCUAGUAUGUAAUUAGCUUCCCAUUGUUUUGUACAUCCACAUGUCACGUUUGCAAGAAGAUAGAGUGCAAUAUAUUUGACAUUUAAGACAGAUUAUCAGUCAAUGAAAAUAAAAUACCUACUCUACAAUAAAUGAAAUUGCAAGACAGUGGUGAACAAGAUCGCAUCCAUGAGGAUUGGAAUGAUAUAUUUCUUGGAAUAAUUUCAUAAACCUAUCCUGAGGUUUUUAACUAUUUUGCUUAGUUCCCUUGACGUUUUAAAAAUUACACUUACCUCCCUCGAUUUGACAUAUUGGUAACCAAAACUUAAAAUAGAGUAAAAAAUUUAAUGAAAAUCCUAAAAUGCCAUUAUCUUAUAAAGUUUAAUUUAUUCUUCUAAACAAUUAUAACGUAAUUUAGUACAAUUAUAAAAAAAAGUGUCAAGUUUUUUAUACCAAUAUUUAUUAUUUAAUAAUCAACUAUAACAAUAAAUCUUUUUUCCAUUAUAAGCUAUUUUUCGUAGUGAUUUAUUGGGGGAUAUAGAUUCUUUUUAAGAUAAAGAAAAAGUGUUAUCUUUAUUUUUUAAAAGUUUAUGGACUAUUUUUUUUAAAUAAAUGUUUAUGGACUAACUUAGUGAUAGAACUACCCUAGUUUGGUAGUGAUUUUGGGCUAUUUAUUUUUAAUUAUUGUUGAUUUAUUCUUGAUUUUGAUACAAAGAAAAAAGUUACAAAAAAAUUGGAUGAUGUUGAAAAUUAUCAAAAAAAAUUAUAAAAUCCAUCCUUUGCAUAAACAUGGCAACAAGAGAGUUUUAUUAAAAUAUUAAAGUUAGUAUUGUCAUUUUAAAUGGACAAGGGAGGUAGGUGUAAAUUUUAAAAUCUUAGGGGAACCAACUAUAAUUAUUAGAAACUUUAGAGGAGGUUUCUAGAGUUAUCCCUUGUUUCUUUCAAAGCAAUGAAUAUAAAGGGGAGAUUUUGGAUAUUAAACCAACUAAUUAAUUUAAACACAAAAUAACAUGCAAAAAUUAAGUAAAUUUUAAUGAAUAAUAAUGGAACUCUUGCCAAAGAAAUAACUUCUGAAAUGAUUCAUAAAACUAAUCAAAAUAAUAAACUGGUUAUAAUUGUCAAUGAAUUCUGACAACCAACUUUUCUUUACUUUUUUGAUAAUUAAAGUACGACUAUUAGCUACUUUUCUAAUUGAAAAGAUAAUCUUAGGUACAACUGACCAUAGGAUUUAAUCUUACAAUUGCAUUAGAAAAAGCUUAAUUCUAACUAGAGGUAUCAAAAUGGGUGACUUGGGCGGGUUUGGAUUGGGUAAAAUGAGUAAUGGGUAUAAGUGAGUUUAACCCAUUUAUAUCCAUUUAAUUAGAUGGGUAUAAAUGGGUUAGUCAAAAAAUGAAUUAGGUAACCCAAUUACCCAUUUAUAACCCAUUUAUUUUAACCUAUUGUAAAUUCAUUUAAAUUUAUUUUUGCAAAAUAAGUUAUCAAUUUGUACCACUCUUUGCACCCAUCAUUAGUUUUAAAUAUUUACUUAUAAUGCUCAAUAAGCCUAAUUACCAAUUUUUUCCCCAUCCAUACUCUAUGUCGCAAAAUUACAUAUUAUUUAAUAAUUAAAUAAUAAGAAUAUAAAAAUUUGAACUAAGUACUAUAAAAGUUAAUAUAAAAACUUAAUCCAAAAAUUUUGAACCCCUAACAUUUUUUUCAUAUAUAAAUUUAAAAUUUCAUUUUGGAAAGAUAAGAAAAGAGGCUAAAACUUAUCAUAAAUUGGUAAUGCUGAAAAAUGAGCAAGUUAAUAAACUAAAAGAAAAUAAAAUGAUAAGAUAAAACUAAUAAAUAAUGAUAAUAAUGAAACAAAAAUAGUUAAUAUCAUGACAAAAUGAAAAUUUUGAAAAAAAAAAGGGUGGAGAAAAGAGGAGACUUGGGGAAAGAAAAUUUUAAAUGGGUUAAUUGGGUUUGCUGGGUUAUCCAAUAAUACCCAUUUAAUAAAUGGAUAUUAUUGGGUAACUCAUUCAUACUCAUAUACAAAAAUUUAAGAUACCCAUACCCAUCUAUUCAUGGACGGGUAUGGGUAAAUUUAGUUAAAUGGAUUUGUUUGCCACCUAUAGAGCUCUCAUUGAAUGGUCAAGGGAUCGAAUCCUAUGAUUUGCAUUCAUCUUUAGAAUUUUAUGAAAGUUUCACCGGUUGAUGCAAAGGCACCCGUUUGGUCCGGUGGUGGUUCAAUUUCUUUCAGAUUCUCCUUUGGCCCAUUUGGGCCCACCCCUCCCCUUAGUAUAAAGCAAGAAUAGGAGUAGAAAAGAAAAGUUAUCGUGUAUAUUUUAAGUAGGACAUUUUGAAUUCAAAAUCUCCUAUUUAUAAUCCUUUCCAACUCCCUCCCCCUCUUUUUCUUCAUAAUACUUCAUUUUUCUUUCUGACAAUUAGAUUAUAGCAAUAAUUUCUUAUUUUUAUCCAUAUUUUAUCCAACAUACUAUGAGAAAAACAUUAGUCUGUUCAUUCUUGCUAUUGUUGCAAAAUUGGAAUUCUUGUCUCAAAAAUUACCAAAUCCACAAACAUAAUUUGUGGUGGAAACUUGUUAAUUUAUAGUUAGAAAUUGAAAUUUACCUAGACAUAAUAUUAUAUUUUAAGCUACAUUACUAUUGUUUUACAAUUCUAGUUUUUGGAAUGUCAUAUUUGUAUUGCUCCUUUUUUUUUUUUAAUAUUGCUCCUAUUAUCCAGAUCAUUUAAUUUAACAUGAUUCUAAAUUUUAUUCUUUACAAAAUAUUUGCAAUGAACUAUAAAUCAAAUUAAAAGGUAAUUUGGAGUCGUUUUUACUCACCAUAGUUUCACAAAGGAGGACCUUGGAUUACUUAAUAGCUGUGAAAACGAAGACAAAGCAUGGAAACAAGACUUUGGUAAUUUAUUUAUCAUCCUCCAAUUUAAUUUUUUCUUAAACUCUGCAUAAAAUGAUGGCAAAUAAAAUAGAAUUAAUGAAAUAUAUGCGGUCAUUUAAUGAAUUUUUCACACCAGAAAAAUAGAAAAUUCAUUUCAAAGCAAAAAUCUUUAUGAAUUGUUUGGACAUUUAGGCCCAAAGUUGAAUUGAUGGACCUUUGUUUGGGAGUCCUAAAACUUAGGUAGCUGACCAUUUACUUUAGAUUGUCUGUAUAUUGAACUGAAUAGAAAAGUUGAAUGUAGGAAGCUUAUAGCCCAACUUGAUUUUUCAGGCCUCCUAGUGGACCAUCUGACCAUGGAUCAAUUCCUAUUUUAUUAUCUCAUCCUUGUAACAGGUUCGUUUAGCCCGACAAAUUUCAGUGCAUAACCAAGCAGCUUUGUCAGGAUUUGGGGCUUCACAAUUUGUGUUUCGUACAAUUUUGUACAAGUUGACCUCUGGUGUUAAUUAAUAAAAUUUUAGUAUAAAUUAGGUCUGAUUUGCUGUAAAUUAGGUGCAGUUCAGUGUAUGUUGAUUUGUUAUUAUUUGGUAUAAAUCAAGUACAGUUUGGUACAAGUUAAUUACUAUCAUUUAGUAUAAGCUGAGAACAAAUUAGUGUAAGUUGAAAGUAAUUCUUAAUUUACACCAACUUGAGCGAAAUGGAACUUGUGAGGCCCCGUUUCCCUUCAAUUAACAAGGGAAAGAAGAAGAAGAAGAAAAAAAAAAAAGCAAUGUAAGCAUAAGAAGACUAGGGAUUAAAAGUUUACAUGCAGAAAAUUUGUAAAAGCACAAAUGGCAAAAGAAAAAAGCCAACGAGCACAUGGUAAGGCUUAGUGCAAUCCCAUCUUAGUCAACAUUCAACUCUAUGAGGGUUUUUUAUUAACAUAGUAACUUUUUAAUUUUUUAAAAUUUUUUUAGCAGGGAAAUGGUCAAAAUUAAGAAGUAGGGAAAGAGAAUGGAGAAUUUCAAUCCAGAACGUCUAAAUCUUGAAACCUCAACUUCAGCACCAGACACCACAGGAGUCUUGGACUAACAUUAGCCACUACAUUCUUGAAUUUUUUUUUUCACCCAAAUUAUCAGCCUGUUUGGAACCUGAGUUUUUUGGGAGUUUGUCUAAAACUUUACUGUAGUGCACUGUAGAAAUUUUUGAAAAAAUUUUGUAGAAGUUUUUAUAAGGUGAAAAUUUUUUUUGUAAGGUGCAAAAUUUUGUAGAAAUUUUUGUAGAGUGAAAAACUUUUUUUUUUCUUUUCAUUUUUUUUCUUCUUUUUUCUUUUUCUUUCUUUUUCUUUUCUUUCUUUCCUUUUUCUUUUCUUUCCUCUCUUCUCCUUCUUCUUCUUCUUCUUUCUUUCUUUGCUCCCCGUUACCUCCUAGCAGCAGUCACACCCGCCACCCCUCUCCUCCCUUUCCCCUUCUCCUCCCACCACCGUGACCUCCUCCCCCCCCGCCACCCCCUGUGCCUCUUCCCCCUCUGCCACCGCGACCCCCCCCGCCCGCCCCACCGCCUCCCUAUGCCCUUCCCCCUCUGCCACCCGCGACUCCUCCCCCCGCCAGCCCCCUGCCCUUUCCCAGCUUCUCCCCGCCACCCUCCCCUCCCCCGCCACUCCUGCCUUUUCCCCAGCUUCUCCCCGCCCCCUCUGCCUUUUUCCCCAGUUCUCCCGCACUCUCCUCCCCCGCAGCUUCUCCCGCCACCUCCCCUGCCCGCCCCCUCCCCUACCACCCCCCCCAGCACCCUCCCUGCCACCCGACCCCCUCCUCCCGCCACCCCGCGGACGAUGCUAAAAUAGUCCCCAGGUUUCUGGCAAAAAGCAUCGAGGAAUUUACGGAACUUGGAACGCUUCGUCGAGGAGGAUUUGCUCUUCUGCAUCCAAUUGAAUAAGGAAACCAUCACGUUGAAUUUGAUGUCAAAUUCCUCCAUUCUGGACUUUUUUGCUUUUUCUAGACUAUGAUUUUGCUUGUUCGGUUCUUGGGGAAUGUUCAUUUUUUGUGUUUGAAAAUGAAGGAUUUAAAAACCGUCUGAAAGGGGAAGGGGGAAGGGGGCAGGGGAGGCAGAGGGGAAGAGGGGAGGGGGAGGGAAAGAAAAAAAAAACUUUGUGUAUGGCCGGAACUGGCCGCCGGAAUAGUAACCGGUGUCGAAAGUGAUGGUGGAGGUGGUGGCCGGCGGCGGAGGAUGUGGUGGGUUGGGUGGGGGAGGAAAAAGAAAAAAAGUUUGAAGGGAAAGUUUUUUUGUGUAUUUUUUGAAGUGUGUAGGUAAAAAGUUUUGAGAAGUUUUUUAGGGUUCCUGUAGCAAAAGUUGUUAAAAAACUAGUAGGUAAAAAACUUGGGCAAAAAACUCACUUUCAAACAGGCCCUAUAUUGUGUGAACGCAAAUUCAUCAAAAAUUGAAAUACCAUGAACAUGAAUGAAUAAGACAACUAAGCUGCCAAAAGAAAUAUCAAGUCAAAGAGAUUGUAGUAAAAGAACAGGAACCAUGAAGAUAAGAAGGGUAAAUUACAUUUUACCCCCCUAUGGUUUACCCUUUUUUUACAUAAUUCCCCUAUGGUUUCAAAAGCUAUACAUAACCCCCUCAUGGUUUGGAUUAAAGUGUCAAAGUAACGGAAAUAGUCACCCGUAACGGAACUUCUAAAAAUGUCGAAAUUACCCUUAUAAAUACAUGACACAUUAAACCCGCAUGAUUUUUAUAUUUUACCAUAUAACCCCCUUAUAGUUUAAUAUUUUACCAUAUAACCCCCUUAUGAUUUUCAAAAUAUACACAUAAUCCCUCUUGGUUAAUACAUAAAUUUCAACUUUACAUAAGGGUAAUUUUGACAUUUUAGGUGAAGCCGCUAUGAAUGAUCAUUCCCGUCACUUUGACACUUUAAUUCAAACUAUAAGGGGGUUAUGUAUAGAUUUUGAAACUAUUGGGAUGUAAAAAAAUGCUAAACUACGGGGGGUAAAGUGAAAUUUGCCCAGAUAAGAAUGACUGCGUUCCCAUUUAAUUUCAUAUCCUAACACAAAGAUCAAAGCGUUUGUACAAACUCAAUAAUCUAAGUCCUUUCAUCUCCACUCCAAUUAUCCUUGGAUUUGGGACCAGUGGGCCCUUCCUCAGCCAACACUUCACUAGGAAGCUCACUAACUGCUUUUUCUAAAGCACUUUUUAAUUUCCCAGGCAAAAAUUUCUCAACCUUCUUGAUCUCAUCGUUGAUAUUAUAGCUGAUUUUUGGACCCCAUUCUCUAGUAUAAUUCAACCAUGGUGGUUCAACAAUUGUUGGCCCUAAGUAAUCAGCAGAAACCACUGAGAAAUUUGCCCCAGCAUCCAUAAAAAACUGCCCUUUUCCAGCAUCAUUUCUUAUUCCAACAUUUGAGUUAGACCCUUGCAAAAAAUCUCCUGUCUUUGGAUAAGCGGCAUGGCCAUGCAAUGAGGAAUACACCACUGGUUUGUUACCAUUUUGGAACUCAAGCCCAGAAGCGCUGAUCCAUGUCCCUCCACUAUGUUCUGAAAAAUAAACACACUUUAAUUCUCCAUUGAAGUUACUAAUCCUCAGUGUCACAUGCUCCCAGUCUCCAACAUGUUCCCCAAUUUUUCCUAGCUUAAUUGUAACAAACUCAACUUUUGCUCUAGCUGCACCAUUAAAAGGGUAAAAAACCCAUACAGCCAAGUCAGUAAAAGUUGCACCUAACAUAGGUUUAACAUGUAUAUAUACACUUGCAUCUUGUAGAUUUCCUUGCUUGACCCUAUCUUUAGCAGCAUUAUCACGAGGUAAAUCUAUCCAAUAUGCACCAUCAUUUGUACCACCUUGGGGCAUAUUUGACCCUGUUGGGGUAAUAGCAACAGGAUUGGAUUCCUGCCCUCUUGUGUACAGUAAUGCACCAUUCUGGAAAAACCAAUUUACUGAAGAAGGAAAGAACUCUUCAUCAGGGUGAAAGUAAAUCACUGGAGAAUAUUCAGCAAGCAAUGCUCGAAUCUGAUUCAGAGUAGGCAUAGCAUGAAAGUUGCCUUGCAGAUUCUUCAAACAAGCCAGUGAUGUUGCAGCCCCACUGUUUUGUGCUAAUAUAAAUGUACCUGUGGAAACCCCUAAAACUUGAAUCCCUCUAACUUUUGGCCUUGAACCAUAUAUGUUAAUGCCAUUAGAACUACCCCAAAUCCAAGAAUCUAGAUCAGUAGCAUCAGUGUAAUCAGAGCGGACGCAUCGAACUUUUUCCACUGAAGGCUUAUCAGGGGAGCUUGUGACUACAUGACCAAUGGCCUUGUAGCCAUCAGGAGGUGAUGGCAGCCAUAUAUAGCCCACGCCAUCUUGCUUGAUAUUCAAAGAUUCACUACUCCAAAUAAGUGUAUAAUCAGUGGGCUUGCUCAGAAUUCCUUGACCUGAUGAGGCAUCUUUUGCAGCAAGAACCCAUCCAAACAGGGGACUAUUGUUUGGUUGGCUAUAGUAACCAACUGUAAAGAAUCCAACUGGGAUUGAAGAUGGUUCAAAAAAGGUUGCACCAAGAUUAUCUGGUCCACCUUCAUGAGUAGCCCAAACUUUAUUGAAAGUUGAUACUUGACAUAUCCGUAAUCCUCCCAAAUCAAUUGUUCCACUAGCAAAUCCCGCACCUAUAAUCCACAAAUGAACAGAAAGUUAGCAGAUUUCCACAACUUUAACCAAAAAAACAGAGGAAAAUUCUGAUGGGUUAGCAUUUUUACCUUGAGGCCAGGCGGGUAAUGGGGAAGGAAGCUUGAACAUGGUUUCAAUAGGAGGUGGCUGGUUGUCUUUCUUGGACAGAUAUACCACAGAAGGAGAAAUUGCAUUUAUGCUAUUUCCCAUGCUUGCAUGGUCCAACUGAUUCUGAGGUCUUGAGCAACAGAGUUGAAUAUGGAGUGCAAGGAACAUGAAGUAGACAAACCCCAUUUUCUGCAAGAGAAAUUGCUUUAGAAAGUGUAAAGACAAAGCAAGAAAUCUAGUCAAGCGACUGUGGCGCGAAAGUUAUUCAUCUAUUGGUUUUCUAUACUUGAAGAAUGAAAGCAUAUUGUUUGAGAUUUGAGGAUUGGAUGUUCUUGUCUUCUACACUAAAGCUUUCUGCUUUGGCUUUGUUACACCAGUCGUUAUUAUACCUCUCCUAUUUUCACGGGACUGAUUCUGUGUAUCAGGAUGUAGAAUGGGUUAAUCCCAAUUUACUGUGCUAGAUAUACAAGGUGUGUAUCGAGCCUUUGCUCGAAUGUAAAUAUUUUUUGCCCAAGUUAUAUAUAUAGUCCUACCGUUUCGAACGAAAAAAAAAAAAAAUUCUGUGAAUCAGUAUCAGUGUAUGAGACAGCUCUAGCUGUCAUCAUAAUAUUUUUAAUGCCAUAGUUAAAAUGAAAACUAAGAAAAAAAAAAAACAUAAUCCACUGUAUGUAACUGUCUUAGAUAAUCCACUGAUGUGAUUGCUGACAACGACAUACUGAGUCUGCAGAUUUCUUGAUUCAAGGAACUAUACAAAGGAAUCUUUUUAUUCUUUAGGGAUAAUAUCAGAAACCUCUACUGAUGUUUCUUUUAAUAUCAUCUGAUACUCCUAAAGUCUUAAAAACGUCACUUACUUCCCUUACUUUUAUUAUUGGCUUAUCAAAACUUUUAAAAAUCUUAAACUACCUUUUCAUUUGUUAAAUAACAAUAUUCCUAAACCGUUUUAUUCACUUCAAAAAACUAUCACCUACAAAACAAUCUCUUAUAUUACUAUCACAUCAUAAUACUAUACCCCAUAAAAAUACAAAUUUGAAAAAUAAAAAAAUAUUUGAAAAAAAUACAUUUGCACCAAUUUAACUCUAUAUACUUGAAAUUGAUUUCUUAUGAACUUUAUAUUUUUUUUCAACAUCUUCUCAAUUCUUGUCCAAACCAUUAAAUUGUAUCUAUCAUUAUAAAAAUCAACUCAAAAUACGCAAAUAAAUCAUACCUCACUUUAUCACAAUUACAAAAAAUAAAAUUCAAUCAUAAUUCACUUUACACAAAAUUCAAUUUAUUAUAAUUUACAGAUAAAAUUUUGCAUAGUCAUCCAAAAAAUGAGUAAGAGAGAAUGACAAAUAAAAGGGAUAGAGAAAAAAGUGACUUUUGUUUCUUUUUUUUUUUAUUUUGAGUUCCAAAUUAAUUUUAAUUUGAUAUAUAAAUUAUGUUUCAAAUAAGAGUUAGUAUAGUCUUUUUACAAUUAUUAGAGGAGGUAACUGAUAUUUCAAAAAUUUUAGGGGACCAAGUGAUAUUAAGAGAAACUUCAAGGGAGGUUCCUGAUGUUAUCCCUAUUCUUUAUGAGCAAAGUAAUAUUCUAUUCGAUACUAGCAAAAAGGCAGCUCUAAUCACCAAGUGUGUGUUAUGCAUAGUAAGAGUACACAAUAAUGAUUCAAGAUUUUCUGAUUAGUUCUUGUACAAAUAUGACAUCAUUUUACUCAGUAGAUUCUGGGUGUGUUUGGACAAACAAGAUUUGAAUUAAAAUAAUUCACUUCACAAAUUUUAGUCACCUUUUUAUCUUUUCAAUCAACUUUUUAUCUCACAUUUAUCAAAUCACAAAAAGUGCUAUCGUAAUUAUCUCAAAUAAAUUAUCCAAAUAAACUCAGAGCCUAUCGCAUUGAGUACAACCGAUUUUGUGAUGUGGCGGACAGGAUAUUUGCAUGGAAACUUUUAAAUUCUUGGCACAACUGUCAUCACUAGCUUAAAAGGUAGACACAAGCAUUAUUGUUAUCUUCUUUGGUGAUUUACGGAGUAGAAUCUUUCUCAAAGUGUAAAGAAAAAGCUCAGCUAAUUCACUUUUUGUUUGGAUUGCAUUUUUUGAGCUAAAAUAAUUUUUUAUUUAUUUUAUUUACUUAUUUUUAGAUGUAUUUUAAAUUAUGCGUGAGAUGUUACUGUAAACUCCACAAACAAAAAUUUUUUUUUUUUGAAAAAAUAGGUAAUCCAUAUGGAACUUAAGGUUACAAUUGUGUAUUUUUCAAGUUGACAUGCAUUCAUGCACUAAAAGCUUGUAUUACUAUCAGUAAGAGAAAUGCAAGAAUUCAGGCUUGGAUUAGUUAAUUAACAAUAAGACUGGGGAUGUGACCGCAGAACUUUAUAUGGGGUAUUAACAAAGAAGGCAUAAGAUGAUAAGACAGCAAUAAGGCUAAUGCAUGUGAGUUUGUGACACUAACGCGUUCUUGAAGCAAGAUAGUCAAGGCUGACCUGUGUGCUAUAAUGUUUUGUAUUGCGUCUUCAAAAACACAAACCCCAAACUUCCCUUGUGGUUAUUACUUGUCAACUAGCUACACUGGCCCUUCGGGUCGGGUCGGUUGGUGCUGGGGUAGCCUCAUUAGGUCCUAGUACCGUAUGAUCGUGGUUCGAUUCCUUCUACUGUCUUGUGUAUCUUGAGAGACGGGUGCAAAAAUACAGCCACCAUAUUGUGCAAAGCAUCAUGUAAUAGAACGGAAAGCUAACAACUAAAAAGUGCAAAAUAUCAAAUGUUUUAUGAAUAUCAAGCUAACGGGAACGUCAAGGAAUUGGGUAGAACUAAUUAGAUCUUACAAUUAUGCAAAUUAGGAUUUGGACAGGUUUGUCUUGUAGGACUGCCUUUUAGUUUAGCCAAACUCUAUUAAGUGUGAUAUGUUGCUUUUGCAUUUAGGGUUUUUCCAUAAUGGACCCUAAACAUCAUUUCAGGGACCAUUUGAUAAAGUUUAUUGACAACGAAUUUCAUCUGCUAUGAACUCACCAUAUACAGUUUGUAAUCUCUUCAAGGAUAAGAACAAGAAGCUUUUGCACAUUUUUGUAAGACAUGCUAGGAGGAGGCUUUAUAUCCAAGAAUCUUCUCAUGAAUGAAGUAUGGAACCAGUGAGGGGAAAGAUGAAAGAAAAGAAUGGAAAAUAAAACUAGAGCUAAAUGAUGAAUGGAGAAAUGAAUGAAGGAGAACUUACUUGCAUUGGAAAAUGAGUGACAGCAUCCAUCUUCCUUCCCAUAUCAAUAACAACAACAACAACAACAACAACAACAAAAUUGCCGUAAAAUAUACAACAAAAGAUUGUUAGUGAUAGUGGAAGGUGAGGGGGUGAAAUUCUGUGCAAUUUUAGCUUUUCAGUUGCUUGAAAAAACUUCGCUCUGUAUAUUCUUGGCAAAUUAAGCAGAUGACUUGCUGUAACAAACUCUUCCGAGUCCUCGGAGAUGGAUGGCAGCAUAUCCCGUCCGAAAUUCCAAAGCAUAUUUCUGCUUAUGCUUUGGAAAUUUGAAUUGAAAUUCGUCUUCAGAUAAAAUUCUAACAUAGUAGCAACAAUAUUGUCACGCAAAAUUUUAAACCCACAAAAGUUAUAAAUCCCUGGAUUCUGUGUUAAAUUGCCACCAGCCUUGUCGGCCUAAAGAAAUGGAUACGAGAUGAGAAUGUGCCUGGCAAAACAUCUUUAACGGGUCCAACCUAGCUCGACUCCAGAUUAGUCGGGCCAAAAUGACUACCACACACUGAAGAUUAUUUGAAAAAAAAGAGAAAAAUAAAACAUUCUUGAUAUUUUUUUUUUCAAAUCUAGCAGGGGAGGGUGGGGCUUAAGAAACAGGAGGAAGUUGGGAGAUUUGAGUUUAAAAUCUCUAAUAUUUAGAAUCUCAAUUUUAACCAUUAGAUCAAUACCUCAUCGAUCUUGAGAAAUGCAAUAAUGGAGAUACUGUACAAUGUUAAAUUGCAAAUAAAAAUAUAAUGGUGCAAGAUUAAGUGCAACUCCAGCUCUCAGGUGACAAAAAAUAUAUAUAAAAAAAGAAUUAAUUUUUCCUAUGCACAGUAAGUGUUAGAUGAAUGAUAAUUAUCAAAAUUUAAAUUUAAACUCCAAUUUUUGCACAUGUGUCAGUGUAAAUAAAAUUACUGUAAAAGUGGUUGCAGCACAUUUCAGAAUGCCUAUUUGCUCAGUAAUUAAUCACUGAUCAGCCCAUGCUUCAUUACGUUAUUGCUUCUGCACAAGCUUUGUAAAAUCAGGAUCCUACGUAGGAUCGAUUUUAGUUUUACAGAAUCGGAUCGUAAGAUCGGAUUGUGGAGUCGUAAUAUCUCACCAAAAGCUCCUAAAUUUACUAAAUUAAUGAAUUUAAAAUUCAUAUACCAUUUUGUACAUACUAAAAGAUAUCAAAUAAAUAGGUUACUCAUAAAUAUUUUAUACCAUGUUGUUCAUUUCUUGUUUUGAGUUUUAACAGUCAGACAAGGAACCUUUACUUAAUCUUAGAGGUGGCAAUUUGUCCCAAGUUCCAAUGGGCUACCCAUGCCCAAAAGGACUUUGGGCGGGAUGGGUACCAUAAUUUGAUAUUGGGUUUAAAAUGGGAUGCAUCCCAAUUGUACCCAUUAUUUGAUGGGAAAUGUUGAGAAAUACUUGGGUACCCAUUGGGCCCAAAUAUCUUCCCAAAAAAUUUCAUUUAUCCAAAAAUGCAUCUUUGAUUUUUUUUUUUGCAAAAAUCUGAUUUUUUUUCACUUCCAUUUUCUUUCUUUUACUUUCUUCACUUUCCUACAAAAGAAAACUAGUUAAGUAAAAAUGAUUUCAUUUAAACAACUUUAAAAAAAUAAAGAUAACAAUAAAAAUAAAAUGAAUUGGUAAAAUUUUGGUGUCUACAAGAAUCAACACUUUACUAACAAUUGUUGGCACCCUUUAUGUUGAUUUUAUGCUAAUUGUUGAACUAUCUACAUAGAUUUCUAUAUGCAACCCUGUUAUCAAUUUUUAAUCAAUUUCUUCGUUUUUGUGCUAGCUUUAUUUAGCAUUUAAUGUGAAUUUCUUUUGUAUCAAAUUUUGAAAAUUUUAAGAAUGCCAUUAAGAAUGAAUUUGGUGUUAAAAAAUCUUGUUUCUAGUCCUUGUGUCAGACAACAUUAUGGGUAAGGUUGGAAUAUGGCUGUAUAUCUAUCUUUUCCUUUAUUUGUUAAUCCAAUUUUUGGUUUAAUCCAGGGAGAAGAUAUGUUCAUUCUUACCAAAAUGUUAUAUCUUUUAAAAGUAAUUGUUGAUCGUUCUAGAGUGUAAAUGAAUUCAGGAAAAUAUAAAUUCACAAUAAGAUCAAAAGAAAUUGAAUAAAUAAAAAUAUUAAAGUUAUAUAAAAAAUAAAAAAGAAUUAAAGGAAAAAAAAUAUAGAAAAUAGAUUUGGGUAUUGGGCGGGAUCAAUCUAAACACAUCCCAAAGUGAUCCCGUCCAAAUUAGUUCCAAAACACAUAUGGGUAAGUUUAACCCCAAACCCAUAUGAUUCGAUUUCAUUUCGAACCCAAGCAAAUCUCACCCAUCCCGCCCAUUUUGCCACCUCUACUUAAUCUACUAAUAUUUUCUUUACAACCUUUCAGCUGAAAAGUUGUGUUUUUGUGCUGGCCUGUAGUAGAAUGUAGAAUAGAUGAUCAUAGCAAAACUAGCUGUUAUAGAUAUAGACGAUGAUCCAUAUGGCUUGCAAUAUUAAACUAACAUUGUAAAAAGGGCAACAAAUGAAGGCUAAUAUAUAGUUGAGUAUCAUUGACCACUAUACAUCACUUGUAUGCAUCUCAAGUCAAGUUUGAAACAAGCAGACAAUUCUAGUUCAUAUUGGUUUGCCGGCCAUUUAAUUUUCAGACUUACAUUUUAUUAAUUCUCCAUAAUUUAAUUCUAAUAUACUAAAAUUAAGGAAGCAACCAAUCAACACAACAGGGGGCUUGAAAUACGUGUGCAUGGGGGCCUCAUAAUCAUUCAUUCAUUCAUUCAUGGGUUCAAAAGAAAAGAUGAAAGAAAACUGCCGACGAUCAUCAAUUUGCAGGCAUGUGGUGUGGAGCAACAACUAUGGAGGAUUUGAGUAGAGAAAUGCUUAGCCAAGCAAAAGGAAUACUAUAAGGCGAUGAAUAAUCUUGGUCUUGGUCUUGGUCUUGGGGAUCCAUCUCACACAAAAAAUAAUUUGCAAUGCGCGAAAGUGACUUAAGAUCUAAAUUCUAGAGUAAUUCAGUUGGCUGGAAAUCUUCAAACAAUUAAUGCGGAAACAUAUUUGUCUCAAGUCUGAGAUAUGUAGAAGGCAAUCAUAGGAAACUCGACUACCAUAGACUACCAUAGCCAUAUUUGAAGCACUGCUCAAUUCAACCGAUAGUAAAAUAACCACAUGUGACUUUAAUUGAAGUACUGGUGCUGGAGCUUCAGUGUGGUGGCAGCAAGGAGAUUGGAGAAGAACAGGUGUUGGAGCUUGAAGUUUUGAAGCUUGAAGGUGCCACAAUCCAGCGGCAGCAAAGGAGAUUUCAUCUUGAAGCCGCACGAAAUCUGGCUUGAAGCCUUGAAGCUGUAGCUUGUUGGUAUUUGGUAGAAGCCACAGCGAUUUUGUCUUGUUGGUAGGAGCUGCAGUGGUGGUGGUUUGAUGGAUAAAUUAGGGCUUUGGGCAGCGAUGGAGAAGAAGUGAAAAGUGAGAUUAGCAAAUGACAGAGAGGAGAAGACUAAAGAUGAGAAGAAUCGGAGCUUGUUUGACUUUUUGAGGCAAAAAGUGUUCAAACAUUGCAAUUAAAGACUGCAAUUCUUUGAUAAAUUACAAAUCUACCCCAAAUGUUUUCAUUUACUUGCAAAAUGGAGUCUCGUAUUUCACAAAUUAGCAAAAAAUUGUAGGAUCGAAGUAGGAUCGUAGAAUCGACGAUUCUAUACGAUCCUACAGAUCCUACUCGAUCUUAUGCUGAUUAAUGCAAUUUGUGACUCUGAAUGCGAUCCAGAUCGAUUUUGGUUAUCCGGGGAUCGCGAUUUUGACAACACUGCUUCUACAUUCAUCUAUCUGGGGAAGAUUGGUGCUACCGCGCUAAUGAUAUUAGUGGGAUAUUAAUUGCUCCAUUAUGGGAGUGCUAAAUUAUUUUAUUCUACAGUGGGGAACACCAAUUUGUAUCUAAAACAAGCCGUGUUUGGUUUUAUAAUGGAAGGUUAAGUUCAUGUUAGGAAAUUGGCUUAAUUUCUUUUAGGUAGAAUUCUUGUUUUGUGUAAAAGUAUCUAGUUUUCUAAUUGGUUUUAGUUACUCGAAGUAAUAGUCAAGAAAUAUUCUAUUUAGUUUAGAAUUAGAAAUUAUUUCAUAUUCUGUACAAGUUUAGGAAUUAGAAUUGAUUUUCUAUUAUUAUUUGGAUUUUUAACCAAAUAACGUUUCUUAUAAAUAGGUGGAUUGACAUACUAUACAAGAGACACAAGGGCACACAAGGGCAACAUAUAGCCUUAUACAUGGGGUGGUGAGAGAGGGUUCUUGAAAGAUGAGAGAUGAUAUACAAGGUUGGAAUUGGGUUCAACUUGUAUUCUUGUAUAAGGUUUUCCUCUCAUAAUAAAGAACAGGUUUCUCUCCGUGGACGUAGGCUCAAUGCUGGAGUUGAACCAUGUUAAAUAUUGUGUGUUGUUUAUCUUUCAUACCGUGGCUUGUUCCUCAUUAAAUUGUUGUAUACUUGAUGUCUCAAUAGUUAUUUGCUCAGCGCUUGGAUCCUAACAAGUGGUAUCAGAGUUUCAGGUUGUGAGACUGGGCAAUAAAGCAAAGUUCGUGGUUGGAUCCUAGUUAACUAUUAAGAUCAAGUGGAUUGGUAGCUGUUACUAAUUGAAUAAUUUAAUGAGUGGUAUCCUUGUUUCAAUGACUUGACAAAAAGUAUUGAUGGUGAAGGAUGGGAAGUCGAAAAGCGUGAAGAUACUUGACGGUGAAUCUAGGCAGGUGAUUCAAGGGUCAAGAAAAAGGUGAAGUUCAAUAUUGAUUUUGGACGUGAAUCGGUGGAGACUUUCUUACACCUCCAACGAUUGAUACUUCAUCCCAGUGAAUUUUAGAUUUUGGUUAUGUUAUUUGGGUGGUGUGGCAUGUGUCCCAAAGGAACAAAAAAAAUCUAAUUGUCAUGCGCCAUAAGACUUUGACAGUUAUGAGUUUUUUGUUUUAGGUGGAGUUUUGGAAACCACACAUGGCACGACAGUCCUGAAGAUGGGAAGAAGUAUGGUAAUUUUACCACUUAAUUGCCUCAAUGGUUAAGGUUAGAACUCACAGAAGGAGAUUCCGGAUUGCAAGUGGUGGUGAGAAAAAAUCAUGCAAAGGAAGAUGGUGAAUUGGACACUUUCUCACGAGUCAACUGGAGGUUGGAUUCGGGGUGAUUACAGAUGUUAAUUUGCCGAUUAAAUCAAUUUGGUGUCAGAACUGUAUUGAUUCAAGUGUGUAGUUCGGUACCAUAUUAUUUGGUAGUUGAAAGCAAAUGAUUGUUAAAAGAAAUUUUCGCCAACGUGGAGAUUUGUUAGGAAAUUGGUUUAAUUUCUUUUAAGUAGAAUUCUUGUUUUGUGUAGAAGUAACAAUUUUUUUAAUUGGUUUUAGUUACUUGAAAUAAUAACCAAGAAAUAUUUUAUUUAGUUUAGAAUUAGAAGUUAUUUCCUAUUCUGUACAAGUUUAAGAAUUAAAAUUGGUUUCCUAUUAUUAUUUGGAUUUUUGGCCAAAUAAUGUUCCCUAUAAAUAGGUGGGUUGGCAUACUGCACAAAAGAUAAAAGGGCACACAAGGGCGACAUGUAGCCUUAUACAUGAGGCAGUGAGAGAGGGUUCUUAGGAGAUGAGAAAUGGUAUACAAGAGUUGGGAUUGGGUUCAAGUUGUAUUCUUGCAUAGGAUUUUCCUCUCAUAAUAAAGAACAGGCUUCUCUCCAUGGACGUCGGCUCAAUGGUGGAGUUGAACCACGUUAAAUAUUGUGUGUUGUCUAUCUUUCAUACUUGUAUCUUGUUUACCAUUAAAUUGCUGUGUAGUUGAUAUCUUAAUAGUUGUUUGUUCAGCGCUUGGAUCCUAACAGUUCAUCCAGAAAUUUUAUAUGUAUUGGUUAAUCCAAUUCAAGUGACAUAAUAAGUUUUGCUGUUUUAAUUGAGAAUGGGAAUUAGGUUAGAAUUUCGCAGAAUUCCACACUAAUACGUUCCCAGUUUAAAUGCAAACUUAAAGUUAAUUUAAAUGUUUGAGCAGUAAAUUCUGAAUUUAGUUGUCAGUUCCAAUUCUGAAAUUAGAUCAGUUUGAAUACAAUUUUUAAGUUAAUUUAAAUGUUUGAGCAAUAAAUUCUAAAAUUAAAGCAAGUUAAAUUGGCAGGAAAAACUUCAAAAUGUUUCGGGAAUUCGUACUGGAUGUUCUCCAAUAAGGUUCAAUGACCCUACUAACUCGGACUGGAUUAAUCACAAAUUGGGUCCAACUGGUCAAGGAAUGUGCCCUCUCACUGGGCCUAGUUCGUUGCAGUCAGAAGACUACUCUCUCCCUUUAGGUAAGCUAUCUACAUGUCUUUAUAUAUGUAUAUAUAUAUAUAUAUAUAUAUUCUACUUCUACUCCUACUCCUAUUUUAGCUUAUUUUAGGGAGAGGGGAGGACGACGAAGACUAAAUCAAUGUUGGAUCAGACAGAUACAUUAUGCACCCAUAUGUAUUUAAGAGAAGCCACAUAUAGUGACACAAUAAUGGGAGGUAAGAUUUGAACUCUUGAUCUUUCACACUUCCAAGACUUAAAGUGUUUGAUGAUGGCCAAAAACUUUCUACAUGUCUAACAUGGAAUUUUCUUGACAUGGAGUAGAGUAGACGGUGACGAUUGACAAAAAAAGAAGGGGAAUUUCCUCAACCCACAAAAAAAUUUUUUUAAAAAAAGAAAGGAAGGUGAAAGUUACUUCAAGAACUGAAAUUUUCAAGAAUGCUUACUAGCUUAGGUGCUAGAGCCUCAUCUUUGCCCCCUGCAACAACAAUUCUACAAACAAGCAAUGUUGUUAGGUUGAAAUUUAAAAUUUUGUUUUUAAUAAUUGUUUUUGGUUUUGUUUUUUUACACCUGCCCAUGGCCCUUAGAUAAAUAAAAUUGUUUGGAAUAAUGGGAUUAGAACUGCUUUUAACGCAGGGCUUGUCUAAGUUGUGGUUGGAACUUGGAAGCUUGCAACUAGGAAUAUUAAAAAAGAAGCAUAUUAAUUCUAGCACUAAUUAACAGUUACCAUUUGUUCGAAGGCUUCGGACAAGCAGGAUCGCACAUCAUGAUAAAGCUAGCUAUAUAUAAGAACUUGUCUUUAACACUAAUUAAUCCCAGUUAAUUAAUGAUGAUCAAGAUUAGAUGGGCUUUCUCUUCCUGUUAGAGUAGGGCAAUAUUAGUGGUAUUGUUUGUUUAACUUUUUUUUUAAAUUUUUAAAAGGUAGUUUACAAUGUAAGUAACAAUUGUAUGAUGCUCUUUGUUUUAUGUAUAAUCCAAUUCAGUCAAUUUUCUUGCAGAAUUUUAACUGUUAGAGUUGAUUUUGCUUAGGUUAAAUCGCAGGGUGACGUCCAAAAGACGGACCGCGGGACUUAUCCCUGGGAGCUUGCGGCUAUUCUUGGAAGGUGUAUUUUGAAGUCACGUGGGAUUAGGAGACAUCUUGAGAGACCUCUUUGGCAACAAAGCAAGGAGAAAAAAAAAUAAGGAAAGGGAUUCCUUAUAGAAACAAGCACUUUGUUAGCUAAAGAGAAGGCGGCGGCAAAGCUUUAAAUAGGACAGUAAUAGACUAGGAGUUGGUAUCUUUGACCUUGGAUGUUUAGUCUUUCUCUUCUUCUUCUUAACAUGAGUUAGAGAUUCGUGGUUUUUACUUUAUCAACUAAAUUCCAUAAAAUGCUUUCAAUUGCAUCAACGUUAUGCGGCAAGGCUAGAUUCUUUGUCUAGUUGAGGAAUAAUCAAGACCCGGUGCACGGACAAUUGUUAGAUCUUUUUAAUUGUUCUACGCUAAUUCAAAUUCUGCGUUAGUGGGUAUUUAAUUAUUCUUUGUUUUAAUAGCCUAUUCUUGUUUGGAUUUAUUGGAUCAAUGUGAUCAGUUGUUCAAUUGUCUGAAUAAUAAACUGCCAAUUAGGAUGAGGGUGCAUAUCACUUGAUUGUCUUAAAAUUAGUGACAAACGGCACAAUUUCAUUGCCUCGCAAGCAAUCUAAUCUGUGUCGUAGGAAUAGUUAAUCUAGUUUAAAUGAACCCGUAUGUGUGUUUGUUAACUAGAAUUGGGUCUCUCUAAUUCCUAACCUGUGAAUAGAUUAAAUCCUUCGAGCGUCUCUGGAGUUAUUUAUUUUACAAGGGGGUGGUUUAAGAGCGUCUCUGGACCACCAUAUAAUUAAGGAGAGAUUGGUAGUUUGGCGGUUGCUGAAUUACUAGAACCAAUUUACUUACGAACGUGUGAAUUAAUUCAGGUAUCUAUAAUCAAUUAUGUGGGCCAAUGCCGAGAUUAUUUCCUUGACUAGGUUGUGUCAAUUAAUUGUUUAUUAUAUUCUUUAGAUAUUGGACUUUCUUGCGAUUGGAAAUUCAGUACUCUUACCUCUUUAUUUGUUCUUUUUGUCUUCCUUUCUAAACCCCGCCCCCCACAUUCUCUGUGUGUGAUAAAUCUACCAGUUCCUUGAGAAGACGACCCUACUCACCACUAUACUCGUUUAGUUUUGGGAGUAGGUUUUGAUAUAAAUUUUAUUUUUGGUAGUUUGACAGCCACCAUGAACCAUCCCUGUUAGAUCCUCUUCCAGCCUCAUCAAAUUAGCAUGUAUAACCUCAGACACAGCAUCUGGCCAUGAUGCAUUCAUCCAAUCCUUCAAGCUCACAUCUCCUGAUAACAUUUCAUUAGUUGGCUUCCUUCUUGUGAAAGUUUCCAUCAACAUGAUUUCAAAACUGUAGAUAUGACACUUCUUGGAUAUCAAACCUUCUGAUCCAUACUUUGCACCAAGUGAAACAGCUUAUCAGAAAGAUUACAAUUAUGUUGAGGGAUAUGAAACAAAAUUAGAAGCAACUAUUAUCACCUGGUGCCAUGUAUCCUAGUGUUGCUAGUGUCUGAGUUUGGGCCAUGCUCUCUCCCAUCCCUAAUAAUUUUGCAGUGCCAAAAUCACCCACAUGUGCUACCAUAUUUUUGUCAAGUAAAACAUUGCUUGGUUUCAGAUCACAGUGAAGCACAGGGAUUGAAUAACCAUCGUGCAGAUAGUCUAAUAGUGAUGCCACAUCAAUCAUUAUGUCUAGUCUUUGCAAAAAAUCCAUGUACAAAUCCUGAUAGUACAACCACUUUUCAAGACUUCCAUUAGACAUAUAUUCAAGAAUUAAAGCUUUGAAGUCAAGGCUGGAACAGCUGCUGAUGACUUUGGUUAGAUUUCUGUGACGAAGGUUACAUAGUACUUCACAUUCUAUGUCAAAACUUCUAAAUGCACCUUCUGUUUGUAAGUUGAACACCUUCACAGCUACAUUUGAUCCAUUGAUUAAUGUCUUGUAAACAGAACCAUAGGCUCCCAUAAAAUUCAUUGAAAUUGGUGCACACUGAUGUUUGCUAUAUGAAAGAUAAGUCUCUUGGUGGUGCUGUUUAUUUUGUAACUUUUAUUGAUGACUUUGCUAGAAAGGUUUGGUGUUUUGCUUUGAAAUCCAAAGAUCAGCUUUUGGAUGUAUUUAUGGAUUUUCACAGCAAAGUUGAAAGAGAAACUGAUAAACAGUUAAAGUGUGUACGUGCUGAUAAUAGUAGUGAGUAUAGAGGACCAUUUGAAAUUUAUUGUAAGUCCCGUGGGAUCAGAUUGGAGAAGACUAUGCCAAAAACUCCUCAAGAGAAUAGAGUAGCAGAGAGAAUGCAUAGAUUCAUCACUGAACGGGUCAGAUGUAUGCUCUCCAAUACUAAGUUGCCAAAAUCCUUUUGGGGGUGAAACAAUGAGGACUGCGGUCAAUUUGAUUAAUCUUUCUCCAUCAGUUUCUCUAGAUGGUGAUAUCCCAAAGAGAGUAUGGACGGGAAAAAAUAUAUCUUUUGAGCACUUGAGAGUUUUUGGUUAUCGGGCAUUUGUUCAUAUCCCCAAAGAUGAAAGGUCAAAACUUGAUGUAAAAUCAAAAUAGUGUAUUUUCUUGGGUUAUGGACAUGAAGAUUUUGGUUAUAUAUUGUAUGAUCAUAUUGAGAAGAAGGUGAUCAGGAGCAGAGAUGUUGUUUUUUUUGAAAAUCAAACCAUUGAAAACAUUGAUAAAGGUGAUAACUCAAAAUCCUCAGAUGACAUUCCUACUAGCUCAAAUUCAGAUCCAGAUCCAAUUCUAUUACCUGUUGAUUCUAAUCAAGGGGGAGCUGAGAUAGAGUAGAGAGAAGAUGUUUAUGAUGGUGAUAAUCCUACUGCUGAUGAACCUGAGUAUGAGGCAUCACCUACUCCACCACCACCACCACAAGAUGAGCUUAAGAGAUCUACCAGAGAAAGGAGACAUUCUAACAGAUAUAAUCCUCAUGAAUAUGUGUUAUUGACAGAUGGAGGAGAGCCAGAGUCCUAUGAUGAGGCUCUAGAGCAUGAGAAUAAAGAAGAUUGGUUGCAAGCCAUGCAAGAGGAGAUGGUGUCCCUGCAUGAGAAUCACACUUAUGAGCUAGUGAAACUGCCUAAGGGUAAGAGAGAUUUGAAAAACAAAUGGGUCUACAAGUUGAAGAUUCAGGAGCACAGCCCACAAGUAAAGUACAAAGCAAGAUUGAUUGUGAAGGGAUUUAGUCAAAAGAAGGGCGUAAACUUUGAAGAAAUUUUUUCUCCUGUGAUAAAAAUAUCAUCAAUUCGAGUUAUUCUUGGUAUUGUAGCCAGUUUGAAUUUGGAGAUCGAACAACUUGAUGUGAAGAUAGCCUUCCUGCAUGGUAACUUGGAAAAGGAGAUCCACAUGGAACAAUCGGAGGGGUUCAAAGAAAGUGGUAAGGAAAAUCUUGUAUGUCGUCUCAAGAAGAGUUUGUAUGGGUUGAAACAGGCACCGAGAUAGUGGUAUAAGAAGUUUGACUCAUUCAUGACAGACCAUGAGUACCAUAGGACUACAUCUGAUCACUGUGUUUACGUGAAAAUUUUUUCAGAUGGUGAUUUUAUUAUUCUCUUGUUAUAUGUUGAUGACAUGUUGAUUGUUGGUCGUGAUACUGUGAAAAUUGAUAGGUUAAAAAGAGAGUUAAGUAAAUUUUUGUAAUAAAGGAUUUGGGUCCGGCUAGACAAAUAUUGGAAUUGAAAAUCUCACGAGACAGGCAAAAUGGAAAGUUUUGAUUGUCUCAAGAAAAAUACAUUGAGAAAGUGCUCAACAUGUUUAACAUGAGCAAUCUAAGGAAAUCUCAGCUCCACUUGCAGGUCACUUCAAACUGACUAUCAAACAGUGUCCUACAAGUGAGAAAGAUAAAAAAGACAUGAAAAAGAUUCCUUAUGCUUCGGCUGUUGGUAGUUUGAUGUAUGCUAUGGUUUGCACCAGGCCAGAUAUUGCUCAUGCAAUUGGAGUAGUCAGUCGGUAUCUCUCUAAUCCUGGUAAGGAGCAUAGGAAUGAUGUCAAAUGGAUUCUCAUGUAUCUCAAGGGAACUCCUAGAUUGGUCUAUGUUUCAGCAAUGGUAAAAUUAUGAUAGAUGGAUACACUGAUACAGAUAUGGCAGGUGAUCUUGAUAAUAGGAAGUCCACAUCUAGGUACUUGAUGAUUUUUACAGGGGAAGCAGUGUCAUGGCAAAGUAAGUUACAGAAGUGUACCGUUCUUUCUAGUACGGAGGCUGAGUACAUCGCAACCACUGAAACAUGCAAAGAGACUCUUUGGUUGCAGAAAUUCCUUCAAGAGUUGGGUAUGAAACAAGAGAAAUAUAGUCUCUAUUGUGAUAGUGAGAGUGCUAUUCAUUUGUGUAAGAACUCAACAUUUCACUCUCGGUCCAAACACAUUGAUGUGAGGUAUCAUUGGAUUCGGGAAAUUCUGGAUUUCAAGUUGUUAACACUUGAGAAGGUACAUACAAAUAAUAAUAGUGCUGACAUGUUGACCAAAGCAUUGCCUAAAGAGAAACUCUUAUUUUGCAGACAAGAAACAGGUCUUGUAGAGGCCCCCAAAUGAGUUGGAGGGGGAGAUUGUUGGACUUGUAUGUGGGCCAGCCCAUUUGUGCAAGUAAAUAAAGCUUGAGGCUUUCUCAAGCUUAAAUACAUAGAGCAGCCGCAUGAGGAGUUUUUUUUCUUCGAUCCUUGCAUGCGAGAAAAAGUCAGCCGCCAUCUCUUUGCUAGUUGAGAGAGAAAAUGAAGAGAGAGAAAAAGCUAGAGAGAGAGACUUCAAAGUCUUGAUUGGAGCGUGAUUCGGAACCUGAUUGAGACGAAAUUUUACCCAUGUGAUCCUCUCGUCAGGCUCUACUCAUCUACCGGUUCAGAUUUCAUAUUUUCUCUUCGUUUGGUAACACCUUUCCAAACUCACUUCUUUGACAGUUGUAGUUUUUGGGGGUGAUUUUGUAGGAAUUUUGCUUAGUUGGUAUUGGUGAUAUUAUUGUUAUUCGAAUAUUUCGGGUAGACUUGUGUAUUCUCAUUAUUGUGCUAGUGGAGACUUUUGACUGGACUAGGUCCCGUGGUUUUUUCCAAUUUGGGUUUUCCGCGUAAAAAUCUUGGUGUCCUGUGCCUUUUAUUUUUCUUUCAUUUUGUUAUCAAUGUUGGUAUUAUUACUUGGUGAUUUGGUUUAUUCCUAUUUUAACUGGUACUUGGGGAAAGAGAAAUUUGUCCUAAACUAACUCUGAUAUUGUGUGCCUGUACCGGUACCCCUUUCCUAACACCUUCGAUAUUUCCAGUGAAGAAUUCGAGAAGUUGCCCCAUUAAUGGGGAAGGUAUUUUUUUCAGCAAAAUUGUUGCCUUUCUUGACUCUAUUGUUAUAUUUCAAGUGAAAGAUAUCAUGUCAAUUUAUGGAUCAUGGAUGAAUUAAUAUGAAGUGGAUAGAACUUGGACUAAGUUAAAAUCUCAUUUGAAAUUCCCGACAUUUGGUGUUGAACAUCGAUCAUAUAUAUGCUCAAACCAAAGCAGGCAACUGCUUUUGCAGAUUGAUGGAGCAGAAAAGCUUGUGCUCUAUGAUCCUGGAAUUGGAUACAUUAGAGACGUAGCCACUGCACAUGGUGCAGCUAGUUUCAUUAGAAGCCUUCUUGCAUGUCUUCAUGUUCCAAUUUCCAACUUGUGUAGCACUAGUUUUACCUCUUCUGGUUGCCAAUUCUCUGUUCUUAACCAAAAGCUCAUUUCUCCAAUUUCUUAUUCAAACUUAAUUUCAAUUGAAGAUGUCCAUUUGUUGUGAGUGCAAUCAUCCUAAUCCAGAACCCUCUAUCAGUUAGAAGUUCAAGUUGCAAGCCAUUUCACUUUAUCCAUUUGCCAUCCUGCAUAGGAAUUAAAUUCAUGCUGAGUAAGUUCAUACUUUUUUUUUUAUAUAGGAAAGAUCAUUUUAUUCAAAUAAAUCUGCACUAAUGGAAACAAAAUACAUCAAACAAACAUGAAACGUAGACGUAUGGAUCUGAAAUCAAUAGAUAUAACUGAUCUAAAAAAAAUACAAAUAAAGAUAACAUUGAUACUCCUAUAUAUCUUCGAUCCGGAUGAAUCACUAUAGCCCAAUACAUCAAUACAUGUCUGCUGACAAUCAAAUCUAAUUAAAAUUGGUUUAAGUCCAAAGUAAGUCCAUACUUUAAAUACAUAACCGAGACUUAAACUCUUUUUUUUUUUGGCAAAGAACAUCACAUUCAUUCAUUGUCGCCAACUCAUUUUUAGAUAACAAACAAAUUGAAAAAAGACAAGGAAAGAGGCUAAAACUAACUUGAAGAAAUUAAAGGAAGCAAAGUUGCAUGUUCAAUUAGUGGGAUACAGAAAAGCAAAGGAUGAAGGAAAGCAAAUGCAUAAAUCACUUGUACACAGCCUAAUUUUACAUAAUAGACAGUCUGUCUAUGAACAUGACAUUUGGGAUAUUGUUACUAGUUUUUCCGUAUAAUGUUUUUGUGUGUGUAUAACACAAGAAUAGCACAUUACGGUGCCAUUGUAAUUAAAUGAAUGGUGUCCAAAUCAAGACGAUCGGGUGGUCAAAUUUUUUGUCCAUUAAUUUGCUGUUUGACUUGAAAUUUUUUUCUUUUGAAUAUCAACGAUUUUAAUAGUUAAGUACCCACAACUUUAGAAUAGUAGUUGUUGAGUUGCCUUCUAAGCCCUAUAUAUAUGAAGUCUAUUAUUGCUAUGGAAGUAUAAUAGUUGUUGCUAGCUAGUAUGUAAUUAGUUUCCCAUUGUUUUGUACAUCCACAUGUCACGUUUGCAAGAAGAUAGAGUGCAAUAUAUUUGACAUUUAUGACGGAUUAUCAAUCAAUCAAAAUAAAAUACCUACUCUACAAUAAAUGAAAUUACAAGACAGUGGUGAACAAGAUUGCAUCCAUGAGGAUUGGAAUGAUUUAUUUCUUGGAAUAAUUUCAUAAACCUAUCCUGAGGUUUUUAACUAUUUUGCUUAGUUCCCUUGACGUUUUAAAAAUUAUACUUACCUCCAUCGAUUUGACAUAUUGGUAACCAAAACUUAAAAUAGAGUAAAAAAUUUAAUGAAUAUCCUAAAAUGCCAUUAUCUUAUAAAGUUUAAUUUGUUCUUCUAAACAAUUAUAACGUAAUUUAGUACAAUUAUAAAAAAAAGUGUCAAGUUUUUUAUACCAAUAUUUAUUAUUUAAUAAUCAACUAUAACAGUAAUCUUUUUUCUAUUAUAGGCUAUUUUUCGUAGUGAUUUAUUGGAGGAUAUAGAUUCUUUUUAAGAUAGAGAAAAAGUGUUAUCUUUAUUUUUUAAAAGUUUAUGGACUACUUUUUUUAAAUAAAAGUUUAUGGACUAACUUAGUGAUAGAACUACCCUAGUUUGGUAGUGAUUUUGGGCUAUUUAUUUUUAAUUAUUGUUGAUUCAUUCUUGAUUUUGAUACAAAGAAAAGGGUUACAAAAAAAUUGGAUGAUGUUGAAAAUUAUCAAAAAAAAUUAUAAAAUCCAUCCUUUGCAUAAACAUGGCAACAAGAGAGUUUUAUUAAAAUAUUAAAGUUAGUAUUAUCAUUUUAAAUGGACAAGGGAGGUAGGUGUAAUUUUUAAAAUCUUAGGGGAGCCAACAGUAAUUAUUAGAAACUUUAGGGGAGGUUUCUAAAGUUAUCCCUUAUUUCUUUCAAAGCAAUGAAUAUAAAGGGAAGAUUUUGGAUAUUAAACCAACUAAUUAAUUUAAACACAAAAUAACAUACAAAAUUUAAGUAAAUUUUAAUGAAUAAUAAUGGAACUCUAGCCAAAGAAAUAACUUCUGAAAUGAUUCAUAAAACUAAUCAAAAAUAAAUUCAAACAUUCAUUAAUAAACUGGUUAUAAUUGUCAAUGAAUUCUGACAACCAACUUUUCUUUACUUUUUUUAUAGUUAAAGUACGACCAUUAACUACUUUCCUAAUUAAAAAGAUAAUCUUAGGUACAACCGACCAUAGGAUUUAAUCUUAUAAUUGCAUUCGAAAAAACUUAAUUCUACCUAGAGGUGUCAAAAUGGGUGACUUGGACGGGUUUGGAUUGGGUAAAAUGAGUAAUGGGUAUAAGUAAGUUAACCCAUUUAUAUCCAUUUAAUUAGAUGGGUAUAAAUGGGUAACUCAAAAAAUGAAUUGGGUAACCCAAUUACCCAUUUAUAACCCAUUUAUUUUAACCUUUUGUAAACUCAUUUAAAUUUAUUUUUGCAAAAUAAGUUAUCAAUUUAUACCGCUAUUUGCACCCAUCAUUAGUUUUAAAUAUUUACUUAUAAUGUUCAAUAAGCCUAAUUACCAAUUUUUGUCCCAUUCAUACUCUAUGUCACAAAAUUACAUAUUAUUUAAUAAUUGAAAAAUAAGAAUAUAAAAAUUUGAACUAAGUACUAUAAAAGUUAAUAUAAAAACUUAAUCCAAAAAUUUUGAACCCCUAACAUUUUUGUCAUAUAUAAAUUUAAAAUUUCAUUUUGAAAAGAUAAGAAAAGAGACUAAAACUUAUCAUAAAUUGGUAAUAUUGAAAAAUGAGCAAGUUAAUAAAUUAAGAGAAAAUAAAAUGAUAAGAUAAAACUAAUAAAUAAUAAUAAUAAUGAAACAAAAGUAGUUAAUAUCAUGACAAAAUGAAAAAUUUGAAAAAAAAAGGGGGUGGGGGAAGAGAGGAGACUUGGGGAAAGAAAAUUUUAAAUGGGUUAAUUGGGUUUGAUGGGUUAUCCAAUAAUACCCAUUUAAUGGGUAUUAUUGGAUAACUCAUUUAUACCCAUAUACAAAAAUUUAAGAUACCCAUACCCAUCUAUUCAUGGACGGAUAUAGGUAAAUUUAGUUAAAUGGGUUGGUUUGCCACCUAUAGAGCUCUCAUUGAAUGGUCAAGGGAUCGAAUCCUAUGAUUUGCAUUCAUCUUUAGAAUUUUCUAAAAGUUUCGCAAGCACAAAGUUUCCAGUAGAGACAGAUAUUGAAACUGCUAAGAUAGGAUAGGAUAGUUCCUAUGUCUAUUAAAAUGUUAGAUGUUCUUUCUUAGAGGACCUGCCAAAAGGAAUCAACAGUUGUGUAUACGCCCUUUCUCAGCUUUGUAGGGCAAUGGAACAAAAGGAAAGCAAAGCAAUAGAACAAAAAUAAAAUGUACAAUAUAACCUUAUAUUGGGAAAAAUUGCAAAAGUUUUAGGUAAUCACAAAUCUAACGGUAAAUUGGACAAUGUUCACCUAGGUUUCAUCAGCUGCAGAUACAAAGGAAUCCUUUAGAUGCUUCCAUAUGUCUUCAAGUCUAAGUGUGUAAUUCUUUGAAAGAACGGAAAAUACAUCUGUAGACUUCACAAAUGGAGUUCAUAUGCUGAGCAUCCGCAAUGAAUUGAAUCUUCCACUAAGGGCUAAUCUAAACUCAAAGGACAAGCUGAAUGCAUUACUUCAUCGAUCUGAGCAAUAAAAAUUAAACAUUAGACAUGUACAAACUUUUUGGGAGUGCUAGUUUAGCAGAUGGUCAAGAAAACAAAACACGUAUUGCUGGCUUUUUCAGACAGGAAAAAACUGCAGAUGUCUCCAUAACCAGGACAUUUGAAAAACAGAAUUCUAGUGUCACCUGCGGGAGGGGGGUAGCGAUUCUAGAAGAGCAGAAGUUACAUGAUGACGCACUACCAGCUACCGGCAACUUUCUGAGGUGUAAGCAGAGGACUUGUUAAAGCUCAUCAGUUCUGUCUUUCCUGCUUUCUGCUCGUUGACAUUUUUCACUAGCUGGCAGCUAAUCUACUAACCCGAAGUUAAGAAGUUCUUCUCUUCGUCUUUGAUCAGCAACAAAGACAUAUAGGACCUGGAUACGUUUGAAGUAUUAUAAGAGCUAAUCAACAAGUACAGAACCGUUUCCAGGAUGAUUUCACUAUGGCUGCUUAAAUAACGGCACAGAAAUUAUAUGGAACUUUUCUUUUCUUAAGAUGUGAAACCCAAGAUUCUGAUAUAAGAUUGGGCAUCAUAAAGAAAAUGACCACCAUCUUCAUCUCUCUAUCUCACAGUUUCACAUGCACGCUGCAAGCUGCCCAACCGUGAAAAUCUUGAUUUUCCAACCUUGAAAAUCUUGAUUUUAUAUGAGACUGACUGUGAUUCCCAAGAUUCAAAGACACUUGCUCAAGAUGUAACUUUGGCAACCAAAAGGGAAUUCAAAUCUGAACUAAUGUGUAGGAAAUCCAUUUAUCAAGGUUUUUUUUUUUUUGCUCAUUUCCUCCACCUCCAUAAACUUUCAGCAGCUUUUCACUGAUUGACUAGAUGGACAAUCUAGAAUCAUAAAUUAUUUCAAAGAAAAAGUUCGGAUAGAUUCUCUCAAAGAUACACAACAAGAGUAGUUAUUCAAACCAUAUGAAGUGGGUGAACUUCAAGAAAUGAAGAAAACAUUCUAAUCACAACAUUUGAAAAUUUUUUACUUUGGCUUAUUUAUGCACAUCAAAAUGUCAGAACCAGAUGGCUAAUGGUCAAGUCUAAAGCACCAGUAGGGUACAAAGUUUUCAACAAUCUACAAAAACAUUGCGUAACAAAAUCUGCCCAAAAGCUGAGAUAAGCGGGAACAAGCUCAUCUAUUAAACAUAGAAGACAAAACUUAAGCUAAGAUCCAAUCGCAAAAUUUGACGUCAUUGGGACCUCAAGAUGACGGACAAGCAUGUCGCUCUCUCAUGUUGAAUUUGCAGAGGGCCGUUUACACUGAUUGUGAUCAGAACUACAAGAGAACUGAAGCAAGAAAAGAAAAUCGGGAAAAUAUAGGGAAGCCGAAACUUUACAAAUAGCAGAUCCCAAACCUUACCAAGUUGAAUCACAACUUUGGUGUGUUUCUGCAUAUAUUUAUACAUAAGUGCUUGUGCAGAAGUAUCAUACAAGAUCUGCCACGGCACAAAAAGUAUGUCUCAGUACACAAUUGUAAACUCAGCCAGACAUUGAACGAAAAAAACGUUUUAGGAACAGAGUCUGAUACGAAAAAACAAAAUGUUGACUUCUGAACAAAAAGAAAAACUGAAUUGUUCUGUCAUAUCUUUUGUUCUAGACUCUGUACAACAUCUAUACAAAUAGAAUUUGACUUUUGUCAAUUCCAUGAAAUCUGUAAUUUCCUAAAAAUUAGGAGCUAAUUUAUUCUAUCCUAAAAUACAUUAGGAGUAAAUUAUUCUAUCCUAAAAUAGAGCAGAAAUCAUGGGAUAUACAUAGAAAAAGAUAUUCUAGAUUUCAACACUCCCCCUCAAGAUGGUGAAUAGAUAUUUUCCAUUCCCAUCUUGCAUGUAAUGUCUUCAAAGUUGGAAGUUGGCAUUCCCUUAGUUAAGACAUCUGCCAAUUGAUUAUUUGAUGCUACAUAUGGAGUGCAAAUCAUGCCACUGUCCAGCUUUUCUUUAAUAAAAUGUCUAUCAACUUCGAUGUGCUUUGUGCGAUCAUGUUGCACUGGAUUGUGUGCAAUGUUGAUGGCAGACUUGUUGUCGCAAUAGAGUUUCAUAGGUCCUUCGCUCUUGAUUUUAAGAUCAUCAAGUAUUAUUUUGAGCCAUAGCAAUUCACAAACUCCAUGAGCCAUAGCUCUAAACUCUGCUUCAGCACUUGAUCUUGCAACAACCGAUUGCUUCUUACUCCUCCAUGUCACUAGGUUCCCACCAAGAAAUGUACAAUAUCCUGAAGUUGAUCUACGAUCUACAACAGAACCUGCAUAAUCAGCAUCAGUAUAUGUCUCUAUGAGCAAUCCUUCAUUUUUCUUGAACAAAAUUCCUCUACCCGGUGUCCCUUUGAGGUAUGAUAGAAUUCUAUUGACAGCCUGCAAGUGUUUCUCUCUUGGAUCAUGCAUAAAUUGGCUUACUACACUUACAGCAAAUGCUAUGUCCAGCCUUGUAUGGGACAAGUAUAUCAGUUUCCCAACCAACCGCUGAUAUCUUCCCUUAUCUAUUGUGCUAUCAUCCUUCUCUUCAUUCAAUCUCAGGUUAGGCUCAAUGGGUGUGCUUGCUGCCUUGCAUCCAAGAUUGCCUGUUUCUUUAAGCAAGCCUAAGGCAUACUUUUGUUGGGAAACAAAGAUGCCUUUACUUGAGUAUGCUGUUAUUCUUGAUUUUGAUGAUCACAAAAGCACUUUGAAAUAUUUAUCUAAUUCUCUCCAAACAUAAAAGUUUUGCUUUUUAGAGAAUCAGGUACAAAGGAAUCAAGGAUAGAAAAUCAACCAAAAGAAGAAGCAAAAACAGGGUACUUAUACCGGACGUCCAAAAGGAAUCUGUUGGACGUCCGAAAGGAUGAAGAACAUCAAGAAGAAACUCUGUCGGACGCUUGUAAGGAAGCAUCGGACGUCCAAAAGGAUCGGACGCAUGCUUCGAAAGCACAUUGAUCUCAUCGGAUGUCCUAAAAAUUCCAUAAAGUGUUGAUGACUCUCUGUCGACGAUCGGACGCUGAUGCUGUCGGACGAUAAUAUCCCAUAGGACGUCCGAACGACAACUUGGCUGAUUUUCGGACGAUGGAAUCGGACGAUGAUUAAUCUUUCGGACGUCCGACGGGUCCAACGGCUAGCUGACUCUUCAUCUGCCUACUAUCCGUUAGAAGCAUUAUUGAAGCCAAUUUUUGGUUCCCUUUAAAUACAAACGUUUCUGAACUAGUGAGAGACUUUUGCACACUUUGUUUACAAGAUCUCAAGAGAUAUUUUAGUUAGAAAAUAGUCUCCCAAGCAAGAUUUGUUCUCCAAGUGGUGUAAAUUUCUUGUAAGCACUUCUCUUGUGUUUGAAAUUUUCAAUAGUGUAGCUUUGCUGAGGGUUAUCUGAGUGAUAGUAAAACUUCCUAACUUGACUAAGUGAGGCUUGGGGCAAGGAGACAGUGAUCCCUCCAUUGUACAUUAAGUUGAUUUUAUUCUUCAAAGAGAAGAUGCUCAUCUUUGUGAUUGGUCUUCAAGUUUGAGGAAAGCUUGGUAGACAAUUGGUUUGAUACUCUAUCUUAUUCUUUUUGUUUAAUAAAAUUCUCAUUACUUAUAACAUUGUUCUCUUCUUUAAAUUUACUUGGUUGAUCACUACUAGAAAAGAAGGUAAGUUUUUAUUAAAGAAAAAGUGCAUAAACUAAAUUAAGGUUUUAUAAUCAACCUAAUUCACCCCCCUCUUAGGUUGUCUUUGGGUCUUACAAUUGGUAUCAGAGCUUGGUCUUCUAGAGAUUAAGCUCAAUCGGCUUGGAGUAAAGAUGACAACCAAUCAUGCCAUGUUUGUUGAGGGGCAAUCUGUCACUAGACCUCCCAUGUUUACUGGUUCCAAUUAUGUUAGUCGGAAAGAAAGAAUGAUUAUCUUUUUGUAAUCCAUUGAUAUUGAGCUAUGGUUUAUUGUAAAUGAAGGACCGCAUGAUGCUAACAUUCUUGAUGCAGAUACAGGUUUGUUUCGGCCAAAAACAAGAGUUGAAAUGAAUGCUCAAGAUAGAAUCAAUCUCACAUUAAAUGCCAAAAUCAUGAAUGUUCUUUAUAGUGCCUUAGAUUCAAAUGAAUCAAUUAGAGUAAAAGAAUGUAAAUCUGUCAAGGAAAUGUGGGAUAAACUAAGAGAAAUUCAUGAGAGUAGUGACAACGUGAGAGAACAGAAAAAGUCUAUCUUGGUCACUAAGUAUGAAUCAUUUAGAAUAGAACCUCUUGAGGAUAUUGACAAAAUGUACUGCAGGUUCAAUGACUUGAUCAAAGAUCUCGAGGCGUUGGGCAAAGAGUACACCUUGGAUGAGAAAAACAGGAAAAUUCUCAAUGCAUUGGGCAAAGAAUGGGAAAGUAAAGUGACUGCAAUAGAGGAUACUAAGGAUUUGAAUUCUAUACCUAUUGAAUCUCUCAUUAACUCACUAACCUCCUAUGAGUUGAAGUUGAAAACUAAAGUGCAGGAGGAAGAGGACACGAGAGCAAAGAGAAACAUAGCUCUAAAGGCAGUUCAAGGUGAAGAUGAUCCAGUUCAAUUGAAUGACGAUGACUCGGAUGGUGAUGACAAUGAUCUUGCUCUCAUCACAAAAGGUUUCAAGAGAAUCUUGAAUAAAAAAAAGUUUAGAAGGGGAGGACCUAGCAAUCAAUUCCAGAAUCAGCCUUCAAACGCAAGGUAUAAAGGAAAACAAGAAUUCAACAAGAAACAAUUGGACAAAUGCUACGAAUGUGGACAGCCUGGACACUACGCAAACGAAUGCUCCCUAAAGAAAAAGAAAGAUGGAAAAGCUGAUCGAAAACCAAGGUUCAACAACUUCCAGAUUACAUGGAAUGAAUGUAACUCUGAAGGCAAAGUUGAAGAAGAAGAAGAAUCAGCUCAAAUGGCCUUCAUAGCUAUCGGGGAUAAUGAAGUAACUUCCAUUCACUCUCAAUCUGAAAGUGAAGAUAAAGAUGAUGAUGAUCUUGAAUCCUUUGUUAAAAAAUUACAUAAUGCCUUGAAGGAAUCUUAUGAUAAAAACAAGCAGCUAAAACAGAAAAUUAUUUUUCUCAUUCAAGAAAAUGCAAGAUUUUUUCACCAAAAUAAACAACUAAAGGCUGACAAUGAGUGCCUUGUAAGAGCCGGUUGUGAUGUUUAAAAUGAACUUGAUAGAAAGACAAAUGUUUGUGAAAUACUAAAGAAAAGAAAUUAUGAUUUGAAUAAAAGGAUGGACUAUUUGGAUGAGAUUUUAAAAGCUAGAAAGCAAGAUUAUCUCAAAAAGAACAUGUCAUCCACCUUUCUUACUGCUCAUGGAAGAACAUUUGCUCACAACAAAAAUGCACAUGGUUUCACAACAUAUAGAAGGAAUGGAUUGAGAUUUAUCAAACCAUUACAUGCUAAAGACUCUUCCAUCUUGUGUAGUUUUUGUUAUCAAAGAAGGCAUUUGAAAGGAGAUUGUUAUGUUAAAAGAAAUCUGAACAAAGGAGGGAAAUGCAUGUGGGUAGUUAGGCACAAUGCUAACUAUUGAGGACCCAAAAGUUAAAGGGUACCAAACACUCUCUCUUUUCAGAAAAAAGGCUCAAACACGUCAAAAUGGUUCAUUGAUAGUGGUUGUUCAAGGCAUAUGACUGGUGAUCCUUCGUUGUUCAUAAAGCUAAAAUCAAAAUCAAGUAGAAAGGUGACAUUUGGUGAUGACGUGAAAGCUAAGACAAUUGGAAUAGGUAAUGUUUGUAAGGAUGGUGAAACUUUUGUUCAUAAUGUGCUCUUAGUUGAUAACUUAGGUUAUAAUUUGUUUAGUGUUAGUCAAUUAUGUGAUAAAGACUUGUAUGUGUUGUUCAAAAAACAUGAAUGCAUUGUACUUGACUCUAAAUAUAAUAUUGUGUUCAAAGGUAAGAGGUUUAACGAUAUUUAUAUUGUUGUUCUUGAUAAACUUGAUUCGUCUAGUUUCAAAUGUCUUAAAGUUUCAAAUGAAGAUCCUUGGUUGUGGCAUAGGAGACUUUGUCAUUUUAACAUGGAUUUACUAAAGGAAAUUUCGAAAAAGGAGUUGGUUAGAGGCUUGCCAAAAAUCAGUUUUGAAAAGGACAAAAUUUGUUAUGCAUGUCAAUUUGGGAAGCAAACAAAAAUUUUCUUUAAACUAAAGAAGUGUGUAUCAACUUCUAAACCUUUGGAACUCUUGCAUCUUGAUUUAUUUGGUCCCACUCAAAUCACUAGCUUGGGAGGUAAGAAAUAUUGUUUUGUAAUUGUUGAUGAUUAUUCUAGAUAUACUUGGGUGAUAUUCCUUACUCAUAAAGAUGAUGCCUUCAAGAAUUUUACUUCAUUGUUUGCUAAAGUGCAAAAUCUGCUUGGUUUAAAAAUGGUUAGGAUUAGAAGUGAUAAUGGGACGGAAUUCAAGUUUUGUGAUUUUCUAAAAUUUUGUGAUCAUAAUGGUAUAACACAUGAGUUUUCUAUUGCAAGGACUCCACAGCAAAAUGGUGUUGUAGAAAGGAAAAACAGGACACUCCAAGAGGCUGCUAGAACUAUAUUGAAUGAAUGUAGUUUGCCAAAAUAUCUUUGGGUUGAAGCGGUAAACACCGCAUGUUAUGUAAUGAAUAGAAUCCUCUUGAGAGCUAUUUUGAAUAAAACAUCUUAUGAACUGAUUUUUGAUAAGAAACCUACGGUUGAAUAUUUCAAAGUUUUUGGUUGUAAAUGUUUUAUUUUGAAUUUAAAGGAACAUUUUGGUAAGUUUGAUAAAAAAAUCUGAUGAAGGAAUAUUUUUGGGGUAUUGUGAGAACAAAAGAGGAUAUAGAGUCUUUAAUAGAAGAACUCUUGUGAUAGAAGAAGCUAUUCACAUGACAUUUGAUGAAACUAAUGAUGAUAAUUCCAAAAGUUCGGGUGAGGAUGAUGAUAUAGGUAUUCGUGAAGGAAUGAAAAAGCUAACAAUUGGAGAUGAAGGAAACUCUAAACCAGCAACAAAGGAAAUGGAGGAUGGAGCACAUGAUGAUCAAGAAAAGGAAGAUGAAGACAAGAAUGAUGAUUCAUUCAAAGACCUUCCCAAUACUUGGAAAUUUAGCCAAAAUCAUCCAAGAGAUCUUGUAAUUGGUGAUCCAUCCGAAAAGGUAAAGGCUCGUUCCUCAUCUAAGAAAUUGAUAGAUAAUUUUGCUCUAGUCUCUCUUUUUGAACCCAAAAAUAUCAAUGAUACUUUAAAGGAUGAAAACUGAAUUUUGGCAAUGCAAUAGGAACUUAAUCAAUUUGAGAGAAAUAAAGUUUGGACACUUGUUGAUAGACCUCAAAAUCAACCUAUCAUUGGCACGAAGUGGAUAUUUAGAAAUAAGUUGGAUGAUAAAGGUGUAGUCGUAAGAAAUAAAGCCAGAUUAGUUGCUAAAGGAUAUGCACAAGAAGAAGGAAUUGAUUUUGAUGAAACAUUUGCUCCCGUAGCUAGAUUAGAAUCAAUUAGAAUGUUUCUUGCUUUUGCUUGUUUCAAUUGUUUCAAAUUGUUUCAAAUGGAUGUUAAAAGUGCCUUUUUAAAUGGUUUUAUUGAUCAAGAAGUAUAUGUGGAUCAACCCCCCGGUUUUAAAAAUACAAAAUUUCCAAGUCAUGUGUUUAAACUAUCAAAAGCAUUAUAUGGUUUAAAACAGGCUCCAAGAACUUGGUAUGAAAGAUUGAAAGGGUUCUUGAUUGAAAAUGGUUUCAAAAGAGGUAUUGUGGACACCACUCUUUUUACUAAACAUGUGUUAAAUGAUUUUCUUAUUGUGCAAAUAUAUGUUGAUGAUAUUAUUUUUGGUGCUACUAAUGAGUAUCUAUACAAGGAUUUUUUCACCAUUAUGCAAAGUGAAUUUGAAAUGAGUAUGAUGGGAGAAUUAAAUUUCUUCCUUGGACUUCAAAUACAUCAAACCCUAGAGGGAAUUUUUAUAAAUCAAGCAAAAUACACCAAGAAAUUGCUGAAAAGAUUUGGCAUGGAGGACUCAAAGCAAGUUGGAACUCCAAUGUGCACUUCUACAAAACUUGACAAAGAUGAAGAAGGUAAACUUGUGGAUGAAAAGCACUAUAAAGGUAUGAUUGGAAGCCUAUUCUAUUUAACCGCAAGUAGACCUGAUAUUAUGUUUGUUGUUUGCUUGUGUGCUAGAUUUCAAUCUUGUCCAAAAGAAUCACAUUUGAACGCAGUUAAAAGAAUUUUUAGGUAUUUGAAAGGUACACUAGACUAUGGUUUUUGGUAUGCUAGAUCUUGUGAAUUUGCUCUAUAUGGAUAUUCGGAUGCGGAUUUUGGUGGUUGUCAUGUGGACAGAAAAAAUACUAGUGAAACUUGUCACUUUCUUGGCAAUUGCUUAGUUUCUUGGUUUAGCAAAAAACAAAAUGUGAUCUCUUUGUCUACAACCGAAGCGAAAUAUAUUGCCGCUAGUGCAUGUUGUACUCAACUUUUAUGGAUGAAGCAUACCUUGAAUGAUUUUGGAUUGUUAUAUGACUGCAUGCUUAUAUUCUGUGAUAAUACUAGUGCUAUCAAUUUGACCAAAAAUCCAAUUCAGCAUUCUAGGACAAAAUAUAUAGAUAUAAAGCACCACUUUAUUCGCGAUCUUGUUCAAAAAGGUGAAGUUUGUGUGAAUUAUGUUUGCUCUAAAGAUCAAAUUGCUGAUAUUUUUACAAAAGCUUUGCCAUUGGAUCAAUUCAUUCAUCUAAGAUCAAAAUUAGGGAUAAUCGAAAAAUCAUCUUAAAAAUUUUUUUCUCUGUUCAAAGCUUUCGGACGUCCUAAAGCAGAUGAACGGGCGUCCGAUAAUGUUCUUCAGCUAUUUUCCUAGAAUGCACCUGUUCGGACGAAACUGUCGGACGCACGAUUUCAUUCGGCCGUCCGACAGUGCAACGGUACUCUUUUUAAAGUAACUUCCCCCCUCAUUUGCUUCAGACUCCUCUUCCUCUCUUCCUUCUCGGACGAAAAACUCUAUCUCCUUGUGCUCUCAAUUCAUGCUAUUAUGAAGCACUCAUUCCAAAAUUGACUCAACCAAAAUCUUUUCCUGAUCAUUGCGAGUUGAUUCUCCUGAUUUUUUCACCAAAUCUCAUCACAUUUCGAGAGUUCCCAAAUUUCCCUCAAAACCCUACUUUCUCAUAACCGCUCCGCUCAAUCAUCUUCAAGGCUUCUUUAACCCAAAAUUCUUGUGUGAUUCACUCCCAUACCACUGUGUGCAUCAUUCACAUCCCACAUCUCACACAUUUAAGACAAUGGUGAAUCUAAGAGGAGGAAAAGUCCCUGCCGGACGCAAGCACACACUCAGGGAUGAAGAUGUGGAUUCUCCUAGGGUCAUAAGAUCAUCCAAACGCUUCAAAAGGGGAGUAAUAAAGACUCAAACUUCCCGGCUUUCUGCUCAACCUGAAUCCAGACAAGGAACUCCAUCUCAACAGCCUUCCUAAUCAACCCCCGUCUCUCCAUUCUUUGAUGCUGCUGCCAAAGAAAAACAUUUCUUGAUAACCCAGAAAGGUUUCAUUCCUCAACGAGCCAUCACUCUUUCUGAAUUCCGCAAGAUUGGUUUAGAGUCAAUUUUUAAUCUCUUUGAAUUCCAGAAAUGGUCUCAUAUCAUUUCCAUGCCUAAUGUUUAUUACCCUGAAAUGCUGUAUCAAUUUUUGCCAAUCUUAGGAAAGGCACUGAUCACACUGAAAUUAUGUCCAGGGUAAAUGGGGUAGACUUAGUAUUUGAUCCUGAAACUGUGAAUGCCAUCUUAAAUACUACUAUUGAACGUGGAUGCAAAAGUAAAAUUGCCAAUUUCUUCUCUUAUGAAGAGUAUCCUACUGCUGAUAAUCACUUUGAUAAUGCUAAAAUGCUAACCUAUUUUCGAAACAAAUUUUCUGCCCCUGCUGAUGCGAAAUUAAAUGACCUUGCUCCUGUGAAUCUUAUUACUUUCUCAAUCAUUUCAAAUCUGCUUGUGCCUACUGACGGUCAUAGAACAGAUGCAAAUAAAAUGGAGUUGUAUCUGUUUUAUUGUUUUUGAGAAAAAAUUCGCAUUGACUUUGGCUUUGUCAUGUGCAAGUUUUUAUUUCGCUAUACCACUGAUUCUUGUAGAAAACUGUCCUAUGGAAAAUUCCUUCAGAAGGUUUUUGAAUUCUACAAAGCACCUAUCCUUGGUGUUUGUCCCAAAGAUACAUUUUCCUCUGCCUUCACUAAGGCUUAUUUUGAGCGCAAAAAUCUUGUCUUUAGGGAUAAUUUGUGGGCGUAUAAGGGGGCCACUUCUAAUGAACCUAGAUCUAAGGUUGCACAUGAUCUACUUCACACUCCAUCCUCUGUUGCACCAACCUUUAUUCAUCCUAGGAAGACUGCCACUAAGGCAUCUUCUUCUUCAAAUUCUGAGGUGGUUGAGCUCCUUCGAGACCUUAAGCAACAUGUUCUACUUCUUGAACAUGGUCUCAUGCUCACCAUGUCAUCCCAGUAGCAGGCUGACUUCCUAAAUAAAAAGAGUCUUCUUUUUUCCCCACCUGUGGUUGAGGAGGUCCCUCCUGGCAAGGAGCCACGCUCCAAUGAUCCAAGUUCAUCAGCCCCUGUUCGCUCAAUGAGUCCUGCUCCUAUCGACCUCACCUCUACUCCAGUGGCACCACAUGAUCCUUCCACAUCUGAUAAAGACAAGAAACCAGUUGAUGAAGUUGCUGAAGAUGAUGAAGACACUGAGGAGGAGGAUCUCUCUCAGUAUCAGCUUACUCGAAGGACGCCUGGAUCCUCUUAGCUUAUCAUCUAGGAUCACUAGUCCUAUUAGGAUCAUUUGCAUUCUGUUUGAUUGUUUUUAUUUGCUGAAUGUUAGAUAGUUGCCUCGAACUCUUUUGAAUUCUGGUGCUUGGUGUCAUUUGGUGCUCUUAAUGUCCAAAACUGGACAUAUGUUUGUAAUGUUUGUGAAUGAUUGAAUCUUUACAUUUUGUUUGUGAAUGGCUGGUAUCAGAGUAAGAUCAUUUUGCUCUGAAUGGUUGGAUAUAUUACAUUUUCAAUUUUGUGAUGACAAAAAGGGGGAGAGAUGGUGUAGAUAUGAAUAUGGAUAAUAUGGAUAAUAAGUAGCCAAGUGAGAGGGAGUUCUACGAUUGAGGGGGAGCUCUACGAUUGAGGGGGAGCAAAUUUUUGUUGUUGUUGUUGUUCUUCAAUUGAGUGAGAAAGGGGGAGCCUAUUUGAAGUCAUCAAAUUUCAUUUCAAACUUUUGUUUUGUCAUCAUCAAAAAGGGGGAGAAUGUUAUUCUUGAUUUUGAUGAUCAUAAAAGCACUUUGAAAUGUUUUUCUAAUUCUCUCCAAACAUAAAAGUUUUGCUUUUUAGAGAAUCAGGUACAAAGGAAUCAAGGAUAGAAAAUCAACUAAAAGAAGAAGCAAAAAUAGGGUACUCAUACCGGACGUCCAAAAGGAAUCUGUCGGACGUCCGAAAGGAUGAAGAACAUCAAGAAGAAACUCUGUCGGACGCUUGUAAGGAAGCAUCGGACGUCCAAAAGGAUCGGACGCAUGCUUCGGACGCACAUUGAUCUCAUCGGACGUCCUAAAAAUUCCACAAAGUGUUGAUGACUCUCUGUCGACGAUCGGACGCAGAUGCUGUCGGACGAUAAUAUCCCAUAGGACAUCCGAACGACAACUUGGCUGAUUUUCGGACGAUGGGAUCGGACGAUGAUUAAUCUUUCGGACGUCCGACGGGCCCAACGGCUAGCUGACUCUUCAUCUGCCUACUAUCCGUUCGAAGCAUUAUUGAAGCCAAUUUUUGGUCCCCUUUAAAUACAAACGUUUCUGAACCAGUGAGAGACUUUUGCACACUUUGUUUACAAGAUCUCAAGAGAUAUUUUAGUUAGAAAAUAGUCUCCCAAGCAAGAUUUGUUCUCCAAGUUGUGUGAAUUUCUUGUAAGCACUUCUCUUGUGUUUGAAAUUUUCAAUAGUGUAGCUUUGUUGAGGGUUAUCUGAGUGAUAGUAAAACUUCCUAACUUGACUAAGUGAGGCUUGGGGCAAGGAGGAAGUGAUCCCUCCAUUGUACAUUGAGUUGAUUUUGUUCUUCAAAGAGAAGGUGCUCAUCUUUGUGAUUGGUCUUCAAGUUUGAGAAAAUCUUGGUAGACAAUCGGUUUGAUACUCUAUCUUAUUCUUUUUGUUUAAUAAAAUUCUCAUUGCUUAUAUACUCUCUUAUUUCUAAUCAACAUUGUUCUCUUCUUUAAAUUUAUUUGGUUGAUCACUACUAGAAAAGAAGGUAAAUUUUUAUUAAAGAAAAAGUGCAUAAACUCAAUUAAGGUUUUAUAAUCAACCUAAUUCACCCCCCCUCUUAGGUUGUCUUUGGGUCUUACAUAUGCCACUUCAAUGCCUAAAAAAUACUUCAGCCUCCCUAGUUCUUUAAUUUCAAACUCCUUUGCUAAGCACUUUUUGAGUGUUUCUCUUUCAAUUGGAUCAUUCCCGGUGAUGAUGAUGUCAUCUACAUAUACAAGUAGAGCUGUAACACCUUCUUUUGAAUGUUUUAUGAACAAAGUAUGAUCUCCUUGAUUUUGUUUGUAUUGCAUUGCUAACAUCACUUUAGUAAAUCUUCCGAACCAAGCCCUUGACGAUUGUUUUAAUCCAUAUAAAGCUUUCUUUAACCUGCACACUUUCUUUUCAAAAAACAUUACAUUGAAAUCCGGUGGAGGUUCCAUGUACACGUCUUCUUCUAAAUCCCCAUGUAAGAAUGCAUUCUUCACAUCAAAUUGCUGUAAACACCAACCAAAGUUAGCGGCUAAAGACAAAAGAACACGCACAGUAUUCAUUUUUGCAACGGGUGCAAAGGUCUCUUGGUAAUCUAUCCCAUAUGUCUGUGUAUAUCUUUUUGCAACCAACCGUGCUUUAUGCCUUUCUAAUGAACCAUCAGCUCUAUAUUUCAAAGUAAACACCCAUUUACACCCCACUGUUUUCUUUCCUUUGGGCAGGUUUACAAUUUUUCAAGUCAUAUUUCUCUCUAGGACAUUCAUCUUCUCUUUUAUAGCAUGUAACCAGUUCUUAUUUCUAAGUGCCUCUUGUAGUGUUUGUGGGAUUGAAAUGGAGUUGAUGGUGGUAAGAAAAGUUUUAUGUUGUGGAGAGAGUCUAUGGAAAGACACGAAAUUUGAGAUUGGAUGCUUAGUACAUUCUCGUGUUCCUUUUCGAACAGCAAUAGGCAGGUCUAAAUCAUUAAAUUCACAAGGAGCAGAGUCAGAUUGAACACACAAAGGAACAGAAUUUUCAGUACCUGAUUGUGGUUCAGACUCUUGGAUUUGCACAGGUUCAAAAAUAUGAACUUUCUUCCUUGAGUAGACUUUGAGUGGUGUAGUUGAAUUUAAACCAGAUUUUCCCUCAGCUCCAAGAUCAGGUUCAAUUUCUUUACUGGCAUGUUCAACUUCAAAUUCAGGUUCAGGUUCACUGCUAGUAUGUUCUCCUUUAGAAUUUGGUGGAUGGUCAAGCUUGAAAGACUUUAAGUUUAGUGUAGGACUUUGAAGAUCAAGGAGAAAUUCCUUAUCUUCCCAAGAACUCUCCCCCUGGGGAUGAGGAUUGUUACUUUGAGAGUAAGGUUCAUUUUCAACAAAUGUGACAUCCAUGGAGAUAAAAAAAUUUUUUGAAGGAGAAUGAUAACACUUGUAUCCUUUCUUUGUGUUUGAGUAUCCCACAAAAAUACAUUUGAAAGCUCUUGGAUCAAGUUUCCCUCUUUGUUGUGCAUGAACAUGUACAAAAGCAACACAACCAAACACUUUUGGUGACAAUAUGCAAGAGACAUUAAAAUCAGGGUAAAAAACAGAAAAAGCAGCAAUGGGACUUUGAUUAUUUAGUACUUUUGAAGGUACUCUAUUUAUCAAAUGUGCAGUAGUUAAAACAGCCUCCACCCAAAAAGUUUUUGAAACUUUAUGUUGAAACAAAAUUGCUCGAGUCACAUUGAGUAAAUGUCUAUUUUUUCGUUCAGCAAUCGCAUUUUGUUGGGGUGUAUCUACACAAGAUGACUCAUGUAUUAUACCCUCUUUUUGGAAAAAAGAAGAGAGAAUUUGAUUAAAAUAGUCUCUUGCAUUAUCAGAUCUUACUCUUUUAAUCAAACUUCCAAAUUGUGUACAAAUCAUUUUAUGAAACAUUGAAAAAAUACUGCUUACUUCUAAUUUUUCUUUCAUAAGAAAUAACCAAGUAGUUCUAGUACAAUCAGCAAUGAAUGUGACAAACCAUUUUGCUCCAGAAAUACUAGAAAUUCUACAAGGCCCCCAAAUAUCAGUAUGUAUCAAAGAGAAAAGUCUAGUAGAUCUUGUAUUACUCAAUGGAAAUGAUAGUCUAUGAUGUUUAGCAAUUUCACAUGUAUCACAAUGAAAACUACUAACAUCUUCAUUCUUGAAAAGUGAAGGAAACAUGCUUUUAAGUAGAAUAAAAGAUGGAUGACCAAGACGGAAAUGAUGAAGCCAGAUUUCAGAUUUAUUAUUUGAGGAGCAGGUGAGGGAUAACUGAUUUUUGUUCUUCUUGUUGCCACUCAUCUCCUCAAGGUAAUAAAGCCCGUUAUUCACCUUAGCAAGUCCAAUCGUCCUCCCCGUAACCAAAUCCUGAAAAACACAGUGAGUAGAAUAGAAAAUUACCCUACAGUUCAAACCUUUGGUAAUUUGAUGGAUGGAUAUGAGAUUGGAGGACAAUUUUGGGACAUGCAACACAUUAUUUAGGGAUAAAGAAUUUGAUAGAUUUACUGUCCCUUGGCCUACAACAGUUAUAGGAGAUCCAUCCGCAACAGUAUUUUUUCUAUUUCCAGGACAUGGGUUGUAUGUUCUAAAUCUGAUUGGACUGUGAGUCAUAUGGUCAGUAGCUCCUGAGUCGAUGACCCAAGAGUCUAGAGAAGACAUGCUUGAGGCACUUAAAGCAUAAGAGUUAAGGUACUUACCUGAUUGAGCCAAUGAACACGUACUAGAGAACUUUUCAAGGGAAUUUAUGAGGUUUCUUAGCUUUUCGAUUUCUUCUUUCUUGAAUUCUCCCAUACCAGCCUGGUUGGAUUUUUCUUGUGUUUGGUCUUCUCCAGCAGUUAAGUGGGCUUUUUCCCCUUUGAAUCCUCCUUUAUGACUAAAGGACUUGUUCCUUCCCAUGGAGUUUGAAGCAAUCAUCUCGCAUAUGACGUGAUUUUUUGCAGUACGUGCACCAAAUUGUGUCUUUAUUUCACUUUGUAGAAAUCAUUGCCGAGCCUUCUAAUGUUUUAGGCUCUAACAUGACUUCUUGCCUAUUCUCUUCAGUUCGAAUCAAUGAUAUUGUCUCAUUCAGAGAUGAUAAUCUUUCCUUCCCCAAUAUCUGGACUCUGACCUGAUCAAAUUCCACAUUCAGACCUGCAAGGAAGUCAUAAACUCUAUCCUUUUCGAUAAAGUUUUUCAAGGUGGCUGCAUCUUCACUACACAAUAUCUGAACACACCGAUAUUGGUCCAAUUUUUGCCAUAGAUUUUGCAGAAGGUUGGCAUAUUGAGUAACAGAAAGGUUGCCCUGUUUAGUGGCUAAGAUUUUUGUUUUGAUCUCAUAGAUUAGGGCAGCAUCUCUUGCCUUUGAAUAGGUCUGUCGAAUAGUAGUCCAUAUGUCUUGAGCUGUUGGUAGGAACAUGCAAGUAUCACUUAUUUCAGGUAACAUGGAGUUCCACAGCCAUGACAUGACCAUAGAAUCCUCUUCAUCCCAAGCAGCGAAUUUAGGAUCUCCCUUUUUCGGUCCAGUUCCAAGCAAGUGGCUGAUUUUGCCCUUUCCUUUGAGAAAUGUUUGAACAAAUUGUGACCACUUCAAAUUGUUUUUCCUGUUGAGCCUGUAGGUUGCCUGGAUACUCUGCAAAUCCCCUGUUUGUGGAAUAUUUGAGGUCUCUUCUGAUUUGGUAUUGGAGUGGAUUUCUGAUGUUUCAGUUUCAGACAUGUUGGAGGUUUCAAAGAAAAAUUGGCAAUGAAAGCCUAAUGAAAAAAAUCAGCAAUGAAGGCUGGAAAUUGCACUUGGCAAUAAAGACUUGAAGAGAGGAAAGCACUCAGCAAUGAAGGCUGACAAGAAGAGGUCCCAAGAGCAAAAGCUCUGAUACCAUGAACAAAAAGAAAAACUGCAUUGUUCUGUCAUAUCUUUUGUUCUAGACUCUGUACAACUUUAUACAAAUGGAAUUUGACUUUUGUAAAUUCCAUGAAAUCUGUAAUUUCCUAAAAAUUAGGAGCUAAUUUAUUCUAUCCUAAAAUACAUUAGGAGUAAAUUAUUCUAUCCUAAAAUAGAGCAGAAAUCAUGGGAUAUACAUAGAAAAAGAUAUUCUAGAUUUUCAACAACUUCCAUUGUGCUUGACAGUUCGUUUCACUGCAAUCUCGAAGCUAUAGCAUCAAAUCCAAACCAAAGGAUUGAGAAACUAGAAGAAUUGUUUUGACAAAUUUGAAUAACUUAAUUAAUGAAUUCAGUCAACAGAUAAUAUUAAUACUGUAGUACUAUAUCUAACCUAAAUUGCAGAAUCCCAACCUCCGUUGACUCUCUUCUGCAUCAACCAGCACAGAAUAGAGGUGAACAGUUCACCAUUUUAACAUGUGAUAAAGAAAUCAACUCUGUCCUUCCCCACUCAUUGUCAAGAUAACAUCCAAAUCUCAUUGCAUUUUCACUCCAUGGCUGUCUGGAUCACUCGCAAUGACAUGAGAGCACCAAUUCUUUUAAAUUCAGGGGGAAAGUUAAAACCAAACUCACGUACACAAAACUGAACCAAUUUGAGUGAUUCCAAUUGACUCAGAAAAUCCCGCUUGAUAAUUUUAUUGCAAAUCCUCCUGAUCAUGUUCCAAAAGCGUUCCACGGUAUCUCCUCCAGCAAUUUCUCACAUACAGAUCAAAAGUCUUUAUAAGUCCUACCCACAUCACCACUUGUACCAUCCUUGUCUACUGUCGCUCUUUAACAUCCCUAUUUAAUUCCUUAAUCUAGCAUCAUCUGCAAGUCAUCAUUUAACAGGUUGAAGCCAACCUGAAUGGUUGCUAAAGACUAGCAGAAUGCUAUUGCACUCCGCUCUUAAAUUUUUCUUCAGACAAGCAUGCUAUAUGUGCACUUACCCUGAGGAAAUUUUUGGGCUUGAGCACGAGGACUAUCUGGAGUUUAUAAUUUGUAUCUUACCUUCAUCGAUCUUCAGACACCAGAGUGUUAUUAAUUGGUGCAGGUAUUAUGUAUUAAUUAUACGAGCUUUUGACCUUUUUUGUGAGUUUUUAAAACGAAAGAUGCUGUAGUUAGUUCUUCUAAGUGUGUUACUUUGAGUUCUGGAUUGGCAACUAUCUCAAUAUCAAAUGAAUCUUAGAAGCAUAAUCAUAUGGUAGCUAGACACUACCAACUGUAAGCCUAUAAUGUUGCAGACAUUUGGUUUGAACUGUUCUCAGUUGACUGACUAUAUUAUUAUGAACUGAUGUUGUACAUUGAGGAGAUGAGUCCAUUAUCUUGAGUAAUCUAAUAAAUUUUGAUACAUAAAUGUCAAAAAAUAUGGAUGCAUUUUUAGCUGAGGGCCUGAAGGCUUUGUAACUUACAAUAAUGACAAAUUCAAAAUAAACAUCUACCACCGUCUUUCUUCCAAAUUAGUAGCAGUUCUCCAUUCUCUGUUUUUUUUUUGGGGGGGGUAAAGAUUUGGUAGUGCCGUAAGGCUGCAAUUUUGAUGAGGCAAUUCAAAAUGUGAAGUAUUUUCCAGAGCCAUUACAAUAGGAUAUCAAAUCCGUAACUUAAAAAAAAAAAAAGAUUACUGCAGUGUAAAUAUUGAACUAAUCUAAGAUCCAUGAAGCACCAUAAAUGAACAAAAUGAAACUUCAAUCAAUUUAUCAGAGAUGUCAAAGUAAAAGGUAGACUAGCCAGAAGUAAAUGGGCAUCAGAGGUUGAAAUGAGAAAGAGACAUUUUUCAUGAUUGAUGGCUAGCAUUACAAUUUCCUUCAAUCAAAACAGGAUUUUUCUUAAGACAUAGUAUGAAUAGAAAGUUCAACCAUUUCGUAGAACAUAUGCAAAAUGAACAAAUCACGGCUAAAAUCUCACAUUUUCAUUGUUCUGGAUUGCUUGACAUCAUUGCACUAGUAAUCUCUGUUAUUGGCCAUAUUGGUUGCCUAACUUUGGUGGGCAUGGGUAUAGAGAAAAGAAGGUAGAGUUGAAAAAGAAGGGAAAAUGGAAAACAUUAUUGUUCGGCUCAAGUUUGGGUAGCUUUAGUAAUUAGGCAACGCUAGUUCAUCAAAAUGAACCGACCUUAUGAAUUUUUGUGGAGAAUUUUGGUUUAGUUAUGGAGACUGGGGAGAAAGAUGUAAAGAAAAAGAGUGAGGGAAAAAAGUGGGGAGGUGGACAAUGUAUAAAGUUUCCAACAGACUGUAAAUUGUAUAUUAUCAUUGUAAAGUAUUUUGAACAAAUUGUAAAUAAUGAGCAUUAUCUUGUGAAUGUUGUUUUUAUCAGUAUUAUGCGAAAUUAUAUUCAUGUAACGAACAAAAACAGACACAAAUACCAUAAACAAGAACUAGAAUUUUAUCCUUCUUAUACUUCUCAAAUCUCCAUCAUGUAUUCCAAGUUAAAGACUGAGGGGUACACACUAUCCAAUUCAAUUCAGUAUAUACAGUUUUCCUUUUGAGAAAAAAAAACUUGCAAUUCAAAUAUUUUUCACUUGAUUACAAAUUUACAACAAUCAUUUCCACUUGAUUAACGGCAAAUGAAAUUUUUAUUGCUAUUCUUGCAAGACUUGUUCCCCUUCCUGAUGCAAUUAUUGAAGUAGGUUUCAUCAGGGAAUAACAAUGGCUACUAGUGACAACUUUUUAAGAUGAUAAUCAAGCUAGUGAGGUAUGGUCCUAGAAUCAAGGGAUUACCUGUCAAGAGCAAUAUCAAAAACAGGAAGGGCAUGAAGGUUAAGUAGCUCAUGCAAAGCCUCCAGUGGGUGAUAAAAUACUAGAUGAUCCGUCCGCUGGAAAUAUUCAAUUGAAGAACCUUGGUAGCAUCAUAAAUACUUCGCUGGUUAAGGCAUUUGUGGCAAGCCAAGAGUGAAUGAAGACUGUCAAGUCAUUCAUGCAUUCUGCACUACUUUGUGGUUUUAUUUUGGCUGUCCUUCUGUACAUGUAGAACUCUGCUCCAUUAGGUAAUUGAAUUAAGGGCAAAUUACACUUUACUCCCUAUGAUUUAGUAUUUUCGUAUAUAACUCCCUAUGAUUUCAAAAACUACACAUAACCCCCUCAUGGUUUGGAUUAAAGUGUCAAAAUGACGGAAAUGAUCAUUCGUAACGGAACUUAUUAAAAUGUCGAAACUACCAUUGUUUAAAAAUAAAAAUGGCUGAAGUGAUCAAAAUAUAUAAACAUAAUAUAUAUGACACACUAAUCAUAUAUGAUUUUAUAUUUUACCAUAUAACAUCCUUAUGAUUUUGAAAAUAUACACAUAACCCCCCUAUGGUUAAUAAGUAAUUUUCAACUUUACAAAAGGGUAUUCUUUACAUUUUAGUUGACUCCAUUAUAGAUUACAAAUUCCUUCACUGUGAUACUUUAAUCCAAAGUACAAGAGGGUUAUAUAUAACUUUUGAAAUUAUAGAGGGGUUAUGUAUAAAAACACUAAACUACAGGGGGUAAAGUGUAAUUUACCCUUGAAUUAAUCAAACAAACUAGUAGAAGAAAACAACAGAGAAUUGGAGCACAUAAACCUGACAACUGCAGGCAAACAACUUUUAAUAUAGUUCCAAUAUCUGUUUAAACGUCAGAUGCUCAUUCUUGGAGGACUGGCAAAAAAAAUUUAAGUUUUAUGUAUAUGUUGUUUUUGAGCUUUAUGAGGAAAUGGAACAACAGUGACAGGUUGUCGGCCUGUGCAAUAAUAAAACCUGCUCAAACUAAAAGUAAUUUCUGUAGAUAACGGUGAGCAGGGUCGAAUCCACAGGGAUUGGGAGUAAUUGUUUCUUUUCAAAUUCACAGUGACAAGGGGGUGUUUUUAUAUCAGGGGUGACAAUUUAAGCAAUUCAACUAAAAGUAAAAUAAUAAAAAUAAAAUAGCCAACUAGAAAUUAAAUAACAAUUUACUAAAAUCAAAUGAGUGAUAAUUAAGGAUCUAGCCAAGGAAUAACUUCAGCAACGGUUCACCUAAUUGAUCAUUGAAACAAAGGCAAUUCCAAUUAUUUACUAAUAAAUAGGUUAUAACUGUCAAACAAGUGAUGACAGUCAAUCCCUCCUUACUGUGUCGGUGAUUAAGGUACGCCCGUUAAUCACUACUCUAAUUGAGAAAUAAUCCUAAGUACGCCCGCAAGAUUUAAUUCCCCAAUUACCUUACGUAUUAGAGGAGCCCUAUUCAAACCAAAUAACACACUACCAGGGUUAGAUUAACCCGCGUAUUCUCCUGACACAAACCCAAUCAUGCCAGUUAUCACUAUUUUGAGACAAUUAAACAAUUACGGAUUUAACGUCCCAAUUGACAAUAGAUUAUCAAAUUAACUAAUUAUCCAGAUCCAAGACAAUCAAUUAAUUAAAUAACCAUAAGUACUGCAAUCAAAGAAUAUACAAAUACCAAUAAAUAAAAAAAAGAUAAAAUUAAAUCGAUCUCACAAUCUUUAGGCGAAUCAAAACUUUCGUUGUUCCUUGACUAGACAAAGGGAUUUAAGUCAUCCCUUGUCUACUCCUACCGAAAAGAAAAGAAAAGCAACUAAAGAUGAAAGGAAAAGUCAAAGGCUAAGCUCUCCCCCCCUGACAUGCGUCGGAAGCAAAAACUCUAAGAAGAAGCCAAAAGGGCAAAGUUCCAAAAGCUAAAGGAGUCCUAAUCCUUUGCAACUCCCUAUCCUAUCAAAAGUCCUACUCUACUUUUUUAUUGUGCGGUGGCUUCAAUGCCUCCCGAAGACUUCGGCAUUUUCGGUUCUUUUUCCUUUCUUGCUGUCUUCAGCCAAAUUACCAAAAUGGGCUCACAUCUCCUCGUUUCAAAAAUGUCCCUGAAUGCCUUCUAUUUGAAUUCAUUUCCGAUGACUGCCAAAUUGGCCUUAGUUGUGGUAUUUUCGUUCUACUCCCUGAAAUAAAUGUAAAUUACGAAAAGUGAGUAGAAUCUAAUAAUUAAGUCACAUCGGGUUAGGUAAUAGAGGAAAUUAAUAAUAAAAUAAAUGAUAAAUUGCAACCUAUCAAUUCCCCCCACACCUAAACCAUACUUGUCCUCAUGCAUAAGAACAGUAAACAAACACUAAUAUUUGACAAUGGCUAUUGCUCUAUCUACCAUAUUACCAAGAUAUCAAGAAAAAUAUAUAUCAAGCAUCAGUGAUCAAAAUCCAAAAAACAUCACCCCGGUUAACUUUUGAACUACAAACUCUUUCAAUUCCAAGUUUACUAAUCUAAGAAGAAGGAAUGAUCGCUCAACAUUUAUCAGCAAAUGGUUCAACUAUUCACCAAAAUCUCAACAUUAAAUCCAUAAAUCGGCAAACUGACUUUUAUCACACACUAACACAACUUUCACUUCUUUUUUUUCGUUAUUUAUUUAUUUAUUUAUUAUUAUUUUUUUCAAUAGCACAAAAGAUUUAGCCUCUAGCCAUCGAAGCCUUUUGACGCGAACUCCAACAUUUGCCAGAUGAAGGAGCCCGGUUACUUAGCUCCUAUCGCUAUACGACCAUGUACUAAUAGAAAUUACUACAUUUUGACGCGAGAAUCGACACUGUAGGUGAAGAUCCCCGGUUACUCAGUAGUACCAAAUAGCAGAGUACAGUCAAUUUUAUUUCAUAAUCAGAUAACACAAUAUCUCACAAUAUCACAAAGAAAAAGCAGCUAGCCUCAUUUUUCCCAAACAUGGAGAACUAAAGUUAAUCACUGGACCAGUUCACAUGAAAAUGCUAACAAUCAUUUCCAAUGCCUAGGAAAGUUAACAAAAACUUAUAAGAGUAAAACAAUCACCGACAUUCACUAAAGAGGUGUUUUUGGAUUCAAUCACAUUAACUUGAUGCACUUUUAUUAUUAAAACUUGGCAAUAGUAGAAUUAGAGUGAACAAACCAACAUCUAAAUUGACAUCACCAGGUAGGAGCCUUAUAAAUAAAAAUCUGCUCGACUAAAGUUAACUUUUAUAAAUAGUGGUAAGUAGAGUCGAAUCCACAGGGAUUGGGUGUAACUGUGUCUUUUCAAAUUCACAAUAACAAAGGGGGUGUUUUUGUGCAGAAGGUGACAAUCGAAAAAAUUCAAACAAGAAUAAAAAUAAAUAGCUAGUUAGAAAUUAAAUGACAAUUUACUAAAGUCAAAUGAAUGAUAACUAAUGAUCUAGCCAAGAAAUAACUUCAGCAAUGGUUCACCUAAUUGAUCAUCGAUGCAAAGUCAAUUCCAAUUAUUUACUAAUAAAUAAGUUAUAACUGUCAAACAAGCGAUGAUAGUUAACCCCUCCUUACUGUGUCGGUGAUUAAGGUACACCUGUUAAUUACUGAUCUAAUUGAGAAAUAAUCCUAAGUACGCCCGUAAGAUUUAAUUCCCCAAUUGCUUUACGUAUUAGAAGAGCCAUAUUUUAACCAAAUAACACACUACCAGGGUUAUUUUAGAUUAGUCCGCGUAUCCCCCUGACACAAAUCUAAUCGUGCCAGUUGUCACUAAUUCAAGGCAAUUAAACAAUUAUGGAUUUAAUGCCCUAAUUGACAAUAGAUUACCAAAUCAAUUAAUUAUCUAGAUCUAAGACAAUCAAUUAAUUAAAUAAUCAUAAAUACUGCAAUCAAGGGAUAUGCGAAUACCAAUAAAUAAAAGAAAAAGAUAAAAUUAAACCGAUCUCACAAGUUUUAGGCGAACCAGAACCUCCGUUGUCCCUUGACUAGAGUGGAUAAAUUAGUUCAUAUUUAAUGUGAAAAACCCACACACAAUUGAAGAGAAAGCAGCGGCCAUCAUACUGUGAAACUUGGAAAAUUCAACCCGUCCGAAUAUUGAAUAGAUAGUAAAGCUACAAAAGGUGAUUGAUAGUUUUUCCUUCGUCUGACACACAAGAAGGAAAAGAUGCUACUUAAGACUCUAAGGGAAGAAAAGUCAAAGUUCUAAGCUACACUCUCAUACAAAAAACUAAGGAAAAAGCCAGGUAGUGGCUCCCCCUCAAUUCCUAUUCUAUCUAAUUACUCACUAAAAACUCCCCUCCCUAGCCGCGGCUCCCACCAGGAAGAAGAGGACCUUCAGCCGUCUUUCCUUCUCAAAAUUUACCAGAAUGGGCGUAACACCUUCUUUUUCAAAAAUGCCCCUGAGAUAAGCUCUAUCAUCUACACUCCUUUUUUUGCCAAAUUAGCACCUGUUAUCAUAUUUUCAUUCUACUUCCUGAAAUAAAUGUAAAAUACUAAAAGUGAGUAGAAUCCAGCAAUUAAUCCAUAUGGGAUCAGGUAAUAGGGAAAAUUAAUAAUAAAAUAAAUGAUAAAAUCGCACCCUAUCAAUUCCCCCCAAUUAUAUGCUAAAUUUGGUAAUAGAAGUGCAGAAAAUUAGCAAUAGCAACACAGUCACAAGGUCAAGGCAGUUGAUCAAAUAUCCAACCAACAAGAGUUAACAAAUUCAGGGAAAAACACUCCAGCUAGUACCACUGGAGGAAAAUGGAAUGCACAAUUCAACUAACCGAAAUUGUAGCAACAGUCCCAGGAAAUAACAAUUCAAGCAAUAAUAACCCUCAAAUCUGACAGUAGCAGAGUAAUUCUAAGUACCCAGCCUCCAACAGUCAACCAAUAGAGUAGAAUUAACCCAGUAAAGUUAAAAUUCCCAAACAGUGGAUGAAACAAGUUUAACGGCCAACCCACACUAGUGAGAACCCCAUAUAACGUAACUCAAUUCAGACAAGUAGUAAUGUAGCCACAGGAUUCACAGGCGAAGCUAAUAAGGAACCCAGCAACAAAUGGUCCAAUUAAAUAGGCGAGUAUGAAGAAACAGGGGGGUACCUCCACCGUUGUGUGGAAAAGGAGGCCGUGGGUGAAGGGAAGAUGGCAGGCAGCAGCGCGGCAAUGGAGACGGCGCGUGGGCUGUCGAUUGCGAUGGAGGGUGAGAGGAGUUCGGAGUGGCGGGGAUCAUGAGAGGUGGACUGCGGUGACGCGCGGAGCUGCGGGCGGCGCAGUCGCAACCGUGGGGAGACGCGACCGCGCGAGGUGAGCGUUGGCUACUGGUGGCGCGGGAGCUCAGGAGGAGCUGCGUGCGAUAGAAAAGGAGCCGCAGCGCUCGGCUGUUGGCUGCGCGCUCGAUGGGUUGAUGGAGGAGAGAAGAGCGCGGUGGCUUGGCGAUGGAGAGAAGGGUUGUAGCUCCGUCGGUGGCUUGCGAUGGAGCUAUGGUGGCCGCUAGGAGCUUGGGAGCCACGGCUACGCGUGUCAUCGUGCAACGUUGUUCACGGGUGACAGUCGCAUGGGGUAGGUCGCGACUGGUGGUGGCCGCUUGAGAGAGAGCUGGUGAGCGAGAUGCGGCAAGGGAAGGGCGGCGGUGUGCGAUGCAAAGAGCCUCGGUCGAACAGGAGGAAGAAGCAACGGGGAAGAAAGAAAGAAAGGAAAAGAAAAUAUGUUGUUUUUUUUUUGUGUUGUGGUUUCUUUUGUAUUUCAAUUUUUUCGAUUUUUUUCUUUUCUUUUUUUUUUUAAUUUUAUUAUUUAUUAUUUAUUUUAUUUUUUAAAUUUAUUUUUCUUUUUAAAUUUUUUUAAGUUAAAUCUCUUUUUUUUUUACAAAUAAUAAUUUUUCCUUUUUUUUAUCUGAAUAUUAUUAUUAUUACAUAACUUAUUUUCAAAAUUAAAAAUUAGAGACUAACAGAAAAUCAAUAAUAGUUCUUGAGUUCUUUUGAAUACUUACCUUUCCCGCGCACAUGACGUGGGCACGUCAAGAAAGCACAGAAUGAGAAGCUCUGCAGGUUACUUGACGCGGGCACGUCAUGAGGACAAGAGAGUUCUCUGACCAUGAGCUCUCCAUGGGACUUGACGCAGGCACGUCAAGAGGACAAGAAAGCUCUCUGACCAUGAGCUCUUCAUGGGACUUGACGCGGGCACGUCAAGAGGAUCGAAACCCUUUUUACUAAGCAUCAGGAAAUUGCAAUGUGCCACGCGCCCAGUUGACACGGGUGCGUCAUGUCAGAGGGAUGCCUAUGAAUCAUCAAAAAUGAAAAUUAAACCAAAAAAUCAGUCAAAUCCAAGGAAAAAUAUAUUUAAAAUAUCAAACAAAAUCGAAAAAAUAACUAAGAAAAAUUGGGUUGCCUCCUAAUGAUCGUCUUUCUUUAAUGUCUUUGGCUAGACAUGGUAAGGUGGCAUUAAUUGGCACACGGCGGUGCAUCUAGACUUAUCGUCUCUACUUUUCUACUUGAAAAACCUUCGUGAUAAUACUUGAGACGAUGUCCAUUCACCACAAACUUAUUGUUGGUUUUAGCAUUCUGAAUUUCAAUUGUACCAUAUGGAAAGACGUGAGUAAUAAUAAAAGGUUCAAUCCAACGGGAACGUAGCUUACCUGGGAAGAAUUUGAGUCUGGAUUGGUACAGGAGAACUUUCUGACUAAGUUCAAAGGUUUUUUCUAGAGAUUUGCUGGUCAUGAAAUGCUCGGCUCCUCUCCUUGUAAAUCAAUGCAUUCUCGUACGUUUCGUUCCGGAUCUCCUCCAAUUCCUGCAAAUCCAAUUUCCGUUGGGUACCAGCCUCCUCUAGGUUCAUAUUACAUUGUUUAAUCGCCCAAAAAGCUUUGUGCUCGAACUCCACUGAUAGGUGACACGGCUUUCCAAAUACCAAUCUAUAGGGUGACAUCCCUAUGGGGGUUUUGUACGCCGUUCGAUAGGUCCAAAGUGCAUCUUCCAACCUUUGACUGCAAUCUUUCCUAUCGGGGCGCACCAUUUUCUCCAAAAUAGAUUUAAUUUCUCGAUUCGAUACCUCCGCUUGACCAUUGGUCAGCGGGUGGUACGAUGUUGAGAUCCUGUGGAAUACACCGUACUUGCGAAACAGCGCGGCUAUGGUUUUGUUGCAGAAAUACGUCCCCCUGUCACUAACAAUAACUCUCGGCAUUCCACAACCCACAAAAAUAUUAGACUUGAUAAAAUCUGCAACCACUUUCGAAUCAUUAGUCCGGGUAACCUUAACCUCCACCCAUUUAGACACAUAAUCAACUGCCAGCAAUAUAUGUAUAAAAUAAAAUGAAGUAGGAAAAGGCUCCAUGAAAUCUAUAUCUCAGACAUCAAAAAUUUCGACAAAAAUCAACGGGACUUGGGGCAUCUGAUCUCUACGAGCUACAUUACCUACCCUUUGACAGCGAUCACACGACUUACAAAACACAUAAGCAUCCUUAAACAAUGAAGGCCAAUAAAAUCCACUUUCCAAUACCUUAUGAGCAGUUUUCUUGGGUCCAAAAUGACCUCCACAGGCAAAAGUAUGACAAAAAGUUAGAAUUAGUUGAAAUUAAGCUUCACUUACACAUCGCCUCAUCACUUGAUCAGCACACCUCUUCCACAAAUAUGGGUCAUUUUAGAUAAAGUACUUGGCAUCGCUCUUCAAUUUAUCCCUCUUCGAUUUUGGCAAACUUGCAGGAAAAUUACUUGUUACUAGACAAUUGACUAAAUCGACAUACCAAGGCAAUUGAGAAUUUAGAGAAAAUAAAUGGUCUUCAGAGAAUGCAUCCUCCAACGGCUCGUUCUCCUUUCCAACAGGUAUACGACUCAAAUAGUCGGCUACUAAAUUCUCCGAGCCUCUCUUAUCUCUUAUCUCCAGAUCAAAUUCUUGCAGAAACAAGAUCCACCUUAUGAGCCUCGACUUUGCAUCUUUCUUGGUUAUUAGGUACCUUAGAGCUGCAUGAUCAGGAAAUACAAUAACUUUAGCACCCAAUAAAUAUGACCUAAACUUUUCCAAGGCGAAAAUAACAGCAAGAAGCUUCUUCUCAGUGGUGGAGUAAUUCAAUUGGGCCCCAUUUAAAACUCGAGAUGCAUAGUAAAUGACGUGAGCUGUCUUUCCUACUCUUUGCCCGAAUACAGCUCCUACAGCAUGAUCACUGGCAUCGCAUAUGAUCUCAAAUGACAAACUUCAGUCAGGAGGUUGAAUGAUCGGUGGCGAGGUCAAUAGCUCCUUUAACUUGUCGAAGGCUCUCUCACACUUGUCAUCGAAUUCAAAAGCCACAUCUUUUUGUAAAAGCUGGAAUAACGGGGCUCCCAUUUUCAAAAAAUCCUUGAUGAACCUUUGAUAAAAACCUGCAUGUCCAAGAAAAGAGCGCACCUCCCGCACACUAGCGAGGUAAGGUAAAGCAGAUAUAAUAUCUAUUUUCGCCCUGUCAACCUCGAUACCUUUAGAAGACACAAUAUGACCCAGAACUAUCCCAUGUUCAACCAUAAAAUGACAUUUCUCCCAAUUAAGCACGAGAUUAGUCUCUAUACAUCUCAACAAGAUCAAUCUCAGGUUAUCUAGACAUGUAUCAAAACUAUCACCAUACACACUGAAAUCGUCCAUGAAAACCUCAAUUAUUUUCUCAACAUAUUCAGAAAAAAUGCUUACCAUACAUCUCUGGAAAGUUGCAGGUGCAUUGUACAACCUGAAUGGCAUCCGUCUAUAUGCAAAGGUCCUGAACGGGCACGUGAAAGUCAUCUUCUCUUGACUCUUUGGUGCAAUUGCUAUUUGAAAAUACCCUGAAAAUCCAUCCAAAAAGCAAUAGUAAGUCCUAUAAGCUAAACGUUCAACCAUUUGGUCAAUGAAAGGGAGAGGAAAAUGGUCAUUUUUUGUGAUAGCGUUUAGCCUACGGUAGUCAAUACACUGCCUCCAUCCAGUGGGUUUGCGCACUGGUACGAGCUCACCCGUUUGGUUAGCCUCCACUGUCAUUCCUGCCUUUUUUGGAACUAUCUGGACCAGCCUCACCCAUGGGCUAUCCGAUAUCACGAAAAUGAUUCCCACAUCGAGCAACUUCAGAAUUUCUUUCUUCACCACUUCCAUCAUGAGGGGGUUAAACCUCCUUUGGCCUUGCCGUAUAGGUUUGGCAUUCUCUUUCAACCUAAUCCGGUGUAUGCAGAUGGAGGGGCUGAUCCCCUUGAUAUCGGUGAUAGUCCACCCUAUCGCCUCUUUAUACUCUUUAAGGACCCGAAUUAGUUUCUUCUCUUGGGUCUCCGAGAGUGCAGUUGAUAUAAUCACCGGGAGUGUUUCGUUGUCGCCCAGAUACGCAUAUUUCAAGUGCUUCAGCAAAGAUUUCAACUCCAACACAGGGGCCUGCACCACAGAUGGCAGUCCCCUCUAGUGAGGUUCGGGAAUGAAAAUUGGAGAGACUUCAUACAUUUUUGUUGUGGUUGGCAAUGAGUGUAGUGCCCCUAUUGUGCAUUUCAAGUCUUCACUCCACUCUACCUCAGGAGUUGUCUCCAACUCAAGGUGCUUGAUUAAAGCUAUUUCCAACUCAUCCUUACCAACAGUUUCAAACACUUCCUGCACCGCAGGGUCAAUAGCACUUACAGAAAAAACAGAGCUAAAGUUAGAGUUUGAUGGGUAUUUCAUCGUAUCAAAAAUACUAAAAUGCACAAUUUUUCCAUCAAAUUCCAUGAAUAGGGUGCCCUUAUUAACAUCAAUUUUUGUCUGCACUGUACUCAAGAAGGGUCUACCUAAUAGUAAAGGUGAGGGAUCGGGGGAGUGAUCAUCAUUCAUAUCAAGUACAUAAAAGUCAGUUGGGAAUACCAAAUCAUUAAUUUUUACCAAUAUAUCUUCAACUAACCCAUCAAGAUAUGCAUUUGUUCGGUCAGCUAAUUGAAUGAUUAUUCCAGUUUCUUUUAAUGGACCUAGUUUUAGAGAAGCAUAGAUAGAUUUGGGUAUGACAUUAAUUGAUGCUCCCAGAUUCAACAUGGCCUUCCUAAUCAAAGUGUUGCCUAUCUUACAUGGGAUAGUAAACAUACCUGGGUCUCCAUACUUUGGUGGGAGUUUUUUCUGCAAGACCACGGGCACGUUCUCCCCCACAAUGACCCUUUCAUCCCCCCUCAACCGCCUUCGGUUGACACACAAGUCCCUUAGAAACUUGGCAUAUUUCGGCACUUGUUUGAUUGCGUCUAAGAGGGGGAUAUUAAUCUCUACCUUGCAGAACACCUCUAGAAUUUCCUUCUCCUUAUCUUACUUUUUCGAUUUUUCCAACCUGGUAGGAAAGGGAGGCGGGUUAGUUUUUACUACAAUGAUUGGGUCUGGAAGUACCUCUGGAUUUGUACUAUUGUUGUCCUCCCUCUCAAACUCAUUUUCGAUCUUUUCCUCAUCCUUGUCCUUAGGGAUCACAGGCUCAGGCCCCUGAAUCUCCUUUCCGCUCCUUAGGGUCAUCACGCUUACAUUUUUCGGGUUCAAUUUAGGUUGAGAUGGCAAUUUACCUUGGACUUGGGACUCCAAACGGUUGAUUGUUGUGGCCAUUUGACUCAUCUGAUUUCUUAUGUUCUGCAUUUUGGAGUCCGUCCUUUGCUUAUAUUGCGCGGUGGUUGCUAUCAAUUGUUUCAUCAUCUCCUCCAAAGAUGGACUAGAGCUCGGGGGCGGAGGUGGUCGGGGUUGGUAUUGCUGCUGAUACCCUUGUUGUCUAUUUGGCACGAAAUUAGACUGUCUGUUCUCUCCAUAGUUGAGGUUGGGGUAAUCCCUCCAACCGGGGUUGUAGGUACUUGAAUAUGGGUCAUAGGGCUUCCUUGGCGCGAGCGCGUGUCCUGCCAUGUUCAUUUGCUCUGCACUUUUCUCUUGAAUCAUUGGGCACAUCUCUGUAGAAUGACCCAUGUCAGUGCAAAUUCCGCAUAUCAUGGUAUGAGAUGCAUUUCCUACAGCCAGUUGCCUAACAAAAGAAGUCAACUCAGUCAACUGUUGCUGGAUAGAGGAUGUUUCUACCUCGUUCACUUUGCGUAUCGAGACAUCCUCCCUCGUACCAAACUAUUGCGAGUUCUCAACCAUUCCUUCUAUUAGCUCCCACGCUGCUCGAGGGGUCUUGUUCACCAGUGCCCCUCCACUCGCAGUAUCAAUUAUGCUCCUGUCUCUGAAAAGUAGCCCCUCGUAAAAAUAUUGUAUGAGCAACUACUCACUUAUUUGAUGCUGGGGACACUUGAUGCACAAUUUCAAAAACGCUCUCAGUAAUCAUAGAGCGAUUCUUCUGGAUGCUGCUUGAUACUGCAAAUUUCUUUUCUUAGACUUGCAGCUCUGAAAGCAGGAAAAUACUUAUCUAAGAACUUUUUCUUUAGCUGGUCUCACGUGGUGAUACUACCGGUAGUAGGUAGUACAGCUAGUCCUUUGCAGAGUUCUUCAAGGAAAAGGGGAAUGCCCUCAUUUUUAUUUGCUCUUCUGUGAUUUUCAGGGGUUUCAUACUGUUGCACAUGACAUCAAAUUCCUGCAAAUACUUAUAAAGCUCCUCACCUGGUAACCCAUGAAAAGAUGACAAAAGAUGAAUUAGCCCAGAUUUUAAUUCAAAUAGAGUGUUAUCACUCAAACUUGGAAAAGUAAUGCAUAAAGGUUGCUGAAUUAAAUCAGGAGCAGCCAACUCCCUUAAUAUCUGGGCAUUAGCCAUGGGGACUUCUUCUUGCUCCGAGUCACUCGAAGUGUCACCAAACGAAUCUGUUGAUUCAACUUCUGGCUUAGGUAUCUGAUAUGCAAUACUUGAAUGCUCUUCUCUGAGUUGUCUGGUCUCUUUUCUUGUUCUACGCGCGGUCUUCUCUACCUCAAGGUCAAAAAUUAAUUCACCUGUACGAGAAGAAUGAGGCAUACACUCGAACAGCACUAGAAAAUUAGAACAAAAAUAAAUUUAAAAAGAAAUAAAUAUUAACGCCAGAACUCGGCAACGACGCCAAAUAUUGACAGGUUGUCGGCCUAUGCAAUAAUAAAAUCUGCUCAAACUAAAAGUAAUUUCUGUAGAUAGCGGUGAGUAGGGUCAAAUCCACAGGGAUUGGGAGUAAUUGUUUCUUUUCAAAUUCAUAGUGACAAGGGGGUGUUUUUAUAUCAGGGGUGACAAUUUAAGCAAUUCAAUUAAAAGUAAAAUAAUAAAAAUAAAAUAGCCAACUAGAAAUUAAAUAACAAUUUACUAAAAUCAAAUGAGUGAUAAUUAAGGAUCUAACUAAGGAAUAAUUUCAGCAAUGGUUCACCUAAUUGAUCAUUGAAACAAAGGCAAUUCUAAUUAUUUACUAAUAAAUAGGUUAUAACUGCCAAACAAGCGAUGACAGUCAACCCCUCCUUACUGUGUCGGUAAUUAAGAUACACCCGUUAAUCACUACUCUAAUUGAGAAAUAAUCCUAAGUACGCCCGCAAGAUUUAAUUCCCCAAUUAUCUUACGUAUUAGAGGAGCCCUAUUCUAACCAAAUAACACACGACCAGGGUUAGAUUAACCCGCGUAUUCUCCUGACACAAACCCAAUCAUGCUAGUUAUCACUAUUUUGAGAAUUAAACAAUUACGGAUUUAACGUCUUAAUUGACAAUAAAUUAUCAAAUUAACUAAUUAUCCGAAUCCAAAAUAAUCAAUUAAUUAAAUAACCAUAAGUACUGUAAUCAAAGAAUAUGUAAAUACCAAUAAAUAAAAGAAAAAGAUAAAAUUAAAUCGAUUUCACAAUCUUUAGACAAAUCAAAACUUCCGUUGUUCCUUGAUUAGACAAAGGGAUUUAGCUCAUCCCUUGUCUACUCCUACCGAAAAGAAAAGAAAAGCAACUAAAGAUGAAAGGAAAAGUCAAAGGCUAAGCUCUCCCCCCUGACAUGCAUUGGAAGUAAAAGCUCUAAGAAGAAACCAAAAGGGCAAAGUUCCAAAAGCUAAAGUAGUCCUAAUCCUCUGCAACUCCCUAUCCUAUCAAAAGUCCUACUCUACUUAUUUAUUGUGCGGCGGCUUCAAUGCCUCCCGAAAACUUCGGCCUUUUUAGUUUUUUUUCCUUUCUUGCUGUCUUCGGCCAAAUUACCAAAAUGGGCUCACAUCUCCUCGUUUCAAAAAUGUCCCUGAAUGCCUUCUAUUUGAAUUCUUUCCCGAUGACUGUCAAAUUGGUGUUCGUUGUGGUAUUUUCAUUCUACUCUCUGAAAUAAAUGCAAAUUACAAAAAGUGAGUAGAAUCUAAUAAUUAAUUCACAUCGGGUUAGGUAAUAUAGGAAAUUAAUAAUAAAAUAAAUGAUAAAAUUGCAACCUAUCAAACAGAUAAGCGACGUGACAGAACAGAAAAAUAAAGUCCACGAUAACCUUAAAUUGGGGAAAACUGUCAAAAUAUUUGGUAAAUCACAAAGCUAACACUAAAUUGGGCCAUCUGCUCGAGUAUCGUAUCGUCAGCAAACAGUAGGACUGGUACUUUUGGUCCUUCAAAAUGACUUUCAAUUCUAAAGAUGCAAUUGUUGGAGAAGAACAGAGAGAACAUAUAUUGACUACAAAACACCAAGCAGGUGAAGUAAAUUCCAGAUUAAAGGCUAAUGGAAGCACGAAGAACUACCUGAACGAAUGGCUUUCAUUACAAUUUUCACAACAAAGCACAAGAAUUAGACACGAACAAACCACUUUGGCUGUGCCAGUUUAGCAUCAAAUUAUAUUUAUUCUUUUACCAUUUCAGAUCUUAUAUCAAAUGGCACAAGACAAAAAUUUUGACAGCAUUGAGCAUCAACUUCUUAUAUAGACAAUGACUAUCAGGCUAUCUUCCAGAUAACUUUCCUUUCCACUGACCGGCAAAAGAUGAGAGAGAGUGAAUAAGUAGAUGCUGCACAAACAUCUUUCAUAGCCAAUCCUAGAAGAGCAGAAGUUACGUGGAUAAUGCACAACUAGUACCGGCAACUUAUAAUCAAUGAUGUAGUUCGCCUUCUGAAGUGUUAGAAAACGACUUGUACAACAAACUAAUCAACGCACCAAAGCAGAAUCAUGGUAGAGGCAUCAUGGCAUCAUUAAACGUUAGUUUCACUUUCAAGCAUCAUUUGUCAUAGCCAUUUGCUGAGAGGUAGAGACCACUUUUCUGAGCUCACCCGUCCCAUUCCAACAAGUAUAUAUUAAUGAAUACUUCGUCAAGAUAUUCAUCCAGUUGGUAGUAUUCCUGCUUUUUGCUCAUUUCCAUUUUUCUCUAGCUGGCAGUUGAUCUAUGAGCCAGAAGUUAGGAUAUUUUUCUCUUCCAUCUAUUUCAUUGUAUUUUUUUCCCUUCUUGAAAGAACUUCUCUUCCCACUUUGAUCAGCAACUAACAAAUACU